rnacentral:lncRNA from 1 species
GCUGGCGUUGUUUCCCUCUCCAAUUUUGCCUACAUAAGUGAAAAUAAGAAUAAUAAAUGAAAAUCUGCUUUUACGGUUCUUAUUAGAUAGAUAAAAGGGGGAUCUUUCUUUGUUUCUCUGCUGCAAAGUGUGGCUAUCCCACUCUGUUUUGCCACCCAAGCUGAGUCUAUGUUGAGACAUAAUUUUGACAUCAGAAGCAAUCUCAAUUAGUUUGGCACUUUUAUGACCUCCUUGAAGGUUUUACGAUAAACAUAAAUCUACUGAGAAAGUGAGAAAAAAAAAGAAAAUGCAUAUAAAAAUAUGAGUUAUCAGAUAAGAUUAAACUUCACCCAAUUCAAUCCAUCAGAUUCCGUAAGGAUAUAACUGGAUUUCAUACCGCCACUCCAUAUCCUCGAAAGUCCGUAGUCCUUGUCUCAACUGUGUCUGGGGCCAGUGUAAGUCCAAUUUGCGCAAGCUCUUUAUGCACCACAGCUCUUCUGGAAGCUUUCUCAAGUAAGCACAUGGGUUGACAAUUAAGCUUUCAAGUUUGGGCAUUGCUCCAGCCCCCAUCGUCCACUCAUCUAGCCAAUACAUUGAUUUGAGGUGCAAAACCUUAAGUUCGGGAAAGCUACUCAAGCCAACACAAGCAAGCUUUCUUCCUAAAUACGAGUUCUGCUUCAGUUUCAGCACUCGAAGGCGUGGAAGAUUUUCCAGAAUUGGCAUGGGAUCCUCCAUUAACUCAGUAUUUGAUAAGCUCAGUUGGAUCAGACUUGGGGGAAAUUGGUAUUCAGACAGGACCAUCCGUGAGGGCUUGCUCUCAUUCACCAGCUUCAAGCAUUCAAGUUUGUGGAGUUCGCAAAGGCUUUUGGAAACCCCAGAUUGAUAGUAACUCAAAUCUCCAGAUAUCCGAAGAGUCUGAACACUAGGUAGUCUGCCCAAUAUAUCAGGAGUACAACUACUAGGGUUUAAAGCUGAUAUGAAAAUGAGAUUUUUCAGAGAGCUAGAAUAAUUUUUUGGAGGUGCGGGCAGAGUGAUAGAACCAAAGUUUAGAUGCAUGAGUUUUUGCAUCAUCCAAAUAUCCUCUGGUGACUGAUCUAUGUAGCUAGAUGGCAUUUCUAGUGUUUCAAGGUUUAAAAGGGUGCAUAGCAGUGAAGGAAGGCAUUUGAGCGAAGGGAUAUUCAAUUUCAAAUACUUCAAAAGAUAUAAAUUUUCUAAUCCGGGUGGAUAUUGGUCCAGGACUGCAGAACCCAAAUUCAAUACCCGAAGGUGUUUGAACUUUUUACAAAAAUUCUCGCAAUCUUUCGGAUUAAGAUGAUCGCUUGCCGAACUGUGAUUCAGAAAAGAUUGGAGAUACAUGUCAGAAUGUUCUAAAGAUAAAAACCCAGUCAGAUCUUCGGCAAUGACGCACCGUUUAACGUUUGCCACUGGCUCCUCUUCCCCGUCAUGCAUCAAGACAAAUUCCGUCUUCUUUGCCACAAAAUACAAUGAAGUAUAUACAAAACUUGGAACAUAACACGCUUUAAUUGUGCCUCCGGCGCUUCUCUUACUCACUUGAAUGAAGCCGCGACGGAUUAGUUCUUUCAUGUAAUGUUCGGCAGUUUCUUCACCGUUGUAUGGUAUGAAACCUUCAGCUACCCACAACUGAUAUAAUUGCUCCGUAGAUAUCUCAAUACUUGGAAGGAAGACACACAAAUAGAUGAAGCAGACUUUCAAGUGAAAAGGUAACUCCAUCACAGAAAAAAUUUGUCUCCAAACUGUCGGAAUCGCUUCGCCUUGAAGAUAAUUUUCUAAUGGCAUACUUCCAUAGUGUAGGAUGAAAAAUUGCCAGGCUUCAUGCUUUAAUCUGAUCAAUGGUCCUCCAAAGAGCACUGAAUCACGCCGAAUCUUCUCUCCGUUUUCCAUUUCUAACGACGCAAGGAGGUGUGGAUCACUGACCAACAUCAAUACUCUGCUUCCAUUCUGAUUAUCAGGAAGAACUUCUUCAAGAUCACUCCAUAUCUCACUGUCAUCGAAGACAUCAUCAAGCACAAUAAAGUACUUCCUGUUUGUUAGGUAAUCUCGAAGAAUAGAUUUCUUCAAUUGAUAAUCUUCCCCGAUAAUUACACUAACCCGAGAUGGAGGCAUCACAGACUUGAUUAUGUCAUCCAAUAUCUUGCCAAAAUCGUAGGUUAUAGAAACCCUGACCCAAGCAAGACAGUCAAAAUAGAACUUGACGUGAUCAUUAUUGUAAGUAUCUGCGGCAAAAACAGUCUUGUCGAAGCCACUGCUGUCGAGAAUUGCAACCACUGCAAGCCCAGAUGGUCCCUCAAUCAAUAGAUCAAACAACUCCUCUCUGCCCCUUUCAAAUUCACUGAUAUCAAGCCGAGGAUGUCCCGCACUCAAUAGGCGAAUGAUUUCGUUACUUUUUUCACUGAUAUCAAAACCAUUGUCGCCGGGUGGAAGUUGUUGCAUCCGAUUUCUAAUAUCAAUGAUUUCACUGUGGAGUCCAUCAAGAAGAGCCAUAUUAGUGCUGCUUUCACUUUCGUUUUCACUGUUUUGCUGCUGCAUGAUGUUGAUGAAGAAUGUGUCAAUGGCUUCCUGUGAGUCACGGACAAAGUUAUUGAUGUCCUCCAGAAUUUCAAAAAUAUCUGCUGUUUCAACGUUUUCUUCAUCGCUUUCUUCUAAGUCCAACAGUUGCAAAAAAGGCAAAGAUAUUUUGGAGUCAUCGAAAUCUUCUCUAAUGAGUUGAAACAAAUGCCGAGCCAUGUCAGCUUCAUAUUUUCCCAGCAGAGUAGUAGCAAUAAUUUCGGACUCCGUAAGAAGGUUUUGAAAAAGUGGAGUUAAAUUUGUUGAAUCUGGCAGCGGCAACGUGCCUUCUUCACCUGCUAACACCCUUCUCAACCUCUCACAAAAUAGUCGGAGGUGGACGUCCAGCAUAUCUCCUUCUCUCUGUAGCACCCAGAGGUAUUGUUUUUUGCUCCAAGAAAUAUUAAAAGGAUUGGUUCUAUCUAAAAGUGGUUACUGGUGUAAAAUUAAACGCCAUGGGAGAAUUUGAAAGGAAGAUGCCAAGGAACUGGCGAAGUGGCUAAAUUCCACAAAUACGGCAUUAUUGCUCAUUUUUAACUCAAAAAAUUGAUACGCGUUCAUUUUGCGAAAAGUCCAAGACGCUUGCCUUUUGAAAAGAAGAGGUAUCCAAUAGAUAUCCAACCUUUAUCUUAUUUUAAUUACUACCACGACAUGAUUGAUGGUGGUUAAAUCAAUUGUUUCUUUUUUAAUUUAAAGAAUUUUUCAUUAAAAAAUAUUUUAAUAUCAAAUUGCCUUCAAUAGCGUAACUGCCGCAAGCCCAGUAACAGGAUUAAUUAAUUUUUUUUGAAUUUUUGGGCAUGGAAAGAGUAGUAUUAGACUUCAGAAAGCUAAGGUUGUUAUGUUAAAGAAUUGAUAUUGACAUAAUUUUAUUUUGGCUUUCGGGGAAAAAAAUAUUUGCUGACAAGCAAGAAAAUAUUUUUGUAUUUUACAAUUUAUUAUACAUAUUUGAUCAUAUUAAAGUAAUUUUAAUAAUAAAUAGACACAUAAUAUUACAAUAAAUAAAGUAAAGUUUAAAUUAUUUUGAAUAUUAUAAAAAAAUAAUUUUAAUAUUAUUAAUAGGAAGACAUUUUGUUAAUUUUAAAAUCUUUUUAACCUAAAGGUUUAUUUAAAAUCUUUAGAAAUCUCCAUCCCACAUCUACCCUAUUAAACAAGUUGAUGGAAAUUGAACAAUUGCUUUUUAAAGUGGGACCCAUUGAGUUAUGUUCAUUACUGGUCAUUGUCUAUUCUUUCUAAGAGCCACUUGUUUUGAGCAUUAGCAAUCCUAUCUGGACUACUCCAAUUAUUGAUGUAACUCCAAUGGUUGCAUCGACAGUUGAAUAUAAGAGGAUGGUCCAUCGACAAUUUCUUUGUUUCUCCGUUGCAGCGUAUUAGUAUAAAUUUCUUUACCUAACAGUUCAUACAGUCUUCCUGUUAAUGAAUUCACUGAGGCAUUAUUGAUACAAUGUGCUUUUCGCUAAUUAAUUAUGAUUAUAUACGCUUUCAUAUAGCAAGUGGCAUUGUAGAUCUAAACUAAGUUGCUAUUUCAAUACGUUAAUUAAGUGAUUCUCCUCAUUGUCAUCAGCAUUAUACCCUCUAGGAAAAUAGCUCAAUUGUUUCUCUGCAUUGAUUUUCAUUGGUAAGUGAUUUCUUAUGAAAUUCUUUUGAGCUUUCCUUAUUAAAAAUGCUUGAGCUUUUAUCACCUAAUACGGAUAUCAAUUAACUUGUGAACGAUUUUGUAAUGAAACUAGGAGUUAAAUAAGAUUUUUACAUGAUGAUCAACUUGUUAAUUUUGUAUAUUUCAUAUUCAACAGGAUUUGGGCACGGAACGUUUGGAUUCUAAUAUUUAUAUAUUUAGUUUUAAUCAGUUUGACUUUCGUAAUCUUUCUCGCCUCAUCAUUAAGGGAUUAAGAAUUAGAGAAACAUUAGAAACAGGAAGAAAAUAACUUCAGAAAUAAGUAAGAGGGAAUCCAAUGAGAAAUAUGAUAAGAGAACGUCAAUUACUUGUCAUUUUCUAUUUUUUCUAUGAGAUAUUUAUUUUGAGCAUUAGUUAUAGCAAAUCCUUGAAAUCUACUAAACAAAACAAUGCCCUGUCUCAUGAAUCGAUGUUGAAUUACAGCUGAAAUUGAAAGUCUGGCACCAGUUAUAGCAAAUAUUGAAUUACAAUAUUUCCCUUGCCAAACCGUACCUGCAUGUGGCAACGUGCCUUCUUCACUUGCUAACACCCUUUUCAACCUCUCACAAAACAGUCGGAGGUGGAAUUCCAGCAUAUCUCCUUCUCUCCGCAGCACUCAGAGGUAUAGUUGAAAGAUUAAACACCAUGGAAGAAUUUGAAAGGAAAAUGCCAAGAAACUGUGUAAGUGGCUAAAUUCCACAAAUAUGACAUUAUUGCUCAUUUUUUAACUCAAAAAAAGGGUACGCGUUCAUUUAGAGAAAAGUCCAAGACGCGUGCUUUUUAAAAAGAACAGGUAUCCAACCUCUAUCUUAUUAAAUUACAACCAUGACAUAAUUGAUGGUGCUUAAAUCAAUUGUUUCUUUUUUAAUUUAAAGAAUUUUUCAUUAAAAAAAUAUUUUAAUAUCAAAUUGCCUUCAGUGGCGUAACUGCCUCAGGCCCAGUAACAGGACUAAUUAAAAAUUUUACAAUUUUUGGGCAUGGAAAUAGUAGUAUUAAACAUUAGAAAGGUAAGGUUGUUCUGUUAAAGAAUUGAUAUUGACAUAAUUUUAUUUUGGUUUUCGUGGAAAAAAAAUUUGUUGACAAGUAAGAAAAUAUUUUUAUUUUUAUAAAAUUUAUUAUGCAUAUUUAUCAUAUUAAAGUAAUUUUAAUAAUAAAUAGAAACAUAAUAUUACAAUAAAUAAAUCAAAGUUUAAAUUAUUUUGAAUAUUAUAAAAAAUAAUGUUAAUAUUAUUAAUAGGAAGACAUUUUGUUAAUUUUAAAAUCUUUUUAAUCCAAAGGUUUAUUUAAAAUCUCUAUAAUAAAUACAAAUAUAAGAUUAAAAUAAAAAUCAUAAUUUGAAAAUUUUAAUAUUAUUUUAAAUGUUAAAUAUACUUUAAUGUUAUUAGCCUACUACGUAAAUUUUAUUAUUUAUAUUAUAUUCGUAUUGAUUAAAAUUUUUUAAAGUCAAUUUUUUAGUUAGUACAUUCACGAGGUAUAAUAGUUAAAGAAAAAAUUUUGGUGCAACUGUUUUAAAAUUUCAGGGUAUAAAUGAUAAUUUUUUUAAAAAUUUUAAGUAGGUAUUAUUUUUCCGACAAUUUAUUUUAUUGAGGGAAACCCGAUGAGAAAUAUCAUCAGAGAACAUUAAUUUAACAUUCUUUACCUUUAUGAAAAAAGUGGAAACCAAGAACUAUUCAAUUUUUUUUUUUUUGUGUAAUUCAAAAAAUGCAUCCACCAAACAAGCUUAUCUUAAUUUUCCCACUUUAUUCAUUUUCGAUGCUUUUCAAAAGAGGUUCCUUUAAUCCAUCUAGCAUCUGCAGCCCCCACUAUUUUUACAAAUCUCCAUCCCACAUCUACACUAUCAAAAAAGUUGAUGGAAAUUGAACCCAUUAAUUAAGUUAUGUUCAUUACAGGUCAUUAUCUUUCUAUGAGCCACUUAUUUUGAGCAUUAGCGAUCUUAUAAGGAAUCAUGCCUUUUCCGGAUCGUUUUCUUUCAUUUCCUUAUUGACUUAUUGUAGUAGUUAAUUAAAUAAAGAACGAACAAGUGAACUUAAUUUGUCUAUUUCGAGGAAGAACAAGGUUUCCAAUACUAGAGGAACUUUGAAGAAAAUUAAUUGGAAGCCUUUAUUCAUCUUUGAAGAAAAUUACCACACUUUAAAUCCUGGAUUAAAAAAAAUUUAUUCAUCUUCGGACUAUGAAUUUAUAAAAUAAUAUUGCUAGGACUAAGAAAAAAAUAUUAUUUUAGAUACGUUAUUUAUUUAUUAUUGAAUGAAAAAUUUAUCAUGAUAAAUAAAAUUUCUUAAUUUAAAGAGAGAUUUUUUUUUUGGUUUUAAGAAGAGUUUUUUUGGUACAUGCACACACUAAUAAAGAAACACAAAAAGUGCUUCCUCAAGUCAAUAGUAUUUACUUUAAUCGCUAAGGUGCAUAAUAAUGUAGCUUAGUUAGGAAAUUUGUAAUUACAUUAUGGCUCCGUUUGGUAUAACUUUUUAAUUAGAACUUAUUUAAAGAGAAUUUAUAUUAGUAGAGUUUUUAUAAAUAGAGAUUUUUUUUAUAAAAAAAAUUAUAGUUAUUUAGUUAUCAAUGUCCAAAUUGAUGAAGUAUUGUUCUUUUUAUUAACAUGUGUUUGUUUUACUUAAUAAUAAAAGUUUAGUUUACAAUUACACCGGUGUCAAAUCAGCAGAGCAUCGGCAAGAGUUUUCGAUUGUUGCAAUUUGCAAUGCACGCGGUGAGAGAAAAUGAGAAUCUUGUUUAAUUGUCAAUAAUGACAAACCUAAUCCUUUCAUUAGGAGUAAAUUAAUAAUCGUUGGUUAUAAUUGAAUAUGUAUAAAGAAAGGAAAAUUAUAUUCAUAGAUUUGACUUAUUUUUUAUUUAACGUAACUAAUCAUUCAACCAUCUUCGUUUGCCUCUGGCCAAUGCCCUUGUAGAUUAGUUGAAGCGUUAAUUACAUAAUUCAGAUAAUUACAACGUCCUUUUCGCUAAUUAAUUAUGAUUAUGUACAUUUUCAUAUAGCAAGUGGCAUUGUAGAUCUAAACUACGUUGCUAUUUCAAUACGUUAAUUAAGUGAUUCUCGUCAUUGUCAUCAGCGUUAUAAACAGGAAUUAUGCAAACAGUACACAAUGCUGCAGCAAGGCGUGGUUGGCUAGAGUUUUGCAACCACCCUCGAGAUCAUGUGCUGCCAGUAGUAAAAGAAUUUUACGCCAAUUUGGUAAGCCUUGGUCAGCACAAUAUUUGGGGUAAGAAACUCACUUGUUCCAUUAGACUCUCGAGUUAUAAAUGUUUUUUAUAAUUUACCUGCUGAAAUUAAUUGUGAGUAUGCCAAGUUGCUUGACAAAUUGACCUCACAACAAUGGAACACAAUUUUCACGACACUUACAGUAGAGGGUGCAUCGUGGGCUAAUGAGGAGGGGCGUGUAAUUAACAGGAUAGAUUUAAAACUCAUUGCUAAGGUGUGGGUGAAAUUUCUGAAAUCUAGGCUUAUGCCAACCAUCCACACCAUUACUGUUUUACAGGAAAGGUUGGUGCUGUUACAUGCUAUUGUUAGAGGGCUUUCCAUAGAUGUGGGAAGUAUUAUCGAAAAAGAAAUUCGAGAUUGUACCAUGAAAAACCACAAGGUUGUUGCCUUGUUAUUUCCUUCACUCAUAACCAGCAUAUGUGUAGUAUCGGGUGUUCAUCUUGAUGCAAAGGAUAAAAUUUGUAAUUAUAUUAUGGCUCCAUUUGGUAUAACUUUUUAAUUCGAACUUAUUUAAGGAGAUUUUUAUUAGUAGAGCUUUUAUAAAUAGAGAUUUUACUAAAAAAAAAUUAUAGUUAUUUAGUUGUCAAUGUCCAAAUGGAUGAACUAUUGUUCUUUUUGUUAACAUGUGUUUGUUUUACUUAAUAAUAAAAGUUAAGUUCACAAUUACACCGGUGUCAAAUCAGCAGAGCAUUUUUGCAGGGGUAAAAUCUCAUUUAGUCCCUAUAUUUUAAGCUUAGUAUCCAUUUGGUCCCUAUAUUUUUAAAAAUACCUCAAAACAUCCCUACCGUUAAAGUAUUGAUACCCCUACCGUUAAAGUAUUGAUACCCCUACCGUUAUCUUUAAUUUAUUUUGGCUUACUUUUACAAUAUUACCCUUUUAUAAUAAUUUUUUUAGACAUGAAUAAAAAAUAAUAAUUAAAUUACCAAUUUAACCCAAAAAAAAUUAAAAAAAAAAUUAUAUUAAUUUUUUUUGCAAACACCAUUUGCACACUUGAUAGUUUGCAUACAAUUUUAGAUAAUUAAAUUUCAACACAAGACUGAGUUUUUCAUCAUUCAAACUUCUCAUGUCUAAACUUUAUUUAUUGAGGUGCUAAAAGAUAAAUAUAUUGGCAAUUGGGAAAUGAAGUCAAUGAUAAGUUUGAUACAACCGUUGAUUAAAUAUCAUUAAAAAAAAAAAAGUACCUACAACUAGAAGUUAAAAAAAAAUGUCACCAUAGCCCACGUAUAAAUCCAUUUUGUAGUGCGUCAAAACUUAUGAAUAUCCUCUUGAAGUACGUCGCUACACCUUAUGUUUCAUAUUGAAUUUUCACCAUUGCCCUUUUAUUCUUUAUAAGAAGAACGUUGGCAUAGUCAUGUAACUUUGCAUAAGAUUUUGUGUAGUCACUAUCAGCAAUUUUUAGAACCCUUUUUUUGGCCAUAUACAGCCUUUUCUUUGUAGUUGAACAAGAAAACCUCUUCCUCAAUUCAUCUGACAUGGAUUCACAACCGAUAUCAGGAUUAAAACUAAUAAAACCAUACAAUUUCUGAGCUAUCCAUCUACUAGUUACUUCAGGAUUCUUAAACAGCUCUUUGCACUUAUGUUCACCACCUUUUAAAGUUUUAAUCUGGAAUGUAACUUUGUCAACCAAUAAAGAUGCAUGGAUUCUCCAUGGACAUUCCUUUCCUUCUUUGUCCUUCCCAGCACACACGGCUGUAACUCUACAUUUGUCAUUCUUUUUCCUUUUCAAAACUCUUGACUCUUGAAUAGCAUAAUCCUUCAAUACAUUCUUAAACUCUUGAGCACAACUAAAAGUUUGCCCAACUUCCAAAACAAUAUCAUCAUCACCAUCGGGUUCUUGAACUUUUUUUUCUUAAAUCCCUUUUCAUCUUCAAUAUUAUAGCGUCAUCUUCUUCAUCACUUGUAAUAGAUACAUCUUCAUUAUCACUCUCACAAUCUGACAUGCCAUCAUCUCCAUCAAAUUCAUUAAUAUCAAACCCUAAAUCAACUUCAGGUUCACUAUCAGACUUAACAAUAUCACCAAUAUCUUCAUCAGACCAGUCAAUAGACUCAACACUGAUUGCAUCAUCACUUUCACCAUCUAAAAUACAAACAUUAACUGCAUUUGAGGCAAAAUGAUUAUCUUCAGGGCGAGUUUGAGCUAAAACGGGUGACAAGCUGGCCAAGGAUAACGCAUCCAUCUCCAAAUUAAUAGAAUUAAGACCCUUGGCUUGAAUUAAGUUAACCAAAUUCUGGAAGUCUUUAUCAUUAUUCAAUUCAAUCCCUUCAUUGGACCAUGGGACAAUGCCAGUAAGCUUAAAGCUCUCAUCAUAAUGCUUGUGCCUUCCAAAGACAUUAUUCAAGACAUCGUUGAUGAGGGAUACAAGAAUCAAGCAAUCAGGAUCAUAAGCAUCCUCCACAUCUUUGCCUAAAAAUCGAACUGAAAUGCUGAUUUGACUCAUUUUGAAUCUGCCAACAUAAAGAUGAACAAAAAAUAUCAGAAACUUAAAACUAUUACAUACGAAAUCAUAAAAUACAAAAUCGACAUUAUAGAACUUUAUAUGAUUAUGAUUUUUUUUUACAAAAAAAUACUCAAUCAAGUGAAGUUAAAAUAAUUUCUUUUCGAUUACAAAUCAAUUCCACUACCAAUAUUAAGCUACGAAACAACCAUGAAAGGGUUAAAAAAAAGAAAGAAAGAAAACAAAAACCGUUCAACUUUUAGUCUACUGCAAAACAAAAACCGUUCAACUUUUAGUCUACUUCAUAUGGAAUUUUAGUCUUGGGAAGAAAUACCCAUUCAAGUGGAAAAAAAAAUAAUUUCUUUUCAUUGAACACAUGGAAGAUUAAAAAAAUAAAUAAAUAAACAAGACCAAUGUGAGACGUACCAGAAUAGGCCAAUUUCCUUCGUUGUCGGUUUUGACAUCUACUGCAAGACUACGUUUCCAAUAGAAAAAAUUUUACAGCAAUAAAAUUGUUAUGAGUUUUAAAAAAGCAAGUCACUUAAGUUCUUAAAGCGAGGGUUUUAAAGAAUAUUAGGGUUAAAAUACGUUUUUGCGAUUAUGGAUCUAGGUUAUCGUAAUAAUUUUUUAAAAUUUUAAAUUUUACCAAGAAAAAUACAUUUUUACCCUCAUUAAUCUAGAAUUAACAGUAACGGAGGUGAUGCUAAGGGUGUUUUGAGGUAUUUUUAAAAAUACAAUGACUAAACAGACAUUAAUCUAACGCUUUUUCUCCCAUGUAAAUUCUUAAUGUCGUUUUUCCAUAGUAUAGGAUGUAAAAUUGCCAGGAUUCAUGCUUUAAUCUGAUCAAUGGUCCUCCAACGAGAACUGAGUCAGGAUGAAUCGUCUGUCCAUUUUCCAAUUCGAACGAGGAAAGGAAGGCUGGAUCAGUGACCGUUAUAAUUACUCUACUUCCAUUCUGAUUCUCAGGAAGUACUUCUUCAAGAUCAUCCAAUACGUCGUCACCCUCUUUGUAGUAAUCAUCAAGCACAAUAAAGUACUUCUUGUUUGUUAGGUAAUCUCGAAGAAUAGAUUUCUUCAAUUGAUAAUCUUCACCGAUAACUACACUAACCCGAGAUGGAGGCAUCACAGACUUGAUUAUGUCAUCCAAUAUCAUGCGAAAAUCGUAGGAUAUAGCAACCCUUGUUAGGAAAUUGAGCUUCCUCCCAAGAUCACUCCAAGCAAUUUAUCAAGCAACAAAUUAACAGAAAAAUUUAAUGGAGAAUACAUCAAUCACACAACACAAGAUUUACGUGGAAAACUCUAAAUCCGGAGAAAAACCACGGCCGUUGUCAAAAAGACAACCAGAGAAAAUAUUCACUAUAUGGAAAAUUAUUACAACCACACUCUCAAAAAUAAUUUUCUCUCACCCAAGCCCCAAAUACAUAAUCCUGAGAAAUAUCCCUUAACAAAGCAAACCCGUAAUACCCAUAUUACGGAGCCAAAUGCUCCUUCAAUAUAACUACAUGCUUAAGAACUUUUCUCUCUCUCAAUUUCUCACCAAAACUUGGAUUCCUUCUCUGGGAUUUGGAUUGCUUCUCUCAAUGGCCAACAGUUCAUGUCUAUUUUCUUUAGCAAAGCCGAAGCUCAUUGCUACUCAUUUCUCAUCAAAUGACAUUCCAAUUUAUAGCCAAACUAUCACACCAAAAAUCUAAUAAGUCGGCAACAACUUUCUUCCUUUUUUACAAAUUCAUCAUGCGGUUCAAAAUUGGCAUUUUGCUUGUCAAAGUCCAUCCACCCAUUUGAAUGCAAUCAAUGUGUUCCCAUUUCACUUUUCCUUUUUUUUUAAUCAAUUUCAACAAUCUCCACCUUGAUUAAAAAAAAAAUUCAUAACUACUGCUACAAAACACUGUCUUCACCAACAGUCAUAAUUCUUAACAUAGAGAAUUAUCAUACUCCACCAUAAAGAGUAUACCACUUAGAAACAACCAUUCUAAGAUUUUUCUCGGCACAUGUCAAAAUAUCUUGCUGAAAUUUAUGGUACAAUUCUCAUGCUUGGUUUCCCUAAGAAUUCUUCAGCCAUGACAUAACUUUUCCACUACACACCUUGCAUUUAUACCAAGCCAAUGCCCGCGUGCAAACUUGUGGACCCCGCUGAUCAUAGCAUGUUCUCUUUCAUGACAACUUGGAGAUUUACAUGCCAAAAGAACUAACCCAAUCUCCUAUCAAAAGGAAACUCACAAUCUACGAGAAUAUCAUUAUCUCCUUUACUGAUUCUGGAGUAAUUUGCCGAGCCCACUCCACCUUCUUGACAAUUUUCUUGAGGUGCCAAAAAUUGUCUCACACCUUCAAAUCUUUGUGCAUACCAGAUUGGAUACACCUUUGACUUGAAUUCUCCACAAGCCAAUAAAAUCAUUCUUCCAUUAAUUUUUUUUUUUAACAACAUCAAACUCCACCAAGUUUAAAAAACACCAGCUACUGACAUAUAUGCUUUACAUAAACAGUAUCGUAUACCCCAAGUACAAACCGUUGGCUCUGAUACCACUGUUAGGAAAUUGAGCUUCCUCCCAAGAUCACUCCAAGCAAUUUAUCAAGCAACAAAUUAACAGAAAAAUUUAAUGGAGAAUACAUCAAUCACACAACACAAGAUUUACGUGGAAAACUCUAAAUCCGGAGAAAAACCACGGCCGUUGUCAAAAAGACAACCAGAGAAAAAUAUUCACUAUAUGGAAAAUUAUUACAACCACACUCUCAAAAAUAAUUUUCUCUCACCCAAGCCCCAAAUACAUAAUCCUGAGAAAUAUCCCUUAACAAAGCAAACCCGUAAUACCCAUAUUACGGAGCCAAAUGCUCCUUCAAUAUAACUACAUGCUUAAGAACUUUUCUCUCUCUCAAUUUCUCACCAAAACUUGGAUUCCUUCUCUGGGAUUUGGAUUGCUUCUCUCAAUGGCCAACAUUUCAUGUCUAUUUUCUUUAGCAAAGCCGAAGCUCAUUGCUACUCAUUUCUCAUCAAAUGACAUUCCAAUUUAUAGCCAAACUAUCACACCAAAAAUCUAAUAAGUCGGCAACAACUUUCUUCCUUUUUGACAAAUUCAUCAUGCGGUUCAAAAUUGCCAUUUUGCUUGUCAAAGUCCAUCCACCCAUUUGAAUGCAAUCAAUGUGUUCCCAUUUCACUUUUCCUUUUUUUUUAAUCAAUUUCAACAACCCUGACCCAAGCAUGACAGUCAAAAUAGAACUUGACAUGAUUAUUGUUGUAAGUAUCAGCAGCAAAAGCAGUCUUAUCGAAGCUACUGCUGUCGAGAAUUGCAACCACUGAAAGCUGUGGUUGUCCCUCAAUCAAUAAAUCAAACAACUCCUCUCUGCCGUUUUCAAAUUCACUCUUAUCAAGCUGUGAUUGUCCCUCAAUCAAUAAGUAAGUGAAUUCGUUCCUUCGUUCUCUGAAAUCAAAACCAUUGCCUUCAGGUGGAAUUUGUUGCAACCGAUUUCUAAUAUCAAUGAUUUUACUGUGGAUUCCGACAAGAAGAGCAAUGCAAGUAGUGCUUUCACUUUCACUGCUUUGCUGCUGCGUGAUGUUGAUGAAGAAUGUGUCAAUAGCUUUCUCUGAUUCACGGACAAAGGAAUUGAUGUCUCUCAGAAGUUCCCAAAUGCCGAUAACGCGAAGGUAUUUCGUCUUCAUCGAAAUGUUCUCUAAUGAGUUGAAUCAAAACCCGAGCCAUUUCAGCUUCAUAGUUUCCCAGCAGAGUAGUGGCUAUAAUUUCGGACUCCGUAAGAAGGUUUUGAAAAAGUGGAGUUAAAUUUGUUGAAUCAGGCAAAGUUAACGUGCCUUCUUCACCUGCUAACACCAGUUUCAACCUCUCACAAAAUAGUGUGAGGUUAAUUUCCAUAUCUUUCCCUCUCUCAGUAGUACUCAGAGGUACGUAUUGUUAUUUGUUAGUGUUGAUGACGAAAGCUGAAUAACAAAACAACAGUGUACACAAUCAACAGAAGCCAAAGUAUGUUAAUUUGAGAUCAAAGGAUAUAAAUAAAGGAAAAGUUUUCGUCGAUUGAGAAUGGAUGGAUGCAAAGAAUGACUGAUAUUAAAUGAUUUCUAUAAAUGAGACAUGCAAAGAAUGAAAUUUAAAGGUAACCCCCUUUUUUUUUUUUUUAAAGUACUCUAUUGAAAGCCAAAGUUCCUUUGGCCAAUUAAUUUAGAAGUGAAGGAAAGAAUAAAGUUAGUCCUUGAUGUCUUUUGAAAUUAGAAAUACAUUUUGAAUGCUUUAAUAGAUGCAGAGCAAACUGGCUCGAUAUCUACCUAUUUUUAGUGCUAAAAUCAUUUAAUAGAAGUUGUAGCAUUAAAAAAAAAAAAAAAAAAAAACUGGCUUGAUAUCCAAUUUUGUUAUUGAAUAUGUCUCAUGUGAGAGUAAAAAAAAACUGGCUUGAUAUCCAAAAUUUAAAGGUAACUCCUUGAAUUUGAUUGAAAAAUUAUUGAGACGGACAAGGCUGGACCAUUGUUCGAGACUGAAACUACACAUCAGUCUUAGAAAAUUGUAAUUUUGUUGGCUUAUCAUGAUUUUGAUCGUCUCACAUUGAUUUUCCUAUGAUGUCUCUGUCGAGUGGCUAUGCUUACAUUUUUAGGUAUUUAAUUCUAAAAAUUAACUUAUUAAAUGGAGGGACCAAUUCUACCUAUAAAUCCAAGUGGCUUCCCUUUACUAACUCAUAUGAGAUACAACAAUAAUUUUCUUUGGACAAAACCACUGUUGGAGGGUUAUUUUCGUUCAACAUACAUGAGUUGUUCCACCACCAUAUUUUGAGGGUUUGUUUUGGAUAUGACUUGGGGGAGCUAAGGCUAAGAUUUCUAAGUAUCAACAUAAAAACCUUGCCGGAAGGACCAAUCCUACUUUAAAGUCUAAAUGACUAAUUCUUGAGGACACAACUCAACAGCCCAAUAUAAACUUUUGACGUCCCAUUUUAUUACUUUCCAGUGCUUUUACUUUUGCUGUCUAGAGCCCUACCAUGCUAUUAAGCAGAAAAUAUUUCAAGGCACUCUCGGUCCAGUAGAUAACUUUGGUAUUUAUCAUCUAUUUUCUUUCCAUUUUAUGCAUACCCCGAUCUUUACCUCUGAUUGGUUGUAGAUUCUUUUGUUGCUUUGGGGUUAGGGGGUGGUUUUCAUAACUAUUCAGUUGAUCAAUGCAGAAAAUCACCAUCAAGAAAUUAUAAAGGAUUGUUAGUUCUAUCUGACAAACAACAUUAAUAUGAAGGAUGAUGAUUGUUCUGUUCAAGAGUUUAUAAUGACAUAAUUCUACUUUGGUCUUUUAAAAAAAGUAAUUUAGAAACGAGGAGUAUGUGAGUGAUGAUUUUUACAAAAUAAAUUACAUGCGUAGUGAUGAUUUUGACACAUGAAAAUGAAAAAAGAAAUAUAACUUGUGAAUAAUAAUUGAAGUACCUGCUAUUGUUAUAUUGAGUAAUCAAGGACUUCAAUAUUCGGACGAUAUAAGCAACACAAUCAAAUAUUAGUUGGAAGGCAUAGCAAAAUUAGAAUGUAGAACAAACUGGGUAUUGAUAAAUGGAUGGUUUUGGAAGAAUUGAAAAUGAUGGCAUAAGUAAACCAAAGUUUAGAGAAAAGAGAAAGAGCAUUUGAACUUUACUUGUAAGAAAAGGCAAAUAUCUUGGUUCAAGAAAAGAUAAGAGAUAUCAAACUAGCAAUAGGAAAAAGGAGGAAGGUUAAGACAGCAUCUUAACAAAAGCUAAAGAAAAGAAAAACUUAGUUCAAGCAAAGAACAAUGUGCUAAUGUCGUGUAAUCUUGUUUAAUUUCUUUUUCUUCUCACAUUUUCCAGGGCUUAAAUAAUACAAUAUACAUUUUCAAGCAAAGAACAAUAUGCAAUUGCAGUACUUCUGAGCACACAACAACAAAUAAAUAAUACAAUAUACAUACCCACUAAAUUAAAAAAAAAAUAUUAUCCAAGUUUGUGGACUAUAGCCAUGGCGUCGUCGAAAUCUACUGACAGCUGAAACAAAGAAAGAAUGGAUGAAUGCUGGAUCACAGUUGAAAUUGAAGGUCUGGUAGGUGAUGUUUCCCUCUCUGAUUUUCCCUAAACAAAUACAAGAAAAUAAGAAUCACAAAUGAAAAUCUGCUAUUACACUGUUCUUACUUAUUAAAAUACAGAGGUUUCUUUGUUUCUCUGCAGCAAUGUCCAUGGCUAUUAGAAACAAGAACAAUUAGACCAGCAUUUGUAAGAAUCCUUUAAGGUAUUACUGCAGAUAUAAAUCGACUGAGGAAAUGGAAAAAUUGAAUACCAAAUUAGGCAAGUUAACUGAAGAUUGAGUUAAUCAUAGAAGAAUAAAACUCAUCCAAUUCAAUCCAUCAAAUUCCAUAAGGGUACAACUGGAUGUCAUACUGCUGCUCCAUAUCCUCAAGAGCCCGUAGAUUUUGCCUCAACUCUGGCUGAGGCCAAUGUAAGUCCAAUUUGCAAAAGCUCUUUAUGCACCAUAGCUCUUCAGGAAGCUUUCUCAAGUAAGCACAAGGGUUGACAAUUAUGCUUCCAAGUUUUGGCAUUGCUCCAGCCCCUAUCGUCCACUCCUCUAGCAAAUACAUUGAUUUCAGGUGCAAUACCUUGAGCUCCGGGAAACCACAAGAGCAAACACAAGCCAGUUUUCUUCCUGAAUAUGAGUUCUGGUUCAAUUUCAGCACUUGAAGGUGUGGAAGCUUGUCUAGUGUUAGCAUGGUAUCCUCCAAUAACUCAGUAUUUGAUAAGCUUAGAUGGAUCAGACUUGGAGAAGCUGGUAUUUAGACAGGGCCAUCCGAGAGAGCUACCACCUCUGGUUUCGUUCACCAGCUUCAAGCAUUCAAGUUUGUGUAGUUCGCAUAGGCUUUUGGAAACCCCAGAACGAUAAUAACUCAAAUCUCCAGAUACUAAGAGUUUGAAAAUGAGGUAGUCUGCCUGUUAAAGUAGCUCACUAUGUUGAACAAAUGAAGGAGAAAGCUAAGCUGGAGAAAAUACAGGGCAAGAGUAUUAGCUGUGCCAGCUCAACUGACAGCUCAGCAAAAUCAGUUAAAUUUUGUUACAAGCCCCCUGUGCAUUGUGCUGAAGAUUAGUUAGUUUAAUAAUGAUUAGUUUUAGAUUAGUUAAAAUGUAAUCAUGAUUAAGAUAUAUAUAUAUAUAUAUAUAGCUGCUGUACUGAUAUCAUGGAUUAAGUGUUGAGAAAUAAAAUUCAUUAAGCAUUUCCAGAACUCUUGAUUUUCUUUCUCAGUAGCCAAACAACUUCACUCUCAUUUUUUUUUUUCAACAAUGAGUUCUCAAACCACUCAGGUAUCAUUUUCAGACAUUCUUGGCCUUGUACUCACCAUCAAAAUGGGUUGGUUGAGAGAAAACAUAGGCAUAUUGUUGAAUUAGGUUUGACUCUGUUGGCUCAAGCUCAACUUCCUUUUAAAUUCUGGUGGGAUGCAUUCCAUACUGCUCUAUCAUCAAUAGAUUACCAUCUUCUGUUUUCAAACUUUCGACCCCAUAUGAGAAGAUAUUCAAGCACAAACCUGAUUAUGAUUUUCUCAAAUGUUUUGGUUGUAUUUGUUAUCCUUACUUGAGAGACUAUAACAAACAUAAGUUUGCCUAUCAUUCCAGUAACUGUAUAUUCAUUGGUUAUAGUCCUUCACAAAAGGGUUAUAAAUGCUUACAUUCUUCAGGUCAUGUCUAUGUGGCAUGACUUGUUAUCUUUGAUGAGUCAACCUUUCCUUAUGCUACUGAAUCUGUUUUUCAUAGUCACACAAAUUCUGAUUCUCAUUCUUCAAACUUAUUUACUCCACAGCAUGUCUAUUAUCUUUCUACUUUACCUGUCAUACCAGUAUUUCUAAGUAACAACACUGAUAAUCUAAACUCUACAAAACUAAAAUACCAGCUUUUUGGUGUUAGCAAUAGGAAACAACUUACCACAACCAUUAAUUAUCCAUAAUUUCAUUGUUUAUCCUCAGUUUUCUUCAUAAAUGUUACAGCAUUCUUCACGAGAAAGCGCAAGGGCAUUUCAAAAGUUCUGAAAUAAUACCUCAAUUCUAUUGCAAAAAUAAAUAAUCUCAAACAAGAACCAAUAAUCAUAUUUCGUUACUGUCAAACACAAUGCAUCUGAGCAAAACAUUGGAAGCCAACACCAGAAUACAUAUGAAUAAACAAUUAAAGAUAGAGAAAAAAGGCUUAAACCUUGGGGGAAAAAAGUGAAAAAAACAUGAAAGACAAAUUACACAUGUACAGUAAUCAUCGAACUUAUCAGUCACAGCUGCAUCCAUUACAUUGCUCCAACAACACAAUGGCAAACCACCAGUUUCAAAUUGAGGAUAGCUAUCGAGAAUGAGAAAGUGUCCAAAACGUCAUAAAUAGACAUGUUCCUAUUGUGCAUAAUUUACAUUAUAGGCAAAUAUUCUUAUACCAUCAAAGGCAACACAUGACACUAACAAUUGAUCCCCCCCCCCCCCCCCCCCAAACAACCAAAAAAAGGAAAAAGAAACAAUACAGAAAAGAUUGAAACAGAUAAGGCUACACUGAGCACAGGAUGCCAUGAAACAUAAUCCAGGAACCAAAUUAAUAAAAAAGGAGGCCAAACCAUUAUUUAACAAUCUGUUUUGUAUUUGGGAAAGUCUGAUAAAAUCUACUGAGGGAUAAUUAGAGAACCUCAACUAUUAAUCACACCUCAUAAAUGAACUAACAUUAACCAUCUACCAUCCCCACGUCACACAAACAUUCUCUAUACUUCUGAACCUAAUACUUCCAUCUUCAAUAGGGGGUUUUUUUUCUUUUUUUUGGGGGGGGGGGGAGUUAUCAAUUUUCUAAGCUUGCUUAGCUUCUGUGUAGGACUGAAAUGCUCAUUUCGAAUCACUAACAGUAAAAUUGGAAGCUCAUGAAAAAACAGUUUUAUCCCAAAAUUGCAUCUCGAUAUAAAUUCUCUUUUCAUUUCCUUCAACUUUCUAAUUAAGCUUAAAAAAUGUACCUUCAACCACAAAGGGGUUUAAAAUUUAAAAUAUAAAAAAUAAAUUCAGAUAAAAAUAAUUAAUUUAAUUAAAAAUAUAAAUAGAGUUACAGAGAAAGAGAAAAUAGAGAAAGACCUAAUGUUGAGUCCUUUGGCGCAUGUCUCUUCAUAGGUCCGAACCAUUUCUUCGGGCGUGGGUUACGGCCGAGAUUGGAUAAUGAUGGAGGAGGAGAAGAUUAGCGAUGACGACGCCGAUGAAAUGGAAGGGUUUACCAGAGGAGUGGAUGCGAAGAGUGCAGGGACGGCCGCAGAGAGAGAGCGGCGGAGAGCGGCGACGGACGGAUGGCGGUAUGGGCCAUUGCUUGCGCGUCGGUGAUUGUCUCGAGUGAGAGAGUGAAGGGUUUUGUUUAGGGUUUUGGGAAAUGAAAAAUGCAAAUGUUUGAUUUUGUUGCUAGAAACUUCUUCUGCUGCUGCCUUUUAUUGUCGCUAUAAUAAUAAUAAUUUGUUAAUCAAAUAUUUUCUUAAAAAAGAUAAAUUUCUACAACAAAAUUUAUAUUAAAUCAAAUUGUAAAAAUGUCUAAUAGGGUUAAUUUCUCCUUAAUAUUAUUAUUAGUAGAAGUAGAUUUUCAAAUUAGUCUUGAUAUAUAUCAGAGUUGUAUUAUAAAUGUAUAUGUAUCUGGAUUGCAAUUAUAUUUUAAAAAAAAUAAUUUUUUUAAUUAUUGCACAAUAAAUGUAGAAAGUGUCUAUAAAAUAAUAUUAUUGGAACUAUGAAAAGAUAUUAUUUUAGAGUAGUUAUUUAUUUAUUUUUGAAUAAAUAAUUUAUUAAUUUAUUGAUAAAUUAAAUAAAUAUUAAUUUAAACAGAGAAUUUUUUUUUUGUGGGUUUUUAAGAAGAGUUUUGUUGGUAUAUGUGCAAACUUAUAAAGAAAUACAAAAAAUGCUUCCUCAAGUCAAUAGUAUUUACUUUAAUUCAUAAUAAGAUAGUUUAAUCAAGAAACUUGUAAUUAUACUAUAUCUUUCUUUCUUUGUUCUGUUUGGUGGGAUAUUGUGAUAAAUCAUUGGAUUACAAUGCAUUUCUAAAUGAAAACUUGUUAAAACCUAAUUUAUUUGGGAACCACAUUUUAUUUGUCAGUCUUAUUUCUCAACUUAGCAAAUUAUUUCUAACUUAUCGGUCUCUAUUGGUUCUCUUAAGUACCUGUUUGGUAUAUCUUAUUUAAUGGCAAUAAGUACUUAUUUAAUCUCAUAAUUUUUUUCCCUCUCUGACAAUUGAGGUAGGGGGUCAAACUUGAAAGUAUCUUAAAAUCAGACAACAAUUUAACUAUUUUUUUUUUUUAGAUAACUGCUAAUAUGCUCUAUUAGACAAUGAUAAGUGAUUGCAUUUAUGCAUCCCCACCAAUAUUUAAGCAAUUUAAUUACAGAAACAUUUCUUGAGGAAAGAAACUCAUAUCACCACUAGGCUUUUAAUGAGGCUCAUUUUUAUGAAUCUGGAUAGCAUUAGAUAUCUCUCCGAAUAUUGGUGGGAGUAGAUCGCAGAUCUCUGGGCUAUACUACAAAGUGUAUGUACGUUGACUCUCAAUAAACACAAACGAUUCCCUGAUAUGAUUCAAAACAUCAGUGCAUGCAUCAUUUUAACGAGAGAGAAUAUUCCCAGAAAUGUACACGCAUGAGGAAUUUUUCCUAGAAGAUUGAUAUUUCUUUAACUAGCAAACCAUACAAGUCCGGGGCUUAAAUGGAGUACUUGUAAGCAUAAAACAUUAAUCAAAACACAGUAUAGACACACACACACACACACCCCUACAUACAUACCAGCAAAUUCGAAAUAGAAAAAGAAGUGCAGCUAUUCAAGUUUGUAGACAAUAUUUCAACCAUGGCAUAUUAAAGCAAAUCCUUGAAAUCAGCUAAACAAAACAAUGCCCUGUCUCAUGAAUCGAUGCUCAAUUAAAAUUGAAAUUGAAAGUCCGGCUGGUGUUGUUUCCCUCUCCAGUUUUGCCUACAUAAGUAAAGGGAAAUGAGAAUCAUAAAUGAAAAUCUGCUUUGACAGUUCUUAUUAGAUAGAUAUAAAUGGAUCUUUCUUUGUUUCUCUGCUGUAAUUUGUGGCUACCCCACUCUGUUUUGCCAGUCAAGCUGAGUCUACGUUAAGGCAUAAUUUUGACAUCAGAAGCAACCUCAAUUAGUUUGGCAUUUUCAUGACCUCCUUGAAGGUUUUACGAUAAACAUAAAUCCACUGAGAAAGUGGGAAAAAAAGAAAAUUCAUAUAAAAGUAUGAGUUAUCAGAUAAGAUUAAAACUCACCCAAUUCAAUCCAUCAGAUUCCGUAAGGAUAUAACUGGAUGUCAUACCGCCACUCCAUAUUCUUGAAAGUCCGUAGUGUUUGUCUCAACUCUGUCUGGGGCCAAUGUAAGUCCAAUUUGCGCAAGCUCUUUAUGCACCACAGCUCUUCUGGAAGCUUUCUCAAGUAAGCACAUGGGUUGACAAUUAAGCUUUCAAGUUUCGGCAUUGCUCCAGCCCCCAUCGUCCACUCAUCUAGCCAAUACAUUGAUUUCAGGUGCAAAACCUUAAGUUCGGGAAAGCUACUCAAGCCAACACAAGCAAGCUUUCUUCCUAAAUACGAGUUCUGCUUCAGUUUCAGCACUCGAAGGCGUGGAAGAUUUUCCAGAAUUGGCAUGGGAUCCUCCAUUAGCUCAGUAUUUGAUAAGCUCAGUUGGAUCAGACUUGGGGGAAAUUGGUAUUCAGACUGGACCAUCCGUGAGGGCUUGCUCUCAUUCACCAGCUUCAAGCAUUCAAGUUUGUGGAGUUCGCAAAGGCUUUUGGAAACCCCAGAUUGAUAGUAACUCAAAUCUCCAGAUAUCCGAAGAGUCUGAACACUUGGUAGUCUGCCCAAUAUAUCAGGAGUACAACUACUAGGGUUUAAAGCUGAUAUGAAAAUGAGUUUUUUCAGAGAGCUAGAAUAAUUUUUUGGAGGUGCGGGCAGAGUGAUAGAACCAAAGUUUAGAUGCAUGAGUUUUUGCAUCAUCCAAAUAUCCUCUGGUGACUGAUCUAUGUAGCUAGAUGGCAUUUCUAGUGUUUCAAGGUUUAAAAGGGUGCAUAGCAGUGAAGGAAGGCAUUUGAGCGAAGGGAUAUUCAAUUUCAAAUACUUCAAAAGAUAUAAAUUUUCUAAUGCGGGUGGAUAUUGGUCCAGGACUGCAGAACCCAUGUUCAAUACCCGAAGGUAUUUGAACCUUUUAAAAAAAUUCUCGCAAUCUUUCGGAUUAAGAUGAUUGCUUUCUGAACUGUGAUUCAGAAAUGAUUGGAGAUACAUGUCAGACUGUUGUAAAAAAAAGAACUCAAGCAGAUCUUCCAAAAUGAAGCACCGUUUAGCAUUUUCAAUUGAUUCCCCUAUCCAUGCAGGCAUUCGGACAAAUCUCGUCUUCUCUGCCACCAAACCCAAUGAAGUAAAUACAAAACUUGGAACAUAACACGCUUUAAUUGUGCCUCCGGCUCUUCUCGUACUCACUUUAAUGAAGCCGCGAUGGAUUAGUUCUUUCAAGUAAUGUUCGGCAGUUUCUUCACCGUUGUAUGGUAUGAAACCUUCAGCUACCCACAACUGAUAUAAUUGCCUCGUGGAUAUCUCGAUGCCUGGAGGGAAGACACACAAAUAGAUGCAGCAGACUUUCAAGUGAAAAGGUAACUCCAUCACAGAGAAAAUUUGUCUCCAUACUGUCGGAAUCGCUUCGCUUUGAAGAUAAUUUUCUAAUGGCAUACUUCCAUAGUGUAGGAUGAAAAAUUGCCAGGCCUCAUGCUUUAGUCUGAUCAAUGGUCCUCCAACGAGCACUGAACCAUGCCGAAUCUUCUCUCCAUUUUCCAUUUCCAACGACUCAAGGAGGUCUGGAUCAGCGGCCAAUAUUAAUACUCUGCUUCCAUUCUCAUUAUCAGGGAGAACUUCUUCGAGAUCAUCCCAUAUCUCACGGUCAUUGAAGACGUCAUCAAGCACAAUAAAGUACUUCUUGUUUGUUAGGUAAUCUCGAAGAAUAGAUUUCUUCAAUUGAUAAUCUUCACCGAUAAUUACACUAACCCGAGCUGGAGGCAUCACAGACUUGAUUAUGCCAUCCAAUAUCUUGCCAAAAUCAUAACGUAGAGAAACCCUGACCCAAGCAUGACAGUCAAAAUAGAACUUGACAUGAUUACUGUUAUAAGUAUGUGCAGCAAAAGCAGUCUUAUCGAAGCCACUGCUGUCGAGAAUUGCAACCACUGAAAGCCCAGAUGGUCCCUCAAUCAAUAGAUCAAAAAACUUCUCUCUGCCCCUUUCAAAUUCACUGAUAUCGAGCCGAGGUUGUCCCUCACUCAAUAGGCGAAUGAUUUCGUUACGUUUUUCACUGAUAUCAAAACCAUUGUCGCCGGGUGGAAGUUGUUGCGUCCGAUUUCUAAUAUCAAUGAUUUCACUGAUAUCAAAACCAUUAGUGCUGCUUUCACUUUCGUUUUCACUGUUUUGCUGCUGCAUAAUGUUGAUGAAGAAUGUGUCAAUGGCUUCCUCAGAUUCAUGGACAAAGUGAUUGAUGUCCUUAAGAAUUUCCAGAAUGUCUGAUCUUUUAACGUCUUCUUCAUCACUUUCUUCUAAGUCCAACAGUUGCAAUAAAGGCAAAGACAUAUUGGAUUCAGCGAAUUCUUGUCUGAAUAGUUGAGACAAAAUCCGAGCCAUGUCAGCUUCAUAGUUUCCCGACAGAGUAGUAGUAAUAAUUUCAGACUCCGUAAGAAGGUUUUGAAAAAGCGGGGCUAAAUUUGUUGAAUCAGUCAACGUUAACGUGCCUUCUUCACCUGCUAACACCCUUUUCAACCUCUCACAAAAUAGUCGGAGGUGGACGUCCAGCAUAUCUCCUUCUCUCUGUAGCACCCAGAGGUAUUGUUUUUUGCUCCAAGAAAUAUUAAAAGGAUUGGUUCUAUCUCAAAGUGGUUACUGGUGUAAAAUUAAACGCCAUGGGAGAAUUUGAAGGGAAGAUGCCAAGGAACUGGCGAUGUGGCUAAAUUACACAAAUACGGCAUUAUUGCUCAUUUUUAACUCAAAAAAUUGAUACCAAGACGCUUGCCUUUUGAAAAGAAGAGGUAUCCAACCUUUAUCUUAUUUAAUUACUACCAUGACAUGAUUGAUGGUGCUUAAAUCAAUUGUUUCUUUAUUAAUUUAAAGAAUUUUUCAUUAAAAAAAUUAUUUUAAUAUCAAAUACCCUUCAAUGGCAUAACUGCCGCAGGCCCAGAAACAGGAUUAAUUAAAAUUUUUUGAAUUUUUGGGCAAGGAAAGAUUUGAAAUUCUAGUUAUGCAACCCAAGAGGGAGUGAAUUAGAAUUCUAUAAAUUAUUUAAUUUAUAAAGAAAACCUUAAUGCAAAUAUAAACCAAAUUCAAAGCAAUAACAAAUAAGGUGAUCACAAUAUAAAAAGAUAAGGGAAGAGAGAUUCAAACACAUAGAUUUUUACUUGGUUCGGCCAACCUCGCCUACGUCCGCGCCUCCAAGCUUUCCGAGCUUAAAGAUUCCACUAAGCAAGCCUCCAAGGCUUCAAAUGCUUACACUUGACUUCCAAGGUGUCAAUAACCUUUACAACAAGAGAUUAUCCCAAUCUCUUUAACCCAAGUGUAUCCCAACACUUACAAUCACUCAAAACAAAAGAUUACAAAUUUGUUUUGACUCUCACAAUAUUUAAGAUUACACAAUGAUGCCCAAUAUGUCAAUAGAUGAAGCAAGAAUGUGUUCAAAGCUCUAUGAAGAUUGUAUUCUCGAGUAUAAGCUCAAUAGUCGUGUUGUGAUCAAUCUUGUUUGAAUUUGAAUGAGCUUAUUUAUAUUUGGAGCUGAAAAACUAGCCAUUACAAACUGUCGGCCCGAAAACGGUUCGCUGUUAACCAUUAACGGUUAACCGUUUAGGCUGGUCAAAAGUUACCGUUGGGCCAAAUUUCAAAUAAACGGUUUGCCGUUUAGGAUUACCCCUUCGCCGUUAAAUUCUAGAGACCUGCAAGAUGAAUAUCAGUUAUCCGUUUACAUUAAACGGUUAAAGAUUUGCAUGAAGUGACUUCUCUGGAUAUUAUCGGUUAACCGUUUGUAAUAAAUGGUUCGCCGUAUGUUUCCAGUAACCUGCAAAACAAUUUAGCCUUAUCCGAUUUUGUUAAACGGUGCCAGAAGAGUACAACCUUCAAUUCUGGAUUUUAUCGGUUAACCGUUUAAAUAAACGGUUCACCGUUAAAUUCCAGUAGCCUUCCCAGCUUUUUGUGUUUUCCAUUUUUCUUAAUCGGUUAGAGCUUAGGCAAUAUGUUGCUCUCUGGUUUUAAUCGGUUAACCGUUUGAAAGAAAACGAUUCACCGUUUAUUUCCAGAAUCACAUUUUAAACCAGAUUUUGCAGAAAGUCAUUUUCUAAUUUGAAAGUCCAUCUUUUAUGAAUAUGAUUGGAAUGAUUAUAAGGCUUUCAUUUAUUAAGGAAUAGCUCCAACAUUUUAAUCAAAAACCAUUUAAAGUUUGUUAUCAUCAAAAUCAAUAUUAUUAACAUAUUCAUGUUAACAAUAGUAGUAUUAAACAUCAGAAAGCUAAGGUUGUUCUGUUAAUGAAUUGAUAUUGACAUAAUUUUAUUUUGGUUUCCGGGGAAAAAAAAACAUUUGUUGACAAGCAAGAAAAUAUUUUUAAAUUUUACAAUUUAUUAUACAUAUUUUAUCAUAUUACAAUAAUUUUAAUAAUAAAUAGAAACAUAAUAUUACAAUAAAUAAGUUAAAGUUUAAAUUAUUUUAAAUAUUAUAAAAAAUAAUUUUAAUAUUAUUAAUAGGAAGACAUUUUGUUAAUUUUAAAACCUUUUUAACCCAAAGGUUUAUUUAAAAGCUUUAUAAUAAACAUAAAUAUAAGAUUAAAAUAAAUAUCAUAAUUUGAAAUUUUUAGUAUUAUUUUAAAUAUUAAAAAUACUUUAAUAUUAUUAGCCUACUACAUUGAUUUUAUUAUUUAUAUUAUAUUCAUAUUGAUUAAAACUUUUUAAAGUCAAUUUUUUAGUCAGUAUAUUCAAGAGGUAUCAUAGUUAAAGAAAAGAUUUUGGUGUUAUUUUUUGAAAAUUUUAAGGUUUAAAUGAUAAUUUUUUAAAAUUUUAAGGAUGUAGGUAUUAUUUUUCCGACAAUUUAUUUUAUUUUUGAGGAAUUCGAUGAGAAAUAUCAUGAGAGAAGGUUAAUUUUACAUUCUUUACCUUUAUGAAAAAAGUGGAAACCAAGAAGUAUUCAAUUUUGUAUUUUUUGUUUGUAAUUCAAAAAAUGCAUCCACCAAACAAUCUUAUCUUGAUUUUUUCACUUUAUUCAUUUUCGAUCCUUUAAUCCAUCUAGUAUCUGCAGCCCCCGCCAUUUUUACAAAUCUCCAUCCGACAUCUACCCUAUCAAACAAAGUUGAUGGAAAUUGAACAAUUGCUUUUUGAAGUGGACCCAAUAAGUGGACAUUUUAUUAAUAUUAAACAAAGUUGACGGAAAUUGAACAAUUGCUUUCUAUGAGCCACUUAUUUUUAACAUUAGCGAUCUUAUCUGGACUACUCCAAUUAUUGAUGUAACUCCAAUGGUUGCAUCAACAGUUGAAUGUAAGAUAGUGUUAGCUCUUCUUUGAGAAUAUAGAGUGAUCUUUCUUUGUUUCUCUGUUGCGACGUGCUACUAUAAAUUUCUUUACCUUGCAGUUUAUAUAGUCUUGCUGUUAAUGAAUUCGCGGAGGCAUUAUUGAUCCAAUCUCAGUGAAGUAAUUGUGGGUGGAAAAUGAAUAAAGGGUAAGAGAACGUAGCUCAAGUGCUGAAUUGGCUAUUAAAGAAGAGUGUCACUUGAUCACAAUCACAUUGAUGCACAACUCACUCGAGGCAAAUUUCAUCUAUAUAUGUACUGCAAAUUCAGCCAAACCAUACAUGCAGGAACAAAACUAAAAUGUAGUUCUAAUCAAAACUGUAAUUAAAGCUACAAAAGGCUUGCUCAAUCCAAAAACUUAAAAGGAAGAUUUUACUCAAGUUUGUCCCCAAAAGACAGCUGAAUUGAAAAAUAUUGACUAUUGAAUCAAUGCUCAAUUACAUUUGAAAUGGAAAGCUUGGCUGCAGUUACGAUGUUUUUCCCUCUGAUUUUCUUCCAAAACAAAUUCAUUUGUAAACAAUAACGGAAGUAGCAAUAAUUUAUUCAUCAAAGAAAAUAUCCAAGUUUUCAACUAACAAAUCCUUUUGUCUAAACUAAAAAAACUUAUAUUUUUAAAAUCUAUCUACAAAAUGUUGGAAAUAAAGAGUGAUCUAUCAACUCGGUAAAUAAACUCAUACAUAAUGUUUACAAUAAUGAUAAAUUACAUAAUAAUUAUUAUAAAGAAUCAUAAAUUAGAAAAAUAUUUUAAGAUCAAAUUGCCUUCAAUGCUGAAUUACAUUUGAAAUGGAAAGCAUGGCUGCAGUUACGAUGUUUCCCCCUCUGAUUUCCUCCAAAACAAAUUCAGUUGUAAACAAUAACGGAAAUAACAAUAAUUUAUUCAUUACUCAAAUUUUUUCAACUAACAAAUCCUCUUGUCUAAACUAAAAAAACUCAUAUCUCUAAAAUCUAUCUGCAAAAUGUUGGAAAUGAGGGGUGAUCUGUCAAUUCGGUAAAUAAACUCGUGCAUAAUGUUAACAAUAAUGAUAAAUUACAUAAUAAUUAUUAUAUAGAAUCAUAAAUAAGAAAUAUUAAUCAUUUCACAAUCUAUUACGUAAGUAAGAUAAAUUUCAUAAUAAGUUAAGUUAUAAUGUAAUAAAUAUUUUCAAUAUGCUAAGAUAGGAUUGGUCCUAUCUCAAAGUAGUUAGUGGUGUAAAACUGAUGGUUGUCGAAGCCAGCAAAAAUAAAUACCUACUCUAAAUAAAUUGUGUAUAGUGAUUGAGCAGGGUCGUGUCCACAGAGAUCGGUAAUUAUUUAAAUCAUUUUAAAAUGUAAAAUGCAAAAUGGGGGAAUUGUUGACAAUAAUAAAAAUCAAAUUAAAAUAACAAGAAUGUAAAUUAAAAUUGUAAUUCAAAUUGGGGAAAAAGUAGUAUUAGACUUCAGAAAGCUAAGGUUGUUAUGUUAAAGAAUUCAUAUUGACAUAAUUUUAUUUUGGCUUUCGGGGAAAAAAAUAUUUGUUGACAAGCAAGAAAAUAUUUUUGUAUUUUACAAUUUAUUAUACAUAUUUGAUCAUAUUAAAGUAAUUUUAAUAAUAAAUAGACACAUAAUAUUACAAUAAAUAAAGUAAAGUUUAAAUUAUUUUGAAUAUUAUAAAAAAUAAUUUUACAUUUGAAAUGGAAAGAGUGGUUUUAAACACCAGAAAGCAAAGAUUAUUCUGUUAGACAAUUGUUAUUGACAUAAAAAAUAAUUUGGUUUUCAAGGAAAAAAAACAUAUUUGUUGACAAGCAUGAAAUUUUUUUUUUGUAUUUUACAAUCUGUUAUUACAUAUUUUAUCAUAUUAAAGUAAUUUUAAUAAUAAAUGUAUAUGUAUCUAGAUUGUAACUAUAUUUUAAAAAAUAUAAUUUUUUUAAUUAUUGCACAGAAAAUGUAGAAAAAUGUCUAUGAAAUAAUAUUAUUAGGACUAAGAAAAAAUAUUAUUUUAGAUAAGUUAUAUAUUUAUUAUUGAAUGAAUAAUUUAUUAAUUUAUUGAUAAAUAAAUAUUUAUUAAUUUAAAGAGAGAUUUUUUUUGGUUUUAGUAAUAGUUUGUUUGUUACAUGUACACACUUAUAAAGAAACACAAAAAGUGCUUGCUCAAGUCAAUAGUAUUUGCUUUAAUCGCUACUGUUCAUAAUAAUGUAGCUAAGUUAGGAAAUUUGUAAUUAUACUAUGGUUCUGUUUUGUAACGCCCAAAUUUCUAUUAUUUUAUUUUAUUUUUAAUGGAAUUUAUAAAUGGCGUUACUGCCCUUAUAAAAAGGGUUAUUCAUGGGAUAAUUUUUAGGAAAUGGUUAUUUUUCCAAAUUCAAUAGGGUUUCUUAAGACUCCCUAUAAAUUAAUAUUUUUUUUCCCUUCGAUACUCGAAGUCCACGACGAUUCUUCUUCUUCUCUGCUGCUCAUUAUGCUCCUACCCAAACCCUAGGAUUCAAACUUUUGCUUAGGAGAGAAUCAAAGCGAUUGGUGUUGGAGGUGAUUGAGGCUCUUAGAGGCUUAGAGGUCUGUUAAUUCAAAUUCUUUUGUCGAGAUAAGUAAUUUCAUUCCUAAUAUACUGGAUAUGUAUAAGUAUUUUGAUGUUAUUAUAAGAGUUUUUAUACUUCUUAGAAGAUUAAUAGAUUUUCAUACCAAAAUCAGUUUAUGAAAAUGUUUUCAAAUCUGAAUUCUUUUGAUAAAAUAUUUUAUAAAUGCGUUUUAAUAUGUAAAUUAUUUUAUGACAUGACUGCCUUUUAUAAUUUUGUCUAUGAAAUAUUUUUGCAAGCCUAAAUUGUUGCUAUAGACUUUCAUGAAUCUAAUACGAAUGUUUUGUGCCUAUGUAUGAUUUUAAUUAUUUAUGACUGUACGGGGGCCACCUCUUGAGACUAUAUGGGGGCCACCUCUUGAGGGCCAAAGCGCCGCAAAGUGCCACAUAUAGUGCAAAGUGCCACGUAUAAGUCAUUAUGUUUUGGCUCAUUGUCCGUAGUUAUUCUGAUUCUAAUUCUGAUUGUAUUAUACGAUAUAUUUGUUCUGGACUAGUACUAGGUUUAUGUUCUAAGUGUGCACACGAUAUUCUGAUUCUGUUUCUGGUCAGGUCACCGAGACUAUAGGUGAUACUAUGUGACAUGAGCUAACUAUCUGCUUUCUGUAUACACUUUAUACGAUUUGCUUUCAUAAUUGAUUAUUCUUUUGAUACUCUGAAUUACCAUGAAUUUAUGUUAUAUAAUUGAAAUAUGUUGUUUUAUGAAGUUUAUGAGUUAUAAUAUAUGUUUUUGAAUAAAAGAAGGCUUGCAAUAUUUUUGAUAUCGAUAGGCCUAGUGUAUUAGGAAUGAUUUUACCUACCGAGUUGACAGCCCACCCCUCGUUAUUACUUUUUGCAGAUUAAGUUCCUUUUAAGAGGUAUGCGUAGCUUUGGAGUUAGAGAUUUCGUUUCCGUUUGCUAUUUGAAUAAGAAGAGGAAUAGACUCAUGUUUCUUUUUAGUUUAUUUCUGUUAUGAACUUGUAAUUUGGAGUUUGAGACUUUUGUUAUUGUUAUGUUUUGGAAGAGAUUAUUUAGUGUUAGACGUAUUAAUUUGUGGAUUUAUUUGAAUAAGAAUUUGAGGUAUUUGAGUUUGGAAUUUAUAAGUAAGGAUUACGAUUUGUAAGUAACCUCCUUCUUCAUGUGCUCCGCACGUGUUAGAUUUGGGGUGUCAUAUGUUUCGUAUAACUUUUGAAGUAGAGCUUAUUUAAAUAGAGUAUUCGUCAAUAAAGCUUCUAUAAAUAAAGAUUUUACUAAAAAAAAUUUAGUUGUUUGGUUGUCAAUGUCCAAAUUGACGAACUUUUGUUCCUUUGCUAACAUGUAUUUGUUUUAUUUAAUAAUAGAAGUUUGGUUUACAAUUACACCACCUUCAAAUCAGCUGAGCAUUUUUGCAACCGGUCACAUUAUACAUUAUACUAAUAGCAUCGGCAAGAGUUUUCGAUUGUUGCAACUUGCAAUGGACGCGAUGGGAGAAAAUGAGAAUCUUGUUUAAUUGCAAUAUUGACAAACCUAAUCCUUUCGUAGGGAGUAAUUUAAUAAUCGCUUGUUAUAAUUGAAUAUGUAUAAAGAAAGGAAAAUUCUAUUCAUAGAUUUCGACUUAUUUUUUGUUUAAAGUAAUUAAUCAUUCAACCAUCUUCAUUUGCCUCUGGCCAAUGCCCUUGUAGAUUAGUUGAACCGUUAAUUACUUAAUUCAGAUAAUUACAGUGUCCUUUUCGCUAAUUAAUUAUGAUUAUAUACGCUUUCAUAUAGCAAGUGGCUUUGUAGAUCUAAACCAAGUUGCUAUUUCAAAACGUUAAUUAAGUGAUUCUCCUCAUUGUCAUCAGCGUUAUACGCUCUAGGAAAAUAGCUCAAUUGUUUCCCUGCAUUGAUUUUCAUUGGUACGUGAUUUCUUAUGAAAUUCUUUUGAGCUUUCCUUAUUAAAAAUGCUUGAGCUUUUAUCACCCAAUACGGAUAUCAAUUAACUUGUGAACGAUUUUGUAAUGAAACUAGGAGUUAAAUAAGAUUUUUACAUGAUGAAUUUUUAUUUUUUUAAUUUUUUGAUGUAGUCAAUUUGCUAAUUUUAUGUAUUUCAUAUUCAACGGAAUUUGGGCACGGAAAGUUUGGAUUCUAAUAUUUAUAUGUUUAGCUUUAAUCAGUUUGACUUUCGUAAUCUUUUUCCCCUCAUCAUUAAGGGAUUCAGAAUUAGAGAAACGUUAGGAAGAGGAAGAAAAUAAUUUCGGAAAUAAGUAAGAGGGAAAAAAUUAUCAAAUUAGGAAUGAUUUUUUGUAGAGUAUGUUGCGUUUACUAAAAUGAAAUCGAAAUGAGCUGGAAUCAGAAUGGAUAAAAAUGCGAAUGUGCUGGAAUAAGAAUAAGUAAUGAGAAUCAGAAUAAGUUGUUUACUUGAACUGUAAGAAUCGAAAUCGAAAUGAGCUGGAUUGCAAUUACUUUGUCCUACAAUUAGAAUCAAAAUGAGUUAGAUUGUAACAAAUUACUAAAAGGUACUUAAUGAAUUAUUGUCAUAAUUAUUAUUUUAUAUUUUAAUUAUAGUGAUUAUUUAUUCUAAAUUAUUAUUAUUAAUUAUUUUCAAUAAUAUAUUAAUAUGUUAAUUAAUUUUAAAAAUUAUUAAUUAAUUUAUUAUAAUAAUAUACUAAUUAAUUAUAAUAAUUAUAUUAAUAAUUAUUAUAAAAAUAUAUUAAUUAUUAAUAAUGAAAUUACUUAUUUAAUUAUAAUAAUAUAUUAAUUAUUGUGAUUAUUUAUUCAAAAAUUAUAAUUAUUAAUAAUUAUUGUUAAUAAUGUAUCAAUAUAUUUUAUAUUAUGAAAUUGUGAUGUAUUGUAGACAAAUAAGGGAAUUUGGUACAAUAAAUUCUUAAUAUCUUAGUACAAAGUAUGGUACAAUGAUAUUUUAACUUAUUGUAGACAGAUUAAAUUUCGACACACUUAAUCCAUAAUAAAAUUAGUGGAAAAUAAUGAUAAUUUAUACAAUUAAUCUUUUGAGCAAUAAAAAAAUAAAAGAAAAAGAAGUUACUAAAUUAUGUUUACUGUUAAGAGUGAAUCCACAAUCCUAAAUAAUUUAUUUCCAUCGUUUCACUUAAAUUAAAUAGUGUGAAUUUAAAUUCUAAUUUUUUGAUAAAUUAAAAAGAAAUAAAAAAUUAAAAUUUUUCUCUAUGGAUCGACCUCGGAUUGAUCAAUUUAUUUCAUAACAACACACUUUUAUACUUGAGAGUUAUAAAUAACUUUGAAGUUGUGUUAAGUUUUUGACGCUCUUACGGGGGAAAAAUAUUUAUUUUAUUUUAUGUAUGGGUCAAACUUGAAAGUAUAUUUUAAGAUAGCUGCUAAUAUGCUCUAUUAGACAAUGAUAACGUAGUUGUUUGUGGUGUUCAUAAUGAGUUUAAUUAUGAUUCAACAAUUUAAAAUAUGAAAACAUAUGGAAGAUGGCCGUAAUUAAAUUGAUUGCAUGAAAAUAUUUCAAUGAAAUUUUAAAAAUUUGGUACUUAUUAUCUUAUCAAAAGUUUUUUAAAUUAUAUUACUACUUCAACUUAACUCCUCCUGGAUUGAUUGUAUUGAAUUUCCAGCACCGCCAUUGCUUCUACUUGAAAGCCAUUUAAGUUUGUGUAAGCUACCUAUAGUUUGAAUAACAAUUUACUCAUGAAUUGCUGUUCAUGAUAACAAUUUGAUUGAAAGUGCGGCUGCACUAAUUGUUCUCGUACGACCCCAGAAUGCUGUUAAAUCAGUUGUAUUGGAAAUUAAUCAACUGGUUACAACUCUACACCCCAUCAAUAUUUAAGCAGUCCACAGAACAUUAAUUGUGUUUUGAAAUUUUAAUGAGUCUCACGUGUUUUUCACGUGAUAUGCAGUAAAAACAAAAUUAAAAAAAUGAAAACAUUCAGCCCCAAAGCCAAAAUCCCCAACUCCUUCCAAAUUGGUUCCGCAGCCCCCAAAUCCCUUAAACCCAAAGCACUCUAAAACGACUCUCCUCAGCCAAAAAGAAAAAGGUCACCUCACCUCUCCUCUUCUUCUUCCAUGGCGAUCAACGGCGGCACAAGCACGGGCUGAUCUCCUUCGUCAGUAACGAUCAACGGCGGUACAAGCAUGGACAGAUCUUUUUUUUGGCAAUGAUGAACAGCGGCACAAGCAGAGUCGUCCUCAGGUACGGAUUUGAUGUUGGUUGUGUUGUCAAGUAGCGAUUCAUGUUUGGAAGAGAAUCCGCUCACAAGGACCUGGAGCACUUAAUCGAAGAUCUUAAGCGAGGAAUUCGCUUCCUCCUCAUUCCUAAUCGGUGCCUGAUUCAUCAGUAUGAUUAAGGAUGAAAAUUGAGAAAGAAGGACGCAUUAGGUUUGAGACAUUGGUUGAAAAACGCUACCCCGGUGGCCACGCUGGAAACAUAUGUUCCGUGGCUUCUUGCGUUGUCUGUGAGGAAUAUGUACUGCUGUAGAAGAUAAUUAUGAAUCAAUGGUAAUUGGCGUGUUGGUUUUGGUGCCGAUUUCCUCUUAUUUUCCAGAAAAGGCUUGUAAUUUGUUCACCUCAAGAUUCAAUUUUGUUAUUGAAAAUGGAUGGCUGUAAAGACCUAUUGGCCUUUCAUUAUAUUAAUGUUUUUGACAGUAAGUUUGUAAUAGUUAGUGCAGGGAACUUAUUGAUUCUUGAUUAUAUAUAACGGUGGCCCUUAUUACUUUAAAAAAAAAAAAAAAAUUGAUGAUGGGUUUCGUUUUGUAUAAGUGUUUGGAGUGUUGGAAAAUUAACAUUGUAUAUUUUAGAUAGUUGAGUUCCAUAGUAAUAAAAAGCUACGGAUUUGUUUUCUUUUUAUUGAAAUGAAAACAUUUUUCACUUGUAUAAUAGAAAAUAUACUAUAUCUUUAAUACUUUUGUCAAAUUUAUUAUUUAAAAUUUAUAUUUACUACAUAUUAUUAAUUUUUGUUUCAUAGUCAUAGCUUUUUUUCCACAGUAGCUGUAGCUUAAAAGAUACAGCACCUCAAUUCCAAACGCACUCUAAUUAAAAAUUUUAGAAUUUUUGGGCAUGGAAUUGAAAAGAGUAGUAUUAAACAUCAGAAAGCUAAGGUUGUUCUGUUAAAGAAUUGAUAUUCACAUGAUUUUAUUUUGGUUUUUGGGGAAAAAAAAAAUUGUUGACAAGCAAGAAAUUAUUUUUAUAUUUUACAAUUUAUUAUACAUAUUUUAUCGUAUUAAAGUAAUUUUAAUAAUAAAUAGAAGCAUAAUAUUAAAUAAAGUUUAAAUUAUUUUGAAUAUUAUAAAAAAUAAUUUUAAUAUUAUUAAUAGGAAGACAUUUUGUUAAUUUUAAAAUCUUUUUAACCCAAAGGUUUAUUUAAAAUGUUUAUUAUAAAUAAAGAUAUAAAAUUAAAUAUCAUAGUGUAAAAUUUUUAAUAUUAUUUUAAGUAUUAAAAAUAUUUUAAUGUUAUUAGUCUACUACAUAGAUCAUAUUACUUAUAUUAUAUUUGCAAUGAUUAAAAAAUUUUAAAAUCAAUUUUCUAGUUACUAUAUUCGCGAAAUAUUAUGGUUAAAGAAAAGACCUUGGUGUUACUUUUUACAAAUUUGAGUGCCUGCAUGAUAAUUUUUUCAAAAUUUAAGAAUGUAUGUGUCCUUUUCUCCAAUAAUUUAUUUCACUUUUGAGGGGAAUCCAAUGAGAAAUAUGAUAAGAGAAUGUCAAUUACUUGUCAUUUUCUAUUUUUUCUGUAAGCUAUUUAUUUUGAGCACUGGUGAUCUUGUCUUGACUACUCCAAUUAUUGAUGGAACUCCAAUGGCUGCAUCCACAGUUGAAUAUAUGAUAGUGUUAGCUCUUAUUUGAGAAUUCAGAGGGAUCUUUCUAUGUUUAUCAAUUGCAAUGUGCUAGUAUAAAUUUCUUUACCUUACAGUUUAUAUAGUCUUGCUGUUAAAGAACUCACUGAGGCAUUAUUGAUUCAAUUUCAGUGGAGCAAUCGCGCGUAGAGGAUAAAUAAAGGAUAACAGAACAGAGCUGAAGUGCUAAAUUGGCUAUUAAAGAAGGGUGUCACAUGAUCACAAUCACAUUGAUGCACAACUCUCUGGAGGCAAAUUUUGUCUGUAUGUUCUCUAAAUUCAGCCAAACCAUACAUGCAUGAACAAAAAUUAAACCGUAGUUCUCACCACAACAGUAAUUGAAGCUACAAAAGCCAGCAAAUCUGAACAAAAACUUAAAAGAAAGAUCUUAUUCAAAUUUGUCCCCAAAAGAGUGCUGAGAUGGAAAAUAUUGACUAAUGAAUGGGUCAAUGCUGGAUUACAUUUCAAAUGGAAAGCUUGGCAGCAGUUACAAUGUUUCUCCCUCAGCUUUUCCUCCAAAACAAAUUCAGUUGUAAACAAUAACCGAAGUAGAGAUAAUUCAUUCAUCAAAGAAAAUACCCAAGUUUUCAACUAACAAAUCCUUUUGUCUAAACUAAAAAACUCAUAUCUCUAAAAUUUAUUUGCAAAAUGUUGGAAAUGAGGAGUGAUCCGUUAUCUCCGUAAAUAAACUCAUGCAUAAUGUUAACAAUAAUGAUACAUUACAUAAUAAUUAUUAUAAAGAAAUAUAAAUUGGAAACGCUAAUCAUUCUACAAUCUAAUAAAUAAGUAAGAUAAAUCUCGUAAUAAGUUAAGUUAUAAUGUAUAAAUGUUUUUAAUAUAUAAUUAUUUAAGAAGUCAUUUAAUAAUAAAAUAUUUAUUCUAUUCAGUUGAUCAUAUAGCGUUAUCGAAACUCUUGACGAUAUUAUUAUUACACUUUUCUCAAAAAAACAUGAUUAACAUUUAGAGAAAAGUCAUGCCUUUUAGAUAGAAUAUGUACAUAAGCUAUCCAUAUUUUAUCUUACCAUGAAAAAAUUGAUGGUGAUUAAAUCUACUUUUAAAAUAGAUUUAAUGCACAAAUAUGAUGAUUUUUGGCAAAAAUUAGUUUCGGAAGAUACAAUGGUAGAAAAUAGUGAUGAUUAUUGUUUAAAUGUGUAAAUAGCCUAGGCAUAGCCCGUAAUACCAAUAUCCAUUUACCUUCAUUUAGAUUAUCACAUCUCAUGAUAUUUUUUCAUUCACGACCAUUGUUCGAGAUUUGAACUUGAUCAUAAAUUAAGCUGCAACGGAGUUACUUAUGUUUCUAAGCUUUUCAAUCGCGAUUCCUCCAUGCCUUUCUUGGAUACCAUUUUACUGACCUUGUAAUUGGUGUGUAUAAGGAGUCAUGCCCUUUCAGGAUCGUUUUCUUUUUUUUUUUUCCUGAUUGUAGUGUCAAAUAAAUAAAGAACGAACAAUUGAACUUAGUCUAUUUCGAGGAAAACCAAGGCCUGCAAUAUUAGAUGAACUUUGAACAAAAUUAAUCUACUAUUCUACAUCCCCACCAAAAUUUAAACAGUCGACAUUGUGGAAAGAAACACAUUUCGCCACUAGGCUUUUAGUGAGGCUAAUUUCUCUGAAUUUGGACAGAGUAGGUCCUCCAACGAGAACUGAAUCAGGACGAAUCGGCUCUCCAUUUUCUAAUUCGAACGAGCAAAGGAAGCCUGAAUCUGUGACCGUUAUCAAUACUCUGCUUCUAUUCUGAUUCUCAGGAAGUACUUCUUCAAGAUCAUCCAAUACAUCGUCACCCUCUUUGUACUAAUCAUCAAGCACAAUAAAGUACUUCUUGUUUGUUAGGUAAUCUCGAAGAAUAGAUUUCUUCAAUUGAUAAUCUUCACCGAUAAUUACACUAACCCGAGAUGGAGGCAUCACAGACUUGAUUAUGUCAUCCAAUACCAUGCGAAAAUCGUAGGAUAUAGAAACCCUGACCCAAGCAUGACAGUCAAAAUAGAACUUGACGUGAUUAUUGUUGUAAGUAUCAGCAGUAAAAGCAGUCUUAUCGAAGCUAUUGAUGUCUUUCAGAAGCUCCCAAAUGUCUGUUCUUUUAACAUUUUCUAAGUGCAAGAGCUGCCGAUAACGCGAAGGUAUUUCAUCUUCAUCGAAUUGUUCUCUAAUGAGUUGAAUUAAAACUCGAGCCAUGUCAGCUUCAUAGUUUCCCAGCAGAGUAGUGGCUAUAAUUUCGGACUCCGUAAGAAGGUUUUGAAAAAGUGGAGUUAAAUUUGUUGAAUCAGGCAAAGUUAACGUGCCUUCUUCACCUGCUAACACCAGUUUCAACCUCUCACAAAAUAGUGUGAGGUUAAUUUCCAUAUCUUUCCCUCUCUCAGUAGUACUCAGAGGUACGUAUUGUUAUUUGUUAGUGUUGAUGACGAAAGCUGAAUAAUCAAAACAACAGUGUACACAAUCAACAGAAGGCGAAGUAUGUUAAGUUGAGAUCAAAGGAUAUAAAUGAAGGAAAAGUUUAAGUACUCCGUUGAAAGCCAAAGUUGCUUUGGCCAAUUAAUUUAUAAGUGAAGGAAAGAAUAAAGUUAGUCCUCGAUGUCUUUUGAAAUUAGAAAUACAUUUUGAAUGCUUUAAUAGAUGCAGAGCAAGCUGGCUCGAUGUCUAACUAUUUUAAGAGCUAAAAUCAUUUAUUAGAAGUUGUGGCAUUGAAAAAAACUGGCUUGAUAUCCAAUUUUGUUAUUUAAUGUCUCACGUGAGAGUAAAUAACUGUUGUGUUACUGGCAGAUGAUUGAGACGGACAAGUUUGGAACAUUGUUCGAGACUGAAACUACACAUCAGUCUUAGAAAAUUGUAAUUUUGUUGAAAAAUUAUAGAUUGAAAAAUUAUUGAGACGGACAAGUUUGGACCAUUGUUCGAGACUGAAACUACACAUCAGUCUUAUAAAAUUGUAAUUUUGUUGACUUAUCAUGAUUUUGAUUGCCUCCCAUUGAUUUUCCUAUGAUGUCUCUGUAGAGUGGCUAUGCUUACAUUUUUAGGUAUUUAAUUCUAAAAAUUAACUUAUUAGAUGGAAGGAUCAAUUCUACCUGUAAAUCUAAGUGGCUUCCCUUUACUAACUCAUAUAAGACACAACAAUAAUUUUCUUCGAAAAAAACCACCAUCGGAGGGCUAUUUUCGUUCAACAUACAUGAGUUGUUCCGCCACCAUAUUUUGAGGGUUUGCUUCUAAUACAACUUGGGGAAGCUAGGGGUAAGAUUUCCAAGUAUCAACAUAAAAACCUUGCCGAUUGGAUAGAAGGACCAAUCUUACUUAUAAGUCUAAAUGACUAAUUUUUGAGGACACAACUCAACAGACCAAUAUAAACUUUUGGCGUCCCAUUUUAUUACUUUUCAGUGCUUUACUUUUGCUGUCUAUAGCCCUACUAUUCUAUUAAGCAGAAAAUAUUAUCUAUUUUCUUUCCAUUUUAUGUAUACCCCGAUCUUUACCUCUGAUUGGUUGUAGAUUCUUCUGUCGCUUUGGGGUUAGGGGAUGGUUUUCAUCAAGAAAUGAUAAAGGAUUGUUAGUUGUGUGACAAACAGCAUUAAUAUGAAGGAUGAUGAUUGUUCUUUUCAAGAGUUUAUAAUGACAUAAUUCUGCUUUGGUCUUUUAAAAAAAAGUAAUUUAGAAAUGAGGAGUAUGUGAGUGAUGAUUUUUACAAAUAAAUUGCAUGCGUAGUGAUGAUUUUGACACAUGAAAAUGUAAAAAGAAAUAUAACUUGUGAAUAAUAAUCGAAGUACCCUGCUAUUGUUAUAUUGAGUAAUCAAGGACUUCGAUAUUCGGACGAUACAAGCAACACAAUCAAAUAUUAGUUGGAAGGCAUAGCAAAAUUAGAAUGUAGAACAAACUGGGUAUUGAUAAAUGGAUGGUUUUGGAAGAAUUGAAAAUGAUGGCAAAAAAAAAACAAAGUUAAGAGAAAAGAGAAAGAGCAUUUGAACUUUACUUGUAAGUAAAGGCAAAUAUCUUGGUUCAAGAAAAGAUAAGAGAUAUCAAACUAGCAAUAGGAAAAAGGAGGAAGGUUAAGACAGCAUCUUAACAAAAGCUAAAGAAAAGAAAAACUUAGUUCAAGCAAAGAACAAUGUGCUAAUGUAGUGUAAUCUUGUUUAAUUUCUUUUUCUUCUCACAUUUUCCAGGGCUUAAAUAAUACAAUGUACAUUUUCAAGCAAAGAACAACAAAUAAAUAAUACAAUAUACAUACCCAGUAAAUUAAAAAAAAUAUAUUAUUCAAGUUUGUGGACAAUACUGUAGCCAUUGCGUCGUCGAAAUCUACUGACAGCUGAAACAAAGAAAGAAUGGAUGAACGCUGGAUCACAGUUGAAAUUGAAGGUCUGGUAGGUGAUGUUUCCCUCUCUGAUUUUACCUAAACAAAUACAAGAAAAUAAGAAUCACGAAUGAAAAUCUGUUAUUACACUGUUCUUACUUAUUAAAAUACAGAGGUUUCUUUGUUUCUCUGCAGCAAUGUCCAUGGCUAUUAGAAACAAGAACAAUUAGACCAGCAUUUGCAAGAAUCUUUUAAGGUAUUACUGCAGAUAUAAAUCGACUGAGGAAAUGGAAAAAUUGAAUACCAAAUUAGGCAAGUUAACUGAAGAUUCAGUUAUCAUAGAAGAAUAAAACUCAUCCAAUUCAAUCCAUCAAAUUUCAUUAAGCAUUUCCAGAACUCUUGAUUUUCUUUCUCAGUAGCCAAACAACUUCAAUCUCAUUUUUUUUUUUCAACAAUGAGUUCUCAAACCACUCUGGUAUCAUUUUAAGACAUUCUCGGCCUUGUACUCACCAUCAAAAUGGAUUGGUUGAGAGAAAACAUAGGCAUAUUGUUGAAUUAGGUUUGACUCUGUUGGCUCAAGCUCAACUUCCUUUUAAAUUCUGGUGGGAUGCAUUCCAUACUGCCCUAUAUCACAUCAAUAGAUUACCAUCUUCUGCUUUCAAACUUUCGACCCCAUGUGAGAAGAUAUCCAAGCACAAACCUGAUUAUGAUUUUCUCAAAUGUUUUGGUUGUAUUUGUUAUCCUUACUUGAGAGACUAUAACAAACAUAAGUUUGCCUAUCAUUCCAGUAAGUGUAUAUUCAUUGGUUAUAGUCCUUCACAAAAGGAUUAUAAAUGCUUACAUUCUUCAGGUCAAGUCUAUGUGGCAUGACAUGGUAUCUUUGAUGAGUCAACCUUUCCUUAUGCUACUGAAUCUGUUUUUCAUAGUCACACAAAUUCUGAUUCUCAUUCUUCAAAUUUAUUUACUCCACAGCAUGUCUAUUAUCUUUCUACUUUACCUGUCAUACCAGUAUUUCUAAAUAACAACACUGAUAAUCUAAACUCUACAAAACUAAAAUGCCAGCUGUUUGGUGUUAGCGAUAAGAAACAACUUACCACAACCAUUAAUUAUCCAUAAUUUCAUUGUUUAUCCUCAGUUUUCUUCAUAAAUGUUACAGCGUUCUUCACAACAAAGUGCAAGGGCAUCUCAAAAGUUCUGAAAUAAUACCUCAAUUCUAUUGCAAAAAUAAAUAAUCUCAAACAAGAACCAAUAAUCAUAUUUCGUUACUGUCAAACACAAUGCAUCUGAGCAAAACAUUGGAAGCCAACACCAGAAUACAUAUGAAUAAACAAUUAAAGAUAGAGAAAAAAGGCUUAAACCUUGGGGGAAAAAAGUGAAAAAACAUGAAAGACAAAUUACACAUGUGCAGUAACCAUCGAACUUAUCAGUGACAGCUGCAUCCAUUACAUUGCUCCAACAACACAAUGGCAAACCACCAGUUUCAAAUUGAGGAUAGCUAUUGAGAAUGAGAAAGUGUCCAAAACGCCAUAAAUAGACAUGUUCCUAUUAUGCAUAAUUUACAUUAUAGGCAAAUAUUCUUAUACCAUCAAAAGCAAAACAUGACACUAUAACAAUUGACUCCCCCCCCCCCCCCCCCCCCCCCGCACACAAAAAAAAAGGAAGAAACAAUACCGAAAAGAUUGAAACAGGUAAGGCUACACUGAGCACAGGAUGCCAUGAAACAUAAUCCAGGAACCAAAUUAAUAAAGAAGGAAGGCAAACCAUUAUUUAACAAUCUGUUUUGUAUUAGGGAAAGUCCGAUAAAAUCUACUUAGGGAUAAUUAGAGAACCUCAACUAUUAAUCACACCUCAUAAAUGAACUAACAUUAACCAUGUACCAUCCCCACAUCAGACAAACAUUCUCUAUACUUCUGAACCUAAUACUUCCAUCUUCAAUUGGGGUUUUUUUCUUUUGUGGGGGGGGGGAUAAGCUAUCGUUUUUCUAAGCUUGCUUACCUUCUGUGUGGGACUGAAAUACUGAUUUCGAAUCAUUAACAGUAAAAUUGGAAGCUCAUGAAAAAACAAUUUUAUCUUUUAACAAAAGUUAAAAUUACAUCUCCAUAUAAAUUCUCUUUUCAUUUCCUUCAAUUUUCUAAUUAAGCUUAAAAAAAUGUACCUUCAACCACAAAGGGGUUUAAAAUUUAAAAUAUAUAAAAAAAUAAAUUCAGAUAACAAUAAUUAAUUUAAUUAAAAAUAUAAAUAGAGAUUACAGAGAAAGAAAAAAUAGAGAAAGACCUGAUGUUGAGAGCAUCGACGGCCGGCAGUGACCGGCGGAAGAUGGCGAGAGAUGGCGGCGUGGGCCAUUGCUUGCGCAUCAGUGAGUGUCUCGAGUGAGAGAGUGAAGGUAGGGAUGGCAAUGGGGAGGGAGGGAGGGUCCAAUCUCUCUGUACCCAUCUCCCAAUUUGUCCCCGUCCCUCCCCGUCCCCAUUUGCUUAGAAUCUGUCCCCUACUCGAAUAAUAAUUCUCGAAUAAUAACAUAAAAUGCUCGAGGUUCUCGAUUUAUGAAUAAUUAAUAUAUUUUUUAUUUUAAAUUUUAAAUUAACUAUAUUAAAAUAAAAAAUUUAAAUAAAAAUAAAAUUUGAAAUAUAUUUUAUAUUAAUAUUGAUCCAUUAUAAAAAUUACAUACAAAAUAUAAAUUAUCAAAAUAAUUAUCUUUAUCAAUCUUCAUAAUCCUACAAUAAAAAGAAAAAAAAUUUACUUUUAUAUUGAUAAUAAAAUAAAUGUAGAUAAUUAAUUAAUAUUUUUAAUAAAAUAAAAUUAAAAUAAAAUAAAAUUUUUAGGCUAAUAUAAUCUACCCGACUUUUUUAAUGUGUUAAAUAAAAAUUUAAGACUUUAAUUAGUUAAUUAGGCCUAAAAGCUUAAUAAUAUAAAUAUUUUGAUAUUUAUUAUUUUUACUAAUAUUUAUAAUUUUAUAAUAUAUUCAAUUUUUAUUAUUUAUUUACUAGUAAUUUUAAAAAAUAAAAAUAAAAUUAAAAAAUAAAAUGGGGGAAAUGGGGAGGGGAUGGGGAUUCCACCUCAUCCCCGUCCCUUCCUUGUAGGGAUGGCAAAAGUUCGGGUCGGGUCGGGUCUGGGGCUGCCUGGAACUGACCCGGAUUUCACACAUAGCUGCCCGGACCCGGACCGUGCCCGGAUUUUUUCUAUGCGGGCCGGGUAUAUGGCUGGCACUAUCCGGGCACAGGUUUUUUUUGGGUUUUCUCUACCCACAUUUUCAAAACUGGCUAAAAAAAAAUUGAUAGAAAAGGCUAAAUAAGUAAACAAAAUUGCAAUUGGGCCUGGAAAUUCAUAACUUAUCCCUGAAUUAUAUAUAUAUAUAUAUAACUUCUAAUUCUUUGUUGAUACAAGUUUUUUCUAAUUCAUUAUAAAAUCACAUUAUAUAUAUUAUUUCCUCAUCAGAUAAUAAGUGACAAUUGCUCACCAGUUUAUUAACAUCUCUACGAAACCGUCUUUUAUGGCAUUAUUAUUAUUAUUGUUGUGGCUGAAACCAUGUAGUAUGUGAUUGAAGAAAUUGCAUUAAAUGUUGGAGUGGAGGUGAUGUAGGUGAGAAAGGAUUCCCUGGAGACUGUUAAACAAGACACAAGGCAUUUCCGGAAGAAAACAGAAGACAACUGGAUAAGACAAAACGGACAAAAGGGUAAGAGAGGUGGGUGGGAAAUUAAGAUAGGCAAUUUGUCCAGCAGAAACAUAAUAAUACCUCGUGGUCGUGGGUCGUGGCUGUGUUGGUGAAGUUGCAGCUGAACAAGAACAGUUGAUGCUGUCGCGUGGUGGCUGCCGUUGAGAAGAUGACCAAACGAUGAAGAGCUCUGUGACGGGAUGGUUGUGCUUUGCGAGGAGAAAUAGAGUUGACUGAGGAAGGUAAGAGGUUCGUGGAGGGAAAGGUGCGGACAACACUGCAUCAGUGCCGGUGGGUGGUGGAGAGACGGAGAGAGGUGCCGCCGAUUUGGAGAUUUCAGGGUGGGUGCUGACUGCUGCAGUGCUGCGUUGUUCUGCAAGUUGCAAUCGCGAUUUAGGGUUCAGUACCAGUUUUGGGGGCAAUUGGGCAAAGUAAAUUUUAUUUUCGCUUUUAUAUUUUCUUUUUUUUUACUUAAUAAAAAACCGGGCAUUGAAAAUCAAUGUCCGGAUCCGCUUUUUCCAUUCAUGUGGUCCGGGUAAAACCCGAACCGCACACGCCGGGUCUGGGCCGGAUCCGGUCCGGGUGGGUUUUUCUGCCACCUCUACUUCCUCGAAUAAGAAAUUUGGUAAAAAAAAUUUCCCGUCCCUUCCUCGAAUAAAAAAUCGGGUAUAAAAUUAUCUCUGUAUCCUCCCCGAAUGAGAAAAAUCCCCGAAGAUACCCAUACCUGUGGGGAUUUUUACCAUCCUUGAGUGAAGGGUUUUGUUUAGGGUUUUGGGAAAUGAAAAAUGUAAAUGUUUGAUUUUGUUGCUAGAAACUUCUUCUGCCGCUGCUUUUUAUUUUCGCUAUAAAAAUAAUAAUUUGUUAAUCAAAUAUUUUCUUAAAAAAGAUAAAUUUCUAGAACAAAAUUUAUAUUAAAUCAAAUUGUAAAAAUGUGGAAUAGGGCUAAUUUCUCCUUAAUAUUAUUAUUAGUAGAAGUAGAUUGUCGAACUAGUCUUGAUAUAUUUUAGAGUUGUAUUAUAGAUGUAUACGUAUCUAGAUUGUAAUUAUAUUUUAAAAAAUAUAAUUUUUUUUAAUUAUUGCACAAUAAAUGUAGAAAAUAUCUAUAAAAUAAUAUUAUUAGAACUAUGAUACAGCACCUCAAUUCCACAGUAGCUUAAUAUUAUUAGAACUAUGAUACAGCACCUCAAUUCCAAACGCACUCUAAUUAAAAAAUUUAGAAUUCUUGGGCAUGGAAAGAGUAGUAUUAAACAUCAGAAAGCUAAGGUUGUUCUGUAAAAGAACUGAUAUUGACAUUAUUUUAUUUUGGUUUUCGGGGAAAAAAAUAUUUGUUGACAAGCAAGAAAAUAUUUUUAUAUUUUACAAUUUAUUAUACAUAUUUUAUCAUAUUAAAGUAAUUUUAAUAAUAAAUAGAAACAUAAUAUUACAAUAAAUAAAUUAAAGUUUAAAUUAUUUUGAAUAUUAUAAAAAAUAAUUUUAAUAUUAUUAAUAGGAAGACUUUUGUUAAUUGUAAAAUCUUUUUAAUCCAAAGAUUUGUUUAAAAUUCUUAUAAUAAAUACAAAUAUAAAAUUAAAUAUCAAAAUUUAAAUUUUUUAAUAUUAUUUAAAUUUUAAAAAUACUUUAAUGUUAUUAGUCUUCUACAUAAAUUAUAUUAUUUAUAUUAUAUUUGUAUUGAUUAAAAUCUUUUAAAGUCGAUCUUCUAGUUAUUAUAUGCAAAAGGUAUUAUCAUGUUACAAUUUUUUGAAAUUUUAGGGAUGUAGGUUACGAUGAUUUAUUUCACUUUUGACAAAAUCCAAUGAGAAAUAUGAUAAGAGAAAGUCAAUUUAAUGUUCUCGACCUUUAUGAAAAAAAGUAAAAACUAAGAAUUAUUCAAUUUUAUAUUUUUUGCAUCCACCAAAUAAGUUUUGCACAUUUAUGUUAUCAUAAAACGAAAAAAAGGGUUUACCAAAAAAUGGUACCAAGCAUACCUUUAAUGUCCCACGUGAUUUCUUAUUAAGCCCAAUAUUAGAUAUAUUUAUACAUUUUACUGCAUUAAGUAUUUUAAUUAUAAAAGAAGUUGGUCCUUCCUCUAGUUACAAAAGAUAACUUUAUUUCAAGACUACCACUAAAUUCUUACGUAGAAUUAGUGCAAGGCCAAGAGAGAGUAACACAAUUUUACUUUUCCAUUACCAUUUUGAAAAUAGAAAGAUAUGGAUCCGUGUAUUUAAGAGUUAUUGUAAAAAUCAUACAAUUCAAUUUCCUGACGUGUAUUAUGUAUAUUUAGGCACAUUUGCCAAAAGCAUAAAUAGAUAGAAAGUAAAUUUACAAUCCACCCUUACUCACAAUUAUUGAAGUGAAGAUGCAUUACAACUGUCACUACUUUAACUUUAUUUAUUUAUUUGUUUUAAAUAAAAGUGUGAGAGAGACGGUGAACAUCAUGGACGAUAACAAAGGUUAAAGCCUAAAGGUGACCCAUUUUCUUUUUAAAGUGCUCUGCUGAAAGCCUAACUUCCUUUGGAUCCGCCGAAGUGGCCGAAGUGGUGGGCUGCUGCCCUCACAAGCAUUGUGAGGGCAGCGGUUCUAGCCCCCACAAAAGCAUUGUGGGGGUUAAAUGUUCUUUAUAUUUAAAAAUUUUUCUCCCUUGCGAAAUACAAGUGGAGUAUGGACAUCCCUCUCCUGUGAGGGGUUAUUUGUUUGGGCAUGUACUUCAUAGAAUUUAAUGUAAUAAUGUAAGUCCCAAUAAUGUAUAUCUGAUUGUAAAUAUCAGUAUAAUAUCUCUGCUACAAUAGCAAUUAUUGUAAAUAUUUGUGUAAUACAGUAAUCUGAUGAUUAAUCAGUAUUCAAAAAAAAAAAAACUUCAUUUGGAUCCGCCUAAGUUACUGCUUUGUAAAAUUUUAUAAAGCCCCUUAUACUCUAUAUUAUUUAUAAUUUGUUCAUAAAUAUUAUAAAACUUUCUGCAUUAUAUAAUUUUAUUGAGCCCCUUGUACUAUAUUUUAUUUCAUUGAAACCCUUAAAGUACCAAUUCGCCCUCUAUAAUUUUAAAUUACUAAAAUACCCUCCAUUUAAUUAAAAAUAUAAUGAUUAUUAAAUGAUUAUAAUUAUCUGGAGUACAAAUUCAGUAAUAAACAAUAACUAAAGUAUUAACAAUUUAUUCAUCAAAUAAAAUACUCGAGAUUUCAGCCGACAAAUCCUCUUGUCUAAACUAAAAAACUCAUAUCCCUAAAAUCUAUUUGUGAAAUGUUAGAGAUGAGUGGUGAUUUGUCAACUGGGUAAAUAAAUUUAUGCAUAAUGUUUCCGGUAUUGAUAAAUUACAUAAUAAUUAUUACAAAGAAAUCAUAAAUUGGAAACAUUAAUCAUUUUACAAUAUGUUACAUAAGUAAGAUAAAUCUCAUAGUAAGUUAAGUUAUAACGUAAUAAAUAUUUUCAACAUAUACUUAUUUAAGAAGUCAUUUAACAAUAAUAUUUUUUAUAUUUCAGUUGAUCAUGUCAUAUAGCGUUAUCUAAACUCUUGGCCAUAUUAUUAUUACUCAAUUUUCUCCCAAAAAAAAAAAAAAAAAAACAAAAACAAACAUGAUUAAUGAUUAGAGAAAAGUCAUGCCUUUUAGAAAGAAUACGUAUACAAGCUAUCCAUACUUUAUCUUACCAUGAUGGUGAUUAAAUAUAUUUUUAAAAUAGAUUUAAUGCACAAAUAUGAUGACUUUUGGCAAAAAUUAGUUUCGGAAGAUAUAGUGGUAGAAAAUAGUGAUGAUUAUUGUUUAAAUGUGUAAAUAGUCUAAGCAUAGCCCGUAAUACCAAUAUUCAUUUGCACCUUCAUUUGGAUUAUCAUAUUUUAUGAUGUUCUUUCAUUCAUAACCAUUGUUCAAAAUUUGGAUUUGAUCAUAAAACAAAACUAAAAAAUAUUAGAGAUACUAACAAUUGAGUCCCAUUUUAAGUCCCAAUACAAUGUGUUAUUUCUCAAUGUUGUGUCAUUCAUUAAUUAAGUGAUGAAUUUCAGAAUUAAUAAUUAGUUCAGACUUUAAUUAAGAUUUAAAUGUUAGAAUAUCUAGCAUCAUUCAAUCACAAUAAACAAAAUUCAAAUUGAAACGGCAAUAUUGUAUUUUCUUUAAUUAAUUUUGAUGCUGAAGCAAAUAUUUUGCUUGGGUUUUUCACUUCUUGAUUUUGAUUGGAAAAGUUUCUGAGACGAAGUAUUUUGGAUAAUUUUUUCGGGAUUGAAACCACAACUUGGUAGAGGAAAUUAGUUGGAGUAGUGAUGGCUUUGUCUUCAUUUUUGGUUCCUUUUGUGUCGGCAGCCCCUUACUAUUCUCUUGACCCUGAGUUUGAGAUAGAAAUUUAUCAACCUCCAACCCCACAUCCACAAACAAGUUGAUUGAAACAAUUGCUCUUUUAAUUAAGAGGACCCAAAUGAUUUAGGUUUCAGUUCUUAUCAUUUGUCUAUUAUUUAUUUGAAACAUUUAUUUUGAGCGUUACUGAUCUUAAUUAUCUGUAUUUCUCCAAUUAUUGAAGCAUUUCAAGUGGCCACUUUUUCUCCUUUUUAUAUAUGUUUAUUUUUUGGAGUGAUCAAACGGGGGCAAAAUCAAGUAUUCGCUGGUCUGUAGUUUAGCCAACGAUGGCUGAUCCACACAGUUGAUUAUAUGAUACUAUUAGCUCUCAAAAUCUUUCUUAUUUGAGAAUACAAGUUGCCCAAUAGAGUUGAACUAUGUUACCCAACUCCAUGCUCAUACAUUAAAUGUUUAGGUAGUUUUACAAAAUGAUAGCAGCAUGCCAAAACUUGUUGUUGUCAUUUUCGACAUUUCAAAUUGAAAAAUAUGCAAGCAAUCUUCAGUGAACAUUACGUUUUUAUUGAAUAAUUUAAAUGGCCAGUAAAUCAACAGUCCGUGAGUUUUAAAUCUAUUAUGACUUAAUGUAUCUUUCUGUAUUCGUACACAGGUUAUAUUAUCAUAGUUUAAAAUUUUAAUAUUAUUUUAAAUGUUAAAAAUACUUUAAUGCUAUUAGUCUACUACACAUGUUAUAUUAUUUAUAUUAUAUUUGUAUUAAUUAAAACUUUUAAUGUAAAUUUUCUAAUUACUAUAUUGAAAAGGUAUUAUGGUUAAGAAAAAGUUUUGGCAUUUCUUCUUGAAAAUUUGAGGGUCUGCAUGACAAUUUUUCCAAAUUCUAAGGGUAUAGGUUUGAAAAUUUAAUGUUCUUUAACUUAAUGAAACAAAAGGGGGAAACCAAGAACUAUUCAAUUUUGUAUUUUUUGUUUGUAAUUCAAAAAAUGCAUCCACCAAACCAGUUUUACGCAUUAAUGCUGUCAUAAAACAAAAAACAGUUUGCCAAAAAAUGGUACCAAACAUAUCCUUAAUGUCUCACAUGAUUUCUUAGUAAGCCCAUAUUAGAUAUAUUUAUACAUUUUAGGUAUUUUAGUUAUAAAAGAAGUUGGUCCUCCCCCUAUUUAUAAAAGAUAACUUUGUUUCGAUAUUACCACUAAACUCUUACAUAGAAUUAGUGUAAUGUUAAGAGAGAGUAAAACGGUUUUCCAUUACCAUCUUUGAAAAUAGAAAGAUAUGGAUGCGUGCAUUUAAGAGUCAUCGUGAAAAUCAUACAAUUCAAUUUCCUGACAAGAAGUUGGUCCUCCCCCCCUUUUUUUUUUUUUUUCAAUUACAGUGUGAUGGAGACAUUAAGGAUGAGCAUAAUAGUUAAAGAUGACUCAUUUCUCAUUUUCUUUUUAAAGUGCUCUGCUGAAAGCCAAACUUCCUUUGGCUAAUUAAUUUAGAAGUAAAGCAGAGAAUAAAGUCCUAGAUGCCUUCUGAAAUUAGAAAUACAUUUUAUAUGCUUUAAUUAUGAUUAUUUGGUAGACUAAAGACCUAAAAGAUAUGUCAAAAGUAUAAAACAGAGCGAUUAAAGAAAAAAGAAAAAAAAAACAGAGCAUUUGUGACGUAGAACAAUUGGUAAAUAAAUCCUAAAUAUUUGAGUUGUUAAAAGCAAAUAUAACAGAGACAGUAAGAGAGAUGCUGAAACAGAAAACUAUUAGCUUAUCUUGAUUUUCCCACUAUAUUCAUUUUCGAUGCUUUUCAAACGAGAUUCUUUUAAUUCUUCUGGUGUCUCUUAUAGAUCUCCAUCCCACAUCUGCACUACGAACAAGUUGAUUAAAAUUAAAUACUGUUGGAGAUGUGGGGUGAGCGGUCAACUUGGUAAAAAAACUAUGUGUAAUAUUGUUAAUAAUAUAAAAUAUAUAAUAAUAAUUACAAAGAAUCAUAAAUUAGAAAAAUUAUUUAUUUUACAAUCUAUUUCUUAAGUAAGAUAAAUCUCGUAAUAAGUUAAGUUAUAAUGUAAAAAAUAUUUUCAAUUUAUAAUCAUUUAAGGAGUCAUUUAACAAUAAAAUCUUUCUUUUUUUGAUCAAUUGGUCAUGGUACAGAGCAUCAUCUAUAUUCAUGGUGAUAUUAUUAUUACUCCGUAUUCUCAAAAAACACGAUUUAACAUUUAGAGAAAGUUCCUACCUUUUAAAAAGAACAUGUAUGCAACAACUACCCAUACUUUAUCUUACCACGACAAAACUAAUAGUGACUAAAUCAAUUUUCUCGAAUAAAGCAAAAUUUCUUAAAAUUAAUUUAAUAUACAAAUAUGAUGACUUUUUGCAAAAAUUAGUUUUGGAAAAUUAGUGACAGAAAAUAGUAAUGAUUAUUGUUUAGAUGUGUAAAUAGCCUAAACAUGAUCCCUAAUACCAAUAUCCACGUGCAUCUUAACACCUUUCGUCAUAUUCUUUCAUUCAUGGUCACUGGUUCAAGAUUUGAAUUUGAUCAUUAAAUAUGUUCAAUAAUAUUAGAGAUCCCAACAAUUGAGUACCAACUUAAAUCCCAAUGCUAUGUGUCAUUAACAAAUGUUGUGUCAUUUAUAAUUAUUGAAUGAAUAAUUCGUUAAUUUAUUGAUAAAUGAAAAUUUAUUAAUUUAAAGAGAGAUAUUUUUUUUUUUGGGUUUUAAGAAGAGUUUUGUUGGUACAUGUACAUACUUAUAAAGAAAUAAACUUGUAAUUAUACUAUAUCUUUCUUUCUUUAUUCAGUUUGGUGGGAUAUUGUGAUAAAUCAUUGGAUUAAAAUGCAUUUCUAAAUUAAAACUUGUUAAAAUCUAAUUUAUUUGGGAAGCGCAUAUUAUUUGUCAGUCGUACUUCUCAAGUCUCAACUUAGCAAGUUAUUUCUAACUUGUCAGUCUCUAUUGGUUCUCUAAAGCUAAUAGUCUCGAAUCUCCCGCAUUUGAUAUCUUGCCAUUAUUGUUGGCAUUAACAUGUUACCUGAGAUUGGGAUUCAUUAAAAUCCUCAAUGUAAUCGGUGGAACGAAUGGAUUUCUUCUGUUCACCAAUCCACCAAAAUUUCUGUAAUUAAAUUCAAGAGUCAAGAUCUAUGCUUAUAAUCUAUUCUAACAGCUAAUAUUCUAUUUUAUAUUUACUUAAAUAUGAAGAGCUAUGCUUGUCAUUAACUUCAAAUGUGAUCGAAGCAGCCUUACAUCUGUAUAUUACUUAUUCCCAACCUUUUUUUUUUGACUUCAUAUACUUUAUUUUCAUGUUAUUUACUCUUUUUUUCCCCUUUCUGACAAUUGAGGUAGGGGGUCAAACUUGAAAGUAUCUUAAAAUCAGACAAAUUUUUUUUUUUUUAAGAUAGCUGCUAAUAUGCUCUAUUAGACAAUGACAAGUAAUAACCUAGUUGUUUGCAUUAGAAAUGAUAUUUUUUGUGGUGCUGAUAAAGAGGUUGAUUAUGAUUCAACAAUUUAAAAUAUGAAAACAUGUGGAAGACGGCCGCAAUUAAAUUGAUUGUAUGAAAAUAUUUCAAUGAAAUUUUAAAAAUUUAGUACUUGUUAUCUUAUCGAGAGUUUUUUUAAAUUAUAUUACUACUUGAACUUGGCUGCUUUUGUAUUGAAUUCCCAGCGUUGCCAUUGCUUCUACUCAAAAGCCAUUUAAGUUUGUGUAAGCUACCUAUAGUUUGAACAACAAUUUACUCAUGAAUUGUUGUUCAUAAUAGCAAUUUGAUUGAAAGUGCGGCUGCACUAAUUUUCUAGAUGAAUUUUUUCCUACAUGCUUGUUCUCGUAUGACCCAAAAUCCUGCUACAUCAGUUGUAUUAGAAAUUAAUACUGGGUUACAAUUAUGCAUCCCCACCAAUAUUUCUUGAGGAAAGAAACUCAUAUCGCCCCUAGGCUUUUAAUGAGGCUCAUUUUUAUGAAUCUGGAUGGCAUUAGAUAUCUCUCCGAAUAUUGGUGGGAGUAUAUCGCAGAUCAAUGGGCUAUACUACAAAGUGUAUGUACGUUGACUCUCAAUAAAUACAAACGAUUCUCUGAUAUGAUUCAAAACAUCAGUGCACGCAUCAUUUUAACGAGAGAGAAUAUUCUAAGAACGAAAUUGAAGGUGCAAUCAGCAACUAAAAUGAAGCCAGAAAUGUACACGCAUGAGGAAGUUUUCCUAGAAGAUUGAUAUUUCUUUAACUAGCAAACAAUACAAGUCCAAAGCUAACCAAACCAUACCUGCAAGUCCGGGGCUUAAAUGGAGUACUUGUAAGCAUAAAACAUUAAUCAAAACACAGUAUAGACACACACACACACCCCUACAUACAUACCAGCAAAUUCGAAAUAGAAAAAGGAGUGCAACUAUUCAAGUUUGUUGACAAUAUUGCAACCAUGGCAUAUUAAAGCAAAUCCUUAAAAUCAGCUAAACGAAACAAUGCCCUGUCUCAUGAAUCGAUGCUCAACUAAAAAUUGAAAUUGAAAGUCCGGCUGGUGUUGUUAUUAGAUAGAUAUAACAAGAUCUUUCUUUGACAGUUCUUAUUAGAUAGAUAUAAAAAGAUCUGCUUUGACAGUUCUUAUUAGAUAGAUAUAAAAAGAUCUUUCUUUGUUUCUCUGCUGUAAUUUGUGGCUAUCCCACUCUGUUUUGCCAGUCAAGCUGAGUCUACGUUGAGACAUAAUUUUGACAUCAGAAGCGGCCUCAAUUAGUUUGGCAUUUUUAUAACCUCCUUGAAGGUUUUACGAUAAACAUAAAUCUACUGACAAAGUGGGCAAAAAGAAAAUGCAUGUAAAAGUAUGAGUUAUCAAAUAAGAUUAAAACUCACCCAAUUCAAUCCAUCAGAUUCCGUAAGGAUACAACUGGAUGUCAUACCGCCACUCCAUAUUCUCGAAAGUCCGUAGUCCUUGUCUCAACUGUGUCUGGGGCCAGUGUAAGUCCAUUUUUGCGCAAGCUCUUUAUGCACCACAGCUCUUCUGGAAGCUUUCUCAAGUAAGCACACGGGUUGACAAUUAAGCAUUCAAGUUUCGGCAUUGCUCCAGCCCCCAUCGUCCACUCAUCUAGCCAAUACAUUGACUUCAGGUGCAAAACCUUAAGUUCGGGAAAGCUACUCAAGCCAACACAAGCAAGCUUUCUUCCUAAAUACGAGUUCUGCUUCAGUUUCAGCACUCGAAGGCGUGGAAGAUUUUCCAGAAUUGGCAUGGGAUCCUCCAUUAGCUCAGUAUUUGAUAAGCUCAGUUGGAUCAGACUUGGGGGAAAUUGGUAUUCAGACAGGACCAUCCGUGAGGGCUUGCUCUCAUUCACCAGCUUCAAGCAUUCAAGUUUGUGGAGUUCGCAUAGGCUUUUGGAAACCCCUGAAUGAUAGCAACUCAAAUCUCCAGAUAUCCGAAGAGUUUGAACAUUAGGUAGUCUGCCCAAUAUAUCAGGAGUACAACUACUGGGGUUUAAAGUUGAUAUGAAAAUGAGAUUUUUCAGGGAGCUAGAAUAAUUUUUUGGAGGUGCGGGCAGAGUGAUAGAACCAAAGUUUAGAUGCAUGAGUUUUUGCAUCUUCCAAAUAUCCUCUGGUGACUGAUCUAUGUAGCUAGAUGGCAUUUCUAGUGUUUGAAGGUUUAAAAGGGUGCAUAGCAGUGAAGGAAGGCAUUUGAGCGAAGGGAUAUUCAAUUUCAAAUACUUCAAAAGGAAUAAAUUUUCUAAUCCGGGUGGAUAUUGGUCCAGGACUGCAGAACCCAAGUUCAGUACCCGAAGGUAUUUGAACCUUUUAAAAAAAUUCUCGCAAUCUUUCGGAUUAAGAUGAUAUCUUUUUGGACUGUGAUUGAGAAAAGAUUGGAGAUACAUGUCAGAAUGUUCUAAAGAAAGGAACUCAAUCAAAUCAUCGACAAUGAAGCACCGUUUAACAUUUGCGGGUGGUUCCUCUUCCACGUCAUGCAUCCAGACAAAUCCCGUCUUCUUUGCCACCACAAACAAUGAAGUGUAGUAUACAAUACUUGGAAAAUAACACGAUUUAAUUGUGCCUCCGGCCCUUCUUUUACUCACUUGAAUGAAGCCGCGAUGGAUUAGUUCUUUCAAGUAAUGUUCGGCAGUUUCUUCACUGUUGUAUGGUAUGAAACCUUCAGCUACCCACAAAUGAUAUAAUUGCCUCGUGGAUAUCUCAAUGCCUGGAGGGAAGACACACAAAUAGAUGCAGCAGAUUUUCAAGUGAAAAGGUAACUCCAACACAGAACAAAUUCCAAUGAAAAUUGUCGGAAUCGUUUCGCCUUGAACAUAAUUUUCUAAUGGCAUACUUCCAUAGUGUAGGAUGAAAAAUUGCCAGGCUUCAUGCUUUAAUCUGAUCAAUGGUCCUCCAAUGAGCACCGAAUCAAGCCGAAUCUUCUCUCCAUUUUCCAUUUCAAGCGACGCAAGGAGGUCUGGAUCAGUGACUGUUAUCAAUACUCUGCUUCCAUUCUGAUUAUCAGGAAGAACUUCUUCAAGAUCAUCCCAUAUGUCAAUGUUAUCGCAGACAUCAUCAAGCACAAUAAAGUACUUCUUGUUUGUUAGGUAAUCUCAAAGAAUAGAUUCCUUGAAUUGAUAAUCUUCACCGAUAAUUACACUAACCCGAGAUGGAGGCAUCACAGACUUGAUUAUGUCAUCCAAUAUCUUGCCCAAAUCGUAGAAUACAGAAACCCUGACCCAAGCAAGACAGUCAAAAUAGAACCUGACAUGAUUAUUGUUGUAAGUAUCUGCAGCAAAAGCAGUCCUAUCGAAGCCACUGCUGUCGAGAAUUGCAACCACUGCAAGCCCAGAUGGUCCCUCAAUCAAUAGAUCAAACAACUUCUCUCUGCCCCUUUCAAAUUCACUGAUAUCGAGCCGAGGUUGUCCCUCAUUCAAUAGGCGAAUGAUUUCGUUACUUUUUUCACUGAUAUCAAAACCAUUGUCGCCGGGCGGAAGUUGUUGCAUCCGAUUUCUAAUAUCAAUGAUUUCACUGUGGACAUGAAGAGCCAUAUUAGUGCUGCUUUCACUUUCGUUUUCACUGUUUUGCUGCUGCAUUAUGUUGAUGAAGAAUCUGUCAAUGGCUUCCUCAGAUUCAUGGACAAAGUCAUUGAUGUGCACCAGAAUUUCCAAAAUAUCUGGUCUUUUAACGUCUUCUUCAUCGCUUUCUUCUAAGUCCAACAGUUGCAAAAAAGGAAAAGAUAUUUCGAAGUCAUCGAAUUCUUCUAGAAUGAGUUGAAACAAAUGCCGAGCCAUGUCAGCUUCAUAGUUUCCCAGAAGAGUAGCAGCAAUAAUUUCGGACUCCGUAAGAAGGUUUUGAAAAAGUGGGGUUAAAUUUGUUGAAUCUGGCAGCGGCAACGUGCCUUCUUCACCUGCUAACACCCUUUUCAACCUCUCACAAAUCAGUCGGAGGUGGAAUUCCAGCAUUUCUCCUUCUCUCCGUAGCACUCAAUUAGAAUUAUCUUCGAAUUCUAAUUUAAUUGACUAAGUAGUUAUAGCUAUUCUAUUGAUUAGGUCUAGCUAUUAUAUUCUAAAUGAUUAAUUGAGAGGUAUAGUUGAAAGAUUAAACACCAUGGAAGAAUUUGAAAGGAAAAUGCCAAGAAACUGUGUAAGUGGCUAAAUUCCACAAAUAUGACAUUAUUGCUCAUUUUUUAACUCAAAAAAAGGGUACGCAUUCAUUUAGAGAAAAGUCCAAGACGCGUGCUUUUUAAAAAGAACAGGUAUCCAACCUCUAUCUUAUUAAAUUACAACCAUGACAUAAUUGAUGGUGCUUAAAUCAAUUGUUUCUUUUUUAAUUUAAAGAAUUUUUCAUUAAAAAAAUAUUUUAAUAUCAAAUUGCCUUCAGUGGCGUAACUGCCUCAGGCCCAGUAACAGGACUAAUUAAAAAUUUUACAAUUUUUGGGCAUGGAAAUAGUAGUAUUAAACAUUAGAAAGGUAAGGUUGUUCUGUUAAAGAAUUGAUAUUGACAUAAUUUUAUUUUGGUUUUCGUGGAAAAAAAAUUUGUUGACAAGUAAGAAAAUAUUUUUAUUUUUUAAAAUUUAUUAUGCAUAUUUUAUCAUAUUAAAGUAAUUUUAAUAAUAAAUAGAAACAUAAUAUUACAAUAAAUAAAUUAUAGUUUAAAUUAUUUUGAAUAUUAUAAAAAAUAAUGUUAAUAUUAUUAAUAGGAAGACAUUUUGUUAAUUUUAAAAUCUUUUUAAUCCAAAGGUUUAUUUAAAAUCUCUAUAAUAAAUACAAAUAUAAGAUUAAAAUAAAAAUCAUAAUUUCAAAAUUUUAAUAUUAUUUUAAAUGUUAAAUAUACUUUAAUGUUAUUAGCCUACUACGUAGAUUUUAUUAUUUAUAUUAUAUUCGUAUUGAUUAAAAUUUUUUAAAGUCAAUUUUUUAGUUAGUACAUUCAAGAGGUAUCAUAGUUAAAGAAAAGAUUUUGGUGCAACUGUUUUAAAAUUUCAGGGUAUAAAUGAUAAUUUUUUUUAAAAUUUUAAGGAAGUAGGUAUUAUUUUUCCGACAAUUUAUUUUAUUUUGAGGGAAAUCCGAUGAGAAAUAUCAUCAGAGAACAUUAAUUUAACAUUCUUUACCUUUAUGAAAAAAGUGGAAACCAAGAACUAUUCAAAUUUUUUUUUUUUGUGUAAUUCAAAAAAUGCAUCCACCAAACAAGCUUAUCAUAAUUUUCCCACUUUAUUCAUUUUCGAUGCUUUUCAAAAGAGGUUCCUUUAAUCCAUCUAGCAUCUGCAGCCCCCACUAUUUUACAAAUCUCCAUCCCACAUCUACACUAUCAAAAAAGUUGAUGGAAAUUGAACCCAUUAAGUUAUGUUCAUUACUGGUCAUUAUCUUUCUAUGAGCCACUUAUUUUGAGCAUUAGCGAUCUUCUAAGGAAUCAUGCCUUUUCAGGAUCGUUUUCUUUCAUUUCCUUAUUGUAGUAGUUAAUUAAAUAAAGAACGAACAAGUGAACUUUGUCUAUUUCGAGGAAGAACUAGGUUUCCAACACUAGAGGAACUUUGAAGAAAAUUAAUUGGAAGCCUUUAUUCAUCUUUGAAGAAAAUUACGUGCCAAUGUAACCAAGGCUUUUAUUCAUCUUCGGACUAUGAAUUUAUACAAAAACAUUAACAGAAAAUAACAAAGACACAGCUAAAUGAUAGCAACAAGUGUUGAUUUAGUGGACCACUUCUACAAGUAAAUAAAAACUAAAUAUUUAUUUAAGGAGGGCUUUUGUUAGUAGAGUUUUUAUAAAUAGAAAUUUAACAAAAAAAAAUUAUAGUUAUUUAGUUGUCAAUGUCCAAAUUGAUGAAUUAUUGUUCUUUUUGUUAACAUGUGUUUGUUUUACUUAAUAAUAAAAGUUUAGUUUACAAUUACACCGGUGUCAAAUCAGCAGAGCAUUUUUGCAGCCAGUCACAUUAUACAUUAUAUACUAAUAGCAUCGGCAAGAGUUUUCGAUUGUUGCAACUUGCAAUGCACGCGAUGCGAGAAAAUGAGAAUCUUGUUUAAUUGCAAUAAUGACAAACCUAAUCCUUUCAUUAGGAGUAAAUUAAUAAUCGUUUGUUAUUAUUGAAUAUGUAUAAAGAAAGGACAAUUCUAUUCAUAGAUUCGACUUAUUUUUUGUUUAAAGUAAUUAAUCAUUCAACCAUCUUCAUUUGCCUCUGGCCAAUGCCCUUGUAGAUUAGUUGAAGCGUUUAUUACUUAAUUCAGAUAAUUACAACGUCCUUUUCGCUAAUUAAUUAUGAUUAUGAACAUUUUCAUAUAGCAAGUGGCAUUGUAGAUCUAAACUACGUUGCUAUUUCAAUACGUUAAUUAAGUGAUUCUCCUCAUUGUCAUCAACGUUAUAAACAGGAAUUGUGCAAACAGUACACAAUGCUGCAGCAAGGCGUGGGUGGCUAGAGUUUUGCAACCACCCUUGAGAUCCUGUGCUGCCAGUAGUAAAAGAAUUUUACGCCAAUUUGGUAAGCCCUGGUCAGCACAACAUUUGGGUAAGAAACUCACUUGUUCCAUUAGACUCUCGAGUUAUAAAUGUUUUUUAUAAUUUACCUGCUGAAAUUAAUUGUGAGUAUGCCAAGUUGCUUGACAAAUUGACCCCGCAACAAUGGAACACAAUUUUCACGACACUUACGGUAGAGGGUGCAUCGUGGGCUAAUGAGGAGGGGCAUGUAAUUAACAAGAUAGAUUUAAAACCCAUUGCUAAGGUGUGGGUGAAAUUUCUAAAAUCCAGGCUUAUGCCAACCACCCACACCACUACUGUUUCACAGGAAAGGUUGGUGCUGUUAUAUGCUAUUGUUAGAGGGCUUCCCAUAGAUGUGGGAAGCAUUAUCGAAAAAGAAAUUCGAGAUUGUGCCAUGAAAAACCACAAGGCUGCUGCCUUGUUAUUUCUUUCACUCAUAACCAGCAUAUGUGUAGUAUCAGGUGUUCGUCUUGAUGCAAAGGAUGAAAUUUGUAAUUAUAUUAUGGCUCCAUUUGGUAUAACUUUUUAAUUCGAACUUAUUUAAGGAGAAUUUUUAUUAGUAGAGUUUUUAUAAAUAGAGAUUUUACUAAAAAACAAAAAUUAUAGUUAUUUAGUUGUCAAUGUCCAAAUUGAUGAACUAUUGUUCUUUUUGUUAACAUGUGUUUGCCAGUCACAUUAUACAUUUUUGCAACUUGCAAUGCAAGCGAUGAGAGAAAAUGAGAAUCUUGUUUAAUUGUCAAUAAUGACAAACCUAAUCGUUUCAUUAGGAGUAAUUUCAUAAUCGUUUGUUAUAAUUGAAUAUGUAUAAAGAAAGGAAAAUUCUAUUCGUAGAUUCGACUUAUUUUUUGUUUAAGGUAAUUAAUCAUUCAACCAUCUUCAUUUGCCCCUGGCCACUGCCCUUGUAGAUUAGUUGAAGCGUUAAUUGCUUAAUUCAGAUAAUUACAACGUCCUUUUCGCUAAUUAAUUAUGAUUAUAUACGUUUUCAUAUAGCAAGUGGCAUUGUAGAUCUAAAUUAUGUUGCUAUUUCAAUACGUUAAUUAAGUGAUUCUCCUCAUUGUCAUCAAGUGGAAAAUAGCUCAAUUGUUUCCCUGCAUCGAUUUUCAUUGGUAAGUGAUUUCUUAUGAUAUUCGUUUGAGCUUUCCUUAUUAAAAAAGCUUGAGCCUUGAUCACCUAAUACUGAUAUCAAUUAACUUGUGAACGAUUUUGUAAUGAAAUUAGGAGUUAAAUAUAUAAGAUUUUUACGUGAUGAAUUUUGAUUUUUUUAAUUUUUUGAUGUAGUCAAUUUGCUAAUUUUAUAUAUUUCAUAUUCAACGGAAUUUGGGCACGGAAAGUUUGGAUUCUAAUAUUUAUAUAUUUAGCUUUAAUCAGCUUGACUUUAGCAAUCUUUUUCCCUCAUCAUUAAGGGAUUCAGAAUUAGAGAAACGCUAGGAAGAGGAAGAAAAUAACUUUGGAAGUAAGUAAGAGGGAAAAAAUUAUGAAAUUUGGAAUUAUUUUUUGUAAAGUAUGUUGCGUUUACUAAACUGGAAUUAGAAUGAGCUGAAAUCAGAAUGAAUAGGAAUGCGAAUGUGCUGAAAUCGGAAUAGGUAAUGAGAAUAAGAAUAAGUUGUUUACUUGAACUGUAAAAAUCAAAAUCGGAAUGAGCUGAAUUGCAAUUACUUUGUCUUGGAAUCGGAAUCGGAAUCGGAAUGAGUUAGAUUAUAACAAAUUACUGAAAAGUACUUAAUGAAUUAUUGUCAUAAUUAUUAUUUUAUAUUUUAAUUAUAGUGAUUAUUUAUUCAAAAAUUAUUAUUAUUAAUUAUUUCCAAUAAUAUAUUAAUAUGUUAAUUAAUUUUAAAAAUUAUUAAUUAAUUUAUUAUAAUAAUAUACUAAUUAAUUAUAAUUAUUAUUAUAAAAAUAUAUUAAUAAUAAAAUUACUAAUUUAAUUGUAAUAAUAUAUGAAUUAAUUAUAAUAAUUAUUAUAAUAGUAUAUGAAUUAAUUAUAAUAAUUAUUAUAAUAGUAUAUUAAUUAAUAAUAAUAAUAAAAAUAUAUUAAUUAUGUGAUUAUUUAUUCAAAAAAUAUUAUUAUUAAUAAUUAUUGUUAAUAAUGUAUCAAUAUACUAAUUAAUUAUAAUAAUUAUUAUAAAAAUAUAUUAAUUAUUAAUAAUAAAAUUACUAAUUUAAUAAUAAUAAUAAAAAUAUAUUAAUUAUGUGAUUAUUUAUUCAAAAAUUAUAAUUAUUAAUAAUUAUUGUUAAUAAUGUAUCAAUAUAUUACUUAAUUAUAAUAUAUUAAUUAAUUAUAAUAAUAUAUUAAUUAAGUAUAAAUGAGGACAAAGUGGGUAUUUUUAAUUUCACGAAGGGGCAAAAUGGUCAAUUCUAGUAAUGGGAGACUCACUCCCACCCUCUCCUUUGGGAAUGAGUCUCCCAUUCCUCAUUCCCAAAUUGUGGUGGGCCCCAUGAUUUUGACUCCGAUUUCUAACUCAAUUUUGCGAAGUAAACGCUACCAAUGAUUCCGAUUUCGGAUUCUGAUUCACUUAUCUGAGAAGUAAAAGCAACAUAAAUGUGUAUGAAUAAUUGAUACCUAUGAAUAGUUUUGGGAGUUUUAGCUAGGAGUCAUCUAUUGAAGAUGUUUAGCAAUUGAAGAUCUCUGUCUCAGUAGUUUUCCCAAUCAAAAUCAAGAAGCAAAAAAACUUGCCAUUUUUCUACUUGAUAAUUAAUUGAAAUUUAAGAAAAUACAAUGGCAUUUCAAUUAGAAUUGGUAAUUGUUUAUCUUUUUUCAUUGAUCAAAUUCUAAUCGUGAUCCAAUAGUUAUGGAUGAAGGAAAUAUUAUGAGAGGCGAUAGGCCAAGUGAAGACGUACCAGCAAAUUCAAAAUAGUCGGGAGGUGGACGUCCAGCAUAUCUCCUUCUCUCUGUAGCACCCAGAUGCAUUGUUAUUUGCUCCAAGAAAUGUUAAAAGGAUUGGCCCUAUCUCAAUGUGGUUAGUGGCAAGGGCGGAGACAGCAUAUUAAUUGACUGUGGGCUUACUCAACUGCGAUAAAAAAAAUUUAAAAAAUAAUAAAUAAUAAAUUUAAAAGAUUUAUCAUACUUCAAUAUAUGUUUAUAAUUAUCCUUUACGAGUUUUCAUACAUUGAUAACGUUGUAUUACAACUUCAUUAUCAAUAUUAUUGUGGGCUGUUUAAAAAUUUGAUUAAUAUUAAUAUUUAUAGGCUUGAUUUUAUUUUGUAAAGCCCAUCUCUUUUUAUUUGUUUUAAAAACUUAGAGUGUGAGAAUUUAAGUAUAAUUAUGUAUUAGGAACUUGAAUAUAAAUUAGUGGGGGCUUAGGAAAAAUUUAUUAGAAAUUUUUGGCAAAUCAAAUUAGUUAGUAAAAGAUUUUUUUUUUUUUUUUCAGUGGGGACUUAAGUCCCCACUGGUCCCAAGCUAGAUCCGCCACUGGUUAGUGGUGAAAAAUUAAACACCAUGGAAGGAUUUGCAAGGAAUAUGCCAAGAAACUGGCUAAGUUCCACAAAUAUGGCAUUAUUGCUCUUUUUUUUUUAAAGAAAAAUUAUACACGUUAAUUUAGCAAAAAGUCUAAGACACGUGCCUUUUGAAAAGAAUAGCUAUUACCAUGACACAAUCGAUGCGGCUGAAACCAAAAUUUUCUUUUCUUAAUGUAAAGUUUUUUUUUUAAAUAGAUUUUAAUAUCAAAAUGCCCUUCGAUGUUAUUACUCUCACAAGCCCUGUAACAGGAGUAAUAAAAAAGUUUAGAAUUUUUGGGCAUGAAAAAAGUAGUAUUAAACAUCAGCAAGCAAAGGUUGUUCUGUUAAAGAAUUGAUAUUGACGUGAUUUUAUUUUGGUUAUCGAGAAAAAAAUAUAUUUGUUGACAAGUAAGAAAAUAUUAUUAUAUUUUACAAUCUAUUAUACAUAUUUUAUUAUAUUAAAUAAUACUAAAUAGAAACAUAAAAUUAGAAUAAAAUAAAUUAAAAUUAAAAUUAAAAUUAUUUUGAAUAUUAUGUAAAAAAUAAUGUUAAUAUCAUUGUUACUUGUAAAAUAUAUUUAGCCUAAAGAUUUAUUUAAAAUUUUAUAAUGAAUAAAAAUAUAAAAAUAAAUUAAAUAUCAUAGUUUAAAAUCUUAAUAUUAUUUUAAAUAUUAAAAAUACUUUAAUGUAUCUUAAUAUUAUUUUAAAUAUUAAAAAUACGUUAAUGUUAUUAUUCUACUACACAUGUUAUAUUAUUUAUAUUAUAUUUGUAUUAAUUAAAAAUUUUAAAGUCAACUUUCUAGUAACUAUAUUCAAAGGUAUUAUGGUUAAAUAAAGGUCUUAGUGUUUCUUUUUCAAAAUUUGAGGGUCUACAUGAUAAUUUUUCCAAACCCUAAGGUAUAGGAGUCCUUUUUGUCAAUAAUUUAUUUCACUUUUGAGAGAAUACGAUGAGAAAUAAGAUCAGAGAAAUGUCAAUUUAAUGUUCUCUAGCUUAAUGAAAAAAAAAUGGAAACCAAGAACUAUUCAAUUUUGUAUUUUUUGUUUGUAAUUCAAAAAAUCCAUCCGCCAAACAAGAUUCACGCAUUUAUGUUGUCAUAAAAUGAAAAAACAGUUUGUGAAAAAAUGGCACCAAACAUACCCUUAAUGUCCCACAUGAUUUCUUAUGAAGCCCAUAUUAGAUAUAUUUAUACAUUUUACUGCAUUUAGGACAUGUUUGAUAGCCUGCAUUAUAUAGGAUAAAAACAUAAUUUUGUAUUAAAUUAAUGCACACUCACGUUUGGCGCUAAAAGUAACUCCAGCCGCAUUGCAUUAAUGGGCUGCUACUGCGGCAAUUGCCGCACUAGCUUGCCUCUUUUUCUUUUUAAUUUUAUUUAUAAUAAUAAUAAUAAUAAUAAUAAUAAUAACAUAAUAUAACUUUUAUUUUAAUAUAAUAUUAAGUAUAAUUUUUAUUUUUACAUUAUAAUUAUUGAUAUAAAUUAAUAAAUUUAUUAUUUAUUAUUCAAUAAUAUUAUAUUAUUAUUUUUUUAUUUUUACAUUAUAAUUUAUUAGUAAAUUUAUAAUUUAAUAUAAUUAAUGAUAAUAGAAAAUAUCAUUACAUGUACUACAAAACUCUUACUUGGAUUAUUUAACACAAUUUAUUUUAUUCGUGAAUAUGUUAUAACAAUUGUAUCACUUUAUUGUUUUGUUAUUAUUUUGUGGUAUGUAUAAAUUUUUAUUCUAUUAUUCAAAGAUGACUUUUGAACUAAUCUUAUAGGUUUUAACUAUUUAUUUAUGUUGUUAUAUUAUUAGAGAUUAUUUGAUUAAAUUAUUUGCUUCGAUCUUUAUUUUACAGGUCAUAUAUUUAGAAAUUACUGAAAAAUAAAUGUUCUACUUCCAAAAAAUUUAAGGCUAUAAGCUCGAUCUUUAUGAAUAAUUGUGAUAUUUUUUAACAUUUACACUAAAAAAAUUGUUAAAUUUCUAAAAUUUAAGACUUCUAUAUUUAGUAUUUUUCCAAUUACUAAUAAGUAUUAUUUUCUAAAUAUAUAAUUUAAAUUAAUCACAAAAAAUUAAUACAGUACAGUGCAAUAUCAAAUAUAAUAUAAUUAAAAAUUAUACAGUACAAUGUAGCACCAAAUAUUGUACAAUAUUAUUAUAAAAUAGUACUGAUGCAAUACAAUAUAAUACAAUAUAGUGUGCCAAACGCACCCUUAGAGUGUGUUUGGAACAUGGGAUUAUAGGGUAUUAAAACACUGUUCACAUUAGCUUAAUACCAAUAUCAUGUUUGGAAAGAAAUUUUAAGGGAUUAAAGGGGGGUGAGCUAAUGCCAUAACUGCGCCAUUAGUGUCUUGGUUUUUUUUUAAAUAAUAAUAAAAAAUAUAAAUUCCUAAUUUUAUGUAAUAUUAUAUAAUAUUAAUUUUUAUUUUCUUUGAUCUUUACAUUAUAGUAAUUAAUAUAAGUUAAUAAAUUUAUAAUUUAUUAUUCAUAUUUUAAUUUUUAUUAUAUUAAAAAUAUAACUAAAUAAUUUAAUUUUAAUUAUAUAAUAAUUAAUGUAUAAAAUUGAUUAAUAUUUAAUAAGUUAAUACAACUAGUAAUAAGUGCUUAAAUAAUAUAUAAAAAUAAAAAUAUAACAUAAUAUUACAUUAUUUAAUUAUAUUACAAUAACUAAUAUAUAAAAAUUGAUUAUUAUUUAACAAUUUAAUAUAGCUAAUAAUAGAUACUUAAAUAAUAAUUUAAUAUAACUAAUAAUGAAUAUUGAUAUAUGAAUAUAUUUAAAUAAUAUUAAUACCAAUAUAUAUAAUAAUAUAAAAUAUUAUUACAUGUACUGUAGUAUUCUUACUUGGAUUAUUUAGCGCAAUUUAUUUUAUUAGUGAAUAUGUUACAACUAUUGUAUCACUUUAUUAUUUAAAUUAAUCAAAAAAAUUAAUACAGUACAAGAUAGCACUAAACAUUGUAUAACAUUAUUAAAAUACAGUGUUAAUGCAAUACAAUAUAAGACAAUACAUCUAUAUUAAAAUAAAAUAAAAUAAUUUAAUUUAAUAUAAUACAGUAUGUCAAACGCACCUCGUAUAUUUUAAUUUCAAAAGAAGUUGGUCCUUCCGUUAUUUAUAAAAGAUAACUUUAUUUUCAGAUUACCACUAAACUCUGAAGUAGAAUUGGUGUAAUGUUAAGAGAGAGUAACACAGUUUUCCAUUACCAUCUUUGAAAAUAGAAAGAUAUGGAUCAGUGUAUUUAAGAGUUAUCGUGAAAAUCAUACAGUUCAAUUCCCUGACACAUAUAUUUAUGAGCAUAUGCCAAAAGAAUAAAUAGAUAGAAAGUAAAUUUACAAUCCUCACUUCCUCACAAUUGUUAAAAUGAAGAUGCAUUACAACUGUGAACUGUCACUAUUUUAGCCUUUUUUAUUUUUUACUUUUAGUUAUAGUGCGAUGGAGACAGUGAACAUCAAGGAUGAGAAUAAAAGUUAAAGAUGACCCACCCACUUUCUUUUUAAAGUGCUCUGCUCAAAGACAAACUUCCUCUGGCUAAUUAAUUUAGAUGUGAAGAGAGAAUAAAGUCCUAGAUGCCUUCUGAAAUUAGAAAUACAUUUUAUAUGCUUUAAUUAUGAUUAUUUGGUAGACUAUAGACCUAAAAGACAUGUUAGAUUAUAAAACAGUGCGAUUAAAAAAAAAAGAGUAUUUGUGACGUCAAAUAACAAUUGGUAACUAAAAUCCAAAAUAUUUGAGUUGUUAAAAGCAAAUAAAAAAAAAGAAGGUAAGAGUGAUGCAGAAACACAAUAUUAGCUUAUCUUGAUUUUCCCACUUUAUUCAUUCUCGAUGCUUUUCAAAACAAAUUCUUCUAAUCUUUCUGGUGUCUGCAGCCCCUUGUCACGGGACGAGAGGUUUCGAGCCCGUGCGGUACUCUCGCAUCCCAUACUGCGAGAGUAAACCUAGUGGAAGUGGCACAAUAUCGACUGGUUUCACCCUGUCUUGGGCUCAUCAGGAGAACGGCUCCAGUUCCCAACCAGUGUGUGAAGAGCUUCGCCUAAACCCCUCUUCAACGUUAAGUCCUUGACUAGCGACAAGCUCCCCAAACUCAACCAGGUUGGCCUGCCUGAACUCCAAGAAAUCUAGGAUCAUUGUAUUCCCCACACGACGCCCCUGAAGCACGUCUCCUACAAUCAGCACAACCCUUAUCGAUACCAGCGUACAAACGCAUAUCUUCGGCGUCACAAUUGCAGUCCGUGACACCCUGCUCUUGUUAUAAAACUCCACCCCAAAUCUACACUACAAACAAGUUGAUUGAAAUUAAACAAUUGCUUUUUGAAGUGGACCCAUUGAGUCGUGGUCAUUACUCGUCAUUGUCUAUUUUUUCUAUGAGCCAUUUAUUUUGAGCAAUAGUGAGCUUCUCUGAACUACUCCAAUUAUUGAUGUAACUCCAGUGGCUGCAUCCAUAGUUGAAUAUAUGACAGUAUUAGCUCUUAUUUGAGAAUAUAGGGGGAUCUUUCUUUGUUUCUUUGUUGCAGUGUUCUAGUUUAUAGUCUUGCUGUUAAUGAAUUCACUGAGGCAUUAUUAAUUUAAUUUCAGUGAAGUAAUUAUGGAUGAAAAAUAAAUAAAGGAUAACAGAAUAGAGCUGAAGUGCUGAAUCGGCUAUUAAAGAAAGUGUCACGUGAUCACAAUCACACUGAUGCACAACUCUCUCUAUGUACUCCAAAUUCAGCCAAACCAUACAUGCCUCAACAAAAUUAAACCGUAGUUCUCAUCACUACAGUAAAUGAAGCCCACAAAGACAGCUGAAAUGGAAAAUAUUGACUAUUGAAUGGAUCAAUGCUGAAUUACACUUGAAAUGGGAAGCUUGGCUGCGGUUACGAUGUUUCCCCCUCUGAUUUUUCUCCAAAACAAAUUCCGUUGUAAAUAAUAUUCAAUGUAGCAACACUUUAUUCAGCAAAGAAAAUACCUAAUUUUUCAACUAACAAAUUCUCUUGUCUAAACUAAAAAAACUCACAUCUCUCCAAUCUAUCUACAAAAUAUUGGAGAUGAGAGGUGAUUUGUCAACUCGAUAAAUAAAUUCAUGCAUAAUGUUACCAAUAAUGAUAAAUUACUUAAUAAUUCUUAUAAAGAAUCAUAAAUAAGGAACAUUAACCAUUUUACAGUCUAUUACAUAAGUAAGAUUAAUCUUAUAAUAAGUUAACUUAUAACGUAAUAAAUAUUUCAAUUCAUAAUUAUUUAAGAAGUCACUUAACAAUAAAAUAUUUUUUUAUUUAAUUGAUCAUGUCAUAUAACGUUAUCUAAACUCCUGACGAUAUUAUUAUUACUCACUUUUCUCAAAAAAACAUGACUAACGUUUAGAGAAAAGUCAUGCCUUUUAGAUAGAUAGAAUAUGAUUACAAGCUAUCCAUACUUUAUCUUACCAUGACAAAAUUGAUGGUGAUUAAAUCUAUUUUUAAAAUAGAUUUAAUGCACAAACAUGAUGACUUUUGCCAAAAAUUAGUUUCAGAAGAUAACUAAAUUAAGUUGCAAAGGAGCUUACUUCAAUUUCUAAGCUUUUCAAUCAUGAUUCCUCCAUGCCUUCCUCUGAUACCAUUUUGUUACGUGCCAACGUAAUUGACCUUGUAAUUGGUUUGUAUAAGGAAUGAAGCCCUUUCAAGAUCGUUUCUUUUGUGUCCAUAUUGUAGUAGACUAGUAGUCAAGUAAAUAAAGAGUGAAUAACUGAAUUUGGUCUAUUUCGAAGAAGACUAUGGCCUCCACACUACAAGAAAAUAGGCGAUAGAUAACGGGAAAUAACCGUCAUAAAAGGUGGUGUAUGACAGACAGUUUAUUCGUCAUCUAUGUCACUGUCAUUAAUUUAUGACAGAAUAUUUUCCGUCAUGAAUUCUUGAUGUUAUUUUACAAUCAUAUAUCCAUCACACAAUAUUUUAAUGAGAAAAAAUAAUUAAAUAAAAUUUGAAUUUAUUAAAAUUUUUGCUCUAUUUUUUAAUUUUUUGGCGGAAAAUUAAAUUGUCAUUUGUAAAUUUCUUAUUCAAUUUUGGUGGAAAAUUUUUUUAUGACAGACUUUAUGAUGUGUAUUUCCCAUCAUAAAGUUAAUUUUUUUAAAUUAUAUUGUGAUUAUAGUUUAUUUCUGAAUUCCUGUUUACAAAUUUAAUUAAUUAAUAAAAAAUGAAUAUUGUCAAAAAAUAAAAAAAUAAUAGUAACUAAAAUCCAUUCAAUCCAACAAAUUAAUUUCAAAAUAAAUACAUCUAAUAUUCAAUGUCAUUACCACUAAUACAUAAUAAAACAUCCCAAAUUAAAAAAAAGAAUGUCAAAAUAUAAAACAAUAGUUAAAUUCCAAUUAAAUUCCAAGAAAUGUAAUUCAAAUUCCGGACACCGAGCCAAGCUCCCCAGCAAAACUUCCAAAGAUUAAUGGAAAUAUUCCAAUAGCAAGACUUCCAGAAGCAAUACCCUCUUCCAGUGGCAAUACAUUGACUAAUCUUUGAAGCCAUGACUCCUCAAGCCAAUGCCAAAAAUGUGUGCAAAAUUAAUGCUCUAUCCACAAAAAUUUCAGUCUAUAUUGGUAAGAAGAAACAUGAAGAAACAAUUACCUCAGCAUCAUCGUCAUUGGAAGCCAAAUCAGCUGUAAAGACCACAAAAUGUUUGGUUAGAACUAGUGGAAGUCUUACUCUAAAACUUUUAAUUUUUGAAUUUCGAAAGAUCUAGUAAUGACAAAGAUUCUCAUAUCCAGUGACCAAGUUUUGAAAAUUAGAAUACGGAAUAACGUCAACUAAAUUCACUAAUAUAGGGUGCAUUUGAGAUUGAGGUUGGACAGCUGUAGCUUAAAAGCUACAGUAGUAAAGUGUUUGGUAAACACUAGUUGCUGUAAUUUAAAAACUAUGUUGAUAUGAUUUUUCACUUGUAUAAUGGAGAAUCUAUUUUUUUAAAUAAUUAUGUCAAAAUUAUUAUUUAAAAUUUAUAUUUACUACAUAUUAUUAAUUUUUGUUUCAUAGUCACAGUUUUUUUUCCACAGCAGUUGUAAAGCUACAUCACCUCAAUCCCAAACGCACCCUAAGCUAGAGGAAUCCCUAGUUGAUAUAGCACACAUGCACACAUGAUAUGCAUGCAUCAGAAUACACAAUAAUAAAUUAUCUCAAAGUCAAUAAGAAGCCAAAACUAGAGAUAAACCUUUAGCCACUAUAAGGAAGACUGAUAUUUGCAGUGUGAUUACAAUAAACAAACAGAAACUUCACUACCCAUAAGUAAAGCAAAAUAAAUAAAGGAUAAUAACUAACCAAGAAAUGGAAAAGCUCACAUUCUCUGAACACGCACCCCAAAAAGAAAGAAAGAAAUAAAUGUUCCCAUUGGAUCUGAAGCACAAGCAAUCCACUGACAUCCUUCUAUAAUUAGGUAAUUUAAAGGGGUUAAGCUCACAUCUUUUACGGAAGCAACAAGAGAAUUAACAACAUUCCAGAGGAUUUAGGGAAAAACCACGAGGCAAGAAAAAAGAAAGAUCCUUCUUCAAUCUAGAUAUCUUGACACUGCUCACCAUCUACAGCAGUCUGGGGCUUAAAAAGCAUGAUCUCUCCCCCCCUCUGGCACCAUUUUCUCUCAUGUGAAUCUGUCAUUGCCCGUAGAAACAAACCAGAACUGCAUAAAUUCUCUUAUCUUCCAGCAGCUUCUUUUCUCCAGAAAUAGGCACAACUAUUUGACAUGGAAACAAUUUAUCUAACAUGGCCACCUUUAAAGACAAAGACAUACUAAGGACAUGGUUUUAGAUACGGAUACAAGAAACAAUCACAAAAUGUAAAAUCUAUACAUAUGAUAUUAAUUUCCAAUGGAUACAGCACUUCAUUCUUUGACUUAACUUCAUUAGAUUACUAGGUUUGAUUAGGUUAUACACACAUUUAUUCAUUUAUGGUUUUCAACCUAUAAUCUACAUGCACUUAGAAUGAGAGGUACCUAUAAAAACAAGUUACCAGAAAACAAUACAGCUAGAAAACAUUAAAACAUUAAUCUAAGCAGUUCUAUAGGUUUAACUAACUGCAGGAAAAAACCGUUGAUUUUGUCCGUCGGAUUAUUGAGAUCCUAAUUCUGGUAAAAAGAAAAUGAGAUAAUAGAAAAUCAAAAAUUAAAUAGACACAAAAUGAGAAAUCAAGAUCAUACGGCAACUAAUAUAUAGCAUGGGCUGCAGCUAACAAGCAAUAUAAGCCAUGAUAUUAUGCCAGAUACAAAAUUUUGAGAUCCAAGAGAGAUCAAGAAGCAUGAAUAUUGAAAGAAGUGAGUGCAGAAGGAUAAGAAAUCAGGUUGAUAUUCUUCAUACUUUGGGUCAACACGUAGUGAUGCAAUAAACUUGUAAUUAGCUUCAAGUGUAUAGGCUACCAUGUCAACAUUUCCGAAAACACACAAGAUUGUGCUGGAUUCAUAUAUAGUACAUAUAUAAAAAAACAAUCUGCUUCUAAACUUCAUGAGAACAUCGAAUAAUGAACUUACAAUUUGAUCCCUCAUCAUCUUCAUCGCACCAUUUGUUCCAAUCAACCUUAAUGUAAGGUGCUGGUUUCUCUUCUGACUUGAGUAGCCUUUUCCACCAACCUUUCUCUUCUUUUUGCACCGAGCAUAUUAUGUUCCUUAAGCCAACUUUAGUCUUACAUUUCUGCACCACCAGCAACAAAAUUCAAAGCAUUACAAAAGAGGUAUAUUUAGCCGCUCUUGACUCGAGUGAGAGAACAGGAUAAACAGCCUAGGUAUAUCCACAUCCAUGUUAUGAGAUUAAUUAUGCAACAACUAACUUUAAUAUAAAGUUUGUGCUCCAACAAAGACUAAAAUGUUUGUAAUUGUUAUGCUUCCGGAGCUAAAAUGUUUCGCAAACACUCACUUUUACUCUGCAGCUAAUAUCUAGCACCCAGCCACACAAAGUCCGUAGUCUUUGUCUCAACUUUGUCUGAGGCCAAUGUAAAUCCAAUUUGCACAAGCUCUCUAUGCACCACAGCUCUUCUGGAAGCUUUCUCAAGUACGCACAAGGGUUGACAAUUAAGCUUUCAAGUUUUGGUAUUGCUCCAGCCCCCAUCGUCCACUCAUCUAGCCAAUACAUUGAUUUCAGGCGCAAAACCUUAAGUUCCGGAAAGCCACCCGAGCAAGCACAGGCCAGCUUUCUUCCUAAAUACAAGCUCUGCUUCAGUUUCAGCACUUGAAGGCGUGGAAGCUUUUUGAUAAGGAAAGGGAGCCACGGAGGUCAACAAAGGUUCAUAAGCCUAACUACAGAUACGAGGGCUUUGUUUGAACAUUCGUAAGUCUCAUGCAGCCAUGCAUGCGGUCAUGCAUGUUGCAUGCAAUACCAUGCAAGACUUAUUUACGCAUGGAUUAAAGAGUAGUCUGUUUCUAGUUUUUUAUUUAAGAUUGCUCAGUUAUUUAAAUUGAUUUUAGCCGUGAAUUGUGGCUACAAAUCCUUAGUAGUGUUUGUAUUAACUACUAUAAAUAAGCUCCAGCAAUUAAUAAAAGGAUUAUGCAAAAAAUUAUCUCAAAGUACUAUUCUUGGUCGUUUUCACCGUAAGUAGAACAACGUAAACUUAGCUAUUGUUGAACGUUUUUGAUUGGGACCUAUCACUUUUCCAGCCUUGGCAUGGGAUCCUCCAUUAGCUCAGUAUUUGAUAAGCUCAGUUGGGUCAGACUUGGAGGAAAUUGGUAUUCAGACAGGACCGUCCGUGAGAGCUUGCUUUCAUUCACCAGCUUCAAGCAUUCAAGUUUCUCUAGUUCGCAUAGGCUUUUGGAAAUCCCAGAUUGAUAGUAACUCAAAUCUCCAGACACUCUAAGAGUUUGAAGAUUAGGUAGUCUGCCCAAUAUAGCUGGAGUGCAACUACUAGGGUGUAAGGCUGAUAUGAAAAUGAGAUUUUUCAGAGAGCUGGAAUAAUUUUUUGGAGGCGCAGGCAGAGUGAUGCAACCGAAGUUUAAAUGCACGAGUUUUCGCAUCAUCCAAAUAUCCUCUGGUGAAUGAUCUAUGUAGCUUGAUGGCAUUUCUAGUGUUUGAAGGUUUAAAAGAGUGCAUAGCAGUGAAGGAAGGCAUUUGAGCGAGGGGAUAUUCAAUUUCAAAUACUUCAAAUGGAAAAAGUUUCUAAUCCGGGCGGAUAUUGGUCGAGAAUUGCAGAACCCAAGUUCAAUACCCCAAGGUGUUUGAACGUUUGACGAAAAUUCUCGCAAUCUAUCAGAGCGAGAUGAUCGCUUUCUGAACUGUGAUUCAGAAAAGAUUGGAGAUAGAUGUCAGGAUGUUCUAAAGAUAAAAACUGAAUCAGAUGUUCCAAAAUGAAGCACCGUUUAACAUUUGCCAGUGGUUCCUUUUCCCUUUCAUGCAUGCAGACAAAUUCCGUCUGCGCUGCCACCAAAAACAAUGGAGUACAUAAAAAACUUGGAACAUAACACGCUUUAAUUGUGCCUCCGGCUCUUCUCUUACUCACUUGAAUGAAGCCGCAAUAGAUUAGUUCUUUCAAAUAAUGCUCGGCAGUUUCUUCACUGUUGUAUGGUAUGAAACCUUCAGCUACCCACAAAUGAUAUAAUUGCCUCGUAGAUAUUUCAAUACUUGGACGAAAGACACACAAAUAGAUGCAGCAGACUUUCAAGUGAAAAGGUAACUCCAUCAAAGAAUAACUGUGUCUCUAAAUUGUCGGAAUCGCUACGCCUUGAACAUAAUUUUCUAAUGGCAUACUUCCAUAGUGUAGGAUGAAAAAUUGCCAGGCUUUAUGCUUUAAUCUGAUCAAUGGUCCUCCACUGAGCACUGAAUCAAACCGAAUCAUCUCUCCGUUUUCCAUGUCCAACAGCGUAAGGGGGCAUGGAUCAGUGACCAAUAUCAAUACUCUGCUUCCAUUCUGAUUGUCAGGAAGAACUUGUUCAAGAUCAUCCAAUACAUCGUCACUCUCUUCACAGUAAUCAUCAAGCACAAUAAAGUACUUCUUGUUUGUUAGGAAAUCUCGAAGAAUAGAUUUCUUCAAUUGAUAAUGUUCACCGAUAAUUACACUAACCCGAGAUGGAGGCAUCACAGACUUGAUUAUGUCAUCCAAUAUCUUGCCAAAAUCGUAGAGUACAGAAAUCCUGACCCAAGCAAGGCAGUCAGAGAAUUGCAACCACUGCAAGCCGAGGAUGUCCUUCAAUCAAUAAAUCAAACAACUCCUCUCUACCACUUUCAAAUUCGUUGAUAUCAAGCCGAGGUUUUCCCUCAAUCAAUAAGUGAAUGAGUUUGUCCCUUUGUUCAGUGAUUACGAAACCAUUGUCGCCGGGUGGAAGUUGUUGCAUCCGAUUUCUAAUAUCAAUAAUUUUACUGUGGAGUCCAACAAGAAGAGCCAUAUUAGUACUGCUUUCACUUUCUUCUUCACUGUUUUGCUGCUGCAUGAUGUUGAUGAAGAAUGUGUCAAUGGCUUCCUCAGAUUCAUGGACAAAGUCAUUGAUGUCCUUCACAAUUUCCAGAAUGUCUGAUCUUUUAACGUCUUCAUCGCUUUCUUGUAAAAAAGCCAAAUAUAUUUCGGAUUCAUCGAAUUCUCCUCUAAUGAGUUGAAACAAAAGCCGAGCCAUGUCAGCUUCAUAGUUUCCCACCAGAGUAGUAGCAAUGAUUUCUGACUCCGUAAGAAGGUUCUGAAAAAGUGGAGUCAAAUUUGUUCAAUCAGGCAACGUUAACGCGCCUUCUUCACCUGCUAGCACCCUUUUCAACCUCUCACAAAAUAGUCGGAGGUUCACGUCCACCAUAUCUCCUUCCCUCCGUAGCACUCAGAGAAGAUUGGUCCUAUCUCAAAGUGGUUAGUGCUGUAAAAUUAAACACCAUGGAAGAAUUUGAAAGGAAUAUGCCAAGAAACUGGCCAAGUGGCUAAAUUCCACAAAUAUGACAUUAUUGCUCAUUUUCUCUCAGACACGUGAUACACGUUGAUUUAGAGGAAAGUUCAAGAAUUUUGCUUUAAAAAAAAAAAUUGAUGGUGCUUAAAUUAUUAUUUUUUUAAUUUAAAGAGUUUUGCUUUUAAAAAAAAAUUAAUAUCAAAAUGCCUUCAAUGUUAUUACUGCCACAAGCCCAGUAACAAAACUCAUUAAAAAUUUUAGAAUUUCUGGCCAUGGAAAGAGUAGUAUUAAACAUCAGAAAGCAAAGGUUGUUCCGUUAAAGAAUUGAUGUUGACAUAAUUUUAUUUUGGUUUUCGGGAAAAAAAAAAUAUUUGUUGGCAAGCAAAGAAAAUAAUUUUAUACUUUACAAUCUGCUAUACAUAUUUUAUCAUAUUAAAGUAAUUUUAAUAUCUAUCAAAAAAAUAAAUUUAAUAAUAAUUGGAACAUAAUAUUACAAUAAAUAAAUUAAAAUUAUUUUAAAUAUUAGGAAAAAAAUAUUAUUAAUAGGAAGAUAUUUUGUUAAUUGUAAAAUCCUUUUAUUCCAAAUAUUUUAUUUAAAUUUUUUAUAAUAAAUAAAAAUAUAAAAUUAAAAUAAAUAUCAUAAUUUAAAUUUUUUAUAUUAAAAAUAUUUUAAUGUUAUUAGUCUACUACAUAAAUUAUAUUAUUUAUAUUAUAUUCGUAUUGAUUAAAAUCUUUUAAAGUUAAUUUUAUAGUUACUAUAUCCACAGGGUAUUAUAUUAUAUUUAAGAGUAAUUUUUUCAAAUUUUAGGAUUGCAGAUGUCCUUCUUCCGAUAAUUUAUUUCACUUUUGAGAGAAUCCAAUGAGAAAUAUGAUAAGAGAUGGUCAGUUUAAUGUUCUCUGCCUUUAUGGAAAAAAAGUAAAAAGUAAAAACUAUUCAAUUUUGUACUUUUUGUGUCCACCAAAUAAAUUUUACACAUUUAUGUUGUCAUAAAACGAAAAAAAAGGGUUUGCCAAAAAAUGGUACCAAGCAUACCUUUAAUGUCCCACGUGAUUUCUUAUUAAGCCCAUAUUAUAUAUAUUUAUACAUUUUAUUGCAUUAAACAUUUUUAUUAUAAAAGAAGUUGGUCCUUCCCCUAGUGAUAAAAGAUAAAUAUGAUAAUGUUUGAGAUGGGUUUAGUCUUUUAUAUUUGCUGAGUCCAGUGGGUUAAAGAAUUAGAGUAAAGCAUCUGGGCAUUCUUUCAUGCAAAACUAAAAAUCCUGAAAAUAGUUGGCUUUAACUGAUUAAGACAAGCUUGGUCGAAUUGAGUUGAACUUCAUAUAUAAAAGCCAAAUAUAUUGCGGAUUCAUCGAAUUCUUCUCUAAUGAGUUGAAACAAAAGCCGAGCCAUGUCAGCUUCAUAGUUUCCCACCAGAGUAGUAGCAAUGAUUUCUGACUCCGUAAGAAGGUUUUGAAAAAGUGGAGUCAAAUUUGUUAAAUCAGGCAACGUUAACGCGCCUUCUUCACCUGCUAACACCCUUUUCAACCUCUCACAAAAUAGUCGGAGGUUCACGUCCAGCAUAUCUCCUUCUCUCCGAGAAACUGUGUAAGUGGCUAAAUUCCAGAAAUAUGACAUUAUUGCUAUUUUUUUAACUCAAAAAAAUGGUACGCGUUCAUUUAGAGAAAAGUUCAAGACGCGCGCCUUUUGAAAAAUGGUACCCGUUCAUGUAGAGAAAAGAACAGGUAUCCCAAUCGGUAUCCAACCUUUAUCUUCUUUAAUUACCACCACGACAUGAUUUUUUUUUUUUUUUUUUGAUGACAUGAGACUAUUGCUUAAAUUACAACUCAAAUUACAACUCAUAUUACAUGAGAGUAUAAUUGAUAUGUACAAUCAUAUAUACAUACUGAGAUCUAUUGACAUUAAUGCUGAUAUGACACUGCUCAGAUUUUUGUAACCCUCUCAAAUAUUCGAGGGACGUCAAACUCCUAUCCUGGGAGAAAGACUGCCUUCACUCGAGCUCUGUGGCUCCAAGGAAGGAAAUAUAAAUUAAACCUCUACAAUGCGACUGCGGAGGCUCGAACCCCUUCCCUCACAUAUGUGAGGGAGUGGCUCUAGCCACUUGGGCUAGCCCAAGUGGUUCCACGACAUGAUUGAUGGUGCUUAAAUCAAUUGUUUCUUUUUUAAUUUAAAGAAAUUUUCAUUAAAAAAAUAUUUUAAUAUCAAAUACCCUUCAAUGGCAUAACUGCCGCAAUCCCAGAAACAGGAUUAAAUAUUUUUUUUUUUUUGAAUUUUUGGGCAUGGAAAGAGCAGUAUUAAAAAUCAGAAAGCUAAGGUCGUUCUGUUAAAGAAUUGAUAUUGACAUAAUUUUUUUUUGGUUUUCGGGGGAAAAAAAAAAUUGUUGACAAGCAAGAAAAUAUUUUUAUAUUUUACAAUUUAUUAUACAUAUUUUUUUUUUUUGGAUCAAUAAUGGGCUCUAAAAGAGCUAAAGCACCAGUAAACGGGAGUGGGCAACCCCAGACACAUCGUUAUGAAGAAUACUCUGUAAAUUAGGAGGAGCAACAGUAAGUAACUGCAAUCCUAAAGGACAAGACAAAUUAAAUGAGGCCAGAAAAUCUGCUGCUAUGUUUGCUUCUCGAUAGAUGUGGUUCACUUUCACGACCCAGUCCCUGCUGAUCAGCUCACGAAUGGCAAGGAUAAGAGAAUGAUGCUCAUUAACAGGAGUGGUCGGAUUCUCCAAGAUUUGAGAUUUAUUAUACAUAUUUUAUCUUAUUAAAGUAAUUUUAAUAAUAAAUAGAAACAUAAUAUUACCAUAAAUAAAUUAAAGUUUAACUUAUUUUGAAUAUUAUAAAAAAUAAUUUUAAUAUUAUUAAUAGGAGGACAUUGUAUUAAUUUUAAAAUUUUUUAACCCAAAGGUUUAUUUAAAAUCUUUAUUAUAAAUACAAAUAUAAAAUUAAAUAUAAUAAUUUAAAAUUUUUAAUAUUAUUUUAAAUAUUAAAAAUAUUUUAAUGUUAUUAGUCUACUACAUAGAUCAUAUUACUUAUAUAAUAUUUGUAUUAUUAAAAAUUCUUAAAAUCAAAUUUUUAGUUAGUAUAUUUAUGAGGUAUUAUGGUUAAAAAAAAAACCUUAUUAUUACUUUUUAAAACAUUGAGGGCCUGCGUGAUAAUUUUUUCAAAAAGAAAAUGCUUGGUAUCUAGGAGGGUUAGAGAAACAGGACUACCAAAAUCUCUCACCCUUUUUUAAUUAAAAAAAAUUAAAAUAUCAAUAAAAAAAAUAAAGAAAAUAGAAUUUUAUCUGCUCCUUACUCCAUUUUUGUAACUCUCUCACCAUCUCUGUCGAGCAGCCCUCUCUUUCACUGUCUCUCACUAUUUCACAAUCUCUCUCUCACUCACACAGUCCUUUAGAAAAGCCCAAAAUAGGCCCAAUAAGCCCAUAAUUAAAAUAAUCGAAUCGAAUUAUUUCAAUUAAUCGAGUAUUUGAUUAUUUCGGUAAUUUGAUUAAUCGCGAUUAUGAUUUUAAAAUAAUCGUAAUCGAACGAUUAUGAAAAAUUUAGUAAAAAACCGAAUUGAACCGAACCGCACCCACCCCUACAUAAAAGAACAACAAUUACUUGUCAUUUUCAAUUUUUUCUAUAAGCUAUUUAUUUUGAGCAUUAGUGAUCUUGUCUGGACUACUCCAAUUAUUGACGUAACUCCAGUGGCUGCAUCCACUGGAAAAAGUGGAUGAGAACAUUUUUUUUUUUCAUAAAGGUAACUACUCCAAUUAUUGACAUAAUUGAUGGUGCUUAAAUCAAUUUUUUUUUUUAAUUUAAAGAAUUUUGCUUUAAAAAAUAAUUAAUAUCAAAAUGCCUUCAAUGUUGUUACCGCCACAAGCCCAGUUAGAGGACUCAUUAAAAAUUUUAGAAUUUUUAGGCCUGGAAAGCGUAGUAUUAAACAUCAGAAAGCAAAGGUUGUUAUGUCGAAGAAUUGAUGUCGACAAAAUUUUAUUUUAGUUUUCGGAAAAAAAAAAAAAUUUGUUGACAAGCAAGAAAAUAUUUUUUAUACUUUACAAUCUGCUAUACAUAUUUUAUCAUAUUAAAGUAAUUUUAAUAAUAUAUGGAAACAUAAUAUUAUAAUAAAUAAAUUAAAAUUACUUUGAAUUAUUGAAUAUUACAAAAAGAUAAUUUUAAUAUUAUUAAUAGGAAAACAUUUUUAAUUGUAAAAUCUUUUUAAUACAAAAAUUCAUUUAAAAUCUUUAUAAUAAAUACAAAUAUAAAAUUAAAAAAAUAUCAUAAUUUAAAUUUUUUAAAAUUAUUUAAAUAUUAAAAAUACUUUAAUAUUAUUAGUCUACUACAUAAAAUAUAUUAUUUAUAUUAUAUUCGUAUUGAUUAAAACGUUUUAAAGUCAAAUUUUUAAUUAGUGUAUUCAAAGAUACAAAAGAUUUUAGUAUUAUUUUUAAAAAAUUUCAGGAUAUGAAUGAUAAUUUUUUCAAAUUUUAAAGAUGUAAGAAUCUUUUUUUCUGAUAAUUUAUUUCACUUUUGAGAGAAUCCGAAAACGUUAAUUUAACAUUCUUUACCUUUGUGAAAAAAGUGAAAAUCAAGAACUAUUCAAUUUUGUUUUUAUUUGUAAUUCAAAAACUUUAUUCAUUUUCGAUGCUUUUCAAAAGAGACUCCUCUAAAUCCUUUUGGUGUCUGCAGCUCCUGCAAUUCUCAUAAAUCUCCAUCCCACAUCUACACUAUCAAACAAGUUGAUGGAAAUUCUUAUCAAAAAAAAAAAAAAAAACAAGUCGAUGGAAAUUGAUCAAUUACUUUUUGAAGUGGACCCAUUGAGUCAUGUUCAUUUCUGGUCAUUGUCUACUCUUUCCAUCAGCCAUUUAUUUUGACCAUUUGCGAUCUUAAAGGAUAUGAGAACGUAGCUGAAGUGCUGAAGGGGCUAUUAAAGAAGAGUGUCACUUGAUCACAAUCACAUUGAUGCACAACUCACUCGUGGCAAAUUUCGACUAUACGUUCUGCAAAUUCAGCCAAACCAUACAUGCAUGAACAAAACUAAAAUGUAGUUCUAAUCACAACUGCAGUUAUAAUGUUUACCCCUCUGAUUUUUCUCCAAAACAAAUUCAGUUCAAAACAAUAAUUAAAUAGCCACAUUUUGUUCGUCAAAAUAAAUGCCCAAAUUUUCAAUUAACAAAUCAUCUUCUCUAAACUAAAAAUCCCACAUCUCUAAAAUCAAUCUACAUAAUGUUGGAGAUGAGGGGUGAAUUGUUAACUCAGUAAAAAAAACUCAUGCAUAAUAUUACUAAUAAUAUAAAAUAUAUAUUAAUCAUUAUAAAGAAUCAUAAUUAGAAAAAUUAAUCAUUUUAUAAUUUAUUACACAAGUAAGAUAAAUCUCAUAAUAAGUUAUAACAUAAAAAAAACGUUAUCAAUAUAUAAUCAUUUAAGAAGUCAUUUAACAAUAAAAUCGUUCUUUAAUCAGUUGGUCAUGUCACAUAGUGUCAUCUAUAUUUACGGUGAUAAUAUUAUUACUCAGUAUUAUCAAAAAACAUGAUUUAACAUUUAGAGGAAAUUCUUGCCUUUUAAAAAAAACAUGUAUGCAACAACUACCCAUGCUUUAUCUUACCAUGACAAAUAUUUUCUCAAUGAAAGAAAAUUUUUUAAAAAUUGAUUUAAUGCACAAAUAUGAUGAUUUUUCCAAAAAUUAGUUUUGGAAAACAUAGUGAGAGAAAAUAGUGACGAUUAUUGUUUAGAUGUAUAAAUAGCCUAAACAUAAUCCUUAAUACCAAUAUCCUAAUGCAUCUUAUCAUCUUUCAUGAUAUUCUUUCAUUUAUGUCCAUUGGUUCAAGAUUUGAAUUUGAUCAUUAAAUCAUGUUCAAUAAUAUUAGAGAUUCUAACAAAUGAGUACCAACUUAAAUCCCAAUGUUAUGUGUCAUUGACCAAUUUUGUGUCAUUUUGUUAUUAACUAGGUGAUGAAUUUGUAGUUGAUAAAAUCACUUAAAAAUAUCUUAAAAAUCAAACAAUAGUUUGCUUAAUUUUUCCAAGUUAACUGCUCAAGAUGCUCUAUUAUAAAUAAUAACCUAAUUAUAUUCAUAAAAAAUGAUAUUUUUUUUGUGGUGUUGAUAAUGAGAUUAUCAUUCAACAUUUUAAAAUGUGAAAACAUAUGGAAGAUGGUUGUAAAUUGAUUGAAUGAAAACAUUUCAGUGAAGUCUCAAAAAUUUGGUACUUGUUGUCUUAUCGAAAGUUUUCUAAAUUAUAUUCGUGGCACAGCCACUAUCCAAACCAUACAAGUCCAAAGCUAUCCAAACCAUACCUGCAAGUCCGGGGCUUAAAUGGAGUACUUCUAAGCAAAAAAACAUUGACUAAAAUAGAAUAUAUACAUACAGACACACAUACAUACCAGCAUAUUCAAAAUAGCAAAAGGAGUGCAAAAGUUCAAGUUUGUAGACAACAUUGCAACCAUAGCAUGUUUAUAGCAAAUCCUCAAAAUCUGCUAAAUAAAACAAUGCCCUGUCUCAUGAAUCAAUGCUGAAUUAAAAUUGAAACUGAAAGUCUGGAUGGUUUUGUUUGUUGAGAAUGUCAAAUAAAACGGCAUUGAAGGAAGUUUUCAAAGGCAGAAUCCGCACUUGUCAAAGGGAUGAUCUGCACUUGUCAAAGACACUAUCCGCGCCGAACGGAUCGACACAUUUCCUUCCGUAUUCACAUAUGUAAUCUUUGAAAAAAUAUAGCUUCUGCAUCUAUAAAUAACGCUCAGUGUAUAAUGUUUUAUUCAAGAAAUAAAAACAAGUUUCUACAUGGUAUCAGAGCCAUGAAUGCGCUCAAGUUUCUUCAAGUUUCGCUGCUCUGUUUGUCACAAAAACAGAGGAAACCAAUUAAAUUCGUCCCACAACCAUUUUUUCCACCAUUUUCUUCCUUAAAAUCAUUCCUAACAUUACAGAAAUCCAUGCCGAUCAAAAAACAUGAAAGACAAAUUACACAUGUGCAGUAACCAAUGAUCAUAUUUCGUUACUGUCAAACACAAUGCAUCUGAGCAAAACAUUGGAAGCCAACACCAGAAUACAUAUGAAUAAACAAUUAAAGAUAGAGAAAAAAGGCUUAAACCUUGGGGGGAAAAAGUGAAAAAACAUGAAAGACAAAUUACACAUGUGCAGUAGCCAUCGAACUUAUCAGUGACAGCUGCAUCCAUUACAUUGCUCCAACAACACAAUGGCAAACCACCAGUUUCAAAUUGAGGAUAGCUAUCGAGAAUGAGAAAGUGUCCAAAACGUCAUAAAUAGACAUGUUCCGAUUGUGCAUAAUUUACAUUAUAGGCAAAUAUUCUUAUACCAUCAAAGGCAAAACAUGACACUAACAAUUGAUCACCCCCCCCCCCCCCCCCCCAACAACAAAAAAAAGGAAAAAAACAAUACAGAAAAGAUUGAAACAGAUAAGGCUACACUGAGCACAGGAUGCCAUGAAACAUAAUCCAGGAACCAAAUUAAUAAAAAAGGAAGCCAAACCAUUAUUUAACAAUCUGUUUUGUAUUUGGGAAAGUCUGAUAAAAUCUACUUGGGGAUAAUUAGAGAACCUCAACUAUUAAUCACACCUCAUAAAUGAACUAACAUUAAACAUCUACCAUCCCAACGUCACACAAACAUUCUCUACACUUCUGAACCUAAUACUUCCAUCUUCAAUUGGGGUUUUUUUUUCUUUUUCUUUGGGGGGGGGGGGGGGGGGGAUUGAAAUGCUGAUUUCGAAUCACUAACAGUAAAAUUGGAAGCUCAUGAAAAAAUAGUUUUAUCUCAAAAUUACAUCUCGAUAUAAAUUCUCUUUUCAUUUCCUUCAACUUUCUAAUUAAGCUUAAAAAAUGUACCUUCAACCACAAAGGGGUUUAAAAUUUAAAAUAUAAAAAAUAAAUUCAGAUAACAAUAAUUAAUUUAAUUAAAAAUAUAAAUAGAGUUACAGAGAAAGAGAAAAUAGAGAAAGACGUAAUGUUGAGUCCUUUGGCGCAAGUCUCUUCAUAGGUCCGAACCAUUUCUUCGGGCGUGGGUUUCGGGUCUUUAGGAUACUCCAUAGUGAUAAGCCAGUGAUUGUAAUCGCAACCCUCGAACAGAAUCGUGUCGGGUGUGAUCUCGUCGCCGUCCUUAUACAAGUGGUACGUCUUGUUAACCGACGGCGUAGACGAGAGGGAGAUCGUCGGGGACGAUCUGAACGGCCGAGAUUGGAUAAUGAUGGAGGAGGAGAAGAUUAGCGAUGACGACGCCGAUGAAAUGGAAGGGUUUACCAGAGGAGUGGAUGCGAAGAAUGCAGGGACGGCCGCAAAGAGAGAGCGGCGGAGAGCGGCGACGGACGGUAGUGACCAGCGGAGGCGGAAAAUGGCGGUAUGGGCCAUUGCUUGCGCGUCGGUGAGUGUCUCGAGUGAGAGAGUGAAGGGUUUUGGGAAAUGAAAAAUGCAAAUGUUUGAUUUUGUUGCUAGAAACUUCUUCUGCCGCUGCCUUUUAUUUUCGCUAUAAUAAUAAUAAUUUGUUAAUCAAAUAUUUUCUUAAAAAAGAUAAAUUUCUACAACAAAAUUUAUAUUAAAUCAAAUUGUAAAAAUGUCUAUUAGGGUUAAUUUCUCCUUAAUAUUAUUAUUAGUAGAUGUAGAUUUUCGAAUUAGUCUUGAUAUAUUUCAGAGUUGUAUUAUAAAUGUAUAUGUAUCUGGAUUGCAAUUAUAUUUUUAAAAAAUAUAAUUUUUUUAAUUAUUGCACAAUAAAUGUAAAUAGUAUCUAUAAAAUAAUAUUAUUAGGACUACGAAAAAAAUAUUAUUUUAGAGAAGUUAUUUAUUUAUUAUUGAAUGAAUAAAAAAAUUAGUUUGGCAUUUUUAUAACCUCCUUGAAGGUUUUACGAUAAACAUAAAUCUACUGAGAAAGUGGGAAAAAAAAAAGAAAAUGCAUAUAAAAGUAUGAGUUAUCAGAUAAGAUUAAAACUCACCCAAUUCAAUCCAUCAGAUUCCGUAAGGAUAUAACUGGAUGUCAUACCGCCACUCCAUAUCCUCGAAAGUCCGUAGUCCUUGUCUCAACUGUGUCUGAGGCCAGUGUAAGUCCAAUUUGCGCAAGCUCUUUAUGCACCACAGCUCUUCUGGAAGCUUUCUCAAGUAAGCACAUGGGUUGACAAUUAAGCUUUCAAGUUUCGGCAUUGCUCCAGCCCCCAUCGUCCACUCAUCUAGCCAAUACAUUGAUUUCAGGUGCAAAACCUUAAGUUCGGGAAAGCUACUCAAGCCAACACAAGCAAGCUUUCUUCCUAAAUACGAGUUCUGCUUCAGUUUCAGCACUCGAAGGCGUGGAAGAUUUUCCAGAAUUGGCAUGGGAUCCUCCAUUAGCUCAGUAUUUGAUAAGCUCAGUUGGAUCAGACUUGGGGGAAAUUGGUAUUCAGACAGGACCAUCCGUGAGGGCUUGCUCUCAUUCACCAGCUUCAAGCAUUCAAGUUUGUGGAGUUCGCAAAGGCUUUUGGAAACCCCAGAUUGAUAGUAACUCAAAUCUCCAGAUAUCCGAAGAGUCUGAACACUAGGUAGUCUGCCCAAUAUAUCAGGAGUACAACUGCUACGGUUUAAAGCUGAUAUGAAAAUGAGAUUUUUCAGAGAGCUAGAAUAAUUUUUUGGAGGUGCGGGCAGAGUGAUAGAACCAAAGUUUAGAUGCAUGAGUUUUUGCAUCAUCCAAAUAUCCUCUGGUGACUGAUCUAUGUAGCUAAAUGGCAUUUCUAGUGUUUCAAGGUUUAAAAGGGUGCAUAGCAGUGAAGGAAGACAUUUGAGCGAAGGGAUAUUCAAUUUCAAAUACUUCAAAAGAUAUAAAUUUUCUAAUCCGGGCGGAUAUUGGUCCAGGACUGCAGAACCCAUGUUCAAUACCCGAAGGUGUUUGAACUUUUUACAAAAAUUCUCGCAAUCUAUCAGAGCGAGACGAUCGCUUUCUGAACUGUGAUUCAGAAAAGAUUGGAGACGCAUGUCAGAAUAUUCUAAAGGAAAGAAGUCAAUCAGACGUUCCACAAUGAAGCACCGUUUAACAUUUGCCACUGAUUCCUCUUCCAUGUCAGGCGUCCAGACAAAUCCCGCCUUCUUUGCCAGAAAAUACAAUGAAGUGUAUACAAAACUUGGAACAUAACACGCUUUAAUUGUGCCGCCGGCGCUUCUCUUACUCACUUGAAUGAAGCCGCGAUGGAUUAGUUCUUUCAAGAAAUGGUCGGCAGUUUCUUCACCGUUGUAUGGUACGAAACCUUCAGCUACCCACAACUGAUGUAAUUGCCUCCUGGAUAUCUCAAUACUUGGAGGGAAGACACACAAAUAGAUGAAGCAGACUUUCAAAUGAAAAGGUAACUCCAUCACAGAAAAAAUUUGUCUCCAAACUGUCGGAAUCGCUUCGCCUUGAAGAUAAUUUUCUAAUGGCAUACUUCCAUAGUGUAGGAUGAAAAAUUGCCAGGCUUCAUGCUUUAAUCUGAUCAAUGGUCCUCCAAAGAGCACUGAAUCACGCCGAAUCUUCUCUCCGUUUUCCAUUUCCAACGACGCAAGGAGGUCUGGAUUAGUGACUGUUAUCAAUACUCUGCUUCCAUUCUGCUUAUCAGGAAGAACUUCUUCAAGAUCAUCCCAUAUGUCACUGUCAUUGAAGACAUCAUCAAGCACAAUAAAGUACUUCUUGUUUGUCAGGUAAUCUCGAAGAAUAGAUUUCUUCAAGCGAUAAUCUUCACUGAUAAUUACCCUAGCCCGAGAUGGAGGCAUCAAAGAAUUGAUUAUGUCAUCCAAUAUCUUGCCAAAAUCGUAGGCUAUAGAAACCCUGACCCAAGAAAGACAGUCAAAAUAGAACUUGACAUGGUUAUUAUUGUAAGUAUCUGCAGCAAAAGCAGUCUUAUCGAAGCCACUGCUGUCGAGAAUUGCAACCACUGAAAGCCCAGAUGGUCCCUCAAUCAAUAGAUCAAAAAACUUCUCUCUGCCCCUUUCAAAUUCACUGAUAUCGAGCCGAGGUUGUCCCUCAUUCAAUAGGCGAAUGAUUUCGUUACUUUUUUCACUGAUAUCAAAACCAUUGUCGCCGGGUGGAAGUUGUUGCAUCCGAUUUCUAAUAUCAAUGAUUUUAGUGUGGAGUCCAACAAGAAGAGCCAUAUCAGUACUGCUUUCACUUUCGUUUUCACUGUUUUGCUGCUGCAUUAUGUUGAUGAAGAAUCUGUCAAUGGCUUCCUCAGAUUCAUGGACAACGGGAUUGAUGUCCUCCAGAAUUUCCAAAAUAUCUGCUGUUUCAACGUCUUCUUUAUCGCUUUCUUCUAAGUCCAACAGUUGCAAAAAAGGCAAUGAUAUUUUGGAGUCAUCGAAUUCUUCUCUAAUGAGUUGAAACAAAUGCCGAGCCAUGUCAGCUUCAUAUUUUCCCAGCAGAGUAGUAGCAAUAAUUUCGGACUCCGUAAGAAGGUUUUGAAAAAGUGGAGUUAAAUUUGUUGAAUCAGGCAAAGUUAACGUGCCUUCUUCACCUGCUAACACCCUUUUCAACCUCACACAAAACAGUCGGAGGUGGAGUUCCAGCAUAUCUCCUUCUCUCCGCAGCACUCAGAGGUAUAGUUGAAAGAUUAAACACCAUGGAAGAAUUUGAAAGGAAUAUGCCAAGAAACUGUGUAAGUGGCUAAAUUCCACAAAUGCGGCAUUAUUGCUCAUUUUUAACUCAAAAAAUUGAUACGCGUUCAUUUAGAGAAAAGUCCAAGACGCGUGCCUUUUGAAAAGAACAGGUAUCCCAAUCGGUAUCCAACCUCUAUCUUAUUUAAUUACUAUCAUGACAUAAUUGAUGGUGCUUAAAUCAAUUGUUUCUUUUUUAAUUUAAAGAAUUUUUCAUUAAAAAAAUAUUUUAAUAUCAAAUUGCCUUCAGUGGCGUAACUGCCUCAAGCCCAGUAACAGGACUAAUUAAAGAUUUUACAAUUUUUGGGCAUGGAAAUAGUAGUAUUAAAUAUUAGAAAGGUGAGGUUGUUCUGUUAAAGAAUUGAUCUUGACAUAAUUUUAUUUUGGUUUUCGUGGAAAAAUAAAAUUUGUUGACAAGCAAGAAAAUAUUUUUAUAUUUUAAAAUUUAUUAUGCAUAUUUUAUCAUAUUAAAGUAGUUUUAAUAAUAAAUAGAAACAUAAUAUUACGAUAAAUAAAUUAAAAUUUAACUUAUUUUGAAUAUUAUAAAAAAAAUUUUAAUAUUAUUAAUAGGAAGACAUUGUAUUAAUUUUAAAAUUUUUUAACCCAAAGGUUUAUUUAAAAUCUUUAUUAUAAAUACAAAUAUAAAAUUAAAUAUCAUAAUUUAAAAAUUUUAAUAUUAUUUUAAGUAUUAAAAAUAUUUUAAUGUUAUUAGUCUACUACAUAGAUCAUAUUACUUAUAUAAUAUUUGUAUUAUUAAAAAUUCUUAAAAUCAAAUUUUUAGUUAGUAUAUUCAUGAGGUAUUAUGGUUAAAAAAAAAAAAGACCUUAUUAUUACUUUUUAAAAAAUUGAGGGUCUGCGUGAUAAUUUUUUCAAAAAGAAAAUGCUUGGUAUGUAGGAGGGGUAGAGAAACAGGACUCCCAAAAUCUCUCACCCUUCUUUAAUUAAAAAUAAAUAAAAUAUUAAUAAAAAAUAAUAAAGAAAAUAGAAUUUUAUCUGCUCCUUACUCCAUUUUUGUAACUCUCUCACCAUCUCUGUCGAGCAGCCCUCUCUUUCGUUGUCUCUCACUAUUUCACGAUCUCUCUCUCACUCACACAGUCCUUUAAAAAAGCCCAAAAUAGGCCCAAUAAGCCCAUAAUUAAAAUAAUCGAAUCGAAUUAUUUUAAUUAAUCGAGUAUUUGAUUAUUUCGGUAAUUUAAUUAAUCGCAAUUAUGAUUUUAAAAUAAUCGUAAUCGAACGAUUAUGAAAAAUUUAGUAAAAAAACCGAACUGAACCGAACCGCACCCACCCCUACAUAAAAGAACAUCAAUUACUUGUCAUUUUCAAUUUUUUCUAUAAGCUAUUUAUUUUGAGCAUUAGUGAUCUUGUCUGGACUACUCCAAUUAUUGACGUAACUCCAGUGGCUGCAUCCACUGGAAAAAGUGGAUGAUAACAUUUUUUUUUUUUUCAUAAAGGUAACUACUCCAAUUAUUGACAUAAUUGAUGGUGCUUAAAUCAAUUUUUUUUUUAAUUUAAAGAAUUUUGCUUUAAAAAAUAAUUAAUAUCAAAAUGCCUUCAAUGUUGUUACCGCCACAAGCCCAGUUAGAGGACUCAUUAAAACUUUUAGAAUUUUUAGGCCUGGAAAGCAUAGUAUUAAACAUCAGAAAGCAAAGGUUGUUAUGUCGAAGAAUUGAUGUCGACAAAAUUUUAUUUUAGUUUUCGGAAAAAAAAAAUUUGUUGACAAGCAAGAAAAUAUUUUUUAUACUUUACAAUCUGCUAUACAUAUUUUAUCAUAUUAAAGUAAUUUUAAUAAUAUAUGGAAACAUAAUAUUAUAAUAAAUAAAUUAAAAUUAAAAUUACUUUGAAUUAUUAAAUAUUACAAAAAGAUAAUUUUAAUAUUAUUAAUAGGAAAACAUUUUUAAUUGUAAAAUCUUUUUAAUACAAAAAUUCAUUUAAAAUCUUUAUAAUAAAUACAAAUAUAAAAUUAAAAAUAUCAUAAUUUAAAAUUUUUAAUAUUAUUUUAAUAUUAAAAAUACUUUAAUAUUAUUAGUCUACUACAUAAAAUAUAUUAUUUAUAUUAUAUUCGUAUUGAUUAAAACGUUUUAAAGUCAAAUUUUUAAUUAUUGUAUUCAAAGGUACAAAAGAUUUUAGUAUUAUUUUUUAAAAAUUUUAGGAUAUGAAUGAUAAUUUUUUCGAAUUUUAAAGAUGUAAGAAUCUUUUUUUCUAAUAAUUUAUUUCACUUUUGAGAGAAUCCGAAAACGUUAAUUUAACAUUCUUUACCUUUGUGAAAAAAGUGAAAAUCAAGAACUAUUCAAUUUUGUUUUUAUUUGUAAUUCAAAAACUUUAUUCAUUUUCGAUGCUUUUCGAAAGAGAUUCCGUUAAAUCCUUUUGGUGUCGGCAGCUCCUGCUAUUCUCAUAAAUCUCCAUUCCACAUCUACACUAUCAAACAAGUUGAUGGAAAUUCUUAUAAAAAAAAAACAAGUCGAUGGAAAUUGAUCAAUUACUUUUUGAAGUGGACCCAUUGAGUCAUGUUCAUUUCUGGUCAUUGUCUACUCUUUCCAUCAGCCAUUUAUUUUGACCAUUUGCGAUCUUAAAGGAUAUGAGAACGUAGCUGAAGUGCUGAAGGGGCUAUUAAAGAAGAGUGUCACUUGAUCACAAUCACAUUGAUGCACAACUCACUCGUGGCAAAUUUCGACUAUACGUUCUGCAAAUUCAGCCAAACCAUACGUGCAUGAACAAAACUAAAAUGUAGUUCUAAUCACAACUCCAGUUAUGAUGUUUACCCCUCUGAUUUUUCUCCAAAACAAAUUCAGUUCAAAACAAUAAUCAAAAUAGCCACAUUUUGUUCGUCAAAAUAAAUGCCCAAAUUUUCAAUUAACAAAUCAUCUUCUCUAAACUAAAAAUCCCACAUCUCUAAAAUCAAUCUACAUAAUGUUGGAGAUGAGGGGUGAAUUGUUAACUCAGUAAAAAAAACUCAUGCAUAAUAUUACUAAUAAUAUAAAAUAUAUAUUAAUCAUUAUAAAGAAUCAUAAUUAGAAAAAUUAAUCAUUUUAUAAUUUAUUACACAAGUAAGAUAAAUCUCAUAAUAAGUUAUAACAUAAAAAAAACGUUAUCAAUAUAUAAUCAUUUAAGAAGUCAUUUAACAAUAAAAUCGUUCUUUAAUCAGUUGGUCAUGUCACAUAGUGUCAUCUAUAUUUACGGUGAUAAUAUUAUUACUCAGUAUUAUCAAAAAACAUGAUUUAACAUUUAGAGGAAAUUCUUGCCUUUUAAAAAAAAACAUGUAUGCAACAGCUACCCAUGCUUUAUCUUACCAUGACAAAUAUUUUCUCAAUGAAAGAAAAUUUUUUAAAAAUUGAUUUAAUGCACAAAUAUGAUGAUUUUUCCAAAAAUUAGUUUUGGAAAACAUAGUGAGAGAAAAUAGUGACGAUUAUUGUUUAGAUGUAUAAAUAGCCUAAACAUAAUCCUUAAUACCAAUAUCCUAAUGCAUCUUAUCAUCUUUCAUGAUAUUCUUUCAUUUAUGUCCAUUGGUUCAAGAUUUGAAUUUGAUCAUUAAAUCAUGUUCAAUAAUAUUAGAGAUUCUAACAAAUGAGUACCAACUUAAAUCCCAAUGUUAUGUGUCAUUGACCAAUUUUGUGUCAUUUUGUUAUUAACUAGGUGAUGAAUUUGUAGUUGAUAAAAUCACUUAAAAAUAUCUUAAAAAUCAAACAAUAGUUUGCUUAAUUUUUCCAAGUUAACUGCUCAAGAUGCUCUAUUAUAAAUAAUAACCUAAUUAUAUUCAUAAAAAAUGAUAUUUUUUUUGUGGUGUUGAUAAUGAGAUUAUCAUUCAACAUUUUAAAAUGUGAAAACAUAUGGAAGAUGGUUGUAAAUUGAUUGAAUGAAAACAUUUCAGUGAAGUCUCAAAAAUUUGGUACUUGUUGUCUUAUCGAAAGUUUUCUAAAUUAUAUUCGUGGCACAGCCACUAUCCAAACCAUACAAGUCCAAAGCUAUCCAAACCAUACCUGCAAGUCCGGGGCUUAAAUGGAGUACUUCUAAGCAAAAAAACAUUGACUAAAAUAGAAUAUAUACAUACAGACACACAUACAUACCAGCAUAUUCAAAAUAGCAAAAGGAGUGCAAAAGUUCAAGUUUGUAGACAACAUUGCAACCAUAGCAUGUUUAUAGCAAAUCCUCAAAAUCUGCUAAAUAAAACAAUGCCCUGUCUCAUGAAUCAAUGCUGAAUUAAAAUUGAAACUGAAAGUCUGGAUGGUUUUGUUUGUUGAGAAUGUCAAAUAAAACGGCAUUGAAGGAAGUUUUCAAAGGCAGAAUCCGCACUUGUCAAAGGGAUGACCUGCACUUGUCAAAGACACGAUCCGCGCCGAACGGAUCGACACAUUUCCUUCCGUAUUCACAUAUGUAAACUUUGAAAAAAUAUAGCUUCUGCAUCUAUAAAUAACGCUCAGUGUAUAAUGUUUUAUUCAAGAAAUAAAAACAAGUUUCUACAUGGUAUCAGAGCCAUGAAUGCGCUCAAGUUUCUUCAAGUUUCGCUGCUCUGUUUGUCACAAAAACAGAGGAAACCAAUUAAAUUCGUCCCACAACCAUUUUUUCCACCAUUUUCUUCCUUAAAAUCAUUCCUAACAUUACAGAAAUCCAUGCCGAUCAAAAACAUGAAAGACAAAUUACACAUGUGCAGUAACCAAUGAUCAUAUUUUGUUACUGUCAAACACAAUGCAUCUGAGCAAAACAUUGGAAGCCAACACCAGAAUACAUAUGAAUAAACAAUUAAAGAUAGAGAAAAAAGGCUUAAACCUUGGGGGAAAAAGUGAAAAAACAUGAAAGACAAAUUACACAUGUGCAGUAACCAUCGAACUUAUCAGUGACAGCUGCAUCUAUUACAUUGCUCCAACAACACAAGGGCAAACCACCAGUUUCAAAUUGAGGAUAGCUAUCGAGAAUGAGAAAGUGUCCAAAACGUCAUAAAUAGACAUGUUCCUAUUGUGCAUAAUUUACAUUAUAGGCAAAUAUUUUUAUACCAUCAAAGGCAAAACAUGACACUAACAAUUGAUCACCCCCCCCCCCCCCCCCCCCAACAACAAAAAAAAGGAAAAAACAAUACAGAAAAGAUUGAAACAGAUAAGGCUACACUGAGCACAGGAUGCCAUGAAACAUAAUCCAGGAACCAAAUUAAUAAAAAAGGAAGCCAAACCAUUAUUUAACAAUCUGUUUUGUAUUUGGGAAAGUCUGAUAAAAUCUACUUGGGGAUAAUUAGAGAACCUCAACUAUUAAUCACACCUCAUAAAUGAACUAACAUUAAACAUCUACCAUCCCAACGUCACACAAACAUUCUCUACACUUCUGAACCUAAUACUUCCAUCUUCAAUUGGGGGUUUUUUUUUUCUUUUUCUUUGGGGGGGGGGGGGGAUUGAAAUGCUGAUUUCGAAUCACUAACAGUAAAAUUGGAAGCUCAUGAAAAAAUAGUUUUAUCUCAAAAUUACAUCUCGAUAUAAAUUCUCUUUUCAUUUCCUUCAACUUUCUAAUUAAGCUUAAAAAAUGUACCUUCAACCACAAAGGGGUUUAAAAUUUAAAAUAUAAAAAAUAAAUUCAGAUAACAAUAAUUAAUUUAAUUAAAAAUAUAAAUAGAGUUACAGAGAAAGAGAAAAUAGAGAAAGACGUAAUGUUGAGUCCUUUGGCGCAAGUCUCUUCAUAGGUCCGAACCAUUUCUUCGGGCGUGGGUUUCGGGUCUUUAGGAUACUCCAUAGUGAUAAGCCAGUGAUUGUAAUCGCAACCCUCGAACAGAAUCGUGUCGGGUGUGAUCUCGUCGCCGUCCUUAUACAAGUGGUACGUCUUGUUAACCGACGGCGUAGACGAGAGGGAGAUCGUCGGGGACGAUCUGAACGGCCGAGAUUGGAUAAUGAUGGAGGAGGAGAAGAUUAGCGAUGACGACGCCGAUGAAAUGGAAGGGUUUACCAGAGGAGUGGAUGCGAAGAAUGCAGGGACGGCCGCAAAGAGAGAGCGGCGGAGAGCGGCGACGGACGGUAGUGACCGGCGGAGAGCGGAAGAUGGCGGUAUGGGCCAUUGCUUGCGCGUCAGUGAGUGUCUCGAGUGAGGAGUGAAGGGUUUUGUACUUUUGUUUAGGGUUUUGGGAAAUGAAAAAUGCAAAUGUUUGAUUUUGUUGCUAGAAACUUCUUCUGCCGCCGCUUUUUAUUUUCGCUAAAUAAUAAUAAUAAUUUGUUAAUAAAAUACUUUCUUAGAAAAGAUAAAUUUAUAGAACAAAAUUUAUAUUAAAUCAAAUUGUAAAAAUGUGGAAUAGGGCUAAUUUCUCCUGAAUAUUAUUAUUAGUAGAAGUAGAUUUUCGAAAUAGUCUUGAUAUAUUUCAAAGUUGUAUUAUAGAUGUACAUGUAUCUGGAUUGUAAUUAUAUUUUAAAAAAUAUACAUUUUUUUUCAUUAUUGCACAAUAAAUGUAGAAAGUGUCUAUAAAAUAAUAUUAUUAGAACUAUGAAAAUAUAUUAUUUUAGAGUAGUUAUUUAUUUAUUUUUGAAUAAAUAAUUUAUUAAUUUAUUAAUUUAUUGAUAAAUUAAUAAAUAUUAAUUUAAAGAGAGAUUUUUUUUUUUGGGGGUUUUUAAGAAGAGUUUUGUUGGUAUAUGUACAAACUUAUAAAGAAAUACAAAAAAUGCUUCCUCAAGUCAAUAGUAUUUACUUUAAUUCAUAAUAGUAUAGUUUAAUCAAGAAACUUAUAAUUAUACUAUAUCUUUCUUUCUUUGUUCUAUUUGGUGGGACAUUGUGAUAAAUCAUUGGAUUAAAAUGCAUUUCUAAAUGAAAACUUGUUAAAACCUAAUUUAUUUGGGAACGACAUUUUAUUUGUCAGUCGUAUUUCUCAACUUCGUAAGUUAUUUCUAAUUUAUCGGUCUCUAUUGGUUCUCUUAAGUACCUAUUUGGCAUGACUUAUUUAAUAGUAAUAAGUGCUUAUUUAAUCUCAUAAGUUUUUUCCCUCUCUGACAAUUGAGUUAGGGGGUCAAACUUGAAAGUAUCUUAAAAUUAGACAACAAUUUAACUAUUUUUUUUUUUUUAGAUAACUGCUAAUAUGCUCUAUUAGACAAUGAUGAGUGAUAACCUAGGUGUUUGCAUUUAAAGGGAUACUUUUUGUGGUGUUGAUAAAGAGGUUAAGUAUGAUUCAACAAUUUAAAAUAUGAAAACAUAUGGAAGACGGCCGCAAUUAAAUUAAUUGUAUGAAAAUAUUUCAAUGAAAUUUUAAAAAUUUAGUAUUUGUUAUCUUAUCGAGAGUUUUUUAAAAUUAUAUUACUACUUGAACUUGACUGCUUUUGUAUUUAAUUCCUACCGUUGCCAUUGCUUCUACUCAAAAGCCAUUUAAGUUUGUGUAAGCUACGUAUAGUUUGAACAACAAUUUACUCAUGAAUUGUUGUUCAUAAUAGCAUCAGUGCAUGCAUCAUUUUAAUGAGAAAGAAUAUUCUAAGAACGAAAUUGAACGUGGGAGGUAUCGGGAAGGAAUUGGAAUGGAAUAAUAUCGAUUCAUAUAGAUACAGAAGAAAAAGUUCUCUAUUGAUUCAAAUGCUGUGCCUAUGGGAUAAGGAUAGAGAAAGAGGAAAAAACCGAAGCCAGAAAUGUACACGCAUGAGGAACUUUUCCUAGAAGAUUGAUAUUUCUUUGACUAGCAAACCAUACAAGUCCAAAGCUAGCCAAACCAUACCUGCAAGUCGGGGGUUUAAAUGGAAUACUUCUAAGCAUAAAACAUUGAUUAAAACAGAAUACACACAUACAUACCAGCAAAUUCAAAAUAGCAAAAGGAGUGCAAAAGUUCAAGUUUGUAGACAACAUUGCAACCAUGGCAUGUUUAUAGCAAAUCCUCGAAAUCUGCUAAAUAAAACAAUGCCCUGUCUCAUGAAUCAAUGCUGAAUUAAAAUUGAAACUGAAAGUCCGGCUGGCGUUGUUUCCCUCUCCAAUUUUGCCUACAUAAGUGAAAAUAAGAAUAAUAAAUGAAAAUCUGCUUUUACGGUUCUUAUUAGAUAGAUAAAAGGGGGAUCUUUCUUUGUUUCUCUGCUGCAAUGUGUGGCUAUCCCACUCUGUUUUGCCACCCAAGCUGAGUCUAUGCUGAGACAUAAUUUUGACAUCAGAAGCAAUCUCAAUUAGUUUGGCACUUUUAAGCAAUCUCAUAUUUUGCUCACUUGAAGGUUUUACGAUAAACAUAAAUCUACAGAGAAAGUGGGAAAAAAAAAAGAAAAUGCAUAUAAAUAUAUGAGUUAUCAGAUAAGAUUAAAACUCACCCAAUUCAAUCCAUCAGAUUCCGUAAGGAUAUAACUGGAUGUCAUACCGCCACUCCAUAUCCUUGAAAGUCCGUAGUGUUUGUCUCAACUCUGUCUGAGGCCAAUGUAAAUUCAAUUUGCGCAAGCUCUUUAUGCACCACAGCUCUUCUGGAAGCUUUCUCAAGUAAGCACAUGGGUUGACAAUUAAGCUUUCAAGUUUCGGCAUUGCUCCAGCCCCCAUCGUCCACUCAUCUAGCCAAUACAUUGAUUUCAGGUGCAAAACCUUAAGUUCCGGAAAGCUACUCAAGCCAACACAAGCAAGCUUUCUUCCUAAAUACGAGUUCUGCUUCAGUUUCAGCACUCGAAGGCGUGGAAGAUUUUCCAGAAUUGGCAUGGGAUCCUCCAUUAGCUCAGUAUUUGAUAAGCUCAGUUGGAUCAGACUUGGGGGAAAUUGGUAUUCAGACAGGACCAUCCGUGAGGGCUUGCUCUCAUUCACCAGCUUCAAGCAUUCAAGUUUGUGGAGUUCGCAAAGGCUUUUGGAAACCGCAGAUUGAUAGUAACUCAAAUCUCCAGAUAUCCGAAGAGUCUGAACACUAGGUAGUCUGCCCAAUAUAUCAGGAGUACAACUACUAGGGUUUAAAGCUGAUAUGAAAAUGAGAUUUUUCAGAGAGCUGGAAUAAUUUUUUGGAGGUGCGGGCAGAGUGAUAGAACCAAAGUUUAGAUGCAUGAGUUUUUGCAUCAUCCAAAUAUCCUCUGGUGACUGAUCUAUGUAGCUAGAUGGCAUUUCUAGUGUUUCAAGGUUUAAAAGGGUGCAUAGCAGCGAAGGAAGGCGUUUGAGCAAAGGGAUAUUCAAUUUCAAAUACUUCAAAAGGAAUAAAUUUUCUAAUCCGGGUGGAAAUUGGUCGAGAACUGCAGAACCGAAGUUCAGUACCCGAAGGUGUUUGAACUUUUUACAAAAAUUCUCGCAAUCUAUCACAGCGAGAUGAUCGCCUUCUAAACUUUGAUUGAUAAAAGAUUGGAGAUAGAUCUCACCAUGUUCUAAAGAAAUGAAGUCAGUCAGAUGUUCCAAAAUGAUGUAGCGUUUAACAUUUGCAAAUGGUUCCGCUUCCAUUCCAGGCAUCCAGAGAAAUUUCGUCUUGUCUGCCACCAAACCCAAUGAAGUAUAUACAAAACUUGGAACAUAGCAAGCUUUAAUUGUGCCGCCGGCUCUUCUCUUACUCACUUGAAUGAAGCCGCGAUGGAUUAGUUCUUUCAAGUAAUGUUCGGCAGUUUCUUCACCGUUGUAUGGUAUGAAACCUUCAGCUACCCACAACUGAUAUAAUUGCUCCGUAGAUAUCUCCAUACUUGGAGGGAAGACCAACAAAUAGAUGCAGCAGACCUUCAAGUGAAAAGGUAACUCCAUCACAGAAAAAAUUUGUCUCCAAACUGUCGGAAUCGCUUCGCCUUGAAGAUAAUUUUCUAAUGGCAUACUUCCAUAGUGUAGGAUGAAAAAUUGCCAGGCUUCAUGCUUUAAUCUUAUCAAUGGUCCUCCAAUGAGCACUGAAUCACGCCGAAUUUCCUCUCCAUUUUCCAUUUCCAACGACACAAGGAGGUCUGGUUCAGUGACUGUUAUCAAUACUCUGCUUCCAUUCUCAUCAUCAGGGAGAACUUCUUCCAGAUCAUCCCAUAUCUCACAGUCAUCGAAGACGUCAUCAAGCACAAUAAAAUACUUCUUGUUUGUUAGGUAAUCUCGAAGAAUAGAUUCCUUGAAUUGAUAAUCUUCACCGAUAAUUACACUAACCCGAGAUGGAGGCAUCACAGACUUGAUUAUGUCAUCCAAUAUCUUGCGAAAAUCGUAGAGUAGAGAAACCCUGACCCAAGCAAGACAGUCAAAAUAGAACUUGACAUAGUUAUUAUUGUAAGUAUCUGCAGCAAAAGCAGUCUUAUCGAAGCCACUGCUGUCGAGAAUUGCAACCACUGAAAGCCCAGAUGGUCCCUCAAUCAAUAGAUCAAACAACUCCUCUCUGCCCCUUUCAAAUUCACUGAUAUCAAGCCGAGGAUGUCCCUCAUUCAAUAGGCGAAUCAUUUCGUUACUUUUUUCACUGAUAUCAAAACCAUUGUCGCCGGGUGGAAGUUGUUGCAUCCGAUUUCUAAUAUCAAUGAUUUCACUGUGGAGUCCAUCAGGAAGAGCCAUAUUAGUGCUGCUUUCACUUUCGUUUUCACUGUUUUGCUGCUGCAUGAUGUUGAUGAAGAAUGUGUCAAUGACUUCCUCAGAGUCACGGACAAAGUUAUUGAUGUCCUUCAGAAUUUCAAAAAUAUCUGCUGUUUCAACGUCUUCUUCAUCGCUUUCUUCUAAGUCCAACAGUUGCAAAAAAGGCAAAGAUAUUUUGGAGUCAUCGAUAUCUUCUCUAAGGAGUUGAAUCAAAUGCCGAGCCAUGUCGGCUUCAUAGUUUCCCAGAAGAGUAGUAGCAAUAAUUUCGGACUCCGUAAGAAGGUUUUGAAAAAGUGGAGUUAAAUUUGUUGAAUCUGGCAGAGGCAACGUGCCUUCUUCACCUGCUAACACCCUUUUCAACCUCUCACAAAACAGUCGGAGGUGGACGUCCAGCAUAUCUCCUUCUCUCUGUAGCACCCAGAGGUAUUGUUUUUUGCUCCAAGAAAUAUUAAAAGGAUUGGUUCUAUCUAAAAGUGGUUACUGGUGUAAAAUUAAACGCCAUGGGAGAAUUUGAAAGGAAGAUGCCAAGGAACUGGCGAAGUGGCUAAAUUCCACAAAUACGGCAUUAUUGCUCAUUUUUAACUCAAAAAAUUGAUACGCCUUCAUUUAGCGAAAAGUCCAAGACGCUUGCCUUUUGAAAAGAAGAGGUAUCCAUAGAUAUCCAACAUUUAUCUUAUUUUAAUUACUACCACGACAUGAUUGAUGGUUGUUAAAUCAAUUGUUUCUUUUUUAAUUUAAAGAAAUUUUCAUUAAAAAAUAGUUUAAUAGACACAUAAUAUUACAAUAAAUAAAGUAAAGUUUAAAUUAUUUUGAAUAUUAUAAAAAAUAAUUUUAAUAUUAUUAAUAGGAAGACAUUUUGUUAAUUUUAAAAUCUUUUUAACCCAAAGGUUUAUUUAAAAUCUUUAUUAUAAAUACAAAUAUAAAAUUAAAUAUCAUAAUUUAAAAUUUUUAAUAUUAUUUUAAGUAUUAAAAAUAUUUUAAUGUUAUUAGUCUACUACAUAGAUUUUAUUAUUUAUAUUAUAUCUGUAUUGAUUAAAAUUUUUUAAAGUCAAUUUUUUAGUCAAUAUAUUCAAGAGGUAUUAUAGUUAAAGAAAAGAUUUUGGUGUUAUUUUUUGAAAAUUUUAAGGUUUAAAUGAUUUUUUUUUUAAUUUUAAGGAUGUGGGUAUUAUUUUUCCGACAAUUUAUUUUAUUUUUGGGGAAUCCGAUGAGAAAUAUCAUGAGAGAAGGUUAAUUUUACAUUCUUUACCUUUAUGAAAAAAGUGGAAACCAAGAACUAUUCAAUUUUGUAUUUUUUGUUUGUAAUUCAAAAAAUGCAUCCACCAAACAAGCUUAUCUUGAUUUUCCCACUUUAUUCAUUUUCGAUCCUUUAAUCCAUCUAGCAUCUGCAGCCCCCGCUAUUUUCACAAAGAGUAAUGAUACAGCCACAAAUUCUUGUACAAAUUUAUUUUGUAUAAACUGACGUGGCAUGAUAAGAUUGGUUGAAUUAAAUAUCACUUGGCCCACAUGAUUUGUUUUUAUUAUUUUAUAUUUUUAUUCAACCAAUGAAUUAAUGCCACGUCAGUUUGUACAAAAUAAAUUUGUACAAGAGUUUGUGGCUGUAUCAUUACUCUGUCAAGAAUCUCCAUCCCACAGCUACACUAUCAAACAAGUUGAUGGAAAUUGAACAAUUGCUUUUUGAAGUGGACCCAUUAGGUUAUGUUCAUUACUGGUCAUUGUCUAUUCUUUCUAAGAGCCACUUAUUUUGAGCAUUAGCGAUCCUAUCUGGACUACUCCAAUUAUUGAUGUAACUCCAAUGGUUGCAUCAACAGUUGAAUGUAAGAUAGUGUCAGUUCUUUUUUGAGAAUAUAGAGGGAUCUUUAUUUGUUUCUCCGUUGCAGCGUAUUAGUAUAAAUUUCUUGACCUUACAGUUCCUACAGUCUUCCUGUUAAUGAAUUCGCUGAGGCAUUAUUGAUCCAAUCUCAGUGAAGUAAUUGUGGGUGAAAAAAAAAUAAAGGAUAAGAGAACGUAGCUCAAGUGCUGAAUUGACUAUUAAAGAAGAGCGUCACCUGAUCACAAUCACAUUGAUGCACAACUCACUCGAGGCAAAUUUCAUCUAUAUAUACUGCAAAUUCAGCCAAGCCAUGCAUGCAUGAACAAAACUAAAAUGAAGUUCAUAAUCACAACUGUAAUUAGAGCUACAAAAGGUGGCAAACCAUACAUGCAUGAACAAAAUUAGACAUAAAUUGAAGCCACAACAUUAAUUGAAGCCACAAAAGCCAGCAAAUCCAAAUGAAAACUUAAAAGGAAGAUCUUAUCGAAGUUUGUCCCCAAAAGACAGCGGAAAUGAAAAAUAUUGACUAUCGAGUGGAUCAAUGCUGAAUUACAUUUGACCUGGAAAGCUUGGCUGCAGUUGCGAUGUUCCCCCUCUGAUUUUCCCUAAAACAAAUUCAGUUGUAAACAAUAACUGGAGUAGCAACAAUUUAUUCAUUAUAGAAAAUACCUAAAUUUUCAACUAUCAAAUCCUCUUGUCUAAACUAAAAAACUCAUAUCUCUAAAAUCUAUAUACAAAAUGUCAUAAAUGAGGGUGAUCUCUCAAUUCGGUAAACAAAUUCAUGCAUAAUAUUACCAAUAAUGAUAAAUUACAUAAUAAUUAUUAUAAAGAAUCAUAAAUUGGAAACAUUAAUCAUUUUAAAAUCUAUUACAUAAUAAAAAUAAAUCUUAUAAUAAGUUACGUUAGAACAUAACAAAUAUUUAAAAUGAUAUAUAUAAUUAUUUAAGAAGUCUUUUAACAAUAAUUUUUUUUUUCUUUUUCAGUUGAUCAUGUCAUAGCGUUAUCUAAAAUGCUAGCGAUAUCAUUAUUCCCCACUUUUCUCAAAAAAAAGAAAAAGAUAAAGAAAAAAGAAAUAUGAUUAACGUUUGGAGAAAAGUCAUGCCUUUUAAAAAGAAUAUGUAUACAAUACCAAUUCAUACUUUAUCUUACCAUAAAAAAAUUGUUUAAAAUAGAUUUAAUGCACAAAUAUGAUGACUUUUGGCAGAAAUGAGUUUCGGAAAUAUUGGGAUGAAAACCAUAUUGGUUCAGACUUAAAAUUACUUAAUAAAAUUACUUAACUACCAUUUAAUAAAUAAAAAUCAUAUUAGUUGAAAGUUAAAUUAAGAUUUAAAUGUUGAGAUAUCUAACGUUACUCAAUCAGAAUAAACAAUAAUCAAUUCAAAUUAUGACUAUCAUGUAGAAGCAAAUGUUUAUGCUUGGGUCUUUUACUUCUUGAAUUUGAUUGGAAAAAUUUCUGAGACAGGGAAGUGAGUGUUUUGGAUAAUAUUUUUCGGGAUUGAAACCACAAGUUGGUCGAGGAAAAUAAUUUUGGACAAAUUUUUAUUAUAUUGUAGAACCUUUUUGGUUCCUUUUGUGUCGGCAGCCCCUCACUAUUCUCUUAACCCUGAGUUUUGAGAUAGAAAUUUCCCGAACUCCAACCCCACAUCCACAGACAAGUUGAUUGAAACAAUUGCUCUUGUAAUUAAGAGGAUGAGUUAGGGUUCAGUUCUUAUCAUUGUCUGUUAUUUCUUUGAAUCAUUAUCUUAGUUAAUUACAUCAAUUGUUUCUUUUCUUAAUUUAAAGAAUUUUUCUUUUAAAAAAAUAUUUUAAUAUCAAAAUGCGUUAAAUGGUAUUACUGCCGCAAUCCCAGUAACAGGAUUAAUUAAAAAAAUAUUCUUAGGAAGAUAUUUUGUUUAUUGUAAAAUCUUUUUAACCCAAAGGUUUAUUUAAAAUCGUUAUAAUAAAUAAAAAUAUAAAAAAAAAUAAAUAUCAUAAUUUAAAAUUUUAAUAUUAUUUUAAAUAUUAAAAAUACUUUAAUGCUAUUAGUCUACUACACAGGUUAUAUUACUUAUAUUAUAUUUGUAUAAAUUAAAACUUUUAAAGUUAAAUUUUUAAUUACUAUAUUGAAAAGGUAUUAUGGUUAAAAAAAGUUUUGGCAUUUGUUUUUUGAAAAUUUGAGGGUCUGCAUGACAAUUUGUCCAAAUCCUAGAGGUAUAGGUGUCUUUUUUUUUCGAUAAUUCAUUUUACUUUUGAGGGAAUCCGAUGAGAAAUAAGAUAAGAGAAACGUCAAUUUAACGUUCUCUAGGGAAAACCAAGAACUAUUCAAUUUUGUAUUUUUUGUUUGUAAAACAAAAAACAGUUUGCCAAAAAAGGUACCAAACAUAUCCUUAAUGUCUCACAUGAUUUCUUAUUAAGUCCAUACUCGAUAUAUUUAUACAUUUUAGGUAUUUUAGUUAUAAAAGAAGUUGGUCCUCCCUCUGUUUAUAAAAGGUAACUUUAUUUCGAGAUUACCACUAAAGUCUUACAAAGAAUUAGUGUAAUGUUAAGAGAGACUAACACAGUUUUCCAUUACCAUUUUGAAAAUAGAAAGAUAUGGAUGUGUGCAUUUAAUGGUGCGUUUACUUGCCGGAUUGGGGAAUCAGAAUCUGGAAUCAGAAUGAUUGAUGGUGUUUACUUCACAAAUAUGGAGCAGGAAUCGGAAUUGGAAUGGUGGGGCCCACCACUAUUUGGGAAUGGGAGAUUGAUUCCCAUGGGGGAAGGUGGGAAUGAGUCUCUCAUUCCCUGGAUUGACCAUUUUGCCCUCCCUCAAAAUUAAAAAUGCCUACUUUGUCCUCUUUUAUAAUUAAUUAAUAUAAUAUUAUAAUUAAUUAAUUAAUAUAUAAAUAUUUUAUUAACUAUAAUUAUUAAAAAUUAUAGUUCUUGAAUAAAUAAUCACAAUAAUUAAUUUAUUAUUAUUAUUGUUAAUGAAUUAAUAUAAUUAUUACUAUUAAUUAAUAUAUUAAUAUAUUAUUAACAAUAAUAUAUUAAUAAUUAUUGUUCGUGAAUAAAUAAUCACAAUAAUUAAUAUAUUAUUAUUGAAAUUAAUUAAUUAAUAUACUAUUAUAAUAAUUAUUAUAAUUAAUUCAUAUAUUAUUAUUAAUUAAUUAAUAAAAUUAAAAUUAUUAAUUAAAUAAAUAAUAUAAUUAUUACUACUAAUUAAUAUAUUAAUAUAUUAUUAAAAAUAAUUAUUAAUAAUUAUAAUUUUUGAAUAAAUAAUCACAAUAAUUAAUAUAUUAUUUUAAUUAAGUAAUUAAUAUUAAUAUUAUUAGUUAAUAUAUUUUUAUAAUAAUUUUUGAUAUAGUUAUUAUAAUUAAUUAAAAUUUUUUACAAUUAAUUAAUAUAUUAGUUAAUAAUAAUUAUGACAAUAAUUCAUUAAGUACUUUUUAGUAAUUUGUUACAAUCUAAUUCAUUCCGAUUCCGAUUUCAAGACAAAGUAAACACAUUAAUGGCAAUCUAGCUCAUUCCGAUUUCGAUUCUUACAGUUCAAGUAAACAACUUAUUUUGAUUCCCAUUACCUAUUCCCAUUCCAGCCCAUUCUCAUUUCUGCCCAUUUCAAUUCCAGCUCAUUCCGAUUCCAGUUUAGUAAACGCAGCAUAAGAGUUAUCAUGAAAAUCAUACAAUUUAAUUUCCUGAAAUAUAUAUUUUAUUCACAUGUGCCAAAAGAAUAAAUAGAUAGAAAGUAAAUUUACAAUCCUCACUCCCUCAUAAUUGUUAAAGUGAAUAUGCAUUACAACUGUGAACUGUCACUACUUUAGCCCUUUAUUUGUUUUUUCAAUUAUAGUGUGAUGGAGACAGUGAACAUUAAGGAUAAAGUGCUCUGCUGAAAGCCAAACUUCCUUUGGCUAAUUAAUUUAGAAGUAAAGCAGAGAAUAAAGUCCUUGAUGCCUUCUGAAAUUAGAAAUACAUUUUAUAUGCUUUAAUUAUGAUUAUUUGGUAGACUAUUGACCAAAAGACAUGUUAAAGUAUAAAACAGAGCGAUUAAAGAAAAAAAAAAGGAGCGUUUGUGACGUAGAAUAACAAUUUGUAAGCAAAGUCCUAAUUUGAGUUGUCAAAAAGCAAACAUAACAGAGAAGGUAAGAGAGAUGCAAAAACAGAAAACUAUUAGCUUAUCUUGAUUUUCCCACUAUAUUCAUUUUCGAUGCUUUUCAAACGAGAUUCUUUUAAUCCUUCUGGCGUCUGCAGCCCCUGCUCUUCUUAUAAAUCUCCUUCCCACAUCUGCACUACGAACAAGUUGACUAAAAUUAAAUAAUGUUGGAGACGAGGGGUGAGCCGUCAACUUAUUAAAAAAAACUCAUGUAUAAUAUUAUCAAUAAUAUAAAAUAUAUAAUAAUUAUUAUAAAGAAUCAUAAAUUAGAAAAAUUAAUUAUUUUACAAUUUAUUUCUUAAGUAAGAUAAAUCUCGUAAUAAGUUAAGUUUAAUGUAAAAAAUAUUUUCAAUUUAUAAUCAUUUAAGAAGUCAUUUAACAAUAAAAUCUUUUUUUUGAUCAGGUGGCCAUGCCAUAGAGUAUCAUCUAUAUUCGUGGUGAUAUUAUUAUUACUCAAUAUCCUCAAAAGACACUAUUUAACAUUUAGAGAAAAUUUCUGCCUUUUAAAAAGAACAUGUAUGCAAUAGCUAGCCACACUUUAUUUUACCACGACAAAAUUGAUAGUGAUUAAAUCAAUUUUCUCAAUUAAAGAAAUUUUUUUUAAAUUGAUUUAAUGCACAAAUAUGAUGAGUUUUUGCAAAAAUUAGUUUUGGAAAAUAUAGUGAGAGAGAAUGGUGACGAUUAUUUUUCAGAUGUGCAAAUAGCCUAAACAUAAUCUCUAAUACCAAUAUCCUUGUGCAUCUUAACACCUUUCAUGAUAUUCUUUCAUUCAUAACCAUUUGUUCAAUAUUUGAAUUUGAUUAUUAAAUUAUGUUCAAUAAUGUUAGAGACCCCAACAAUUGGGUACCAACUUAAAUCCCAAUGCUAUGUGUCAAUGUAACAUAGCAAAAUCCCAUUAACAAAUGUUGUGUCAUUUAUCAUUAUUGAAUGAAUAAUUCGUUAAUUUAUUGAUAAAUGAAAAUUUAUUAAUUUAAAGAGAGAUUUUUUUUUUUGGUUUUAAGAAGAGUUUUGUUGGUACAUGUACAUACUUAUAAAGGAAAAACUUGUAAUUAUACUAUAUCUUUCUUUCUUUGUUCAGUUUGGUGGGAUAUUGUGAUAAAUCAUUGGAUUAAAAUGCAUUUCUAAAUUGAAACUUGUUAAAAUCUAAUUUAUUUGGGAAACGCAUAUUAUUUGUCAGUCGUACUUCUCAACUUAGCAAGUUAUUUCUAACUUGUCGGUCUCUAUUGGUUCUCUUAAAACUAAUAGUCUCGUAUCUCCCGCAUUUGAUAUCUUGCCAUUACUGUUGGCAUUAACAUGUUACCUGAGAUUGGGAUUCAUUAAAAUCCUCAAUGUAAUCGGUGGAACGAAUGGAUUUCUUCUGUUCACCAAUCCACCAAAAUUUCUGUAAUUAAAUUCAAAAGUCAAGAUCUAUGCUUAUAAUCUAUUCAACAGCUAAUAUUCUAUUUUAUAUUUACUUAAAUAUGAAGAGCUAUGCUUGUAGUUAACUUCAAAUGUGAUCGAAGCAGCCUUACAUCUAUAUAUUACUUAUGCCCAACCUUUUUUUUUGACUUCAUAUACAUUCUUUUCAUGUUAUUUACUCUUUUUUCCCCCUCUCUGACAAUUGAGGUAGGGGGUCAAACUUGAAAGUAUCUUAAAAUCAGACAAUAAUUUUUUUUUUUUAAAGAUAGCUACUAAUAUGCUCUAUUAGACAAUGAUAAGUAAUAACCUAGUUGUUUGCAUUAGAAAUGAUAUUUUUUGUGGUGCUGAUAAAGAGGUUGAUUAUGAUUCAACAAUUUAAAAUAUGAAAACAUGUGGAAGACGGCCGCAAUUAAAUUGAUUGUAUGAAAAUAUUUCAAUGAAAUUUUAAAAGUUUAGUACUUGUUAUCUUAUCGAGAGUUUUUUUAAAUUAUAUUACUACUUGAACUUGACUGCUUUUGUAUUGAAUUCCUACCGUUGCCAUUGCUUCUACUCAAAAGCCAUUUAAGUUUGUGUAAGCUACCUAUAGUUUGAACAACAAUUUACUCAUGAAUUGUUGUUCAUAUUAGCAAUUUGAUUGAAAGUGCGGCUGCACUAAUUUUCUAGAUGAAUUUUUUCCUACAUGCUUGUUCUCGUAUGACCCAAAAUCCUACUACAUCAGUUGUAUUAGAAAUUAAUCAACUGGGUUACAAUUAUGCAUCCCCACCAAUAUUUAAGCAAUUUAAUUACAGAAAUAUUUCUUGAGGAAAGAAACUCAUAUCGCCACUAGGCUUGUAAUGAGGCUCAUUUUUAUGAAUCUGGAUGGCAUUAGAUAUCUCUACGAAUAUUGGUGGGAGUAGAUCGCAGAUCUCUGGGCUAUACUACAAAGUUUAUGUACGUUGACUCUCAAUAAAUACAAACGAUUCUCUGAUAUGAUUCAAACAUCAGUGCAUGCAUCAUUUUAAUGAGAAAGAAUAUUCUAAGAACGAAAUUGAAGGUGCAAUCAGCAGCUAAAAUGAAGCCAGAAAUGUACAUGCAUGAGGAAUUUUUCCUAGAAGAUUGAUAUUUCUUUGACUAGCAAACCAUACAAGUCCAAAGCUAGCCAAACCAUACCUGCAAGGUGGGGGUUUAAAUGGAAUACUUCUAAGCAUAAAACAUUGAUUAAAACAGAAUACACACAUACAUACCAGCAAAUUCAAAAUAGCAAGAGGAGUGCAAAAGUUCAAGUUUGUAGACAACAUUGCAACCAUGGCAAGUUUAUAGCAAAUCCUCGAAAUCUGCUAAAUAAAACAAUGCCCUGUCUCAUGAAUCAAUGCUUAAUUAAAAUUGAAACUGAAAGUCUGGCUGACGUUGUUUCCCUCUCCAAUUUUGCCUACAUAAGUGAAAAUAAGAAUAAUAAAUGAAAAUCUGCUUUUACAGUUCUUAUUAGAUAGAUAUAAAUGGAUCUUUCUUUGUUUCUCUGCUGUAUUUUGUGGCUAUCCCACUCUGUUUUGCCAGUCAAGCUGAGUCUAUGUUGAGACAUAAUUUUGACAUCAGAAGCAAUCUCAAUUAGUUUGGCACUUUUAUGACCUCCUUAAAGGUUUUACAAUAAACAUAAAUCUACUGAGAAAGUGGGAAAAAAAAGAAAAUGCAUAUAAAAAUAUGAGUUAUCAGAUAAGAUUAAAACUCACCCAAUUCAAUCCAUCAGAUUCCGUAAGGAUAUAACUGGAUGUCAUACCGCCACUCCAUAUCCUUGAAAGUCCGUAGUGUUUGUCUCAACUCUGUCUGAGGCCAAUGUAAAUUCAAUUUGCGCAAGCUCUUUAUGCACCACAGCUCUUCUGGAAGCUUUCUCAAGUAAGCACAUGGGUUGACGAUUAAGCUUUCAAGUUUCGGCAUUGCUCCAGCCCCCAUCGUCCACUCAUCUAGCCAAUACAUUGAUUUCAGGUGCAAAACCUUAAGUUCGGGAAAGCUACUCAAGCCAACACAAGCAAGCUUUCUUCCUAAAUACGAGUUCUGCUUCAGUUUCAGCACUCGAAGGCGUGGAAGAUUUUCCAGAAUUGGCAUGGGAUCCUCCAUUAGCUCAGUAUUUGAUAAGCUCAGUUGGAUCAGACUUGGGGGAAAUUGGUAUUCAGACAGGACCAUCCGUGAGGGCUUGCUCUCAUUCACCAGCUUCAAGCAUUCAAGUUUGUGGACUUCGCAAAGGCUUUUGGAAACCCCAGAUUGAUAGUAACUCAAAUCUCCAGAUAUCCGAAGAGUCUGAACACUAGGUAGUCUGCCCAAUAUUUCAGGAGUACAACUACUAGGGUUUAAAGCUGAUAUAAAAAUGAGUUUUUUCAGAGAGCUAGAAUAAUUUUUUGGAGGUGCGGGUAGAGUGAUAGAACCAAAGUUUAGAUGUAUGAGUUUUUGCAUCAUCCAAAUAUCCUCUGGUGACUGAUCUAUGUAGCUAGAUGGCAUUUCUAGUGUUUCAAGGUUUAAAAGGGUGCAUAGCAGUGGAGGAAGGCAUUUGAGCGAAGGGAUAUUCAUUUUCAAAUACUUCAAAAGAUAUAAAUUUUCUAAUCCAGGUGGAAAUUGGUCGAGAACUGCAGAACCGAAGUUCAGUACCCGAAGGUGUUUGAACUUUUUACAAAAAUUCUCGCAAUCUAUCACAGCGAGAUGAUCGCCUUCUGAACUUUGAUUGAUAAAAGAUUGGAGAUAGAUCUCACCAUGUUCUAAAGAAAUGAACUCAGUCAGAUGCUCCAAAAUGAUGUACCGUUUAACAUUUGCAAAUGGUUCCGCUUCCCUGUCAGGCAUCCAGAGAAAUUUCGUCUUGUCUGCCAUCAAACCCAAUGAAGUAUAUACAAAACUUGGAACAUAGCAAGCUGUAAUUGUGCCGCCGGCUCUUCUCUUACUCACAUGAAUGAAGCCGCGAUGGAUUAGCUCUUUUAAGUAAUGUUCGGCAGUUUCCUCACCGUUGUAUGGAAUAAAGCCUUCAGCUAUCCACAACUGACAUAAUUGCCUGGUAGAUAUCUCAAUGCCUGGACGGAAGACACACAAAUAAAGGCAGCAGACUUUCAAGUGAAAAGGUAACUCCAACACAGAACAAAUUCGACUCAAGAGUGUCAAAACCACUUUUUCAUCCAUAUAAUUUACUAAUGGGGCACUUCCAUAGUGUAGGAUGAAAAAUUUCCAGGCUUCAUGCUUUAAUCUGAUCAAUGGUCCUCCAACAGGCACUGAAUAAAGCGGAAUGAUCCCUCCAUGCUCCAAUUCAAAAAAGGUAAGGAGGAAUGGAUCAGUGACCAAUAUCAAUACUCUGCUUCCAUUCUGCUUAUCAGGAAGAACUUCUUCAAGAUCAUCCCAUAUGUCACUGUCAUUGAAGACAUCAUCAAGCACAAUAAAGUACUUCUUGUUUGUCAGGUAAUCUCGAAGAAUAGAUUUCUUCAAGUGAUAAUCUUCACCGAUAAUUACCCUAGCCCGAGAUGGAGGCAUUAAAGAAUUGAUUAUGUCAUCCAAUAUCUUGCCAAAAUAGUAGCCUAUAGAAACCCUUACCCAAGCAAGACAGUCAAAAUAGAACUUGACAUGAUUAUUAUUGUAAAUAUCUGCAGCAAAAACAGUCUUAUGGAAGCCAUUGCUGUCGAGAAUUGCAAUCACUGAAAGCCCAGAUGGUCCCUCAAUCAAUAGAUCAAACAACUCCUCUCUGCCCCUUUCAAAUUCACUGACAUCAAGCCAGUGUUGUCCCUUACUCAAUAGGCGAAUGAUUUUGUUACUUUGUUCAGUGAUAUCAAAACCAUUGUCGCUGGGUGGAAGUUGUUGCAUUCGAUCUCUAAUAUCAAUGAUUUUACUGUGGAGUCCAACAAGAAGAGCCAUAUUAGUACUGCUUUCACUUUCGUUUUCACUGUUUUGCUGCUGCAUGAUGUUGAUGAAGAAUGUGUCAAUCGCUUCAUCAGAUUCAUGGACAAAGUGAUUGAUGUCGUCCAGAAUUUCCAAAAUGUCCCGUCUUUUUACGUCUUCAUCAGUGUCUUCUAAGUCUAACAGUUGCAGACAAAGCCAAGCCAUUUCAGCUCCAUUGAGUUGUUCUCUAAUGAUGCGUCGAAUCACACGACGAGUCAUGUCACCUUCAUAGUUCCCGAGCAGAGUAGUAAUAAUUUCAGUCUCCGUAAAAAGGUUUUGAAAAAGCGGGGCUAAGUUUGUUGAAUCAGGCAACGUUAACGUGCCUUCUUCACCUGCUACCACCCUUUUCAACCUCUCACAAAAUAGUCGGAGGUGGACGUCCAGCAUAUCUCCUUCUCUCUGUGGCACCCAGAGGUAUUGUUAUUUGCUCCAAGAAAUGUUAAAAGGAUUGGUCCUAUCUCAAAGAGGUUAGUGGUGUAAAGUUAAACACAAUGGAAGAAUUUGAAAGGAAUAUACCAAGAAACUGUGUAAGUGGCUAAAUUCCACAAAUAUGGCAUUGUUGCUCAUUUUUAACUCAAAAAAAUACACGUUAAUUUAGCGAAAAGUCCAAGACACGUGCUUUUUGAAAAGAACAGGUAUCCCAAUAGGUAUCCAACCUUUAUCUUAAUCAAUUACUACCAUGACAUACUUGAUGGUGCUUAAAUCAAUUUUUCUUUUCUUAAUGUAAAGAUUUUAUUUUUUUAAAACAGAUUUUAAUAUCAAGAAAAAAUAUCACUCGUAUAUCCUUAAAUGACACUUGUAUCAAACGUACUACAACACUUUUAACAUGUAUCACUUGUAUACCUUAAGUUGACAAAUUGUGUCUACCAUCCACCAAACCGUUAGUUGCCGUUUGCAAGCGCUGACAUCAUAAAGGUAAUCUAGUCUUUUCAAAUGGAAGAAACUUUGAUUAAAAAAACGACAUGUCAUCCCAUUUACCUCGUAAAAAAUGACAUAUCAUAUGAUAUAUAUUGACAAAAAAUGACAUGUCAUCCCAUUUAUCGGAAGAUGAUGUCAUCUAUGUGAAACAACGUUGUUUCAACGGGACUAAAAAAAAAAUGAUACUCCACAACCGAAUCGACUCCUCCAAACUUUAACUUGAAUAUUUGAAGAUCUACUCAUCCAAGCUCCAACUGGAAUUUUUUAUGGUAUAAUAUGUUGUUAAUAAUUUUUUAUGGUAUAAUAUGGAUUAUUUUUUAUGGAUAAUUGUUAAUAAUACGUACCAUUAAUAAUUCAUUUUUUAAUAAAAAAUGUAUUGUUAAUAAAAAAUAAAAAAUAUAUUGAAAAUUUACGUUAAUUUUUUGGGCAAAUAUGUAUUUUUACCUUAUUUUGAGUUUCAAGGGCGAAAUAGUCAAUUUGUCAUAAUUCUGUUAACUUUCUAAUGGUAGCUAACAGUUUGGUGGACAGCAGACACAUUUUGUCAACUUAGGGUGUACGAGUAAUACAUGUUAAAAGUGCUGCAAUACGUUUGAUACAAGUGUCAUUUAAAGGUAUAUGAGUGAUACAUGUUAAAAGAGUUGUAGUACAUUUGAUACAAGUGUCAUUUAAGGGGAUAUAAGUGAUAUUUUCCCUAAUAUCAAAUUGCCUUCGAUGUUUUUACAGCUACAAGCUCAGUAACAGGAUUAAUUAAAAAGUUUAGAAUUGUUGGGCGUGCAAAGAGUAGUUUUAAACACCAGAAAGCAAAGGUUGUUAUUGACAUAAUUUUAUUUUUGUUUUCGAGGGAAUUUGUUUUUUUUGUUGACAAGAAAAUAGUAUUAUAUUUUACAAUCUAUUAUACAUAUUUUAUCAUAUUAAAGUAAUUUUAAUAUUAAAUGGAAACAUUAAAUUUAAAUUAAUUAAUUAAAAAUUGAAUUAUUUUGAAUAUUAUGUAAAAAAUUAUUUUAAUAUCAUUAAUAAGGAGAUAUUUUGUUAAUUGUAAAAUAUUUUUAACCCAAAUAUAUAUUAAAUUUUUUAUAAUAAAUACAAAUACAAAUAUAAAAAUAAAAUAAAUAUCAUAGUUUAAAAUUUUAAUGUUAUUUUAAAUAUUAAAAAUAAUUUAAUGCUAUUAGUCUAUUACACAGGUUAUAUUAUAUUUGCAUUAAUUAAAAGUUUUAAAGUCAAUUUUCCAGUUUCUAUAUUCAAAGGUAUAAUGGUUAAAAGAAAGUUCUUGGUGUUUCUUUUUAAAAAUUUGAGGGUCUUAAUGAUAAUUUUUCUAAAUCGUAAGGGUAUAGGUGUCUUUUUUUCCGAUAAUUUAUUUCACGGGUAUCCAAUAAGAAACAUGGUAAGAGAACGUCAAUUACUUAUCAUUUUCUAUUUUUUCUAUGAGUCAUUUAUUUUGAGCAUUAGUGAUCUUAUCUGGACUACUCCAACUAUUGAUGCAACUCCAGUGGCUGCAUCCACAGUUAAAUAUAUGAUAGUGUUAGCUCUUAUUUGAGAAUUUAGAGGGAUCUUUCUUUGUUUCUCUGUUGCAAUGUGCUAGUAUAAAUUUCUUUACCUUAAAAUUUAUAUAGUCUUGCAGUUAAAGAAUUCACUGAGGCAUUGUUGAUUCAAUUUCAGUGAAGCAAUUGUGGGUGAAAGAUAAAUGAAGGAAAAGAGAACAGAGCUGAAGUGCUAAAUUGGCUAUUGAAGAAGGAUGUCACAUGAUCACAAUCACAUUGAUGCACAACUCUCUGGAGGCAAAGUUUGUCUAUAUGUACUCUGAAUUCAGCCAAGCCAUACAUGCAUGAACAAAAAUUAAACCGUAGUUCUAAUCACAACAGUAAUUGAAGCUACAAAAGCCAGCAAAUCUGAACGAAGACUUAAAAGAAAGAUCUUAUUCAAGUUUGUCCCCAAAAGACAGCUGAAAUGAAAAAUAUUGACUGUUGAAUGGGCCAAUGCUGAAUUACAUUUCAAAUGGAAAGCUUGGCAGCAGUUACAAUGUUUCCCCCUCUGAUUUUCCUCCAAAACAAAUUCAGUUGUAAACAAUAACCGAAGUAGUAAUAAUUUAUUCAUCAAAGAAAAUGCCCCCAAGUUUUCAAUUAAAAAAUCCUCUUGUCCAAACUAAAAGAACUCAUAUCUCUAAAAUUUAUUUGCAAAAUGUUGGAAAUGAGGAGUGAUCCGUUAACUCUGUAAAUAAACUCAUGCAUAAUGUUAACAAUAAUGAUAAAUUACAUAAUAAUUAUUAUAGAGAAUCAUAAAUUGGAAACGCUAAUCAUUCUACUAUUAUAUAAGUAAGAUAAAUAUCAUAAUAAGUUAAGUUAUAAUGUAAUAAAUAUUUGCAAUAUAUAAUUAUUUAAGAAGUCAUUUAACAAUAAAAUAUUUUUUUAUCCAGUUGAUCAUAUAGCGUUAUCUAAACUCUUGACAAUAUUAUUAUUACUCACUUUUCUCAAAAAAACAUGAUUAACUUUUAGAGAAAGUCAUGUCUUUGAGAAAGAAUAUGUAUACAAGCUAUCCAUACUUUAUCUUACUGUGACAAAAUUGAUGGUGAUUAAUUGUAUUUUUUAAAAUAGAUUUAACGCACAAAUAAGAUGACUUUUGGCAAAAAUUAUUUUCGGAAGAUAUAGUGAUAGAAAAUAGUGAUGAUAAUUAUUGUUUAAAUGUGUAAAUAGCCUAAGCAUAGCCCGUAAUACCAAUAUUCAUUUGCACCUUGAAAGAAACUUAGUUCUAUAUUGUUUGGCAAGCAAGAAAGUAAAGGAAAAUGAAAGAGAACUCUAAAGAACCUUUUUUAUUAUACUCAGAUAUCUCAACUUAAUGAAUACUGAUUGACAUUUAUACUAAGCUACAAUCUUCACUACACACACGAGUUUGUAACAUCACAUAACCAUUUGCUGCAUAACUAACUUUACACAUCAGCUCAACCAGCUAACUAACUUUGACAGGUCAGCUCAGUGAGUUGAUCUGCUACAACCAGCUACACAGCAACAGCAUGCUCUGCUCCAGCUAUACAGCAACAUCAUGCUCUGUUCCAGCUUUAUCCGCUCUGCUUUGCUCUGCUCCAGCUUUGACAGGUCAGCUCAGUGAGUUGAUCUGCUACAACCAGCUACACAGCAACAACAUGCUCUGCUCCAGCUAUACAGCAACAUCAUGCUCUGCUCCAGCUUUAUCCAAUUCACUAACAUCCCCCCUCAAGCUAAAAUGUUUAGGAUGAACAUUCAGCUUGCUUCUGAAGUAACUGAAUUGUUUGAAAGUAAGAGCCUUAGUUAACACAUCUGCUGUUUGAUCUGGACUAGGCACAUAGCAUACUGCAACCUCUUUAGCAGUGACCUUAUCUCGGAUAAAAUGUAUAUCCAAUUCAACAUGCUUAGUCUUAGCAUGAUAAACUGGAUUAUAAGCUAAAGCAAUUGCUCCUUGAUUAUCACACCACAUUAUAGGAGUGGAGCUUAAUGUGAUACUAAGUUCACCAAGUAAGGAUUUAAUCCAGGUAACCUCUGAAGCAGCAUGGGCAAGAGAUCUAUACUCAGCUUCUGUGCUGGAUCUGGAAACAACAACUUGUUUCUUUGACGACCAGGAAACAAGAUUAGGACCUAGAUAAACAGCAAAGCCAGCCACUGACUUCCUAUCAUCAUGAUCACAAGCCCAAUCAGAAUCUGAAAAACAAUGUAAUUGCAGAGCUCCUUGAUUGUAGAAAUGCAGCCCCAGAUGGAUAGUGCCUUUUAAGUACCUCAAUAACCUUUUACAUGCUUCCCAAUGUUGAGUUCUAGGACUGGAAAGGAACUGACUUAACUUGUUUACAGAGAAGGCAAUGUCAGGUCUGGUAAGAGUAACAUAUUGAAGAGCUCCUAUAACACUUCGAUAUUGAGAAACAUUUUCAAGUGGCUCUCCUGAGUCUUUGGUGAGAUAAAAGCCUGUAGACAUUGGAGUUGGCACAGGACUGCAGUCUGUCAUGCCAUGUUUAUCCAGAAUAUUAGCAAUGUACUUUGCUUGUGUCAAGGAAACCCCUUGUGAAGAUUUGCUGACUUCAAUCCCCAGAAAAUAGUGAAGUUCCCCCAGGUCUUUUAAAGCAAAAGCUUGAUGCAUAUGCUGGAUAACUUGUUGAAUUAUGGAUGGACUGGAACCAGUGAUGAUAAUAUCAUCAACAUAGACCAAAACAACAGUUAGAUGACCACUGUUCCAGGCAUAAAAGAGAGAGUUAUCAGACCUGGAAUGCUGAAAAUGCCACUUGGAGAUCAUUGCAUCCUUAAACCUAUCAAACCAGGCUCUAGGAGCUUGUUUUAAGCCAUACAAAGCCUUAUUUAGCUUGCAGAUAUGAUUAGGUUUAGUUGAAUCAACAAAACCUUGAGGUUGAGCCAUGUACACAUCUUCAAUUAAAAUGCCAUUUAGAAAGGCAUUGUUAACAUCCACCUGCCUUACAACCCAGUGACUCAAUACUGCUAAGCUAAGAAUAACUCUAACAGUGGAGGACUUAACCACUGGACUGAAGGUUUCUGUGUAGUCAAUCCCAUGUGUCUGAUGAAACCCUUUAGCCACAAGCCUGGCUUUAUACCUUGAAACUGAACCAUCUGAGUUAUACUUUACUCGAAAUACCCACUUGUUGCCAACUAUCUUCACUGGAGUAGCAGGUAAGACUAAAUCCCAGGUGUGAUUGGUUUUAAGAGCUAGAUACUCUUCUUGCAUAGCUUUAUACCACAUAGGAUCAGAAAGUGCUUUGGAAACAGAGGUUGGUUCUGACUUCUGAGCUAGUAAAGCUGACAAGUAGAUCUUGGGCUUGAAGAUACCUGCUUUUGACCUGGUUAUCAUUGGAUGACCAGAUGAUGCAGGUUGUGACAAGGUAUGUGGAGGUGAAUGAUGGGAUGGUGAAGAAGGAGAAGAAGAAGUGGAAUUGAAAUUAUCAGAAAAGUAAACUGGAGUAGAAUUUGGGAAGGAAAUAGAAGCAUGUGACUGAGAAUCAUUAAGAAGAUAUUCUGAUGAUGCUGCUAAAGGUGCUUGUAACUGAGUAACAAAAGGAGUAGAAGAAUUAAAAGAAGACUCAGAAUGAGUUGAUGACUGACAGUUUGAAGAAACUGAAGAAAAAUCUGUUCCUGACUCAUAAGGAAAAGAACGUUCAUAAAAGGUUACAUGAUUUGAAAUAUAGACCCUCCCAGAAGAGUGAAGACACUGAUAUCCCUUGUGUUGUGAACUGUAGCCAAUGAAUAUACAUCUAGCUGUUCUGAAAUCAAACUUAUGUCUAUUGUAUGGUCUGAGUGUUGGAUAACAAGCACAGCCGAAAAUUUUAAGUGUUGAAUAAUCUGGUUGGGAAUGAAACAACUUUUGAAAAGGAGAAAUGCUGUUUAGAACUGGAGUUGGAAGUCUGUUUAUCAAGUAGACAGCUGUAUGGAAUGCAUUCCACCAAAAUUUGAGUGGUAAAUGUGCUUGAGCUAAUAAAGUCAGUCCUACAUCAACUAUGUGUCUAUGUUUCCUCUCAAUUUUUCCAUUUUGAUGAUGAAUGUGGGGGCAAGGAUGUCGAAAAUGGAUGCCAGAAGUGGUGAGUAAUGAUGAAAAUGUUCUGAACUCCCCUCCCCAGUCAGUUUGGACAGUUUUGAUGGAAAGUUGAAGAUGCUUCUCAAUGAAUAUUUUGAAAUUGGUAAAAACUUCAAGAGCAUCAGAUUUUGCUGAUAAGGGAAAAAUCCAGGUAAACCUACUGUAAUCAUCUAGGAUUGACAAGUAGUAAUUAUAUCCUUGGGUAGAACAAACAUGAGAAGGGCCCCAAAGAUCUGCAUAUAUCAGUUGUAAAGGUGCUGAAGUUUUUGUUUCUACUGAAUCAAAAUGCAGCAUGUGAUUUUUACCAUAUUGGCAUGCUGAACAAAAUUUCAAACUGUCAACUUUAUUAAAAGCAGUAGAGUUGUUACAAGCUUUGAGAAUGGUUUUGAGAGUAUAAGAUGCUGGGUGUCAUAAUCUUCUAUGAAGAAGAUUUACAUCAAUAGAACCCUUUACAACAACUGACAGACAUGACUUUUUAUUCAACUCAUAAGAGCUAACAGUAGAGAGCUGAGCAGAAUUAAAAACAGGAGAACAAGCAAAAAGAGACUGAAUUUUGUUUUGACCAACUGAACUGAGAAAGACUGAAUGAACAGCAGCAUGAGAAGAGACUUUAUACAAGCUGUUGUGCAAAUUUUAAUGUACUCGCAAGCGCACGAAUCUAUUAUAGUAUAGAUCAAUGGUGACGAGUGUCGAUCCCACGAGGAGGUAGAUUUUAAUUGUGUAUAGAAUUAAUUUUGCAAAUGGUUGAUUGGAUUUGUAGUGGAAAUGAUUAGGAAUAUGCUAAAACUUAAAUUAAAAUGGCGAGAAUAAAUUCUAAAAUUGGAAUUGCAAUGGCGAGAAUAAAUUGAAGAGAAAUGUAUUGAAAUGACGUACUUGGGUAUCUGGAUCCGUAUCAACAUGCAUCAUGGGCUAAAUAAUCCGUAUUAAUGCCAAUUAAAUCAUGAGGGGGGAAUCCACACCUCAUGAACCACGCUCUAAUCAAUAUGGUGCUAAGGGCUUAUCGUGCCAAAUAAUAAUAACCUUAUACUAGAGAGCCGGUGUAACCAAGGCGGUAUCUAGACAAGAUCAGUAUUAUUUGUCGACGAUAAGUCAAAUCAUCCACAAAAACUAGAGGGGAAAAGAAAAUAAAUUUACCAAAUAAAGCCCAUGACACAUGUUGAGACUUCACCUUCAACCCAAGCUUGAAAGGAAAUUAGCUACUCAUAAUUGAACUAGGGGCAAAAUGGGAAUUUAUUAAAAUACAAAGAAAAUACAAGAUGGAGAGGGAAUUACAGAAAAUGGAUCCCAAAAAUGGAUUCAGAGAUAUCAAAUUAGGGGGGGAGGCCCAUUUUUUAUAGAUACAUGGAGUAAAUCAUGGCCAUCGGAUUAAAAACAGUUUGGACGCUCAGGAUUGCGCCACGUCAUCAGUCAACAGUCAACGGUUUGACCACGCGGAUGAACAGUAACAUGGUUUGGUUGAAAAUAAUCCUGUGUGAUGCAUACACCGUACGCGAGAUUUUUCGUCCACUGAUAUGCUGCCACGUCACCAUCAACAGUACAUAAGAAUUUUAGUCCAACAGGAUCGUGACACCUCAUCAGUCAAUGCCACAUCAUCGGUCAAUGCCACGUCAUCGAUCCGUCUAUGUGAACAGUGUCGUGAACAGUAACGUAGACAGUACCGUAUACGUGAAUAGUACCGUACAUGUGAAUAGUGCCAUUUUUCCUUUUAUGCUCCUCCUAAGGUUUUCGACCGUCCUGAGUUCAAAAGUGAUGUCCGUUUUGCCGUCUGAUCUCUCCUUUAUUGUGAAAUGACUAUAAUGCCCCUAAAAUACAUAAAAUACUUAAUUAAAAUAACACACACGUAAUUACAUCACAAGAGGGUUAAAUACAUAAAAGUAAGGGUUGUUAGUAAGACUUGAAACGUAAAAUGACGGUUUUCUCCUUUAUAAAUAUGCAUUUUCUAACACUCAACACAAGCCACCUUUAGCAACACCUUCAAGUAAAAUUUUCCCUGUGUUCCUGGCCUUUAUAAAACACAAAUUACCAAGAAAUUCAACAGUAACUGGAUUGUCAGCCAACAAUUUUGAGAUGCUAAGCAAAUUCUUAGUAAUAAAAGGGACAUGAAGAACAUGGUUAAGAAAUAAGGAUUGAGAAGCUGAAGUAUUUAGCACAACUGACCCUACAUGUGUAAUAGCUAAUGCAUUUCCAUCUCCAACAAAUAACCUUUCAGUACCAGUGUAAACUUUUGAAUCCAGAAGCUUACCUAGAUCAUUGGUAAUAUGAUUUGUUGCUCCACUAUCAAUAUACCAGGAAGGAUCUUCAAUGUGUUCAGGUGGGAGUGAAGAAGACAUAGCAGAGGAGGAGGAAGCACUUGACUGUUCCAGAUUAUUAUGUCCUAGACAGAAACAAAAUUAGAUGAUCCAGGGUUGAAUGAGAAAUAAGCAGAUGGGUUGCUUUCUGGAUAUACUAUAUUUCCUUGAUAGCCAAAACCCCUGGGGGCAUUACCAAAACCAACAUUUUGUCCAAAACCAGCAUUUGAACCAAAACCUCCAAAACCUCUUCCACUAUUACCAUUAAAGGCUCUUCCUCGACCAUAUUGCCCUUGAUUAAAACCUCUGCCACCAUUCAUAUUACCUCUACCAUGGUUCCUCUGUGGAACAAAAGAUGAGUUGUACCUAUUUCUGCAUUUAUAGGCUGCAUGACCAGGUAUGAAGCAAAUUUGGCAAACAACUUCAGAGAAAUUACUAUUAUUAUUAAACUGACCAUAUCCAUAUCCAGAAUUAUUACCACCUCCAGAGUUAUUUCCAUACUGUUUCUGAAAAUUUCCAUUAUUCUUUCCAGCAUAUGAGUUCUUCUGAACAAUAUUUGCUGUCAUGUUAUGCAUCACAUCACCAGCAAUUUUUCCUUUCUUUUGCUCAACUCUAUUUUCAUGAUUCAACAGCAAAGAAUAUAGUUCAUCUAAUGUUAUCUUUUCACCUCGAGCUAACACAGCAGUGACUAAAGAUUCAUAAUCUGAUGAAUCAAGACCAGUUAAUACAUGCAUCACAAGAUCAUUUAACUCAACAGGUUUUCCAGCUAGAGCUAAAGUAUCAGCUAUACGUUUUACUUUUACAAAGUAAUCAGACAUAUGCAUUGCACCUUUCUUAAUAGUUUGAAUCUGCAUUCUAAGUGUUUGAAUUCUAGCUUGUGAUUGAGAGAUAAACAUACUAGCAAGAGUCUCCCAAAGCUGUUUUGAGGUUGUUGAGUCAAUCACAGUAGCAAGCAGAUUUUGUUGUAUCAAUGACAUCAUCCAACUCAGCAGAAGUUGAUCAGCCUUCAUCCAAGCUACGAACUCUGGAUUAACAGAUCUGGAUCCAGAUUCAGUAACAGAUCUGGAUCCAGAUUCAAUUAAGAUUUCAGCUCCAUUGUUGUUGCCAGAAGAAAGAAACUGCUCAGGACAUUCUCGAUCACCAUUGAUAAAACCUUCCAAACCAUUUCCUUUGAUCGAAGCUAGAAUUUGUGUGCGCCACAAAAUAUAGUUGUUUUGAUCUAGCUUUACAGGCGUAACAAAACUAAAAGAGUUGUUGUUUUGAACUGUAUUUGCCAUUUAUGGCUCUGAUACCAUGAAAGAAACUUAGUUCUAUAUUGUUUGGCAAGCAAGAAAGUAAAGGAAAAUGAAAGAGAACUCUAAAGAACCUUUUUUAUUAUACUCAGAUAUCUCAACUUAAUGAAUAUUGAUUGACAUUUAUACUAAGCUACAAUCUUCACUACACACACGAGUUUGUUACAUCACAUAACCAUUUGCUGCAUAACUAACUUUACACAUCAGCUCAACCAGCUAACUAACUUUGAUAGGUCAGCUCAGUGAGUUGAUCUGCUACAACCAGCUACACAGCAACAGCAUGCUCUGCUCCAGCUAUACAGCAACAUCAUGCUCUGCUCCAGCUUUAUCCGCUCUGCUCUGCUCUGCUCCAGCUUUGACAGGUCAGCUCAGUGAGUUGAUCUGCUACAACCAGCUACACAGCAACAGCAUGCUCUGCUCCAGCUAUACAGCAACAUCAUGCUCUGCUCCGGCUUUAUCCAAUUCACUAACACACCUUCAUUUGUGUUAUCACAUUUCAUGAUAUUCUUUCAUUUAUGACCAUUGUUCAAGAUUUUAAUUUGAUUAUAAACUAAGUUGCAAGGGAGCUUACUUCAGUUUCUAAGCUUUUCAAUCGUGAUUCCUGCAUGCCAAACGUAACUGACCUUAUAAUUGGUCUGUAUAAGAAAUCAAGCCCUUUCAGGAUCGUUUUCUUUUUCUCCCUAUUGUAGUAGUCAACUAAAUAAAGAAUGAACAACUAAACUUGGUCUAUUUCGAGGAAGACUAAGGCUUCCAAUACUAGAUGAACUUUGAAGAAAAUUAAUCCGUUGUUUUUAUUCAUCUUUGGACUAUGAAUUUAUACAAAGACUUUAACAGAAAAUAACAAAGACACAGCUAAAUGAUAGCAAUAAGUGCUGACUUGGUGGACCACUUCUGCAAGUAAAUAAAAACUAAAUAUUUAUUUUGACUAUAACAACAACUACGCUGAUGAAUAGGAUUUCACAGCAGCCACGUGACAACUAAUUUCUCCUUAAUAUUAUUAUUAGUAGAAGUAGAUUUUAAAACUAGUCUUGAUAUAUUUCAAAGUUGUAUUAUCAAUGUAUAUGUGUCUAGAUUGUAACUAUAUUUUAAAAAAUAUAAAAUUUUUAAUUAUUGCACAGUAUAUGUAGCAAAAUAUCUAUAGAAUGAUAUUAUUAGGACUAAGAUUUUUUUUUAUUUUAGAUAAGUUAUUUAUUUAUUAUCGAAUGAAUAAUUUAUUAAUUUACUGAUAAAUGAAUAUUUAUUAAUUUAAAGAGAGAUUUUUUUGGUUUUAACAAGAGUUUGUUUGGUAAAUGUACACACUUAUAAAGAAACAUAAAAAGUGGUUCCUCAAGUCAAUAGUAUUUGCUUCAAUCGCAAUGGUUCAUAAUAAUAUAGCAUAGUUAGGAAAUUUGUAAUUAUAUUAUGGCUCUGUUUGGUAGUAAAACUCAUUUAAGUAGAGUUGUUGUUAAUAGAGCUUUUAUAAAUAAAGCUUUUACUAAAAAAAAUUUAGUUGUUUGCUUGUCAAUGUCCAAAUUGAUAAACUUUUGUUCUUUUGUUAAGAUAUGUUUGUUUUACUUAAUAAUAGCAUCGGCAAGAGUUUUCGAUUGUUGCAACUUGCAAUGCACGCGGUGAGAGAAAAUGAGAAUCUUGUUUAAUUGUCAAUAUAUAAUGACAAACCUAAUCCUUUCAUUAGGAGUAAUUUAAUAAUCGUUUGUUAUAACUGAAUAUGUAUAAAGAAAGGAAAAUUCUAUUCAUAAAUUUCGACUUAUUUUUUGUUUAAAGUAAUUAAUCAUUCAACCAUCUUCAUUUGCCUCUGGCCAAUGCCCUUGUAGAUUAGUUUACUUAAUUAUGAUUAUAUACAUUUUCAUAUAGCAAGUGGCAUUGUAGAUCUAAACUAAGUUGCUAUUUCAAUACCAGCAAAUUCAAAAUAGAAAAGGAGUGCAACUAUUCAACUUUGUAGACAAUAUUGCAACCAUGGCAUAUUUAUAGCAAAUCAUUGAAAUCUGCUAAAGAAAACAAUGCCCUGUCUCAUGAAUCGAUGCUCAAUUAAAAUUUAAAUUGAAAGUCCGGCUGGUGUUGUUUUCCUCUCCAGCGAAAUAAGAAUCAUAAGUGAAAAUAGGCUUUGACAGGUCUUAUUUCUUUGUUUCUCUGCUGCAAUGUGUGGUUAUCCCACUCUGUUUUGCCACUCAAGCUGAGUCUACGUUGAGACAUUAUUUCAGUAUUGAGGUAACAAUAAUUUCGGACUCCGUAAGAAGGUUUUGAAAAAGUGGAGUCACAUUUGUUGAAUCAGGCAACGUCAACGUGCCUUCUUCACCUGCUAACACCCUUUUCAACCUCUCACAAAAUAGUCGGAGGUGGACGUCCAGCAUAUCUCAUUCACAUUUGUUGAAUUUGCAUGGAAUUUGCAAGGAGUAUGCCAAAGAAUUUGCAAGGAAUAUGCCAAGAAUUUGCAAGGAAUAUGCCAAGAAACUGGCCAACCCGCUUAGCUUAAUUCCACAAAUAUGACGUUAUUGCUCAUUUUUCUCUCAAGCACAUAAUACACGUUCUUCGAGACGCGUGCCUUCUGAAAAGGACAGGUAUCCAACCUCAUCUUAAUUACUACCAUGACAUAAUUGAUGGUUGCUUAAAUCAAUUUUUUCUUCUUUUUUUUUUUUAAUUUAAAGAAUUUUCCCUUAAAAAAAAUUUAAUAUCAAAAUGCCUUCAAUGUUAUUACUGCCGAAAGCCAAACUUCCUUUGGGUAAUUAAUUUAGAAGUGAAGCAGAGAAUAAAGUCCUAGAUGCCUUUUGAAAUUAGAAAUACAUUUUAUAUGCUUUAAUUAAUCAAUUCACUGAGGCAUUAUUGAUCCAAUCCCAGUGAAGUAAUUGUGGGUGAAAAAAAAAUAAAGUGCUGAAUUGGCUACUAAGAAAGAGUGUCACUUGAUCACAAUCACAUUGAUCCACAACUCACUCGAGGCAAAUUUCAUCUAUGUGUACUGCAAAUUUAGCCAAACCAUACAUGCAUGAACAAAAUUAGGCCGUAGUCCUCAUCACAACAUUAAUUGAAGCCACAAAAGCCAGCAAAUCCAAACAAAAACUUAAAAGAAAAUGCUUGGUAUAGAGAAGCACGAGAGAAAGACGAGAAAAACAAUGAAGAAAGUGGUAGAGAGAGAGUGAGUGGGUAGAGAGAGAGCAAAAUUCUCUCGUCUUUCUCUCGUGCUUCUCUCUCUCUAUCACUACUCAAACUUAAAAGGAAGAUCUUAUUCAAGUUUGUCCCCAAAAGACAGCUGAAAUGAAAAAUAUUGACUAUUGAGUGGGUCGAUGCUGAAUUACAUUUGACAUGGAAAGCUUGGCUGCAGUUGCGAUGUUCCCCCUUCUGAUUUUCCUCCAAAACAAAUUCAUUUGUAAACAAUAACGGAAGUAGCAACAAUUUAUUCAUUAUAGAAAAUACCUAAAUUUUCAACUAUCAAAUCCUCUUGUCUAAACUAAAAAACUCAUAUCUCUAAAAUCUAUAUACAAAAUGUCAAAAACGGGUGAUCUCUCAAUUCGAUAAAUAAAUUCAUGCAUAAUGUUACUAGUAAUGAUAAAUUACAUAAUAAUUAUUAUAAAGAAUCAUAAAUUGGAAACAUUAAUCAUUUUACAAUAUAUUACAUAAUAAAGAUAAAUUUUAUAACAAGUUAAGUUAGAACAUAUCAAAUAUUUUCAAUAUAUAUAAUUAUUUAAGAAGUCUUUUAACAAUAAUUUUUUUCUUUUUCAGUUAAUCAUGUCAUAUACCGUUAUCUAAAAUGCUGGCGAUAUUAUUAUUCCUCACUUUUCUCAAACAAAAAAGAAAAGAAAAAAGAAACAUGAUUAACGUUUAGAGAAAAGUCACGCCUUUUAAAAACAAUAUGUAUACAAUAGCAAUCCAUACUUUAUAAAAUUGAUGGUGAUUACAAAGAAAAAUUGUUUAAAAUAGAUUUAAUGCACAAAUAUGAUGACUUUUGGCAAAAAUUAGUUUCGGAAAUGUUGGGAUGAAAACCAUAUUAAUUGAGAAUUAAAAUUACUUAAUAAAAUUACUUAACUACCAUCUAAUAGAUGAAAACCAUAUCAAUUGGGACUUAAAUUAAGAUUUAAAUGUUGAAAUAUCUAGCAUUACUCACAAUAACCAAUUCAAAUUAUGACUAUCAUGUAGAAGCAAAUGUUUAUGCUUGGGUUUUUUACUUCUUGAAUUUGAUUGGAAAAAUUUCUGAGAUAGAGAAGUGUUUUGGAUAAUUUUUUCGGGAUUGAAACCACAAAUUGGUAGAGGAAAUUAAUUUUGGACAAAUUUUUCUUAUAUUGUAGGACCUUCUAGUUGGAGUAGUGAUGGCUUUGUCUUCAUUUUUGGUUCCUUUUGUGUCAGCAACCCCUUACUAUUCUCUUGACCCUGAGUUUGAGAUAGAAAUUUAUCAACCUCCAACCCCACAUCCACAAACAAGUUGAUUGAAACAAUUACUCUUUUAAUUAAGAGGACCCAAAUGAUUUAGGUUUCAGUUCUUAUCAUUUGUCUAUUAUUUCUUUGAAACAUUUAUUUUGAGCGUUACUGAUCUUAAUUAUCUGUAUUUCUCCAAUUAUUGAAGAAUUUCAAGUGGCCACUUUUUCUCCUUUUUAUAUAUGUUUAUUUUUUGGAGUGAUCAAACGGGUGAAAAAUCAAGUAUUCGCUGGUCUGUAGUUUAGCCAACGAUGGCUGAUCCACACAGUUGAUUAUAUGAUACUAUUAGCUCUCAAAAUCUUUCUUAUUUGAGAACAUAAAUUGCCCAUUGAAGUUAAACUAUGUUACCCAGCUCCAUGCACAUACAUUAAAUGUUUAGGUAGUUUUACAAAAUGAUAACAGCAUGCCAAAACUUGAUGUUGUCAUAUUCGACAUUUCAAAUUGAAAAAUAUGCAAGCAAUCUUCAGUGACCAUUACGUUUUUAUUGAAUAAUUUAAAUGGCCAGUAAAUCAACAGUCCGUGAGUUUUAAAUCUGUUAUGACUUAAUGUAUCUUUCUGUAUUCGUACACAGGUUAUAUUAUCAUAGUUUAAAAUUUUAAUAUUAUUUUAAAUGUUAUAAAUACUUUAAUGCUAUUAGUCUACUACACAGGUUAUAUUAUUUAUAUUAUAUUUGUAUUAAUUAAAACUUUUAAUGUCAACUUUCUAAUUACUAUAUUGAAAAGGUAUUAUGGUUAAGAAAAAGUUUUGGCAUUUCUUCUAAAAAAUUUGAGGGUAUGCAUGACAACACUACAAGAAAAAUGACCUACCAUGACAGUCCUCUGUGUGACAGUUUUUGGUCUGCAGAGCUACUACGAUAGAUGGAUGAUAAAUUUUUUUUCUAUCAUUCAUUUAUGACAUACUUGUGAUAGAAAUUUCAUCUAUCAAGCACUUAUGAUAGACUGAUGAUAAAUUAUUUGGUUAUCAAGAAGUAAUGACAAGUUUGUGAUAUAAUUUAGAUCAUCAAGUAGCUUUUUUAUUUUGACUUUAUUUCACAAGGUUGACUGAAAAUUUUAAAAUGAAUGAAAAAAAUAAAUAAAGAAUAAACGGUACCGUUUGGAUUAAAAGUUUCUCUUUGGACAAGAAACGACACCGUUUAGAUUGAAGCUAAAUAAAAACAAAACCCUCUUCAGUUUUCACUAAUCGAAUUUUUUUUCCCUAAGUGUCGGCACUCUCACUCACUCUCGUCUCUCGCUCAGUCAUUCUCGUCAAUCUCACACUCACAAAGCCCUUUUCACCCGAAAUCCUUGCAUGGGCACUGAACCACUGCCGCCAUUCUCUUGUAUUUGACUAUCAAUUUUGGCUCUCACCGAGAACUAUAUGGAAUACCCACCAAACGCAUGUGCUUCUACUAUUGAAUUUCAAUACCCUAACUGAGAGCCCACGCUCACCCACUAUUGUAACCGUUCGAUCAAUACAGGUAAAUAAUAUUUCUAGUGUUGUGUUCCAUUUCAAUUUUAAUGUUCUUGUCAAACUCGAACCCUAUAUAUGUAAACUUAAAAACCCUAGAUGUGUUCUUGUCAAAUUCGAACCCUACACACCUAAAUCUUGUAAAACCUAGAUGUUUUCUUGUCAAAUUUGAACCCUGUACGUGUAAAACUUGAAAAUCCUAGGUGUGCUCUUGUUAAAUUUGGAUCUAUUUGAUUGGUCUUCUAUGUUUCUUUAUUUAUGGAAUUUUAAACAUUUAUUUGAUUUUUUUGGAAUUUAAUUAUUAUAGUUUUAUUGUUAAAUUAAUUUGAUUUAGGCUGUAAAGAUCCUUGCCAAUUUAAUCGUGAUGGGUGUUGGGAUAUUGUCUAGGCUGCUUUAUCUUUGGGGUUUUCUAAUAACUAAUUUUUUUUUUUCACUUUUUUGUGGAUGCAUGGAACUAUAUAUAUAGAUAAUUCUCAAAUUCGUUCACUGUGAUGCAAAGUCUUUUUUUUUUCAAUUUCAUUGGUUAAAUUCACUAAUUCGUUGAAAUUAGUGGUGAUUGUGGGCCGAGUCGCAUGUGCAGGAAGUGGUGUCAGGUCUGGGCGCACAUUGAGUCAUGCACUUGGUGGGCAAUUGGUAUUGUUUCUAUUGUGUGUGUUGGAAAUAAUGUCAAUAUCAUCCAACCAAUGUGUGUUUCUAGUGGCUGUUUUUGCACCGAGCAGAUAAUUUAUUAUUACAUCAGAGUUCCCCAUCCCUUGUUUCUCUUUUGGGUAAUGCAGGUAUUGACUAGUUCAUUUCCAUUUUCAUUUGUCUUGAGGGAAUGUUAUCAAUUUUUCGAUCUUACAAGAUAUUGAUUGAUACAUAUGUGUACAAUACAUUAAAAAUCAUUAAACAUUUUGCUCUUAGUUACAAUUUUGAAUGAAUGUCACAUGGAAAGAUCCUCUAAGAAUAUCAAUAGUAUUGUGGUUUCUACUCAAUUUCCACUCUCCGCACUCAUAUGAGCAUGGUUUGAAUCUCAAGCCUUUUGUACCAUUCAAAAAUUUAUACCAAUUAACAACAUAGCUUGCUAGCACCACAAAUUGUUUCAACUCCAAGGCAGAGAAUUCCUAGAAGAUAUAUACAUAUUGAUAUAUACUUGCAUGUAGCCGUAUGCUCACUACCUUCGAAUUGGGGAUAUAGUCACUAUUUUUGUAUUCCCUCCAAGUGUUUGAUAAAAAGCAUGAAUGAAUCUUGGCUCUUUAAUUGUUGCAGGCCAUUUCUACCUAUGAGGAGCAAAGGAAUAUGAAGCUUAUUAUAUUCAUUCACAAAGCAAAGCUGAUAUAAUUCAUGGCAAAGCUUGAUGAGGUGUUGUAUUUAAUCUUGCUCAUGAGAUCAAUUACCUAUCUUGUUGGACUUUAUUCUUGUAAUUAAGGUCCAUCCAAAGUUGAUGGCUUGUUUGUCAGAAAGAUAAUCUGAAGGCUAUGAUUGAUUACUUGCGGGCCGAUGGAAAUGUCUCCAUGAUUGGUUUAUGAGGUUGUUAAAUUACUAAAUAGGUAUAUUUACUUUUCAUGAGCUUUAUCUUCGUUUUUCCAUUAUGGAAAUGUCUCUAUGAUUGUAACUUUUAACACGUGGAACUCUUGAACCCUAUGUUUAGUUAUAUACUUAUAUUGGGACUUGUAUAAAUUAAUAUGAUGGUUUUAUUAUUAUUAUUAUUAGUAGUAGUAGUAGUAGUAGUAGCAGCUACAAAAGAUCAAAAGAACUUAAAGGUGUGGCUUGUGGCUUUCUUGCUGUUUGGGCUUUAACUGCUGCCUCACUUGUCAUUGUUGCUAAUCUGGUGUGCCACGUCCAUUUCAGUGUAAUUACAUAAGUUAGUUUGCUUGAUUAAUUAAUUAAUUAGUUAGCGGAUUGAAUAGCCAGAGUACUACAUUUUGCAUAGGUCUGAUGCUGGAUGAAUUUUCAUGUCUUGGCUUUGGGGCUGCUGGAUUUUGCUGCUGGAAGACUAGAUUUUGCAAUUUUGUUGCUGGAAGACUACAUUUUGUGUAGGUUUGUUGCUGGAUGUUGCUGAAUGCGGAGUACUUUGCUUGGUUUUGGAUUGGCCUUUGUUGUCUAUUGGCUCGACUUUGGAAUAUGGAUUAACUAAUGUAAUGUACUUUGGAUAUUUUUAUGGUUAAUAAAGUUCACUAAUUUAGUUCAUUAGUUUUGGAUUUAAUUGCAUUUAGUAAUUUAUUUUCUUUCAUAUAAUUUUAAUAAUUUUAAUAAUUUUAAUUUUUAAAUUUCAUAAUUUUUAUUUUAAAUUAAUAAAUAAAAUAAAUAAUCAAUUUUUUCAAAAAAAAUGUGAUAGAAAAUACUAGUCAUACACACAAUUGAUAUCCCAAAAAAAAAUACAAUCCAAAAAUUUCUAAAAAAAUGAAAAUAUAAAAUAAAAAAAUAAUUUCCCUCUUCUAAGUAGUAUGACAUAAUUAUGAUAGGUAAAAUCUAUCACAACUUGUGACGCGAUUUUAUCUGUCAUCUUUUCUUGACGCUGACUAUAAUGACAGUAAGGAUAACCGUCAUCUACCCCCUAAGAUGACAGUUUUUACCUAUCAUAAUAGGUCAUUUUUCUUGUAGUGCAAUUUUUCCAAUUCUAAGGGUAUAGGUUUGAAAAUUUAACGUUAUUUAACUUAAUGAAACAAAAGGGGAAACCAAGAACUAUUCAAUUUUGUAUUUUUUGUUUGUAAUUCAAAAAAUACAUCCACCAAACAAGUUUUACACAUUAAUGCUGUCAUAAAACGAAAAACAGUUUGCCAAAAAAUGGUACCGUCACAUGAUUUCUUAGUAAGUCCAUAUUAGAUAUAUUUAUACAUUUUAGGUAUUUUAGUUAUAAAAGAAGUUGGUCCUCCCCCUAUUUAUAAAAGAUAACUUUGUUUCGAUAUUACCACUAAACUCUUACAUAGAAUUAGUGUAAUGUUAAGAGAGAGUAAUGCGGUUUUCCAUUACCAUCUUUGAAAAUAGAAAGAUAUGGAUGCGUGCAUUUAAGAGUCAUCGUGAAAAUCAUACAAUUCAAUUUCCUGACAUAUAUAUUUAUGCACGUAUGCCAAAAGAAUAAAUAGACAGAAAGUAAAUUUAUAGUCCUCACUUCCUCACAAUUGUUAACGUGGAGAUGCAUUACAACUGUGAACUGUCACUACUUUAGCCUUUUUUUUUUUUAAUUAUAGUGUGAUGGAGACAUUAAGGAUGAGCAUAAUAGUUAAAGAUGACUCAUUUCUCAUUUUCUUUUUAAAGUGCUCUGCUGAAAGCCAAACUUCCUUUGGCUAAUUAAUUUAGAAGUAAAGCAGAGAAUAAAGUCCUAGAUGCCUUCUGAAAUUAGAAAUACAUUUUAUAUGCUUUAAUUAUGAUUAUUUGGUAGACUAAAGACCUAAAAGAUAUGUCAAAAGUAUAAAACAGAGCGAUUAAAGAAAAAAGAAAAAAAAAACAGAGUAUUUGUGACGUAGAAUAACAAUUGGUAAAUAAAUCCUAAAUAUUUGAGUUGUUAAAAGCAAAUAUAACAGAGACGGUAAGAGAGAUGCUGAAACAGAAAACUAUUAGCUUAUCUUGAUUUUCCCACUAUAUUCAUUUUCGAUGCUUUUCAAACGAGAUUCUUUUAAUUCUUCUGGUGUCUCUUAUAGAUCUCCAUCCCACAUCUGCACUACGAACAAGUUGAUUAAAAUUAAAUACUGUUGGAGAUGUGGGGUGAGCGGUCAACUUGGUAAAAAAACUAUGUAUAAUAUUGUUAAUAAUAUAAAAUAUAAAAUAAUAAUUACAAAGAAUCAUAAAUUAGAAAAAUUAUUUAUUUUACAAUCUAUUUCUUAAGUAAGAUAAAUCUCGUAAUAAGUUAAGUUAUAAUGUAAAAAAUAUUUUCAAUUUAUAAUCAUUUAAGGAGUCAUUUAACAAUAAAAUCUUUCUUUUUUUGAUCAAUUGGUCAUGCUACAGAGCAUCAUCUAUUCGUGGUGAUAUUAUUAUUACUCCGUAUUCUCAAAAAACACGAUUUAACAUUUAGAGAAAGUUCCUACCUUUUAAAAAGAACAUGUAUGCAACAACUACCCAUACUUUAUCUUACCACGACAAAACUAAUAGUGACUAAAUCAAUUUUCUCGAAUAAAGAAAAAUUUCUUAAAAUUAAUUUAAUAUACAAAUAUGAUGACUUUUUGCAAAAAUUAGUUUUGGAAAAUUAGUGACAGAAAAUAGUAACGAUUAUUGUUUAGAUGUGUAAAUAGCCUAAACAUGAUCCCUAAUACCAAUAUCCACGUGCAUCUUAACACCUUUCGUCAUAUUCUUUCAUUCAUGGUCACUGGUUCAAGAUUUGAAUUUGAUCAUUAAAUCAUGUUCAAUAAUAUUAGAGAUCCCAACAAUUGAGUACCAACUUAAAUCCCAAUGCUAUGUGUCAUUAACAAAUGUUGUGUCAUUUAUAAUUAUUGAAUGAAUAAUUCGUUAAUUUAUUGAUAAAUGAAAAUUUAUUAAUUUAAAGAGAGAUAUUUUUUUUUUGGGUUUUAAGAAGAGUUUUGUUGGUACAUGUACAUACUUAUAAAGAAAUAAACUUGUAAUUAUACUAUAUCUUUCUUUCUUUAUUCAGUUUGGUGGGAUAUUGUGAUAAAUCAUUGGAUUAAAAUGCAUUUCUAAAUUAAAACUUGUUAAAAUCUAAUUUAUUUGGGAAGCGCAUAUUAUUUGUCAGUCGUACUUCUCAAGUCUCAACUUAGCAAGUUAUUUCUAACUUGUCAGUCUCUAUUUGUUCUCUAAAAGCUAAUAGUCUCGAAUCUCCCGCAUUUGAUAUCUUGCCAUUAUUGUUGGCAUUAACAUGUUACCUGAGAUUGGGAUUCAUUAAAAUCCUCAAUGUAAUCGGUGGAACGAAUGGAUUUCUUCUGUUCACCAAUCCACCAAAAUUUCUGUAAUUAAAUUCAAGAGUCAAGAUCUAUGCUUAUAAUCUAUUCUAACAGCUAAUAUUCUAUUUUAUAUUUACUUAAAUAUGAAGAGCUAUGCUUGUCAUUAACUUCAAAUGUGAUCGAAGCAGCCAUACAUCUGUAUAUUACUUAUUCCCAACCUUUUUUUUUGACUUCAUAUACUUUCUUUUCAUGUUAUUUACUCUUUUUUUCCCCUCUCUGACAAUUGAGGUAGGGGGUCAAACUUGAAAGUAUCUUAAAAUCAGACAAUUUUUUUUUUUUUUAAGAUAGCUGCUAAUAUGCUCUAUUAGACAAUGAUAAGUAAUAACCUAGUUGUUUGCAUUAGAAAUGAUAUUUUUUGUGGUGCUGAUAAAGAGGUUGAUUAUGAUUCAACAAUUUAAAAUAUGAAAACAUGUGGAAGACGGCCGCAAUUAAAUUGAUUGUAUGAAAAUAUUUCAAUGAAAUUUUAAAAAUUUAGUACUUGUUAUCUUAUCGAGAGUUUUUUUAAAUUAUAUUACUACUUGAACUUGGGUACUUGUUAUCUUAUCGAGAGUUUUUUUAAAUUAUAUUACUACUUGAACUUGGCUGCUUUUGUAUUGAAUUCCUAGCGUUGCCAUUGCUUCUACUCAAAAGCCAUUUAAGUUUGUGUAAGCUACCUAUAGUUUGAACAACAAUUUACUCAUGAAUUGUUGUUCAUAAUAGCAAUUUGAUUGAAAGUGCGGCUGCACUAAUUUUCUAGAUGAAUUUUUUCCUACAUGCUUGUUCUCGUAUGACCCAAAAUCCUGCUACAUCAGUUGUAUUAGAAAUUAAUACUGGGUUACAAUUAUGCAUCCCCACCAAUAUUUAAGCAAUUUAAUUACAGGAACAUUUCUUGAGGAAAGAAACUCAUAUCGCCCCUAGGCUUUUAAUGAGGCUCAUUUUUAUGAAUCUGGAUGGCAUUAGAUAUCUCUCCGAAUAUUGGUGGGAGUAUAUCGCAGAUCUCUGGGCUAUACUACAAAGUGUAUGUACGUUGACUCUCAAUAAAUACAAACGAUUCUCUGAUAUGAUUCAAAACAUCAGUGCACGCAUCAUUUUAACGAGAGAGAAUAUUCUAAGAACGAAAUUGAAGGUGCAAUCAACAACUAAAAUGAAGCCAGAAAUGUACACGCAUGAGGAAGUUUUCCUAGAAGAUUGAUAUUUCUUUAACUAGCAAACAAUACAAGUCCAAAGCUAACCAAACCAUACCUGCAAGUCCGGGGCUUAAAUGGAGUACUUGUAAGCAUAAAACAUUAAUCAAAACACAGUAUAGACACACACACACACCCCUACAUACAUACCAGCAAAUUCGAAAUAGAAAAAGGAGUGCAACUAUUCAAGUUUGUUGACAAUAUUGCAACCAUGGCAUAUUAAAGCAAAUCCUUAAAAUCAGCUAAACGAAACAAUUCCCUGUCUCAUGAAUCGAUGCUCAAUUAAAAUUGAAAUUGAAAGUCCGGCUGGUGUUGUUUCCCUCUCCAGGUUUGCCUACAUAAGUAAAGGGAAAUGAGAAUCAUAAAUGAAAAUCUGCUUCGAUCACUGUUCACAAAUCACUGUUCACAAAUCCCUAAUUCAAAAAUUACUGUUGAUUAUCGUUUUACAGCAGCGCCUCAGCUCCAGCCUUCACCCCGCAACGCAAGCAGCAGCCAGCGCGAACCAGUCGCGCCCAACGCAAGCCCCAGCAACCCAGAUUGUUAGCUCCAGCCGCGCGCAACGUAGCUGAGCAGCAGCAGACCAGCAGCGCGAACCAGCUCUCGCGCGCAACACAACGCGAACGCAGCAGUGCGUAGAUGCAGCCCAGCAACGCAGCGCGAACCAGCAAUGCAGCCUCACCAGCGCGCAACGCAAGCCCCCGCACGCGCAGCACCAGCAUCCCGUUUCUCGCAGCGCAGCAGCGCGCAACGCAGCGCAGCACCCGCAAAGCAAGCCUCACCAGCGCGCAACGCAAGCCCGCAACGCAGCAACGAGCACGCCCUGCAACGCAACCAGCUUACGCCUUGUAUUCCAGCCGGGUAAAUCGAAAUCCGUGAGUACAAUUAUUGUAACAAUGCCGAAGAGGAAAGCAUCCACUUCCAAGUCAUCGAAAAAGACACCCAUCGCAAAGAAAUCUAAGAUUGCCGCUCCCACUACGGUUCCAUGGAACACAAUUUCAGAUUCACGCCAAGCCGUGAGACAAAGAUCGAAGCAUGGAAAAGGCAUGAGUAUUUUGCCACUUGCGGAAUCCAAUCUCGAAGGGUGCCUUGCAUUCGCGACUCAACAAGAGAAAGAGAGGUACAAAGAUAUUUCCACGGGCAAAAUACUUCCAGCUAAGAAUUUUUGGAUAUGUCUAUGUUUGAAAGAACAUGUGUGGUUGAAUUCAAGGAGGGGAGAUUUCAGUUUACUGAACCAGGACCCACUCAACUUCCGAAGAAGCUUUAUGCUAGGAGUGGUGCUACCUCUGAUGACGAGUUUGACGACGACACUGCUGCCCCGCCAACUAUUCCUUCUACAUCCGCACCACCUUUGAGCAUUCAAUUAGAGAAAAUGGAGCACAAGCUGAACAAGAUGGAGCAGAAUUUGGCCGCAUACUUCGAGAGUGUGGGAUUUACCCCACCAUUUCCGCCAAGCCCAUAGACGUUAUGUGGAUCAAAGCUCACAAUUCAGGGAAGUUUCUUUUUGCCCUUAAUCCUUUAUCCUUACGCUUUAAUUUUUAUGUGAGCUUUGAUUAUCUUACAUUGGGGACAAUGUAAGUUCUUGGUGUGGGGGAGGGAUUUUUGCAUUAUUGAUGUCUGGAAUUAUUGUUUUCACUCUACUUAUUUUUUUUUUUCACUCUACUCAUCCUUAAAUGAUUUUGGAGUUAGUAUGCUUUAUAUAUUAUUAUUUUUUCUUUUCUUUUAUUUCUCACAACUUUUUUUUUCCCAUCUAUCUCAAAUUAUUUACAUCUAUUUUUAUUCUAUCAUACUGUUUCAUCGCUCACAUUUUAUCUUUCACUUUUCAUCUUUCUCACUUCUUAUCAUUUUUACCUUUCCUUUUAUAUAUCACCCAUACCUUCUUCUCAUUCUACACCACUAUUGAUGGUUGAUUCAUUUGAAGAGUGUACAUGAUUUGAUGGCAAAUUUACCAACUUUGUGAGGAUUUGAGCCUAUGAGCAACCACUUUGCUCUAAUAUUUUUGUUAUGUGAAUAUCAAUCUUAGUUUGUUUAUUCUAGAACUUGCUUUGUUAUGCAUGUUGAAGCCGCAUUACGGGAUUUUAUGCACUAAAAUGAUAAGGGCAAACCCUUUUCCAUUUUUCUAUUCUCGCAUUUUUUUUCUCUACCCGAAGAUCUUUAUUUGCUAUCUUUGUUUGAGCCUUAACAAUUACCCAUCUAAUUCUCUCCGUCUACUUAACCAUUUUUCUUCUUUUUUUUGAGCCUCAAUUUAAGGAGAUUUUUGGACUCAUUGUGUGGAUAUAUUUUGUUGCUUUUUCUACCUUGUAAUAAAGUUUCUCAAUUAGAUCAACAAGCAUUAUGCUUGAAUUAAAUUGUGCAAGGUUCGUUUCUUUUGUUUGAUUCAAAAACAAAAACAAAAAAAAAAAAACAAAAAACAAAAAAAAAAAAGAAAAAAAAAGAAAAAAAAAAAGAAAAAGAAAAAUCACAAAAAAAAAACAAAAAAAAAUGUUUACAUUCUUGGUGACUUAAGUAGAAAUAAGCAUUUUGAUAUCAUAAGUUCAUUCAAUGAGUUCAUUUUUCUCGUUUUAAUCUCUUUUUCUUUCGUAAACCUUUCUUUUUCAUUUAACCCAUUUAACCCCAUUACAACCCUCUUAAGACCCUUAGAUUUUUGCAUUUUAUUCAUGUUUUGUGGAUUGAGAUGUGAUAUAUGAGCAAGCUUAUGGUAAUAGCAUUCUUUGAUUUGAUUUGAGUGGAUAAAUGACACCCUAAAAACUUUGAGUGCAUGGAGUGAAGUUAUUGAGAGGGCUAUUAAAUCUUGUUGCACUUGAAUUUUGAAUGGAUCUCCUUGGUGGUUGAAUGUUCUUAUUCUAUCUUAUGAAAUUCUAUGCUUUAAAAUCCUUGUCUCUCGAAUGUUAAUCGACUUAAUUUCUUGAGGUAUGCUUUCUUAAAAUUGUUUUUGGAUGAGUUGAGAUGAGAAUUGAGUGGAGAUUUGAGAUUAAUCUUGAGUUAUAUGCUUGAGGACAAGCAUCAUCUUGGUGUGGGGGAAUUUGUUAGAGUGCAAUUUAUGCACUAGUUUUGCAUUGUUUACUUCCCUUAAUAUCGAUGUUUUACACUUAAUAAUAAUGUUUUACUUGUGUUUUACUUUUGUAGGUGCAAUUCUAUUGAUUGGUGAUAAAAUUGAGCUAAAAGAUGAUGUUUAAGGAGGAUUGUUCUCUUGGAGAAAUUAUGAGCGUCGAAAGAACUUUGUUGAUAAGGCGUGGGCGCGUGCUGUCAACUGCGGACCUGCAGUUUUUAGUUUAACGUGUUUUGUAUUUUUGGUUAUUUUUGUAAUUACGAAUUUAAUAUUUCAGAUAUUAGUAUUUUAUUUUAAAUAGAAUUCUAAAAGAGAAGAGAGAGAGAGUAUUUAAGGGAGGAAUCUAUUGUGAAAAGGGGGAUUUGGAUUGGAGAAAAAGAAAGAAACCCUAGAUCUAAUUUUUCUCUUCUCUCUAUGAAGAACUAAACCUAUUUUUCUGGUUGAAGGAUAAUGACGCUUUGAUUCAUCACUACUGUGAGAUUUUUCUUAUGCUUUAAUUGUUUUAUUACUUUUUGGGUAUUUGUUUAUUCUCUGAAUUAGUUUCAUGAUUAUGUUUGUUAAUUAGGUAAUUGUCCACUAUUUAAUUAUCAACUUAAUCUAUUGUCAAUUAAAGGAUUCAUCGUAUGAAGAAUUUAAUGUUUGUGACAAAUAACAUAGCAGAGAGUUGUGUUGUGAGAAUAAACAAUCUAAUUUAAAUGAAUCAUCAUAUGUGUUGAUUAGGAUUUGGGUCUCUCUGGUUUUUCAGGCUGUCAAUUGAUUAAAUCCUAUGAUCGUAUCAAGGGUUGUCUAUUGAUUAGGGAAAUAUCCAACGGUCGUACCUUGGUUAUCGACUAGUUAAGGAGAGAUUGGCUAUUAGAGGGUCUCAAUAGCUAUAACCGGUCUAUUCAUAAGUAAUAAUAAUAUAUAUUUGAAUCAAUGAUCAGUAGUCGAAUCAAGCUGAGUUAAUUCCUUCAACCAGAGCUUUCUCCAAUUUGAAUUACAACUUUAAUUUGCAUUUUGUAUUUAAUUUGAUUUUUAUUAUUGUCUACAAUUCCCCCAUUUUAUGUUUUACGUUUCAAAAGGAUUUAAAUAAUUACCGAUCUCUGUGGACACGACCCUGCUCAAUCACUAUACACAAUUUAUUUAGAGUAGGAAUUUAUUUUUGUUGGCUUCGACACCCAUCAGUUGAUUUGUGUUGUUUAUUGCUAGAUUUCGCAUAAUUGUUUGCUGAUUACUAGAACUGGCUCUGUUUGGAUCUGAUACCAUGUUUAAAAACAUAAAAAAUCACUGAUCAGUUUGUUUGGUUGCUAAGAAAAUUUGCUCUGUUUGCUGAGAAAGUUUCAAAGAAGAUUCUCGAUUUUUUUUAUUUCAUCUUUCUUACUUCACGAAUGAUUACAAACACACCUUUUAUACACAACUCAACUAGCUAACAGAAAGAAAGCUACAAAACAGAAUCUCAGUAAGCUUAACUAAUUUUGCUGAGCUGGCAUUACACACUUAACUAACUUCGGCUAACUAAAUUCUCACAUGUGCUAAGCAUGAGCAGACUGUUUGUACACAUUAUGUGCUUCUUUAACACAAUGGAGUUUUAAAAAUUUGGUACUUGUUAUCUUAUCGAAAGUUUUCAAAAUUAUAUGAAUGUUCAAACUUAGCCCCUCCCGGCACUGCCACUGCUUCUACGUGAAAGUCAUUUAAGUUUGUGUUAGCUGCCUAUAGAUUGAAUAACAAUUUUACUCCGGAUUUUUUGUCCAUUAUGAAAAUUUGAUUGAAAGUGCGGCUGCACUAAUUUUCUAGAUGAACUUCCCUACAUGUUUUUUCUCAUAUGACCCAGAAUACUGCUAUAACAAUUGUAUUGGAAACUAUUCAACUGGGUUACUAUUCUACAUCCCCACCAAAAUUUAAACAGUCGACAUUGUGGAAAGAAACUCAUUUCGCCACUAGGCUUUUAGUGAGGCUAAUUUCUCUGAAUUUGGACAGAGUAGAUUUCUAAGCUAAUGCUUGGAAGAUCUCUGGCGAUAUUACAAAGUGCAUGUACAUUGAGUCUUAAUAAAUAUAAACGAUUCUCUAAUAUGAUUCAAAACAUCACUACAUGCAUAAGUUAAUAAGAGAAAAAAUUAUAAGAUUAUUUAUGCAUCACCAUUUAUAGUUGCACCCUCUCUAAUGAAAUUGAAGGUGCAGCCAGCAAUUAAAAUGAAGCAGAAAUGUACAUUGACCCUUAAUAAAUAGAAACUAAGGCGUUAUCGAUUCAACUUCAGUUGAUCAAUUGCGGGUGAAAGAUAAAUAAAGGAUAAGAGAAUAGAGCUGGAGUGCUAAAUUGGCUAUUGAAGAAGGGUGUCACAUGAUCACAAUCACAUUGACGCACAACUCUUUGGAGGCAAAUUUUGUCUAUGUGUACUCUAAAUUCAGCCAAACCAUACAUGUAUGAACAGAAUUUAAACCGUAGUUCUCAUCACAAUAGUAAUUGAAGCUACAAAAGCCAGAAAAUCUGAACAAAAACUUAAAAGGAAGAUUUUAUUCAAGUUUGCCCCCAAAAGACAGUUGAAAUGAAAAAUAUUGACUAUUGAAUGGGUCAAUGCUGAAUUACAUUUCAAAUGGAAAGCUUGGCAACAGUUACAAUGUUUCCCCUCUGAUUUUCCUCCAAAACAAAUUCAGUUAUAAACAAUAACUGAAGUAGGAAUAAUUUAUUCAUCAAAGAAAAUACCCUAGUUUUCAACUAACAAAUCCUGCUAUCCAAAUUAAAAAAACUCGCAUCUCUAAAAUUUAUUUGUAAACUGUUGGAAAUGAGGAGUGAUCUGUCAACUCCGUAAAUAAACUCAGGCAUAAUAUUAAUAAUAAUUAUAAAUUACAUAAUAAUUAUUAUAAAGAAUCAUAAAUUGGAAACGCUAAUCAUUCUACAAUCUAUUAUAUAAGUAAGAUAAGUCUCAUAAUAAGUUAAGUUAUAAUGUAAUAAAUACUUUCAAUAUAUAAUUAUUUAAGAAGGCAUUUAACAAUAAAAUAUUUUUUUUUCUAUUCGGUUGAUCAUAUAGUGUUAUCUAAACUCUUGACGAUAUUAUUAUUACUCACUUUUCUAAAAAAAAAACAUGAUUAACGUUUAGAGAAAAGUCAUGCCCCUUAAAAAUAAUAUGUAUACAAGCUAUCCAUACUUUAUCUUACCAUGACAAAAUUGAUGGUGAUUAAAUCUACUUUUAAAAUAGAUUUAAUGCACAGAUAUUAUGACUUCUGGCAAAAAUUAGUUUUGGAAGACAUAAUGGUAGAAAAUAGUGAUGAUCAUUAUUUAAAUGUGUAAAUAGCCUAGGCAUAGCCUGUAAUACCAAUAUCCAUUUGCCUUUAUUUGGAUUAUCACAUUUCAUGAUAUUCUUAUAUUUAUGACCAUUGUUCGAGAUUUGAACUUGAUCAUAAAUUAAGCUGCAAGAGAUUUUACUUCAGUUUCUAAGCUUUUCAAUCGUGAUUCAUCCAUGCCUUUCUUGGAUACCAUUAUGUUACGUGCCAAUGUAACUGACCUUGUAAUUGGUGUGUAUAAGGAAACAUGCCCUUUCAAGAUUGUUUUCUUUUGUUUCCUUAUUGUAGUAGUCAAAUAAAUAAAGAACGAACAAUUGAACUUGGUCUACUUCGAGGAAAACCAAGGCCUGCAAUAUUAGAUGAACUUUGAACAAAAUUAAUCUACUGCUUUUAUUCAUCUUUGGACUAUGAAUUUAUACAAAGACUUUAACAAAAAAUAACAAAGACACAACUGAAUGAUAGCAACAAGUGCUGACUUAGCGGACUACUGCAACAACUAAAUAAAAACUAAAUAUUUAUUUUGACUGUAACAACAAUUGCCCUGAUGAAUAGGACUCCACAGCAGCCACGUGACAACUAAUUUCUCCUUAAUAUUAUUAUUAGUAGAAGUAGAUUUUCAAACUAGUCUUGAUAUAUUUCGAAGUUGUAUUAUUAUCAAUGUAUAUGUAUCUAGAUUGUAACUAUAUUUUAAAAAAUAUAAUUUUUUUAAUUAUUGCACAGUAAAUGUAGAAAAAUAUCUAUAAAAUAAUAUUAUUAGGACUAAGAAAAAAAUAUUAUUUUAUAUAAGUUAUUUAUUUAUUAUUGAAUGAAUAAUUUAUUAAUUUAUUGAUAAACGAAUAUUUAUUAAUUUAAAGAGAGAUUAUUUUGGUUUUAAGAAGAGUUUGUUUGGUACAUGUACACACUUAUAAAGAAACACAAAAGGUGCUUCCUCAAGUUAAUAGUAUUUGCUUUAAUCGCUAUAGUUCACAAUAAUAUAGCAUAGUUUGGAAAAUUGUAAUUAUACUAUGUCUACGUUUGGUACAAUUUUUCAAGAAGAACUUAUUUAAAUAGAGUUUUUGUUAGUAGAACAUUUAUAAAUAAAAUUUUUACUGAAAAAAUUUAAGUUAUUUGGUUGUCAUUGUCAAAAUUGAUGAACUUUUGAUCUUUUGUUAACAUGUGUUUUUUUUACUAAAUAAUAAAUGUUAGGUUACAAUUAUUUUCAAUAGUUUUUGAAGGAAUCAAGUUAUGAAAUUUUUAUCAAUGAACUUUCAAUAUGUCAGCAUAUGGUCUGUAAAAUUUGAGAGUUUUCCAAUGAGGGAAUAAUUUAUUAAAAAUAAGAGAAUAUGGAUUGUUCUGUUUUAAGGGCCGAUUAUUGAGGACAUUUGAGGUUGAGCUUAGGAGAUGUUUAAAUUGAGAUAUUUGAGGACAUUAUGUUAGCCUAAAGGGCUACACAUAAUGUAAUUUUGAUGAUAACAAACAUGUGUCUUAAGUAAAAAUAAUAAAUAUUGUAUUUCACAUUUUCACUAGUUUUUGAAGGAUAAUAUUUAUGCAAGUGAAUCAAGUGAAAUCAAGAUUGAAGAUACUCAACGGACAACGGCGACAUCAAGAAUAUAGUUUAGAGCUCAAUGAACAAAUUAGUGCGAUAAAUUCUUGUAAAGCCGGUAUGAUUUAAUUGAUGCAUGAUUUAGCAUUUGAGAAGCUCAAGAGAUUAAUUUAAUUAAAUACUUUUCAUAAACUAAAAGGUUUUAUUUUUAUAAAGUAAAGUAUUUUGUGGAUUUGAGUAAUUUGGACUUAAAUGCUAAGAUUUGAAAUCUUUGAUUUUAAUAAGUAUUAAAUUUCGGAGUUGGACGUUUUGAUAAACAUUUGAAAUGUUUUGGGUCAUACUAUAAUUUAUAAAUAUUUUGGACUAAAGUGAAAGGUUUUGAGAACUUUGAAAAAUAUGGGUAUUAUGUUGAAAAGGACCUUUGUGCGAACUAAAAAUUUCUUUGGGGCCAUAUCAUAAUUUCAGAAAGUUUGGGAAGACAACUACUCUUAGGAAGUUCUGAAAUUGGACCUAUUUGCAAAGUUUUAUGACAUUUUGAGCCAUAGUAUAAUUAUAGAAAGUUUUGAGCCAAAGUAUAAUUUUAGUGAACAGUGUUACUAUAGCAAUUCAAAAAUAACGGUAAUAUCACUGUUCCUGAGCGGCUAGCCGGAUAAAUCAAGCGGCUAACUGCUUGGGCGAGGGAAUUUGCCUAUAACGGCUAGUUUUCAGGCUUUAACUAUAAAAACUCAGCUCAAACUUCAUUCUAAGUACUAAUGCAUGCAAAUAUAAGAUCAUACAACAUAUAUUGAGCUUCCAAAAUGCAAAUCAUCAUUGAUUGAAUCAUUGUUGAGCUAUUAGUUGCAUAUCCACUCUUAAAGAGAGUUUUUGUUGUAAUUUUCAUUUCUUAUCAAAUUGUGAGUGUGUGAGUGUGUAAGUGUGGGAAACACUUGGGGUGAAGAGAUUGGGGAGAUAAUCUCUUGGUUGUAAAGGUUCAUUGACACCUUGGAAGUCAAUUGUAAAAACUUGAACCCUUGAGAGGCUUGGAUAGUGAAAUCCUCGAGCAUGGUUGGCUUGGAGGCGUGGACGUAAGCAGGGAUUGCCGAACCACGUAAAAAUCCGCGUGUUUGUUUCUCUCUUCCCUUGCUCUUUUAUUUUUACGCUUGUUUGAAUUUAUUGUUCUCUAUUUCAUUAAGGCGUUAGAUUGAUUUAUUGUGCGAAUUGUAUUGCAUUAUUUUUAAAAACUCAAUUCACCCUCCCUCUUGGGUUGCAUUACUUGCAUUUACAUUAGAGUUUAUGAUUGAGACUCGAUUAUAUCUUAUGAGAAAUUUAUUGAUGAUUUUAGGUUGAUGAUAACAGUACGCAUUUGUUACAUGAGGAUGCCAAGAGGUAAGUAAACUAGACUUAAAAACGAAUCACAAUAAACAAUAUAUAUGUUUGACUUGUAUGAAAAGUCUAUUUUGAUAUGUACGAAUAUAGAUUUAUAUGUCUCUACUCAUGUGUUUAUGUGAUGUGUUGUUAUGUAUUGGGCGUGAUUAUGUACAUAGGCAUAUGUAUGUGUGAUGGUUCAUUGUCAUGAGCACGAAAAUGCAUUGAGUUUUCUAUGAAUGAAAAGUGGAUUUUAGCAAAUGAGAUUUCUCUUUUAUGAGAUUUUGCAUUGGGGGCCACCUCUUGAGGGCCAGAGUGCCGCAAAGUACCACGCACAACACAAAGUGCCACAUUGCAGGAUACGUAUUUUAUUGAAAGGAAAUAUGAAAGUUUGAAAGCGACAGAAAGAGAUUUUUAUGAAUUUGUUUUACAGUAUUUCCAAAAGAUCAUGGCAUAGCAUCCAUCUACAUUAUGUAUAAGUAUGCAUGUUUGCUUAUUGAGUUUUGUACUCAUUAUAGUUUAUUAUGAUUCAGUUUCCAGAAGUCAGGAUUGAUUCGUGAUGAGUGAGAAGAUGAAUUUAAAUUGAGGAUGGUAGAUGGUUUGGCUAAAUUUUUAAGUUAUUCCGCUGGCUUUUGUAUUCGAGGCUCGAAUUUUAUCGGUUGUAAAGAGUUAUUUAAAUUCAUAUGUGAGUUGUAGUCAGAUUUGCCCUCGGAGUUCGGGUUGGGGCGUUACAGAUGCAGAAACAGAAAACUAUUAGCUUAUCUUGAUUUUCCCACUAUAUUCAUUUUCGAUGCUUUUCAAACGAGAUUCUUUUAAUCCUUCUGGCGUAUGCAGCCCUUGCUCUUCUUAUAAAUCUCCAUCCGACAUCUGCACUAGGAACAAGUUGAUUGAAAUUAAAUAACAUUAGAGAUGACGGACGGUUGAGCCGUUAACUCGGUAAAAAAACUCAUAUAUAAUAUUACUAAUAAAAAAAAAUAUAAUAAUCAUUACUAAGAAUCAUAAAUUAGAAAAAUUAAUUAUUUUACAAUCUAUUUCGCAAGUAAGAUAAAUCUCAUAAUAAGUUAAGUUAUAACGUAAAAAACAUUUUCAAUUUAUAAUCGUUUAAGAAGUCAUUUAACAAUAAAAUCUUUCUUUUGGUCAGUUGGCCAUGCCACAGAGUAUCAUCUAUAUUCGUGGUGAUAUUAUUAUUACUCCGUAUUCUCAAAAAACUUGAUUUAACAUUUAGAGAAAAUUCCUACCAUUUAAAAAGAACAUGUAUGCAGCAGCUACCCAUACUUUAUCUUACCCCGACAAAAUUAAUGGUGACUAAAUCAAUUUUCUCGAUUAAAGCAAAAUUUUCUUAAAAACGAUUUAAUGCACAAAUAUGAUGACUUUUUGCAAAAAUUAGUUUUGGAAAAUAUAGUGAGAGAAAAUAGUGACGAUUAUUGUUUAGAUGUGUAAAUAGCCUAAACAUAAUUGCUAAUACCAACAUCCACGUGCAUCUUAACACCUUUCGUGAUAAUCUUUCAUUCAUGGUCACUGGUUCAAGAUUUGAAUUUGAUCAUUAAAUCAUGUUCAAGAAUAUUAGAGAUCCCAACAAUUGAGUUCCAACUUAAAUCCUAAUGCUAUGUGUCAUUGACCAAUAUUGUGUCAUUUUUUGUUAACUGGGUGAUGAAUUUCUAGUUGAUAAAAUUACUUAAAAAUAUCUUAAAAAUCAGAUAAUAGUUAGCUUAAUUUUUUGAAGCUAACUGCUCAAGAUGCUCUAUUAGAAAUGAUAACCUAAUUAUAUAAAAAAAAAAAUGAUGUAUUUUUUUCGGUGUUGAUAGUGAGAUUAUCAUUCAACAUGUUAAAAUAUGAAAACAUAUGGAAGAAGGUUGUAAAUUGAUUGAAUGAAAAUAUUUCAGUGAAGUCUAAAAAAUUUGGUACUUGUUAUCUUAUCGAAAGUUUUCUAAAUUACAUUCGUGGCACUGCCACUGCUUCCAUGUGAAGGUCAUUAAAAUUUGUGUUAGUUACCUAUAUGUUGAAUAAUAAUUUUAUUCAUGAAUUGUUGCUCAAUAUAGCAGUUUCUAGAUGAAUUUUCCUACAUGUUUGUCCUCAUAUGACCUAGAAUGCUGCCAUAUCAAUUGUAUUGGAAAUUAUUCAAGUGGGUUUGUGCUCUAUACCCCCACCAAAAUUUAAGCAAUCUACAGAACAUUCCUUGUGGAAAGAAACUUAUUUCGCUACUAGGUGGGAGUAGAUUUCUAAGCUAAUGCUCGGCAGAUCUCUAGGCUAUACUAAAAAGUGUAUGCACUUUGACUCUCAAUAUAUACGAGUGAUUCUAUGAUAUGACUGAAAACAUCAGUACAUGCAUGAUUUUAUAAGAAAGAAUAUUCUAAAAUUAUUUAUGUAUCACCAUUUGAAGUUGUACCCUCUCGAAUGAAGGUGCAAUCAGCAACUAAAAUGAAGCCCGAAAUGUACACGCGUGAAGCAGUUUUUCUAGAAGAUUGAUAUUUCUCAAACUAGCAAACCGUACAAGUCCAAAGCUAGAAAAAGGAGUGCUUCUAAGCAGAAAACAUUGAUUAAAACAGAAUGCACACAAACAUACCAGCAAAUUCAAAAUAGAAAAAGGAGUGCAACUGUUCAAGUUUGUGGACAAUAUUGCAACCGUGGCAUAUUUAUAGCAAAUCCUUGAAAUCUGCUAAAUAAACAAUGCCCUGUCUCAUGAAUCAAAGCCGAAUUAAAAUUGAAAUUGAAAGUCCGGCUGGUGUUGUUUCCCUCUCCAGUUUUGCCCACAUAAGUGAAGGGAAAUGAGAAUCAUAAACUAAAAUCUGCUUUUACAGUUCUUAUUAGAUAGAUAUAAAGGGAUCUUUCUUUGUUUCUCUGCUGCAAUUUGUGGCUAUCCCACUCUGUUUUGCCACUCAAGCUUAGUCUACGUUGAGACACAAUUUUGACAUCAGAAGCAACCUCAAUUAGUUUGGCAUUUUUAUGACCUCCUUGUACGUUUUACGAUAAACAUAAAUCUACUGAGAAAGUGGGAAAAAAAGAAAAUGCAUAUAAAAGUAUGAGUUAUCAGACAUGAUUAAAACUCACCCAAUUCAAUCCAUUAGAUUCCGUAAGGAUAUAACUGGAUGUCAUACCGCCAUUCCAUAUCCUCGAAAGUCCGUAGCCUCUGUCUCAACUCUGUCUGAGGCCAAUGUAAAUCCAAUAUGCGCAAGCUCUUUAUGCACCACAGCUCUUCUGGAAGCUUUCUCAAGUAAGCACAAGGGUUGACAAUUAAGCUUUCAAGUUUUGGCAUUGCUCCAGCCCCCAUCGUCCACUCAUCUAGCCAAAACAUUGAUUUCAGGUGCAAAACCUUACGUUCCGGAAAGCAACCAGGGCCAACGCAGGCCAGCUUUCUUCCUAAAUACGAGUUUUGCUUCAGUUUCAGCACUUGAAGGCGUGGAAGCUUUUCCAGCAUUGGCAUGGGAUCCUCCAUUAGCUCAGUAUUCGAUAAGCUCAGAUGGCUCAGACUUGGAGGAAAUUGGUAUUCAGACAGGAUAAUCCGUGAGGGCUUGCUCUCAUUCACCAGCUUCAAGCAUUCAAGUUUGUGCAGUUCGCAUAGGCUUUUGGAAACCCCGGAUUGAUAGUAACUCAAAUCUCCAGAUAUUCUUAGACUUUGGACAAGAUAUUCUUAGACUUUGGACAUUUGGUAGUCUGCCCAAUAUAGCUGGACUGCAACUACUAGGAUGUAAGGCUGAUAAGAAAAUGAGAUUUUUCAGAGAGCUUCAAUAAUUUUUUGGAGGUGCGGGCAGAGUGAUGCAACCGAAGUUUAGAUGCAUGAGUUUUUGCAUCAUCCAAAUAUCCUCUGGUGAAUGAUCUAUGUAGCUAGAUGGCAUUUCUAGCGUUUGAAGGUUUAAAAGGGAGCAUAGCAGUGAAGGAAUGCAUUUGAGCGAAGGGAUAUUCAAUUUCAAAUACUUCAAAAGGAAUAAAUUUUCUAAUCCGGCUGGAUAUUGGUCGAGAACUGCAGAACCCAAGUUCAAUACCCGAAGGUAUUUGAACUUGUCGCAAUCUAUCAGAGCGAGAUGAUCGCUUGCCGAACUGUUAUUCAGAAAAGAUUGGAGAUACAUGUCAGAAUGUCCUAAAGAUAAAAACCCAGUCAGAUCUUGGGCAAUGACGCACCGUUUAACAUUUGCCACUGGCUCCUCUUCCCUGUCACGCAUCCAUACAAAUUCCGUCUUCUCUGCCACCGAGCACAGUAAAGUAAAUUCAAAACCUGGAACAUAAAACGCUUUAAUUGUGCCGCCGGCUCCUCUUACUCACUUGAAUGAAGCCGCAAUGGAUUAGUUCUUUCAAGUAAUGUUCUGCCGUCUCCUCACUGUUGUAUGGUAUGAAACCUUCAGCUACCCACAACUGAUAUAAUUGUCUCGUAGAUAUCUCAAUGUCUGGACGGAAGACAAACAAAUAGGUGUAGCAGACUUUCAAGUGAAAAGGUAACUCCAUCACAGAAUAAAUUUGUCUCCAAAUUGUCCGAAUCGCUUAGGCUUGAAGAUAAUUUUCUAAUGGCAUACUUCCAUAGUGUAGGAUGAAAAAUUGCCAGGCCUCAUACUUUAAUCUGAUCAAUGGUCCUCCAACGAGCACAGAAUCAGGCCGAAUCUUCUCUCCAUUUUCCAUUUCCAACGACACAAGGAGUUCUGGAUCAGUGACUGUUAUCAAUACUCUGCUUCCAUUCUCAUUAUCAGGGAGACCUUCUUCGAGAUCAUCCCAUAUCUCACUGUUAUCGAAGACAUCAUCAAGCACAAUAAAGUACUUCUUGUUUGUUAGGUAAUCUCGAAGAAUAGAUUUCUUCAAUUGAUAAUUGAAAGAGUUUGUAUAUAGUGUUUGGUUUAAGAGAAACUAACAAGAAAAUAAAAGAAAAUCAUAAAGAACCAGAUCUGAAAAUGAUCAUAUUCUCAUUUUUUGACUAAUGAUUACAACUUGUUAUUUAUAGUAAAGAUCAGAGGCGUCACGUAGCUUGUCAGUUUGUUGGAUCUAAUAUGCAUGCAGUACAGUUCGUUAUCUUUGCUGCUGAGCUGGAUAACUAACUCAACACACGUAAGCAUCAGCAGCUCCAUUUAAUCAGAUGCUCUCAUCUAUACCAUAUUAUCAUACUCUAUAACAUCCUCCCUCAAGCUGAACUGACCUGGAUGGACAUUCAGCUUGCUUCUUAGAUAGUGAAACUGAUUGAAGGUUAGUGCCUUGGUAAGAACAUCGGCAUUUUGGUCUUCACUGGGAAUGAACUGAACUGUAAUUUGCUUAGCUGUUACUUUGUCUCUGAUGAAGUGAAUAUCAAGCUCAACAUGCUUAGUUUUAGCAUGAUAAACAGGAUUGUGAGCUAAAGCUAUGGCACUUUGAUUAUCACACCACAUUAUGGGGGCUGUGACAAGAUGAAUAUGUAGCUCUUUCAGUAAGGACUGAAUCCAAGUAACCUCAGCUGUAGCUUGAGCCAAAGCUCUGUAUUCAGCUUCAGUGCUUGAUCUGGAAACUACUGCCUGUUUCUUAGACGACCAAGAAACCAAAUUUGAACCAAGAUAAACAGCAUAACCAGCCACUGAUUUGCGAUCAUCCUUAUCACAUGCCCAAUCUGAGUCACUAAAACAAUUUAUCUGCAUAGUGCCGUAAUGAUAAAAAUGUAAUCCAAAAUGAAUUGUUCCUUUCAAAUAUCUAAGAAGCCUCUUACAAGCCUCCCAGUGCUCUGCUGUUGGUGAAGCUAAAAACUGACUAAGUUUGUUUACAGAGAAAGCUAUUUCUGGCCUAGUGAGAGUCACAUAUUGUAAAGCUCCAACUGCACUUCUAUAUUGAGAACUAUUUGAAAUAACACUUCCUGACCCCUUUGUAAGAUAAUGACCAGUGGCCAUGGGAGUAGGAACUGGACUGCAGUCAGCCAUAUUGUGUUUGGCUAGAAUAUCAGCUAUGUAUUUAGAUUGAGAGAGAUAAAUUCCAGAUGCUGUUUUGGUAACUUCUAUCCCAAGAAAAUAACUCAAUUUGCCCAGAUCCUUCAAAGCAAAAGCAUUUUGCAUAUUGGUAAUCACUUGCUGCACCAUUUGAUCACUUGAGCCUGUUAUGAUUAUAUCAUCCACAUAGACAAGAACAAAAAUUACUUGAUCACCUAUCCACUUGUAGAAAAGGGAGUUGUCUGACCUUGAAUUUUGGAAACCCCAUUUCACAACCAUAGCAUCUUUCAGUCUCUCAAACCAUGCCCUGGGGGCUUGUUUUAAACCGUAGAGAGCCUUUUUCAACUUACAGACAUGAAGAGGUCGAGAUGGAUCAAUGAAGCCCUCUGGCUGCCCCAUGUACACAUCUUCAACUAAUAUGCCAUUCAAAAAGGCAUUAUUCACAUCCACUUGUCUGAGCUCCCAUUUAUUCAUAACUGCCAAACUUAAAAUAACUCUGACUGUGGAUGCUUUAACAACUGGACUGAAUGUUUCUGUGUAAUCAACUCCUUGUGUCUGAUGAAACCCCUUAGCCACUAACCUGGCUUUGUAUCUAGAAAUGGUUCCAUCAGCAUGAUAUUUUAUCUUGAAUAUCCAUUUGUUACCAACUACCUUAACUGGUUCACUUGGCAAAACCAGAUCCCAUGUAUGAUUAUUCUGAAGUGCUUGAAAUUCUUCUUGCAUUGCCUUAAACCAUUUUGGAUUAGAUAAAGCAGCUGAAACAGAAGUAGGUUCUGAAGGUAUGGCUAGUAAAGCAGCUAAAUAAGAUUUAGGCUUAAAUAUACCAGCCUUGGAUCUGGUUAUCAUGGGAUGACCUAUAGGUGGUGCAGCAGGUAAUAUAUGAGGAGGAGAUUGUGUAUGAUGUAUAGGAUGUGUAUGUGAUGUCAAAGUAGAAGAUGAAGAGGAGGUUGAAGAAGGAGAGAAUACCUGUGGAGUGUCAGCAGGUAGGUAAUCACUUGCUAGAGAUUGUUGCAGGGGGGAUUGUACUUGUGGGAUUGGAACAAGAGUAACUUUGGACUCUGAAGAAAUAUCUGAGGGACUGCAAGACUGAGCAAUGGAAGAGAAGUCUAAUCCAGAUACAUAUGGAAAAGAUUGUUCAUCAAAGAUGACAUGAUUGGACACAUACACACGACCAGAUGAAUGAAGACACUGAUACCCUUUAUGAGAAGAGCUAUACCCAAUAAAAACACAUCUGUUUGAUCUAAAACUGAGCUUGUGUCUGUUAUAAGGUCUGAGAUAAGGAAAGCAAGCACAACCAAAGACCCUAAGAGAGACAUAAUCUGGUACUUGCUGAAAAAGUUUUUGGUAAGGUGAAAUGUAUUCAAAGUUGGUGUGGGUAGUCUGUUAAUAAGGAAUACAACAGUAUGAAAGGCAUUCCACCAGAACUUAAGUGGUAAAUUAGCUUGAGCUAACAGAGUGAGGCCAAUGUCCACUAUGUGUCUAUGUUUUCUCUCAAUUCUUCCAUUUUGAUGAUGGAUAUGUGGACAAGGAUGCCUGAACUGAAUUCCAAACUGAGUGAGAUAUGAUGCAAAGGUUCUAAACUCCCCUCCCCAAUCUGUUUGAACUGUUUUGAUGUGUUGUUGUAAGUGUUUUUCAAUAAAAGAUUUGAAUUCUGUGAAAACUUGGAGUGCAUCUGAUUUGGCAGUCAAAGGAAAAAUCCAUGUGAAUCUGCUAAAAUCAUCUAAAAUGGACAAAUAAUAUAUAUAGCCUUGAGUGGAUGCAACAUGUGAUGGUCCCCACAAAUCAGCAUAUAUAAGUUGUAAUGGUGCUGUUGUUUUUGUUGGAAUAGAUCCAAAAUGUAAAAGGUGACUUUUACCAUGUUGACAGGCAUUGCAAAAGUUUGGAGUUUUAUUGAGUACAUUGAAACUAUUACAAGCUUUCAAUACAGAUUUGAGUGUGUGUAAGGCAGGAUGUCCUAGCCUUUUAUGGAAAACAUUGACAUCGACUGAGCUAGUAUUGACAGCCAAGGCUGAUUUACACAGCAAAUGAUGAGACAAAGUACUCUUACUUAUUUCAGGAGAAAUAUCACUAGACAAAGGAGAAUGAAAAGCAAACAAAGACUGAGGUUUAUUGGAAGAAAGUUGACAAGACAAGGCUGAGCUAGUUUCAGAGACUUGAGCUGCAGAUUGGACUUGAUACAAUCCCCCUGUUGCAAUUCCUCUAAGCAAAGUGAUCCCUGAGUUCCUGGCCUUGACAACACAGACAUUUGCAAAAAACUCAAGUGUCACAUUAUUAUCUACUAAGAGCUUUGAAACACUGAGUAAAUUUUUCUUAAUAUUUGGAACAUGAAGAACAUGGUUUAAACACAAGGGUUUAUUUGCAGUAGUAGCUAGCAAUACUGAUCCAAUAUGCUGAAUAUGCAAUGCAGAACCAUUCCCAACAAGCAAUUUGUCAGUUCCAACAUAUGGCUUGAGAUCCAGUAAUUUACCUGGGUCAUUUGUGAUGUGGUUAGUAGCACCACUGUCAAUGUACCAAGCUGGAUCUUCAAUCAUCUCAGGUGCAUGAGCUGGAACAGGGACUGAAGGAGAUCCAGAGUAAUCUCCAGUAGGAGCAAAAGCAUGAGCAGGAGAGUAACCACCAUGAGAAUUAGAUGGUUGAUAAACAUUGAAAGCAGCUGGAUCUGAAUACAUCAAAUGGCCUUGAUAACCAGGUGCUCUUGGUAUGUUGAAAUUACCAAACUGAGAGUUACCAAUUCCAGCACCAUAUUGAGGAUUAAGAUUUCUACCAAAAUUACCAAAAUUUCCAUAAGCCAUAGAAGACCUAUUGCCAUUAGCAUAGCCAAAACCUCUACCAUACUGCCUCUGACCAGGCCUAAAAUUUCCAUUAAAACCACCUCUUCCUUGAUUUCUUGAAGGAACAAAAGCUGAGUUAAACCUAUUCCUGCAUUUAUUGGCACCAUGACCAGGAAUGAAAUAGAUCUGACAUACAAUUUGUGAGAAGUUACCAUCACUAGAUCCAGCUCCAGAAUUAUAACUUCCUCCAUACGAUCCAAUGUUAAACUUCUGAUUACCACUAGUGUUUUUACUAGGAUUGAACUGCUUUUGAGCAACAUUAGCUGACAAGUUAUGUGUAACAUCACUUGCAAUUUUUCCUCUCUUUUGUUCCACAUGAUUUUCAUGACUCAAUAACAAUGAAUAAAACUCAUCAAGACUGAUAUUAUCUCCUCUAGCUAACACAGUAGUAACUAGUGAUUCAUAAUCAGAGGAAUCCAAUCCAGUCAAAACAUGUUGAACGAAAUCAUUCACUUCAACAGGUUUUCCAGCUAAAGCCAAGCUAUCAGAUAUCCUUUUCAUUUUUGCAAAAUAAUCAGUUAUGGACAUCGAGCCUUUUUUAAGAGUUUGGAUUUGCAUUUUUAGAGGCAUUAUUCUAGCUUGUGACUGGGAAACAAACAUACUUGUAAGUGUAUCCAGCAGCUCCUUUGCAGUUGAGCAGUGGAUCACAGUUGUCAACAGAUUCGGCUGAAUAGAUGAGAGCAUCCAGCUCAGAAUCAAUUGAUCCGUCUUUAUCCACAUUGUGUAAGCUGGAUUGAUCUCUUGAUUCUCUGUUCCAGUUGAGAAACCAGCAGCAGAGCUUAUAGCAGAGAAAAAUUUUCCCGGACAGACUUGAUUUCCAUUGAUGAAAUCUUCUAAACCAUUUCCUUUAAUGGAUAUGAGAAUCUGAGUUCGCCAAACAAUGAAGUUAUUAUGAUCUAGUUUUAUCGGAGUAAUAAAACUAUAGGAUCCAGAAUUUUGAUUCGAAUUUGCCAUUUGUUAGCUCUGAUACCAUGAAAGAGUUUGUAUAUAGUGUUUGGUUUAAGAGAAACUAACAAGAAAAUAAAAGAAAAUCAUAAAGAACCAGAUCUGAAAAUGAUCAUAUUCUCAUUUUUUGACUAAUGAUUACAACUUGUUAUUUAUAGUAAAUAUCAGAGGCGUCACGUAGCUUGUCAGUUUGUUGGAUCUAAUAUGCAUGCAAUACAGUUCGUUAUCUUUGCUGCUGAGCUGGAUAACUAACUCAACACACGUAAGCAUCAGCAGCUCCAUUUAAUCAGAUGCUCUCAUCUGUACCAUAUUAUCAUACUCUAUAACAUCCUCCCUCAAGCUGAACUGACCUGGAUGGACAUUCAGCUUGCUUCUUAGAUAGUGAAACUGAUUGAAGGUUAGUGCCUUGGUAAGAACAUCGGCAUUUUGGUCUUCACUGGGAAUGAACUGAACUGUAAUUUGCUUAGCUGUUACUUUGUCUCUGAUGAAGUGAAUAUCAAGCUCAACAUGCUUAGUUUUAGCAUGAUAAACAGGAUUGUGAGCUAAAGCUAUGGCACUUUGAUUAUCACACCACAUUAUGGGGGCUGUGACAAGAUGAAUAUGUAGCUCUUUCAGUAAGGACUGAAUCCAAGUAACCUCAGCUGUAGCUUGAGCCAAAGCUCUGUAUUCAGCUUCAGUGCUUGAUCUGGAAACUACUGCCUGUUUCUUAGACGACCAAGAAACCAAAUUUGAACCAAGAUAAACAGCAUAACCAGCCACUGAUUUGCGAUCAUCCUUAUCACAUGCCCAAUCUGAGUCACUAAAACAAUUUAUCUGCAUAGUGCCGUAAUGAUAAAAAUGUAAUCCAAAAUGAAUUGUUCCUUUCAAAUAUCUAAGAAGCCUCUUACAAGCCUCCCAGUGCUCUGCUGUUGGUGAAGCUAAAAACUGACUAAGUUUGUUUACAGAGAAAGCUAUUUCUGGCCUAGUGAGAGUCACAUAUUGUAAAGCUCCAACUGCACUUCUAUAUUGAGAACUAUUUGAAAUAACACUUCCUGACCCCUUUGUAAGAUAAUGACCAGUGGCCAUGGGAGUAGGAACUGGACUGCAGUCAGCCAUAUUGUGUUUGGCUAGAAUAUCAGCUAUGUAUUUAGAUUGAGAGAGAUAAAUUCCAGAUGCUGUUUUGGUAACUUCUAUCCCAAGAAAAUAACUCAAUUUGCCCAGAUCCUUCAAAGCAAAAGCAUUUUGCAUAUUGGUAAUCACUUGCUGCACCAUUUGAUCACUUGAGCCUGUUAUGAUUAUAUCAUCCACAUAGACAAGAACAAAAAUUACUUGAUCACCUAUCCACUUGUAGAAAAGGGAGUUGUCUGACCUUGAAUUUUGGAAACCCCAUUUCACAACCAUAGCAUCUUUCAGUCUCUCAAACCAUGCCCUGGGGGCUUGUUUUAAACCGUAGAGAGCCUUUUUCAACUUACAGACAUGAAGAGGUCGAGAUGGAUCAAUGAAGCCCUCUGGCUGCCCCAUGUACACAUCUUCAACUAAUAUGCCAUUCAAAAAGGCAUUAUUCACAUCCACUUGUCUGAGCUCCCAUUUAUUCAUAACUGCCAAACUUAAAAUAACUCUGACUGUGGAUGCUUUAACAACUGGACUGAAUGUUUCUGUGUAAUCAACUCCUUGUGUCUGAUGAAACCCCUUAGCCACUAACCUGGCUUUGUAUCUAGAAAUGGUUCCAUCAGCAUGAUAUUUUAUCUUGAAUAUCCAUUUGUUACCAACUACCUUAACUGGUUCACUUGGCAAAACCAGAUCCCAUGUAUGAUUAUUCUGAAGUGCUUGAAAUUCUUCUUGCAUUGCCUUAAACCAUUUUGGAUCAGAUAAAGCAGUUGAAACAGAAGUAGGUUCUGAAGGUAUGGCUAGUAAAGCAGCUAAAUAAGAUUUAGGCUUAAAUAUACCAGUCUUGGAUCUGGUUAUCAUGGGAUGACCUAUAGGUGGUGCAGCAGGUAAUAUAUGAGGAGGAGAUUGUGUACACACUGAUCCAUGUACAACACAUCUCUUGAUUAUCUGUGUGUGUGCUGCUCAUCAAUGAUUAACAAGAUACAGUAGUUUUGUGAAGUCUCAUGUCUUGUGUUACAAAAUUUUGUGAUGGAAAGAAGGAAUAAUUCAACUAAAAAAAAAAAACACACGCGCGCAGCACACACACAGAGGGCCGCAACUAGCCCUUGAACCCCUAUUGAACUCGCACAAGAUACUAUUGAACUAAAUUCAAAAACAGCUGUUAAUAGCAUCUUAAAAUAUGGGUUCUAUCCAUACUCCCACCUGAAUCAUUUCUUGCGGCAUGACUCAAAAAUAACAAUAAGCCUGUCGCACCGAUAACUCAUUAGUGCAAUUUUUUUAACUCAAAAAAUUGAUACGCGUUCAUUUAGCGAAAAGUCCAAGACGCUUGCCUUUUGAAAAGAAGAGGUAUCCAAUAGAUAUCCAACCUUUAUCUUAUUUAAUUACUACCACGACAUGAUUGAUGGUGCUUAAAUCGAUUGUUUCUUUUUUAAUUUAAAGAAUUUUUCAUUAAAAAAUAUUUUAAUAUCAAAUUGCCUUCAAUAGCGUAACUGCCGCAGGCCCAGUAACAAGAUUAAUUAAAAUUUUUUGAAUUUUUGGGCAUGGAAAGAGUAGUAUUAGACUUCAGAAAGCUUAAGGUUGUUAUGUUAAAGAAUUGAUAUUGACAUAAUUUUAUUUUGGUUUUCGGGAAACAAAUUAUUUGUUGACAAGCAAGAAAAUAUUUUUGUAUUUUACAAUUUAUUAUACAUAUUUUAUCAUAUUAAAGUAAUUUUAAUAAUAAAUAGACACAUAAUAUUACAACAAAUAAAGUAAAGUUUAAAUUAUUUUGAAUAUUAUAAAAAUAAUUUUAAUAUUAUUAAUAGGAAGACAUUUUGUUAAUUUUAAAAUCUUUUUAACCUAAAGGUUUAUUUAAAAUCUUUAGAAAUCUCCAUCCCACAUCUACCCUAUUAAACAAGUUGAUGGAAAUUGAACAAUUGCUUUUUGAAGUGGACCCAUUGAGUUAUGUUCAUUACUGGUCAUUGUCUAUUCUUUCUAAGAGCCACUUGUUUUGAGCAUUAGCAAUCCUAUCUGGACUACUCCAAUUAUUGAUGUAACUCCAAUGGUUGCAUCAACAGUUGAAUGUAAGAUAGUGUUAGUUCUUUUUUGAGAAUAUAGAGGGAUCUUUAUUUGUUUCUCCGUUGUAGCGUAUUAGUAUAAAUUUCUUUACCUUACAGUUCCUACAGUCUUCCUGUUAAUGAAUUCGCUGAGGCAUUAUUGAUCCAAUCUCAGUGAAGUAAUUGUGGGUGAAAAAAAAAAAUAAAGGAUAAGAGAACGUAGCUGAAGUGCUGAAUUGACUAUUAAAGAAGAGCGUCACCUGAUCACAAUCACAUUGAUGCACAACUCACUCAGAUCAUUACAACGUCCUUUUCGCUAAUUAAUUAUGAUUAUAUACAUUUUCAUAUGGCAAGUGGCAUUGUAGAUCUAAACUACGUUGCUAUUUCAUUACGUUAAUUAAGUGAUUCUCCUCAUUGUCAUCAGCGCUUUUUGGGCAUGGAAAGAGUAGUAUUAAACAUUAGAAAGCAAAGGUUGUUCUGUCAAAGAAUUGAUAUUGGCAUAAUUUUAUUUUUGCUUUCGAGUAAAAAAAAAAAAAUUGUUGACAAGCAAGAUACUGUUUUUAUAUUUUACAGUCAGUUAUACAUAUUUUAUCAUAUUAAAGUAAUUUUAAUAAUAAAUGGAAACAUAACAUUACAAUAAAUCAAUUAAAGUUUAAAUUAUUUUGAAUAUUAUAAAAAAUAAUUUUAAUAUUAUUAAUAGGAAGAUAUUUUGUUUAUUGUAAAAUCUUUUUAACCCAAAGGUUUAUUUAAAAUCGUUAUAAUAAAUAAAAAUAUAAAAACAAAAUAAAUAUCAUAAUUUAAAAUUUUAAUAUUAUUUUAAAUAUUAAAAAUACUUUAAUGCUAUUAGUCUACUACCCAGGUUAUAUUACGUAUAUUAUAUUUGUAUAAAUUAAAACUUUUAAAGUUAAAUUUUUAAUUACUAUAUUGAAAAGUUAUUAUGGUUAAAAAAAGUUUUGGCAUUUCUUUUUGAAAAUUUGAGGGUCUGCAUGACAAUUUGUCCAAAUCCUAGAGGUAUAGGUGUCUUUUUUUUUUUUCGAUAAUCAUUUUACUUUUGAGGGAAUCCGAUGAGAAAUAAGAUAAGAGAAACGUCAAUUUAAGGUUCUCUAGGGAAAACCAAGAACUAUUCAAUUUUGUAUUUUUUGUUUGUAAAACGAAAAACAGUUUGCCAAAAAAGGUACCAAACAUAUCCUUAAUGUCUCACAUGAUUUCUUAUUAAGUCCAUACUCGAUAUAUUUAUACAUUUUAGGUAUUUUAGUUAUAAAAGAAGUUGGUCCUCCCUUUGUUUAUAAAAGGUAACUUUAUUUCGAGAUUACCACUAAAGUCUUGCAAAGAAUUAGUGUAAUGUUAAGAGAGAAUAACACAGUUUUCCAUUACCAUUUUGAAAAUAGAAAGAUGUGGAUGUGUGCAUUUAAUAUUGCGUUUACUUGCUGGAUUGAGGAAUCGGAAUCUAGAAUCGGAAUGAUUGAUGGUGUUUACUUUGCAAAUAUGGAGCAGGAAUCGGAAUUGGAAUGGUGGGGGCCACCACUAUUUGGGAAUGGGAGAUUGAUUCUCAUGGGGGAAGGUGGGAAUGAGUCUCCCAUUCCCUGGAUUGACCAUUUUGCCCUCCCUCAAAAUUAAAAAUGCCUACUUUGUCCUCUUUUAUAAUUAAUUAAUAUAAUAUUAUAAUUACUUAAUUAAUAUAUAAAUAUUUUAUUAACUAUAAUUAUUAAAAAUUAUAGUUCUUGAAUAAAUAAUCACAAUAAUUAAUUUAUUAUUAUUAUUGUUAUUUUAAUUAAUUAAUUAAUAUACUAUUAUAAUAAUUAUUAAUAUAAUUAAUUUAUAUAUUAUUAUUAUUAUUAAUGAAUUAAUAUAAUUAUUACUAUUAAUUAAUAUAUUAAUAUAUUAUUAACAAUAAUAUAUUAAUAAUUAUUGUUCGUGAAUAAAUAAUCACAAUAAUUAAUAUAUUAUUAUUGUAAUUAAUUAAUUAAUAUACUAUUAUAAUAAUUAUUAAUAUAAUUAUUAUAAUUAAUUCAUAUAUUAUUAUUAAUUAAAUUAAUAUUAUUAAAUAAAUAAAUAAUAUAAUUAUUACUACUAAUUAAUAUAUUAAUAUAUUAUUAAAAAAUAUUAAUAAUUAUAAUUUUUGAAUAAAUAAUCACAAUAAUUAAUAUAUUAUUUUAAUUAAGUAAUUAAUAUUAAUAUUAAUAUUAUUAGUUAAUAUAUUUUUAUAAUAAUUUUUAAUAUAGUUAUUAUAAUUAAUUAAUUUUUUUUACAAUUAAUUAAUAUAUUAGUUAAUAAUAAUUAUGACAAUAAUCCAUUAAGUACUUUUUAGUAAUUUGUUACAAUCUAAUUCAUUCCGAUUCCGAUUUCAAGACAAAGUAAACACAUUAAUGGCAAUUUAGCUCAUUCUGAUUUUGAUUCCUACAGUUCAAGUAAACAACUUAUUUUGAUUCCUAUUACAUAUUCCCAUUCCAACCCAUUCUCAUUUCUGUCCAUUCUCAUUUCUGCCCAUUCCGAUUUUAGCUCAUUCCGAUUUCAGUUUAGUAAACGCAGUAUAAGAGUUAUCAUGAAAAUCAUACAAUUCAAUUUCCUGAAAUAUAUAUUUUAUUCACAUGUGCCAAAAGAAUAAAUAGAUAGAAAGUAAAUUUACAAUCCUCACUCCCUCACAAUUGUUAAAGUGAAUAUGCAUUACAACUGUGAACUGUCACUACUUUAGCCCUUUUUUUUUUUUCAAUUAUAGUGUGAUGGAGACAGUGAACAUUAAGGAUAAAGUGCUCUGCUGAAAGCCAAACUUCCUUUGGCUAAUUAAUUUAGAAGUAAAGCAGAGAAUAAAGUCCUAGAUGCCUUCUGAAAUUAGAAAUACAUUUUAUAUGCUUUAAUUAUGAUUAUUUGGCAGACUAAAGACCUAAAAGAUAUGUCAAAAGUAUGAAACAGAGAGAUUAAAGAAAAAAGAAAAAAAAAAAAAAACAGAGUAUUUGUGACGUAGAAUAACAAUUGGUAAAUAAAUCCUAAAUAUUUGAGUUGUUAAAAGCAAAUAUAACAGAGACGGUAAGAGAGAUGCAGAAACAGAAAACUAUUAGCUUAUCUUGAUUUUCCCACUAUAUUCAUUUUCGAUGCUUUUCAAUCGAGAUUCUUUUAAUUCUUCUGGUGUCUGCAGCCCCGGCUCUUCUUAUAAAUCUCCAUCCCACAUCUGCACUACGAACAAGUUGACUGAAAUUAAAUAAUGUUGGAGAUGAGGGGUGAGCCGUCAACUUGUUAAAAAAAACUCAUGUAUAAUAUUAUCAAUAAUAUAAAAUAUAUAAUAAUUGUUACAAAGAAUCAUAAAUUAGAAAAAUUAAUUAUUUUACAAUCUAUUUCUUAAGUAAGAUAAAUCUUGUAAUAAGUUAAGUUAUAACGUAAAAAAUAUUUUCAAUUUAUAAUCAUUUAAGAAGUCAUUUAACAAUAAAAUCUUUCUUUUGAUCAUGUGGGCAUGCCAUAGAGUAUCAUCUAUAUUCGUGAUGAUAUUAUUAUUACUCAGUAUCCUAAAAAAAACACGAUUUAACAUUUAGAGAAAAUUCCUGCCUUUUAAAAAGAACAUGUAUGCAAUAGCUAGCCAUACUUUAUUUUACCACAACAAAAUUGAUGGUGAUUAAAUCAAUUUUCUCAAUUAAAGCAAAAUUUUAAAAAUUGAUUUAAUGCACAAAUAUGAUGAGUUUUUGUAAAAAUUAGUUUUGGAAAAUAUAGUGAGAGAAAAUGGUGACGAUUAUUUUCAGAUGUGCAAAUAGCCUAAACAUAAUCUCUAAUACCAAUAUCCAUGUGCAUCUUAAUACCUUUCAUGAUAUUCUUUCAUUCAUGGCCAUUUGUUCAAGAUUUGAAUUUGAUUAUUAAAUCAUGUUCAAUAAUGUUAGAGAUCCCAACAAUUGAAUACCAACUUAAAUCCCAAUGCUAUGUGUCAUUAACAAAUGUUGUGUCAUUUAUAAUUAUUGAAUGAAUAAUUCGUUAAUUUAUUGAUAAAUAAAAAUUUAUUAAUUUAAAGAGAGAUACUUCUUCUUUUUUUGUUUUAAGAAGAGUUUUGUUGGUACAUGUACAUACUUAUAAAGAAAUAAACUUGUAAUUAUACUAUAUCUUUCUUUCUUUGUUCAGUUUGGUGGGAUAUUGUGAUAAAUCAUUGGAUUAAAAUACAUUUCUAAAUUAAAACUUGUUAAAAUCUAAUUUAUUUGGGAAACGCAUAUUAUUUGUCAGUUGUACUUCUCAACUUAGCAAGUUAUUUCUAACUUGUCAGUCUCUAUUGGUUCUCUAAAAGCUAAUAGUCUCGAAUCUCCCGCAUUUGAUAUCUUGCCAUUACUGUUGGCAUUUGUUAAGUAUAGCUGAAGCUGGUGACGUGUAUAAGCUGCUGAUGAAGCUGCUGAGUUGGCUGGCUGGUGAUGUGUAUAAACUGAAGGUGCUGAGCUGGAUUGGGUUGUUGUUCACACCAACUAAAGAUGUAACAGAUUAUCCAGCUGGCUUGUUAUGAUUGGAAGUUAGAUUAGUUUGUUAAUACAGCAAACAAUGAGCUCUGUUUUGGUAGUUAGUUUUGAGUGUAACUAUAAAUACUGGCUAACAUGUUUUCAGUGUUAAGCUUGAGUUUUAAUCAAUAAAAAUCAAUUCAGUUAAAGUUUCUUUGUUAACUUUCUUUCACUUUCUCACUUGCCAAACAACCUAUUAAUUCUAAAAUGGUAUCAGAGCUUGCACCUAUGUCAGGAUCUAAUCAUAUAGCUUCCUCAUCACUUUCAUUCAAUUUUGUUCAACCUAUAAAACUCGAUAGAUCAAACUACUUGGUGUGGAAAGCUCAAGUUAGAACAUCGAUCAUUGCUAAUGGACUUGAGAGCUUCAUCAAUGGUGAGAGUGUAUGUCCAAAAUGUUAUCUCAUUGAUUCUAUUCAAGAACUUCAAAGAUCUGGAGCUGAAACAUCACAGAAGCAGGAAAAUCCAGAGUAUAUCUUAUGGAUGAAAACUGACAAACUUCUGCAGAGCUGGAUGCUUUCGUCAAUGGUGGACAAUGUAUUAAUCAUGGUGAUCAAUUGUGAAACAUCACUUGAACUUUCGGAGAUGCUUGCUAGAAUCUUCAUGUCACAAUCCAAAGCGAGAUAUCUGCCUUUGAAGAUGCAGAUUCAAUCAACAAAUAAAGGAUCUCUCUCCAUCAGUGAUUACUUCAAAAGGAUGAAGAAAAUUGCUGAUAGCUUGGCCAUUGGAGGUAAUCCAAUUACUUCGAAUGAACUGAUUAUUCACUUGCUUACUAGAUUGGAUGAAAACUAUGAAUCCAUAGUCACAAAUAUACUUACUAGACUGGAAAAAGAGAGACUUACUGCUGAAGAGGUGUACUCUAUGUUACUUAGUCAUGAAACUAGGUUGGAAAUGAGCAAAGGAAAAUCACAUAAUGAACCUCUGCAUGAUAUGACAUCAAAUUUUGCUCAGAAAGGCCAAGGUUAUAAUACUGGUCCUGGAAGAGAUGUUGUGUGUCAAAUCUGUUACAUUCCAGGCCAUGGAGCUUAUAAGUGUAAACAUAGAUUCAAUCAAGGGUUUAUUCCUAGAAACAAAGGCUUUGGUGGUUUCAGGCCAAGAGGUGGAGGUCAGAAUUAUAGAGGAUUCCCUAGAAAUAAUCAGAAUUAUUUUGGUAGAGGUUCUGGAUACAAUAGUUCUGCUUUUGGAUCUGGAUUCAGACCUAACUUUCCCAGGCAAGCCGGACCUACUGGACCUUUCUUUGGCUAUGUUGCCUAUCAGAAUCCAGGAUUCAUGAAUCCUCAAGGUGCCUUUGACUUUCCAAGUGCAAAUGGUGAUUAUACUGGUGUUCCAACAGCAAACAUGUAUGUUGGAAAUUAUGGCAUUCCUCAUAAUGUCUCUCCCUCUGCACAAUUGGCAAACUUCAGCAAUGUAGCUGAUUCAGCCUGGUACCUUGACUCUAGAGCAACAAAUCACAUUGCUCAAGAUGCAGGUAUACUUUCUAAGUGCUCAACUUACCAUGGCCUUGAAAAACUACAUGUAGGAAAUGGUAUGGGGCUGCCUGUUCAUAAUGUUGGUUUUGUUGCUGUUAAAACCUUGACUACAACACCUAUAUACCUAAAUCAUGUUCUGCAUGUCCCUAAAAUUACUAAAAACCUUAUCAGUGUUUCCAAAUUGCUUGCUGAUAACAAUGUUUUUAUUGAGUUUUACAACCAUGUUUGUUUUGUUAAGGACAAGAAUUCAAGAAUCACAUUGCUCAAGGGGAUUGUUAGAGGAGGUCUUUAUCAAGUUUCAAGCUUAAAUACAGUCUGUGAUAACUCCAGUUCAGUGUUCCCAGUGUCAACCACUUCUGAGUUUGUUUUUACUUCAAUAAGUACAUUCCCAGCAACUCCAGUGUCUAUGUUUACUCAACUAAGUUCAUUUGAUACUAAGUUUCACUCUUGUAUGCUUGUAAAUAAUUCUCAAAUCAAUAAGAAUGUCCCUGUGGCUCACUUUGCUUCAUAUAACAAGCCUAUUGAUUAUAGUUUACUGCACAAAAGAAUGGGUCAUCCAACUACUCAUGCUUUAAAACAGAUCAUGAAAUGCCUGAACUCAAAUUUUAUUCUUCCCAAAGAUUUCACAACACAGUUCUGUGAUGCCUGUCAACUAGGCAAGUGCCAUACGCAGCAUUUUCCCUCCAUAGAAACUUCAACCACUCAGCCCCUUGAAUUACUACAUGCUGACCUUUGGGGACCAGCUCCCAUUACCUCUUCACAAGGUUACACCUACUAUCUAUCUAUCUUAGAUGACUACACUCGAUACACUUGGAUUUUUCCUCUCAUUGCCAAAUCCAAAACCUUGUCAGCCUUUAUUGAAUUCAAAAACAUGAUUGAAAACUGCCUGAACUUGAAAAUUAAAUGUUUACAAACUGAUUGGGGUGGAGAAUUCAGGCCUUUUGUGUCAUAUCUUUCUAACCAGGGUAUACAAUUUUGACAUCCCUGCCCUUAUAUCCAUCAUCAACAUAUUACCUGAGAUUGGGAUUCAUUAAAAUCCUCAAUGUAAUCGGUGGAACGAAUGGAUUUCUUCUGUUCACCAAUCCACCAAAAUUUCUGUAAUUAAAUUCAAGAGUCAAGAUCUAUGCUUAUAAUCUAUUCAACAGCUAAUAUUCUAUUUUAUAUUUACUUAAAUAUGAAGAGCUAUGCUUGUCAUUAACUUCAAAUGUGAUCGAAGCAGCCUUACAUCUGUAUAUUACGUAUUCCCAACUUUUUUUUGACUUCAUUUACUUUCUUUUCAUGUUAUUUACUCUUUUUUCCCCCUCUCUGACAAUUGAGGUAGGGGGUCAAACUUGAAAGUAUCUUAAAAUCAAACAAUUUUUUUUUUAAGAUAGCUGCUAAUAUGCUCUAUUAGACAAUGAUAAGUAAUAACCUAGUUGUUUGCAUUAGAAAUGAUAUUUUUUGUGGUGCUGAUAAAGAGGUUGAUUAUGAUUCAACAAUUUAAAAUAUGAAAACAUGUGGAAGACGGCCGCAAUUAAAUUGAUUGUAUGAAAAUAUUUCAAUGAAAUUUUAAAAAUUUAGUACUUGUUAUCUUAUCGAGAGUUUUUUAAAUUUUUCUACUUGAACUUGACUGCUUUUGUAUUGAAUUCCUAGCGUUGCCAUUGCUUCUACUCAAAAGCCAUUUAGUUACUCAUGAAUUGUUGUUCAUAAUAGCAAUUUGAUUGAAAGUGCGGCUGCACUAAUUUUCUAGAUGAAUUUUUUCCUACAUGCUUGUUCUCGUAUGACCCAAAAUCCUGCUACAUCAGUUGUAUUAGAAAUUAAUCAACUGGGUUACAAUUAUGCAUCCCCACCAAUAUUUAAGCAAUUUAAUUACAGAAACAUUUCUUGAGGAAAGAAACUCAUAUCGCCACUAGGCUUUUAAUGAGGCUCAUUUUUAUGAAUCUGGAUGGCAUUAGAUAUCUCUCCGAAUAUUGGUGGGAGUAGAUAUGCUACAAAGUGUAUGUACGUUGACUCUCAAUAAAUACAAACGAUUCUCUGAUCUGAUUCAAAACAUCAGUACAUGCAUCAUUUUAAUGAGAAAGAAUAUUCUAAGAACGAAAUUGAAGGUGCAAUCAGCAGCUAAAAUGAAGCCAGAAAUGUACACGCAUGAGGAAGUUUUCCAAGAAGAUUGAUAUUUCUUUGACUAGCAAACCAUACAAGUCCAAAGCUAGCUAAACCAUACCUGCAAGUCGGGGGUUUAAAUGGAGUACUUCUAAGCAUAAAACAUUGAUUAAAACAGAAUACACACAUACAUACCAGCAAAUUCAAUAUAGCAAAAGGAGUGCAAAAGUUCAAGUUUGUAGACAACAUUGCAACCAUGGCAUGUUUAUAGCAAAUCCUCGAAAUCUGCUAAAUAAAACAAUGCCCUGUCUCAUGAAUCAAUGCUGAAUUAAAAUUGAAACUGAAAGUCUGGCUGGCGGUGUUUCCCUCUCCAAUUUUGCCUACAUAAGUGAAAAUAAGAAUAAUAAAUGGAAAUCUGCUUUUACAGUUCUUAUUAGAUAGAUAUAAAGGGAUCUUUCUUUGUUUCUCUGCUGUAAUUUGUGGCUAUGCCACUCUGUUUUUCCAGUCAAGCUGAGUCUACGUUGAGACAUAAUUUUGACAUCAGAAGCAACCUCAAUUAGUUUGGCAUUUUCAUGACCUCCUUGAAGGUUUUAUGAUAAACAUAAAUCCACUGAGAAAGUGGGAAAAAAAGAAAAUGCAUAUAAAAGUAUGAGUUAUCAGAUAAGAUUAAAACUCACCCAAUUCAAUCCAUCAGAUUCCGUAAGGAUAUAACUGGAUGUCAUACCGCCACUCCAUAUCCUCGAAAGUCCGUAGUCCUUGUCUCAACUGUGUCUGGGGCCAGUGUAAGUCCAAUUUGCGCAAGCUCUUUAUGCACCACAGCUCUUCUGGAAGCUUUCUCAAGUAAGCACAUGGGUUGACAAUUAAGCUUUCAAGUUUCGGCAUUGCUCCAGCCGCCAUCGUCCACUCAUCUAGCCAAUACAUUGAUUUCAGGUGCAAAACCUUAAGUUCGGGAAAGCUACUCAAGCCAACACAAGCAAGCUUUCUUCCUAAAUACGAGUUCUGCUUCAGUUUCAGCACUCGAAGGCGUGGAAGAUUUUCCAGAAUUGGCAUGGGAUCCUCCAUUAGCUCAGUAUUUGAUAAGCUCAGUUGGAUCAGACUUGGGGGAAAUUGGUAUUCAGACAGGACCAUCCGUGAGGGCUUGCUCUCAUUCACCAGCUUCAAGCAUUCAAGUUUGUGGAGUUCGCAAAGGCUUUUGGAAACCCCAGAUUGAUAGUAACUCAAAUCUCCAGAUAUCCGAAGAGUCCGAACACUAGGUAGUCUGCCCAAUAUAUCAGGAGUACAACUACUAGGGUUUAAAGCUGAUAUGAAAAUGAGAUUUUUCAGAGAGCUAGAAUAAUUUUUUGGAGGUGCGGGCAGAGUGAUGCAACCGAAGUUUAGAUGCAUGAGUUUUUGCAUCAUCCAAAUAUCCUCUGGUGACUGAUCUAUGUAGCUAGAUGGCAUUUCUAGUGUUUCAAGGUUUAAAAGGGUGCAUAGCAGUGAAGGAAGGCAUUUGAGCGAAGGGAUAUUCAAUUUCAAAUACUUCAAAAGAUAUAAAUUUUCUAAUCCGGGUGGAUAUUGGUCCAGGACUGCAGAACCCAUGUUCAAUACCCGAAGGUAUUUGAACCUUUUAAAAAAAUUCUCGCAAUCUUUCGGAUUAAGAUGAUUGCUUUUUGAACUGUGAUUCAGAAAAGAUUGGAGACACAUGUCAGAAUGUUCUAAAGAAAAGAACUCAAUCAGAUCAUCGUCAAUGACGCACCGUUUAACAUUUGCCACUGAUUCCUCUUCCACGUCAUGCAUCCAGACAAAUCCCGUCUUCAUUGCCACAAUAUACAAUGAAGUGUAUACAAAACUUGGAACAUAACACGCUUUAAUUGUGCCUCUGGCUCUUCUCUUACUCACUUGAAUGAAGCCGCGAUGGAUUAGUUCUUUCAAGUAAUGUUCGGCAGUUUCUUCACCGUUGUAUGGUAUGAAACCUUCAGCUACCCACAACUGAUAUAAUUGCUCCGUAGAUAUCUCAAUACUUGGAGGGAAGACAUACAAAUAGAUGCAGCAGACUUUCAAGUGAAAAGGCAACUCCAUCACAGAAAAAAUUUGUCUCCAAACUGUCAGAACCACUUCGCCUUGAAGAUAAUUUUCUAAUGGCAUACUUCCAUAGUGUAGGAUGAAAAAUUGCCAGGCCUCAUGCUUUAAUCUGAUCAAUGGUCCUCCAAAGAGCACUGAAUCACGCCGAAUCUUCUCUUCAUUUUCCAUUUCCAACGACGCAAUGAGGCCCGGAUCAGUGACUGUUAUCAAUACUCUGCUUCCAUUCUCAUCACCAGGAAGAAGUUCUUCGAGAUCACUCCAUAUCUCACUGUUAUCGAAGACAUCAUCAAGCAAAAUAAAGUACUUCUUGUUUGUUAGGUAAUCUCGAAGAAUAGAUUUCUUCAAUUGAUAAUCUUCACCGAUAAUUACACUAACCCGAGAUGGAGGCAUCACAGACUUGAUUAUGUCAUCCAACAUCUUGCCAAAAUCAUAGAAUAUAGAAACCCUGACCCAAGCAAGACAGUCAAAAUAGAACUUGACAUGGUUAUUAUUGUAAGUAUCUUCUGCAAAAGCAGUCUUAUCGAAGCCACUGCUGUCGAGAAUUGUAACCACUGCAAGCCGAGGGCGUCCUUCAAUCAAUAAAUCAAACAACUCCUCCCUGCCCCUUUCAAAUUCAUUGAUAUCAAGCCGAGGUUGUCCCUCACUCAAUAGGUGAAUGAUUUCGUUACUUUUUUUACUGAUAUCAAAACCAUUGUCGCCGGGUGGAAGUUGUUGCAUCCGAUUACUAAUAUCAAUGAUUUUACUGUGGAGACCAGCAAGAAGAGCCAUAUUAGUACUGCUUUCACUUUCGUUUUCACUGUUUUGCUGCUGCAUAAUGUUGAUGAAGAAUGUGUCAAUGGCUUCCUCAGAUUCAUGGACAAAGUCAUUGAUGUCCUUCACAAUGCCCAAAAGGUCCGCUCUUUCAACUUCUUCUUCAUCGCUUUCUUCUAAGUCCAACAGUUGCAAAAAAGGCAAAGAUAUUUUGGAGUCAUCGAAUUCUUCUCUAAUGAGUUGAAAGAAAUGCCGAGCCAUGUCAGCUUCAUAUUUUCCCAGCAGGGUAGUAGCAAUAAUUUCGGACUCCGUAAGAAGGUUUUGAAAAAGUGGGGUUAAAUUUGUUGAAUCAGGCAGCGUUAACGGGCCUUCUUCACCUGCUAACACCCUUUUCAACCUCUCACAAAACAGUCGGAGGUGGAAUUCCAGCAUAUCUCCUUCUCUCCGUAGCACUCAGAGGUAUAGCUGAAAGAUUAAACACCAUGGAAGAAUUUGAAAGGAAAAUGCCAAGACAUUAUUGCUCAUUUUUUAACUCAAAAGAUUGAUACGCGUUCAUUUAGAGAAAAGUCCAAGACGCGUGCCUUUUGAAAAGAACAGGUAUCCCAAUCGGUAUCCGACCGAUAUCUUAUUAAAUUACAACCAUGACAUAAUUGAUGGUGCUUAAAUCAAUUGUUUCUUUUUUAAUUUAAAGAAUUUUUCAUUAAAAAAAUAUUUUAAUAUCAAAUUGCUUUCAGUGGCGUAACUGCCUCAAGCCCAGUAACAGGACUAAUUAAAAAUUUUACAAUUUUUGGGCAUGGAAAUAGUAGUAUUAAACAUUAGAAAGGUAAGGUCGUUCUGUUAAAGAAUUGAUAUUGACAUAAUUUUUUUUGGUUUUCGGGGGAAAAAAAAUUGUUGACAAGCAAGAAAAUAUUUUUAUAUUUUAUAAUUUAUUAUACAUAUUUUAUCUUAUUAAAGUAAUUUUAAUAAUAAAUAGAAACAUAAUAUUACGAUAAAUAAAUUAAAGUUGAACUUAUUUUGAAUAUUAUAAAAAAUAAUUUUAAUAUUAUUAAUAGGAAGACAUUGUAUUAAUUUUAAACUUUUUUAACCCAAAGGUUUAUUUAAAAUCUUUAUUAGAAAUACAAAUAUAAAAUUAAAUAUCAUAAUUUAAAAUUUUUAAUAUUAUUUUAAGUAUUAAAAAUAUUUUAAUGUUAUUAGUCUACUACAUAGAUCAUAUUACUUAUAUAAUAUUUGUAUUAUUAAAAAUUGUUAAAAUCAAAUUUUUAGUUAGUAUAUUCAUGAGCUAUUAUGGUUAAAAAAAAAAAGACCUUAUUAUUACUUUUUUAAAAAUUGAGGGCCUGCGUGAUAAUUUUUUCAAAAAGAAAAUGCUUGGUAUGUAGGAGGGGUACAGAAACAGGACUCCCAAAAUCUCUCACCCUUUUUUAAUUAAAAAAAAAAAUUAAAAUAUCAAUAAAAAGUAAUAAAGAAAAUAGAAUUUUAUCUGCUCCUUACUCCAUUUUUGCAACUCUCUCACCAUCCCUAUCGAGCAGCCCUCUCUCUCACUGUCUCACUCACACAGUCCUUUUCACGAUUUGAAAUUCUUUGGCCCUCUGCAUUACAAGAAAUUAACGCUUUGGUUCUCCCAAGGGUAGAUUGGUUUUAUUGGGAAGCUAUUAAUUUUUUUUUUUUUUGAAUACUGAUUAAUCAUCAGAUUACUGCAUUACACAGAUAUUUACAACAACUGCUAUUGUAGCAGAGAUAUUAUACUGAUAUUUACAAUCAGAUAUACAUAAUUGGGACUUAUAUUAUGACAUUGAAUUCUAUGAAGUACAUGCCCAAACAAAUAACCCCUCACAGGAGAGGGAUGUCCAUACUCCACUCGCAUUUCGCAAGGGAGAAUGAUUUUUUGGAAGUAUAAAGAACAUUUAGCCCCCACAAUACUUUUGUGGGGGCUAGAACCGCUGCAGCAUUGUGAGGGCAGCAGCCCACCACUUCGGCCUUGGCCGAAGUGGCGGGAAGCUAUUAAUUAGAAGGAGGAAAAAGGACUAUAUUUAGAAUAUGAUUUGUUGGAGAAUCUCAGAGUUAGUCAAUUUUCAAGCCACACUUUCAAUAGCCAAUUGAUUUAGUAACCAUUAAUUACUUUAAUUUCCAUAAAUUGUAAUGACAGUGCAAAUGCAUCUGGUUGUGAUAGCUAAGGGUUAGCUUGAAGAAUUAAAUUUCAUAAGAUAUUACUGGAAAAUGCUUUGCAGAUAACGUGCUGCUUCCUUUGCUAGACUACAAUUUCAAAAAUCUCACGAGUUUUCCAUUGUUGUCACAAACCGAGAAAUUAUAAAAUACAUGGCCUGGUUCUUUGGCAAUGACCAUCUCAUCGUCGGCGGUCGUGUCGUCAUUGUCACUGUUCUUGCUCGACCGAGACAGUGAGAGAGAGGUUUGUUAGAUGGAGUUAGUGAGAGAGAGUUGUAAAGAUGGAAUGAUGAUAAAAGGAUUCUAUUUGUUUUUAUUGUUUUUUAUUAAUAUUUUAAUUUUUUAAAUUAAAAUGUGCUGCCGUUUCUCUAGCCUUUUUAGCUGCUUAACUUAACAGUAUUCUUUUCAAAAUUUAAGAAUGUAGUAGGUGUCCUUUUCUCUAAUAAUUUAUUUCAUUUUUAGGGAAUCCAAUGAGAAAUAUGAUAAAAGAACGUCAAUUACUUGUCGUUUUCAAUUUUUUCUAUAAGCUAUUUAUUUUGAGCAUUAGUGAUCUUGUCUGGACUACCCCAAUUAUUGACGUAACUCCAGUGGCUGCAUCCACUGGAAAAAGUGGAUGAGACCAUUUUUUUUUUCAUAAAGGUAACUACUCCAAUUAUUGACAUAAUUGAUGGUGCUUAAAUCAAUUUUUUCUUUCUUUUUUUUAAUUUAAAGAAUUUUGCUUUAAAAAAUAAUUAAUAUCAAAAUGCCUUCAAUGUUGUUACCGCCACAAGCCCAGUUAGAGGACUCAUUAAAAAUUUUAGAAUUUUUAGGCCUGGAAAGCAUAGUAUUAAACAUCAGAAAGCAAAGGUUGUUAUGUCGAAGAAUUGAUGUCGACAAAAUUUUAAUUUUGUUUUCGGAAAAAAAAAAAAAUUUUGUUGACAAGCAAGAAAAUAUUUUUUAUACUUUACAAUCUGCUAUACAUAUUUUAUCAUAUUAAAGUAAUUUUAAUAAUAUAUGGAAACAUAAUAUUAUAAUAAAUAAAUUAAAAUUACUUUGUAUUAUUGAAUAUUACAAAAAGAUAAUUUUAAUAUUAUUAAUAGGAAAACAUUUUUUAAUUGUAAAAUCUUUUUAAUACAAAAAUUCGUUUAAAAUCUUUAUAAUAAAUACAAAUAUAAAAUUAAAAAAUAUCAUAAUUUAAAAUUUUUAAUAUUAUUUAAAUAUUAAAAAUACUUUAAUGUUAUUAGUCUACUACAUAAAAUAUAUUAUUUAUAUUAUAUUCGUAUUGAUUAAAACGUUUUAAAGUCAAAUUUUUAAUUAGUGUAUUCAAAGGUACAAAAGAUUUAAGUAUUAUUUUUUAAAAAUUUCAAGAUACGAAUGAUAAUUUUUUCAAAUUUUAAAGAUGUAAAAAUCUUUUUUUCUGAUAAUUUAUUUCACUUUUGAGAGAAUCCGAAAACGUUAAUUUAACAUUCUUUACCUUUGUAAAAAAAGUGAAAAUCAAGAACUAUUCAAUUUUGUUUUUAUUUGUAAUUCAAAAACUUUAUUCAUUUUCGAUGCUUUUCAAAAGAGAUUCCUUUAAAUGUCUGCAGCUCCUGCUUUUCUCAUAAAUCUCCAUCCCACAUCUACACUAUCAAGUAUCAAACAAGUUGAUGGAAAUUCUUAUAAAAAAAAAAAAAAAAUUGAUGGAAAUUGAUCAAUUGCUUUUUGAAGUGGACCCAUUGAGUCAUGUUCAUUUCUGGUCAUUGUCUACUCUUUCUAUCAGCCAUUUAUUUUGACCAUUUGCGAUCUUAUCUGGACCUACUCCAAUUAUUGUUGUAACUCCGAUGGUUGUAUCUACAGUGGAAUGUAAGAUAGUGAAAGCUCUUUCUUUGAGAAAAUAGAGGGACCUUUCUCUGUUUCUCCGUUGCAACGUGCUCGUAUAAAUUUCUCUACCUUACAGUUUAUACGGUCUUGCUGUUAAUGAAUUCGCUGAGGCAUUAUUGAUCCAAUCUGAGUGAAGUAAUUGUGGGUGAAAAAUAAAUAAAGGAUAUGAGAACGUAGCUGAAGUGCUGAAGGGGCUAUUAAAGAAGAGUGUCACUUGAUCACAAUCACAUUGAUGCACAACUCACUCGUGGCAAAUUUCGACUAUACGUUCUGCAAAUUCAGCCAAACCAUACAUGCAUGAACAAAACUAAAAUGUAGUUCUAAUCACAACUGCAGUUAUGAUGUUUACCUCUCUGAUUUUUCUCCAAAACAAAUUCAGUUCAAAACAAUAAUCAAAAUAGCCACAUUUUGUUCGUCAAAAUAAAUGCCCAAAUUUUCAAUUAACAAAUCAUCUUCUCUAAACUAAAAAGCCCACAUCUCUAAAAUCAAUCUACAUAAUGUUGGAGAUGAGGGUUGAAUUGUUAACUCAGUAAAAAAAAAAAAACUCAUGCAUAAGAUUACUAAUAAUAUAAAUUAUAUAUUAAUCAUUAUAAAGAAUCAUAAAUUAGAAAAAUUAAUCAUUUUAUAAUUUAUUACACAAGUAAGAUAAAUCUCAUAAUAAGUUAUAACAUAAAAAACGUUAUCAAUAUAUAAUCAUUUAAGAAGUCAUUUAACAAUAAAAUCGUUCUUUGAUCAGUUGGCCAUGUCACAUAGUAUCAUCUAUAUUUAUGGUGAUACUAUUAUUACUCAGUAUUCUCAAAAAACAUGAUUUAACAUUUAGAGGAAAUUCUUGCCUUAAAAAAAAAACAUGUAUGCAACAGCUACCCAUGCUUUAUCUUACCAUGACAAAUAUUUUCUCAAUGAAAGAAAUUUUUUAAAAAAUUGAUUUAAUGCACAAAUAUGAUGAUUUUUGCAAAAAUUAGUUUUGGAAAACAUAGUGAGAGAAAAUAGUGACGAUUAUUGUUUAAAUGUAUAAAUAGCCUAAACAUAAUCCUUAAUACCAAUAUCCAUAUGCAUCUUAUCAUCUUUCAUGAUAUUCUUUCAUUUAUGUCCAUUGGUUCAAGAUUUGAAUUUGAUCAUUAAAUCAUGUUCAAUAAUAUUAGAGAUUCCAACAAUUGAGUACCAACUUAAAUCCCAAUGUUAUGUGUCAUUGACCAAUUUUGUGUCAUUGACCAAUUUUGUUAUUAACUAGGUGAUGAAUUUCUAGUUGAUAAAAUCACUUAAAAAUAUCUUAAAAAUUAGACAAUAGUUUGCUUAAUUUUUCCAAGUUAACUGCUCAAGAUGCUCUAUUAGAAAUGAUAACCUAAUUAUAUACAUAAAAAAUGAUGGAAAUUGAACAAUUGCUUUUUGAAGUGGACCCAUUGAGUUAUGUUCAUUACUGGUCAUUGUCUAUUCUUUCUAAGAGCCACUUGUUUUGAGCAUUAGCAAUCCUAUCUGGACUACUCCAAUUAGGAUAGUGUUAGUUCUUUUUUGAGAAUUUCUUUAUUUGUUUCUCCGUUGCAGCGUAUUAGUAUAAAUUUCUUUACCUUACAGUUCCUACAGUCUUCCUGUUAAUGAAUUCGCUGAGGCAUUAUUGAUCCAAUCUCGGUGAAGUAAUUGUGGGUGAAAAAAAAAAAAAAGGAUAAGAGAACGUAGCUCAAGUGCUGAAUUGACUAUUAAAGAAGAGCGUCACCUGAUCACAAUCACAUUGAUGCACAACUCACUCGAGGCAAAUUUCAUCUAUAAAUAAAAGAUCCCUUACUAUUCUCUUAACCCUGAGUUUUGAGAUAGAAAUUUCCCGAACUCCAACCCCACAUCCACAGACAAGUUGAUUGAAACAAUUGCUCUUGUAAUUAAGAGGAUGGGUUAGGGUUCAGUUCUUAUCAUUGUCUGUUAUUUCUUUGAAUCAUUAUCUUAAUUAAUUACAUCAAUUGUUUCUUUUUUUUAAUUUAAAGAAUUUUUCUUUAAAAAAAUAUAUUUUAAUAUCAAAAUGCCUUAAAUGGUAUUACUGCCGCAAUCCCAGUAACAGGAUUAAUUAAAAAUUUUAGAAUUUUUGGGCAUGGAAAGAGUAGUAUUAAAUAUCAGAAAGCUAAGGUUGUUCUGUCAAAGAAUUCAUAUUGGCAUAAUUUUAUUUUUGCUUUCGAGUAAAAAAAUAUAUAUAUAUAUAUUUGUUGACAAGCAAAAUACUGUUUUUAUAUUUUACAAUCAGUUAUACAUAUUUUAUCAUAUUAAAGUAAUUUUAAUAAUAAAUGGAAACAUAACAUUACAAUAAAUCAAUUAAAGUUUAAAUUAUUUGGAAAAUUAUAAAAAAUAAUUUUAAUAUUAUUUAUAGGAAGAUAUUUUGUUUAUUGUAAAAUCUUUUUAACCCAAAGGUUUAUUUAAAAUUGUUAUAAUAAAUAAAAUAUAAAAACAAAAUAAAUAUCAUAAUUUAAAAUUUUAAUAUUAUUUUAAAUAUUAAAAAUACUUUAAUGCUAUUAGUCUACUACAAAGGUUAUAUUACUUAUAUUAUAUUUGUAUAAAUUAAAACUUUUAAAGUUAAAUUUUUAAUUACUAUAUUGAAAAGGUAUUAUGGUUAAAAUAUGUUUUGGCAUUUCUUUUUAAAAAUUUGAGGGUCUGCAUGACAAUUUGUCCAAAUCCUAGAGGUAUAGGUGUCUUUUUUUUUCGAUAAUUCAUUUUACUUUUGAGGGAAUCCGAUGAGAAAUAAGAUAAGAGAAACGUCAAUUUAACGUUCUCUAUGGAAAACCAAGAACUAUUCAAUUUUGUAUUUUUUGUUUGUAAAACGAAAAACAGUUUGCCAAAAAAGGUACCAAACAUAUCCUUAAUGUCUCACAUGAUUUCUUAUUAAGUCCAUACUCGAUAUAUUUAUACAUUUUAGGUAUUUUAGUUAUAAAAGAAGUUGGUCCUCCCUCUAUUUAUAAAAGGUAACUUUAUUUCGAGAUUACCACUAAAGUCUUACAAAGAAUUAGUGUAAUGUUAACAGAGAGUAACAUAGUUUUCCAUUACCAUUUUGAAAAUAGAAAGAUAUGGAUGUGUGCAUUUAAUGGUGUGUUUACUUACCGGAUUGAGGAAUCAGAAUCUGGAAUUAGAAUGAUUGAUGGUGUUUACUUCGCAAAUAUGGAGCAGGAAUCGGAACUGGAAUGGUGGGGCCCACCACUAUUUGGGAAUGAGAGAUUGAUUCCCAUGGGGGAAGGUGGGAACGAGUCUCCCAUUCCCUGGACUGACCAUUUUGCCCUCCCUCAAAAUUAAAAAUGCCUACUUUGUCCUCUUUUAUAAUUAAUUAAUAUAUAAAUAUUUUAAUAACUAUAAUUAUUAAAAAUUAUAGUUCUUGAAUAAAUAAUCACAAUAAUUAAUUUAUUAUUUUUAUUUUUAUUUUAAUUAAUUAAUAUACUAUUAUAAUAAUUAUAAAUAUAAUUAAUUUAUAUAUUAUUAUUAUUAUUAAUGAAUUAAUAUAAUUAUUACUAUUAAUUAAUAUAUUAAUAUAUUAUUAAAAAUAAUAUAUUAAUAAUUAUUGUUCGUGAACAAAUAAUCACAAUAAUUAAUAUACUAUUAUUUUAAUUAAUUAAUAUAAUUAAUUUAUAUAUUAUUAUUAUUAUUAAUGAAUUAAUAUAAUUAUUACUAUUAAUUAAUAUAUUAAUAUAUUAUUAAAAAUAAUAUAUUAAUAAUUAUUGUUCGUGAACAAAUAAUCACAAUAAUUAAUAUACUAUUAUUUUAAUUAAUUAAUAUACUAUUAUAAUAAUUAUUAAUAUAAUUACUAUAAUUAAUUCAUAUAUUAUUAUAAUUAAUUAAUUAAAUUAAUAUUAUUAAAUAAAUAAAUAAUAUAAUUAUUACUACUAAUUAGUAUAUUAAUAUAUUAUUAAAAAUAAUUAUAAUUUUUGAAUAAAUAAUCACAAUAAUUAAUAUAUUAUUUUAAUUAAGUAAUUAAUAUUAAUAUUAUUAGUUAAUAUAUUUUUAUAAUAAUUUUUAAUAUAGUUAUUAUAAUUAAUUAAAUUUUGUUACAAUUAAUUAAUAUAUUAGUUAAUAAUAAUUAUGACAAUAAUCCACUAAGUAUUUUUGAGUAAUUUGUUACAAUCUAAUUCAUUUUGAUUCCGAUUUCAAGACAAAGUAAACACAUUAAUGACAAUCUAGCUCAUUCCGAUUUCGAUUCCUACAGUUCAAGUAAACAACUUAUUUUGAUUUUCAUUACCUAUUUACAUUCCAGCCCAUUCUCAUUUCUUCCCAUUCUCAUUUCUGCCAAUUCCAAUUCCAGCUCAUUCCGAUUCCAGUUUAGUAAACGCAGCAUAAGAGUUAUCAUGAAAAUCAUACAAUUCAAUUUCCUGAAAUAUAUAUUUUAUUCACAUGUGCCAAAAGAAUAAAUAGAUAGAAAGUAAAUUUACAAUCCUCACUCCCUCACAAUUGUUAAAGUGAAUAUGCAUUACAACUGUGAACUGUCACUACUUUAGCCCCUUUUUUUUUUUCAAUUAUAGUGUGAUGGAGACAGUGAACAUCAAGGAUAAAGUGCUCUGCUGAAAGCGGAACUUCCUCUGGCUAAUUAAUUUGGAAGUAAAACAGAGAAUAAAGUCCUACAUGCCUUCUGAAAUUAGAAAUACAUUUUAUAUGCUUUAAUUAUGAUUAUUUGGUAGACUAUUGACCAAAAGACAUGUUAAAGUAUAAAACAGAGCGAUUAAAGAAAAAAAAAGGAGUGUUUGUGACGUAGAAUAACAAUUUGUAAGUAAAGUCCUAAUUUGAGUUGUCAAAAAGCAAAUAUAACAGGGAAGGUAAGAGGGAUGCAGAAACAGAAAACUAUUAGCUUAUCUUGAUUUUCCCACUAUAUUCAUUUUCGAUGCUUUUCAAACGAGAUUCUUUUAAUCCUUCUGGCGUCUGCAGCCCCUGGUCUUCUUAUAAAUUUCCAUCCCACAUCUGCACUAGGAACAAGUUGAUUGAAAUUAAAUAACAUUGGAGAUGACGGACAGAUGAGCCGUCAACUUGGUAAAAAAACUAUGUUAAUAUUGUUAAUAAUAAAAAAAAAUAUAAUAAUCAUUACAAAGAAUCAUAAAUUAGAAAAAUUAAUUAUUUUACAAUCUAUUUCGUAAGUAAGAUAAAUCUUGUAAUAAGUUAAGUUAUAACGUAAAAAAUAUUUUCAAUUUAUAAUCAUUUAAGAACUCAUUUAACAAUAAAAUCUUUCUUUUGAUCAAUUGGUCAUGCCACAGAGUAUCAUCUAUAUUCGUGGUGAUAUUAUUAUUACUCCGUAUUCUCAAAAAACACGAUUUAACAUUUAGAGAAAAUUCCUACCUUUUAAAAAGAACAUGUAUGCAACAGCUACCCAUACUUUAUCUUACCACGACAAAACUAAUGGUGACUAAAUCAAUUUUCUCGAAUAAAGCAAAAUUUCUUAAAAUUAAUUUAAUAUACAAAUAUGAUGACAUUUUGCAAAAAUUAGUUUUGGAAAAUAUAGUGACAAAAAAUAGUAAUGAUUAUUGUUUAGAUGUGUAAAUAGCCUAAACAUGAUCCCUAAUACCAAUAUCCACGUACAUCUUAACACCUUUCGUGAUAUUCUUUCAUUCAUGGUCACUGGUUCAAGAUUUGAAUUUGAUCAUUAAAUCAUGUUCAAUAAUAUUAGAGAUCCCAACAAUUAAGUACCAACUUAAAUCCUAAUGCUAUGUGUCAUUGACAAAUGUUGUGUCAUUUUUUGUUAACUGAGUGAUGAAUUUCUAGUUGAUAAAAUUACUUAAAAAUAUCUUAAAAAUCAGACAAUAGUUUGCUUAAUUUUUUGAAGCUAACUGCUCAAGAUGCUCUAUUAGAAAUGAUAACCUAAUUAUAUACAUAAAAAAUGAUGUAUUUUUUGCGGUGUUGAUAGUGAGAUUAUCAUUCAACAUGUUAAAAUAUGAAAACAUAUGGAAGAAGGUUGUAAAUUGAUUGAAUGAAAAUAUUUCAGUGAAGUCUAAAAAAUUUGGUACUUGUUAUCUUAUCGAAAGUUUUCUAAAUUACAUUCGUGGCACUGCCACUGCUUCCAUGUGAAGGUCAUUAAAAUUUGUGUUAGUUACCUAUAUGUUGAAUAAUAAUUUUAUUCAUGAAUUGUUGCUCAAUAUAGCAGUUUCUAGAUGAAUUUUCCUACAUGUUUGUCCUCAUAUGACCUAGAAUGCUGCUAUAUCAAUUGUAUUGGAAAUUAUUCAAGUGGGUUUGUGCUCUAUACCCCCACCAAAAUUUAAGCAAUCUACAGAACAUUCCUUGUGGAAAGAAACUUAUUUCGCUACUAGGUGGGAGUAGAUUUCUAAGCUAAUGCUCGGCAGAUCUCUAGGCUAUACUAAAAAGUGUAUGCACUUUGACUCUCAAUAUAUACGAGUGAUUCUAUGAUGACUGAAAACAUCAGUACAUGCAUGAUUUUAUAAGAAAGAAUAUUCUAAAAUUAUUUAUGUAUCACCAUUUGUAGUUGUACCCUCUCGAAUGAAGGUGCAAUCAGCAACUAAAAUGAAGCCCGAAAUGUACACGCGUGAGGCAGUUUUUCUAGAAGAUUGAUACUUCUCAAACUAGCAAACCGUACAAGUCCAAAGCUAGAAAAGGAGUGCUUCUAAGCAGAAAACAUUGAUUAAAACAGAAUACACACACACAUACCAGUAAAUUCAAAAUAGAAAAAGGAGUUCAACUGUUCAAGUUUGUGGACAAUAUUGCAACCGUGGCAUAUUUAUAGCAAAUCCUUGAAAUCUGCUAAAUAAACAAUGCCCUGUCUCAUGAAUCAAAGCCGAAUUAAAAUUGAAAUUGAAAGUCCGGCUGGUGUUGUUUCCCUCUCCAGUUUUGCCCACAUAAGUGAAGGGAAAUGAGAAUCAUAAAUUAAAAUCUGCUUUUACAGUUUUUUAUUAGAUAGAUAUAAAGGGAUCUUUUUUGUUUCUCUGCUGCAAUUUGUGGCUAUCCCACUCUGUUUUGCCACUCAAGCUUAGUCUACGUUGAGACAUAAUUUUGACAUCAGAAGCAACCUCAAUUAGUUUGGCAUUUUUAUGACCUCCUUGUACGUUUUACGAUAAACAUAAAUCUACUGAGAAAGUGUGAAAAAAAGAAAAUGCAUAUAAAAGUAUGAGUUAUCAGACAUGAUUAAAACUCACCCAAUUCAAUCCAUUAGAUUCCGUAAGGAUAUAACUGGAUGUCAUACCGCCACUCCAUAUCCUCGAAAGUCCGUAGUCUUUGUCUCAACUCUGUCUGAGGCCAAUGUAAAUCCAAUUUGCGCAAGCUCUUUAUGCACCACAGCUCUUCUGGAAGCUUUCUCAAGUAAGCACAUGGGUUGACAAUUAAGCUUUCAAGUUUUGGCAUUGCUCCAGCCCCCAUCGUCCACUCAUCUAGCCAAUACAUUGAUUUCAGGUGCAAAACCCUAAGUUCCAGAAAGCAACCAGAGCCAACGCAGGCCAGCUUUCUUCCUAAAUACGAGUUCUGUUUCAGUUUCAGCACUUGAAGGCUUGGAAGCUUUUCCAGCAUUGGCAUGGGAUCCUCCAUUAGCUCAGUAUUCGAUAAGCUCAGAUGGCUCAGACUUGGAGGAAAUUGGUAUUCAGACAGGACAAUCCGUGAGCGCUUGCUCUCAUUCACCAGCUUCAAGCAUUCAAGUUUGUGGAGUUCGCAUAGGCUUUUGGAAACCCCAGAGUGAUAGCAACUCAAAUCUCCAGAUAUCCGAAGAGUUUGAACAUUAGGCAGUCUGCCCAAUAUAUCUGGAGUACAACUACUAGGGUGUAAGGCUGAUAUGAAAAUGAGAUUUUUCAGAGAGCUGCAAUAAUUUUUUGGAGGUGCAGGCAGAGUGAUGGAACCGAAGUUUAGAUGCAUGAGUUUUUGCAUCAUCCAAAUAUCCUCUGGUGAAUGAUCUAUGUAGCUUGAUGGCAUUUGUAGUGUUUGAAGGUUUAAAAGGGUGCAUAGCAUUGAAGGAAGGCAUUUGAGCGAAGGGAUAUUCAAUUUCAAAUACUUCAAAAGGAAUAAAUUUUCUAAUCCGGGUGGAAAUUGGUCGAGAACUGCAGAACCGAAGUUCAGUACCCGAAGGUGUUUGAACUUUUUACAAAAAUUCUCGCAAUCUAUAAGAGCGAGAUGAUCGCUUUCUGAACUGUGAUUCAGAAAAGAUUGGAGAUACAUGUCAGAAUAUUCUAAAGAAAGGAACUCAAUCAGAUCUUCCAAAAUGAAGCACCGUUUAACAUUUGCCAGUGAUUCCUCUUCCAUGUCAGGCGUCCAGACAAAUCUCGUCUUCUCUACUACCAAAGCCAAUAACGUAUAUACAAAACUUGGAACAUAACACGCUUUAAUUGUGCCGCCGGCGCUUCUCUUACUCACUUGAAUGAAGCCGCGAUGGAUUAGUUCUUUCAAGUAAUGUUCGGCAGUUUCUUCACCGUUGUAUGGUAUGAAACCUUCAGCUACCCACAACUGAUAUAAUUGCCUCGUUGAUAUCUCAUUGCAUGAAAGGAAGACACACAAAUAGAUGCAGCAGAUUUUCAAGUGAAAAGGUAACUCCAUCACAGAAAAAAGUUGUCUCCAAACUGUCGGAAUCGUUUCGCCUUGAAGAUAAUUUUCUAAGGGCAUACUUCCAUAGUGUAGGAUGAAAAAUUGCCAGGCCUCAUGCUUUAAUCUGAUCAAUGGUCCUCCUACGAUCACUGAAUCAAGCCGAAUCUUCUCUCCGUUUUCCAUUUCCAACAGCGUAAGGAGGUGUGGAUUAGUGACCAAUAUCAAUACUCUGCUUCCAUUCUGAUUAUCAGGAAGAACUUCUUCAAGAUCACUCCAUAUCUCACUGUCAUCGAAGACAUCAUCAAGCACAAUAAAGUACUUCCUGUUUGUUAGGUAAUCUCGAAGAAUAGAUUUCUUCAAUUGAUAAUCUUCCCCGAUAAUUACACUAACCCGAGAUGGAGGCAUCACAGACUUGAUUAUGUCAUCCAAUAUCUUGCGAAAAUCGUAGGCUACAGAAACCCUUACCCAAGCAUGACAGUCAAAAUAGAACUUGAUAUGGUUAUUAUUGUAAGUAUCUGCAGCAAAAGCAGUCUUAUCGAAGCCACUGCUGUCGAGAAUUGUAACCACUGCAAGCCGACGAUGUCCUAAAUCAAUAAAUCAAACAACUCCUCUCUGCCACUUUCAAAUUCAUUGAUAUCAAGCCGAGGUUGUCCCUCACUCAAUAGGCGAAUGAUUUUGUUUCUUUGUUCACUGACAUCAAAACCAUUGUCGCCGGGUGGAAGUUGUUGCAUCCGAUUACUAAUAUCAAUGAUUUUACUCUGGAGUCCAUCAAGAAGAGCCAUAUUAGUGCUGCUUUUACUUUCGUUUUCACUGUUUUGCUGCUGCAUGAUGUUGAUGAAGAAUCUGUCAAUGGCUUCCUCAGAUUCAUGGACAAAGCGAUUGAUGUCCUCCAGAAUUUCCAAAAUAUCUGGUCUUUUAACGUCUUCUUCAUCGCUUUCUUCUAAGUCCAACAGUUGCAAAAGAGGCAAAGAUAUUUUGGAGUCAUCGAAUUCUUCUCUAAUGAGUUGAAAGAAAUGCCGAGCCAUGUCAGAUUCAUAUUUUCCCAGCAGAGUAGUUGCAAUAAUUUCGGACUCCGUAAGAAGGUUUUGAAAAAGUGGGGUUAAAUUUGUUGAAUCAGGCAGUGUUAACGUGCCUUCUUCUCCUACUACCACCCUUUUCAACCUCUCACAAAAUAAUCGGAGGUGGGCGUCCAGCAUAUCUCCUCCUGUCUGUAGCAGCCAGAGGUAUUGUUAUUUGCUCCAAGAAAUGUUAAAAGGAUUGGUCCUACCUCAAAGUGGUUAGUGGUGUAAAAUUAAACACCAUGGGAGAAUUUGAAAGGAAGAUGCCAAGAAACUGGCAAAGUGGCUAAAUUCCACAAAUACGGCAUUAUUGCUCAUUUUUAACUCAACAAAUUGAUACGCGUUCAUUUAGAGAAAAGUCGAAGACGCGUGCCUUUUGAAAAGAACAAGUAUCCAAUAGGUAUCCAACCUUUAUCUUAUUUAAUUACUACCAUGACAUGAUUGAUGGUGCUUAAAUCAAUUGUUUCUUUUUUAAUUUAAAGAUUUUUUCAUUAAAAAAUAAUUUAAUAUCACAUUGCCUUCAAUGGCGUAACGGCCGCAAGCCCAGUAACUAGAUUAAUUAAAAUGAAAUUAUGAUUGCACUACUUUUUUAUUUAUUUAUUUAUCUAAUCACUAUAAAAUUUUAACAUAUUUUAUUUACUAUAUUUUUUUUAAAUUUGCAUCAAUUAGUCACUUUUACACUAAUACCGUUAAAUAAUUUAAACGGAAUGAUAAUUUUACCCCUAAAUAAAAUUAAAAGUUCAUUUUAUUUUAUAAAAACUUUGAAAAUAAAAAAUUAUAAUUAUAAAAUAUCCCUAAAUUUAAUAAAGAAAUAAAUCCCAAAAUUAGAAUGUUUAUUUUUAAUAAAAAUUAUUUUAAUAAAAAAUUAUAAUUAGAAAAAUAAUUACAAAAUUUUGGGAUUUAAUAAAAAUCCCCUAAAUGAUUAAAAUUUUAGGAUUUAUUUUUUAAUAAAUAAAUUCAGUUAUUUUAAUAAAAUUUUGCAAAAUUAUAAUUUUUAAUAAAUAAAUUCACUUAUUUUUAUUAUAAUUUUAAAAAAAUUUAAAUUUUUAAUAAAAAUAAUUAUUAAAAUUUUACAACAUCUAAAUUGAAUAAAAAUCAGCUGAGCACCUAUAUUUUGUAUUUAUUUUUAUUAAAUUUAGGGGUAUUUUUAUAAUUAUAAUUUUUUAUUUUUCAAAGCUUUAUAAGAUAAAAUGGUCUUUUAAUUUAUUUAGGGGUAAAAUUAUCAUUUCGUUUUAAUUAUUUAACGGUGUUAGUGCAAAAGUGGCUAAUUGAUACAAAUUUGAAAAGAAAUGUGGCGCAGAGAACAUAUUAAAAUUUUGUGGUGGUUGGAUGAACAUAAGGCAACAGAAAGGUGGUGCAAUAAUAAUUUCCCUAAUUAAAAUUUUAGAAUUUUUGGGCAUGGAUAGAGUAGUUUUAAUUAUGUUAAAGAAUUGAUAUUGACAUAAUUUUAUUUUGGUUUUCAACGAAAAAAAAUUUGUUGACAAGUAAGAAAAUAUUUUUUUUUUACUUUACAAUCGGUUAUACAUGUUUUAUCAUAUUAAAGUAAUUUUAAUAAUAAAUAGAAACAUAAUAUUACAAUAAAUAAAUUAAAGUUUAAGUUAUUUUGAAUAUUAAAAAAAUAAUUUUAAUAUUAUUAAUAGGGAGGCAUUUUGUUAAUUGUAAAAUCUUGUUAACCCAAAGGUUAUUUAAAAUCUUUCUAAUAAAUACAAAUAUAAAAUUAAAUAUCAUAAUUUAAAAUAUUUAAUACUAUAUUCAAUGUAAAAAUAUUUUAAUGUUGUUAAUAUACUACAUAGAUUAUAUUACUUAUAUUAUAUUUAUAUUGAUUAAAAAUUUUUAAAAUUAAUUUUCUAGUUACUAUAUUCAUAAGGUAUUCUGGUUAAAGAAAAUAUCUUGAUAUUACUUUUUGAAAAUUUGAGAGCCUGCAUGACAAUUUUUUCAAAUUUUAAGGAUGUAAUUAUCCUUUUUUCCAUAAUUUAUUUCAAUUUUGAGGGAAUCCAAUAAGAAAUAUGGCAGGAGAAUGUCAAUAGGCGAAUGAUUUUGUUACUUUGUUCACUGAUCUCAAAACCAUCGUCGCCGGGUGGAAGUUGUUGCAUCCGAUUACUAAUAUCAAUGAUUUUACUGUGGAGUCCAUCAAGAAGAGCCAUAUUAGUACUGCUUUCACUUUCGUUUUCACUGGUUUGCUGCUGCUUGUUGUUGAUGAAGAAUGUGUCAAUGGACAAAGUUAUUGAUGUCCUCCAGAAUUCCAAAAAUAUCUGCUGUUUCAACGUCUUCUUCAUCGCUUUCUUCUAAGUCCAACAGUUGCAAAAAAGGCAAAGAUAUUUUGGAGUCAUCGAAUUCUUCUCUAAUGAGUUGAAACAAAAGCCGAGCCAUGUCAGCUUCAUAGUUUCCCACCAGAGUAGUAGCAAUGAUUUCUGACUCCGUAAGAAGGUUUUGAAAAAGUGGUGUCAAAUUUGUUGAAUCUGGCAACGGCAACGCGCCUUCUUCACCUGCCAACACCCUUUUCAACCUCUCACAAAACAGUCGGAGGUGGAAUUCCAGCAUAUCUCCUUCUCUCCGUAGCACUCAGAGGUAUAGUUGAAAGAUUAAACACCAUGGAAGAAUUUGAAAGGAAUAUGCCAAGAAACUGUGUAAGUGGCUAAAUUCCACAAAUAUGACAUUAUUGCUCUUUUUUGAACUCAAAAAAAUGGUACGCGUUCAUUUAGAGAAAAGAACAGGUAUCCCAAUCGAUAUCCAACCUUUAUCUUAUUUAAUUACUACCAUGACAUGAUUGAUGAUGCUUAAAUCAAUUGUUUCUUUUUUAAUUUAAAGAAUUUUUCAUUAAAAAAAUAUUUUGAUAUCUAAUACCCUUCAAUGGCAUAUCUGCCGCAAGCCCAGAACAGGAUUAAUGAAUUUUUUUUUUAAUUUUUUGGGCAUGGAAAGAGCAGUAUUAAACAUCAGAAAGCUAAGGUUGUUCUGUUAAAAAAUUGAUAUUGACAUAAUUUUAUUUUGGUUUCGGGGAAAAAAAUAUUUUCUGAAAAGCAAGAAAAUAUUUUUAUAUUUUACAAUUUAUUAUACAUAUUUUAUCGUAUUAAAUUAAUUUUAAUAAUAAAUAGAAACAAAAUAUUACGAUAAAUAAAUUAAAGUUUAAAUUGUUUUGAAUAUUAUAAAAAAUAAUUAUAAUAUUAUUAAUAGGAAGACAUUUUGUUAAUUUUAAAUUUUUUUAACCCAAAGGUUUAUUUAAAAUCUUUAUUAUAAAUACAAAUAUAAAAUUAAAUAUCAUAAUUUAAAAAAUUUAAUAUUAUUUUAAGUAUUAAAAAUAAUUUAAUGUUAUUAGUCUACUAUAUAGAUCACAUUACUUAUAUUAUAUUUGUAAUGAUUAAAAAAUUUUUAAAUCAAUUUUCUAGUUAAUAUAUUCACGAGGUAUUAUGGUUAAAGAAAAGACCUUGGUGUUACUUUUUAAAAAUUUGAGCGCAUGCAUGAUAAUUUUUUCAAAAUUUAAGAAUGUAUGUGUCCUUUUCUCCAAUAAUUUAUUUCACUUUUGAGGGGAAUCCAAUGAGAAAUAUGAUAAGAGAAUGUCAAUUACUUGUCAUUUUCUAUUUUUUCUGUAAGGUAUUUAUUUUGAGCAUUGGUGAUCUUGUCUGGACUACUCCAAUUAUUGAUGGAACUCCAAUGGCUGCAUCCACAGUUGAAUAUAUGAUGGUGUUAGCUCUUACUUGAGAAUUCAGAGGGAUCUUUCUAUGUUUCUCAAUUGCAAUGUGCUAGUAUAAAUUUCUUUACCUUACAGUUUAUAUAGUCUUGCUGUUAAUGAACUCACUGAGGCAUUAUUGAUUCAAUUUCAGUGGAGCAAUCGCGGGUGAAGGAUAAAUAAAGGAUAACAGAACAGAGCUGAAGUGCUAAAUUGGCUAUUGAAGAAGGUUUUCACAUGAUCACAAUUAUGUAAAAUAAUCAUUUUUCUGAAAUUGUGUUUCCUAAAAUUAAUAAAUUUCCUUUUUUUUAAAAAAAAAAAAAAACUCUUCUACGACGUGGUUGCACAGCAAAUUAGAGAAUUAUAGGGUCUCUAAUCAAUACUCCAACCAAUAAUGAUAUGUGCACAAAAAAUAGUAUCAAUCACAACAAGAUUAAAAUUAAAAAAAGUAACUAUAAGAUGGAAAAAAAAAUUAUUACAAGAAAAUAAUUUUUUUGUCUUUUCUAUCUUUUAUACUAUUUUUGUUUAUAUGUACUCUAAAUUCAGCCAAACCAUACAUGCAUGAACAAAAAUUAAACCGUCGUUCUAAUCACAACAGUAAUUGAAGCUACAAAAGCCAGCAAAUCUGAACGAAGACUUAAAAGAAAGAUCUUAUUCAAGUUUGUCCCCAAAAGACAGCUGAAAUGAAAAAUAUUGACUAUUGAAUGGGUCAAUGCCGAAUUACAUUUCAAAUGGAAAGCUUGGCAGCAGUUACAAUGUUUCCCCCUCUGAUUUUCCUCCAAAACAAAUUCAGUUGUAAACAAUAACCGAAGUAGUAAUAAUUUAUUCAUCAAAGAAAAUACCCCCAAGUUUUCAACUAAAAAAUCCUCUUGUCCAAACUAAAAGAACUCAUAUCUCUAAAAUCUAUCUGCAAAAUGUUGGGAAUGAGGAGUGAUCUGUCAACUCCGUAAAUAAACUCAUGCAUAAUGUUAACAAUAAUGAUAAAUUACAUAAUAAUUAUUAUAAAGAAUCAUAAAUUGGAAACACUAAUCAUUCUACAAUCUAUUAUAUAAGCAAGAUAAAUCUCAUAAUAAGUUAAGUUAUAAUGUAAUAAAUAUUUUCAAUAUAUAAUUAUUUAAGAAGUCAUUUAACAAUAAAAUAAUUUUUUUAAAUCAGUUGAUCAUACAGCGUUAUCUAAACUCCUGACGAUAUUAUUAUUACUCACUUUUCUCAAAAAAAUAUGAUUAAUGUUUAGAGAAAAGUCAUGCAUUUUAGAAAAAAUAUGUAUACUAGCUAUCCGUACUUUAUCUUACCGUGACAAAAUUGAUGGUGAUUAAAUCUAUUUUUAAAAUAGAUUUAAUUCACAAAUAUGGUGACUUUUGGCAAAAAUUAUUUUCAGAAGAUAUAGUGGCAGAAAAUAGUGAUAAUUAUUGUUUAAAUGUGUAAAUAGCCUAAGUAUAGCCCAUAAUACCAAUAUCCAUUUGCACCUUCAUUUGGUUUAUCACAUUUCAUGAUAUUCUUUCAUUCAUGACCAUUGUUCAAGAUUUUAAUUUGAUUAUAAAUUAAGUUGCAAGGGAGCUUACUUCAGUCUCUAAGCUUUUCAAUCGUGAUUCCUGCAUGCCAACGUAACUGACCUUAUAAUUGGUCUGUAUAAGAAAUCAAGCCCUUUCAGGAUCGUUUUCUUUUUCUCCCUAUUGUAGUAGUCAACUAAAUAAAGAAUGAACAACUAAACUUGGUCUAUUUCGAGGAAGACUAAGGCUUCCAAUACUAGAUGAACUUUGAAGAAAAUUAAUCCGUUGUUUUUAUUCAUCUUUGGACUAUGAAUAUAUACAAAGACUUUAACAGAAAAUAACAAAGACACAGCUAAAUGCACUACUAAAAAAAUGAGUUUUACUGACACUAAUUUAGCGUCAGUAAUUACUUUUAUUGACACUUGUUAAUUGUGUCAGUGUUGCUCAAGCCAGAACACACUGACACUAAUUUUUGAUGUCAAUAAUUUUUGUGUCAGUAAUUUGUUUCACUAUAGUAUCACUAAAAUAAUGACACGAUGAUGUUGGUAUUUAAUAAUACUAUUUACACGUCAGUAAUUUAUGUGACUAUAGUAUCAAAAACUGACUCGAUAAUAUAAAAAAUUCUUAUUGUUAUUUUAAAUAUGUAGUGUCAGUAUUUAGUAAUGUUAUGCUGCUUUUGGUUAAUAGUAUAUUUUUUAUUUUAAUUAUAUUUUUCGUGUUUGUUGUACAACCAAAAGAAAACUCGAAAUAUAUUUAUUAUUAAAUAUCUUGCAACACAAUUCAUAUAAUAAACAUCUCAAAUACAUCACUUAAAUUCACACAAUUCAACUACAUCACUAUGUGUAAAAGACUUAACAUAAGUAUCAAAUUAAAUUUUCAACAAUCUCUAAACAACAAGUGCUAACUACUACUCAAUUAAGUUUCCAACCCAAAAGAAAAAAAAAAAAGCACAAGGUCACUCAAUAUCCAUCCACGGCUUCAUUUUGUUCCCACCUACAAAUGCAUAAAAUCAAUUAGUAUACUGUGAAAAAUAAAUCUUAGUUAUUUUGAAGCAAAAAUACUCAUAAAUUACUUCAACAUGGAAGAGUAGGAUUAAAAGAAGCAAGUUAAGGAAUCAGAAAAAGAAAUUGUAGAAUCUACACGUUCCCAAGUUAAUUACAGCCUGCAAUCAUGAUACCACAAAUUGCUUCACCAAAAGUAUUCUAUCAAGUAUUAAAGAGAACACUUAAUAAGUACAUCAAUAUUUAGUAAUGAUGACAUGAACAAUGGUGUCUACAACUUGACAAGCAUAAGUUAUUUUUUUUGUAAUCUAUUUCAUUGUCUAAAUUUAAAGUAAACAAUGCUAUAAUAUAUGAUCAAGUACAUUAAGUUAACAAGCACUAUAACAUUUAUUUAGCCCACAUUCAACGAUGAUCAGUUGGACCGAAAGCCAUAAAUUGAAAAACAAAAGAUAUUUAAUGAGCUUAAAGAGGAAAAAUAAAAGUUAACAAAAUUUAAACGACUAAUGAAGAAAUUAACCAAGCCGAGAUGAAAAACAGAAAUAGAAGGCCACUAUAAGCCAAACAUUACAAAUCAGGUUGCUUUUUAAGACACGAACCCAGUUUCCAAUUACAGUACUUUGCAAUUCUUUAAAAAAAAAAGGGUUUCCCAAUUACUAAAUCUUUUUAGGUUUGAAGUGGAUUGAUAAUUAAAUUGAUGAAAGAAAGGAAAGUGAAGCAAAAAUUAGAUUCAAGUAUGGGUCAAGUAAAAAAGUAAAAGAUAAAAAUCAGAUUCAGUGCAAACCUGGGUUUCAAAUGAUUAGCAAAGGAACAACUUCUUCUUUCUUCAAUCUAAUAUUCUUCUUCGAACAUGGAAUACUAACAAAAUACAAUUAGUAAUUCAUAAACAUAUAGUAAAAUGAGAUAGGUAUUUUUUGAGAGGAGAUUGAGAAAUACAUAUUUGAUUGAAGAAAGAAAACACAACAAAAAAAAAGGACCAGGUCUCCUCAAAGAAAAGCAAAAUGGGAAAAUAGGGGAAUAGUCUAUACAAAAGCCAACCCACCACCCUUGGAGGACCAUCCUUCUUCUGAGCAAAAAUCUAUACAAGAUUAGCCCAAACCUCCAAUAUAGUAAAAUGGGUUCGACAGACUAUUUCUAAUCUGUCAUUUGCAAAGUAAAGCUAAAAUUAGAAUUGUCUACUAACAACCUUCCUAUAGUUUGUCCACUAUAUUAUUACUAUAUUAUUAGAUGUAAAAUGCCCACUAUAAAAGGUAAUUAAUAGAGAAACUUCUCUGUAGUAUUUUCAUACCUGUGCCAAAACAGAGAAGAGAAAGAAAUGGUGUCUGACCUCGGUGGUAAAGGAACCGCUAUGGUAAAGGAUCGAACAUGGAUGAAAAAUAAACUUGUGCAAAUGGAGCCACCAGCAUUUUGCAAGAAUUAAAGAUUUUGGGUGAAAUCCUCUCUUAUAAACACUUAUUUGUAUUGGGAGCAUGCAUACUUCCGAGUAUGAUAUAAUUCUAUAAAAUUUAGACUCCUGAUAGAUAGAUAGAUAACACGUAUUAGCAUUAAUUAAAUGGAAGCAUCAACAAUAAUCAAUAAAUCAUUAUAGAAAAAAAAUUAAAAAUGAAAGGAGCUGAGGCACACCAUUGUGAUGCAAGAUUGACAAUCAAAAGAACCUUUCCUUUGUAGAUGCUAAGAUCAACAUCCUGUCCCUUCGCAUCCUGCAAAUAAGAUAAAUUUUUAUAAAAAUUAAAAAAUAUAUCUGUCAAAUCCCAAAUUGAAUUAAAAAUCAAAACAAGGGAAAGAAAAUGAAAGGAACAUGUCAUCAAAUUGUAGGUGGCUGGUGGUGCUUUUUAGUGAAGUGUUUGUAGAACUGUUAGAUGUAACCAUUCUUUACGCAUCAACUUCGCUAGUGAUUUGAUUUGAUGAAGAGGAUCUUUCCUUAUCUAGUUAUCUUCUUGUGUAGAUCCAUGUAGGAUUCCUUCACGAUUUCUUUUUUUUUUUUUUGGGGGGGGGGGGGGGGAGGUUUAAUUAACAAAACAAUAAGAGUAAAUGAGGAAUCAAUCCCUAAUUUAAGGCCUUCUAAGAUUGCUGAAGCUCUGCAUAAUCAAUGUCUCCAAGAAAAAGGUUUAUUUGCAGGCUGUAGCAGCAAUUUUCUUCCCCAUGAAAUCCAACUGAUCCAUUUGUAUUGAAUUUAAGCACACGCCUGAGGCUGGAAAAGACAAAGAAAUUAAUGAAAACAGGCUAUGUAUCUUUUUUACUUAUCAUUGCUCUAUGAAUUAAUUAUGCUACUAAUCACGACGCCGUUUAAAUCUUAGAACAAUAAUAAUCUUUUAGCAACAAAUAUGACGGUUCAAUAAUAUGUUCCGACUAGGGAUGUCAUAUUGUGAGGGCUGUUAAGUUUAAGAAACGAUCAAAUCUAAUUUUGUGUUCCAAAAACUCAUUGGCUUAACAGAUUAACUCCUCUGUAGUAUUUUCAUACCUGUGCCAAAAGAGAGAAGAGAAAGAAAUGGUUCUUGAUCUCGACGGUAAAGGAGCGGUGGCUGGCUGGGCUGAAGUUGAUGUGACGGCAUAAAAGCGGUAGCAGCGACAUACUGAAAGGUGGCUAGCUAGUCGUAGGUGGCUGAAGCUUGACAACAGUAGAGCAAAGGCGGCAGUGACGUCAAGGAACGGCGGCCGACAGCAGUGAAAGUCGAGGAGCAGCGGCCGGCAGCAGUGAAAGUCGAGGAGCAGCGGCCGGCAGCAGUGAAAGCCGAGGAGCAGCGGCCGGCAGUAGUGAAAGUCGAGGAGCAGGGGAGCGGUCGGCAGCAGUGAAAGUCGAGGAGCAGGGGAGCGGCGGCAGCAACUUAAGAAGUGGUGUGUUUGAUUCGGUUAGAUUUAGGGUUUCUUAUUUUCAUUUUAUACUUUGAAAAAUUAUACAGUGUAAUUGUUCGCAUUGUAAUUUAAUAAAACAACAAACUACAAGUCAACAUGUGGUCAAGUAAAAUUAUUAUUAUUAACAACGAAUUACAAGUUGACAUGUGGCAAAAUAAAAAAUAUUAUUCUCAAAACUAUUAUUAUUAUUAUUAUUAUUAUUAUUAUUAUUAUUAUUAUUAUUAUUAUUAUUAUUAUUAUUGUCCACAAAGUAAUUGUGUAAAAUUUAAUUAAAUAAAAAAAUUAAUCAAAUUGAAAAUUUAAAAACACAUGCAUCAAUGGUUUGCACUCUAAACUUACAAAUUUUAAGUUUAGAGAUCUUGAGUUCGAGUUCAAAUUAAAACAAAAUUAAUAUUAUUAUUUUUUUAUCACUGAUGCUUUAGUAUCAAUAAUCAUUGAAUUUUAAGCUACUGACACCUUAGUAUCAAUGAUUUAUGAUACAUACUUGUUAAAGGCGGAAAAUGGUCCAAACGUACACCAUUUCUGACACUUUUUACUAAGUGUCAGAAACAAAGUGUCAGUAAAUGUCAUUUUUGUAGUAGUGAUGAUAGCAAUAAGUGCUGACUUAGACACUUAGUGGACCGCUUCUACAAGUAAAUAAAAACUAAAUAUUUAUUUUGACUAUAACAACAACUACGCUGAUGAAUAGGAUUUCACAGCAGCCACGUGAGAACUAAUUUCUCCUUAAUAUUAUUAUUAGUAGAAGUAGAUUUUCAAACUAGUCUUGAUAUAUUUCAAAGUUGUAUUAUCAAUGUAUAUGUGUCUAGAUUGUAACUAUACUUUAAAAAAUAUAAAAUUUUUAAUUAUUGCACAAUAUAUGUAGAAAAAUAUCUAUAAAAUGAUAUUAUUAGGACUAAGAAUUUUUUAUUUUAUUUUAGAUAAGUUAUUUAUUUAUUAUCGAAUGAAUAAUUUAUUAAUUUAUUGAUAAAUGAAUAUUUAUUAAUUUAAAGAGAGAUUUUUUUGGUUUUAACAAGAGUUUGUUUGGUAAAUGUACACACUUAUAAAGAAACAUAAAAAGUGGUUCCUCAAGUCAAUAGUGUUUGCUUCAAUCGCAACGGUUCAUAAUAAUAUAGCUUAGUUAGGAAAUUUGUAAUUAUACUAUAACUUUGUUUGGUACAACUUUUCAAGUAAAACUUAUUUAAGUAGAGUUGUUAUUAGUAGAGCUUUUAUAAAUAAAGCUUUUACUAAAAAAAAUUUAAUUGUUUGGUUGUCAAUGUCCAAAUUGAUAAACUUUUGUUCUUUUGUUAAGAUAUGUUUGUUUUACUUAAUAAUAGCAUCGGCAAGAGUUUUCGAUUGUUGCAACUUGCAAUGCACGCGGUGAGAGAAAAUGAGAAUCUUGUUUAAUUGUCAAUAAUGACAAACCUAAUCCUUUCAUUAGGAGUAAUUUAAUAAUCGUUUGUUAUAACUGAAUAUGUAUAAAGAAAGGAAAAUUCUAUUCAUAGAUUUCGACUUAUUUUUUGUUUAAAGUAAUUAAUCAUUCAACCAUCUUCAUUUGCCUCUGGCCAAUGCCCUUGUAGAUUAGUUGAAGCGUUAAUUACUUAAUUAUGAUUAUAUACAUUUUCAUAUAGCAAGUGGCAUUGUAGAUCUAAACUAAGUUGCUAUUUCAAUACCAGCAAAUUCAAAAUAGAAAAGGAGUGCAACUAUUUAACUUUGUAGACAAUAUUGCAACCAUGGCAUAUUUAUAGCAAAUCCUUGAAAUCUGCUAAACAAAACAAUGCCCUGUCUCAUGAAUCGAUGCUCAAUUAAAAUUUAAAUUGAAAGUCCGGCUGGUGUUGUUUUCCUCUCCAGUUUUGCCUACAUAAGUAAAGGGAAAUAAGAAUCAUAAGUGAAAAUAUGCUUUGACAGGUCUUAUUUCUUUGUUUCUCUACUGCAGUUUUGCCUACUCAAGCUGAGUCUACGUUGAGACAUAAUUUCAGUAUUGAGGUAACAAUAAUUUCGGACUCCGUAAGAAGGUUUUGAAAAAGUGGAGUCACAUUUGUUGAAUCAGGCAACGUCAACGUGCCUUCUUCACCUGCUAACACCCUUUUCAACCUCUCACAAAAUAGUCGGAGGUGGACGUCCAGCAUAUCUCCUUCUCUCUGUAGCACCCAGAGGUAACAGGAUUAAUUAAAAAUUUUAGAAUUGUUGGGCGUGGAAAGAGUAGUAUUAAACAUCAGAAAGCAAGGUUGUUCUGCUAAAGAAUUGAUUUGUUGACAUAAUUUUUUUUUUUUUUUUUUGGUUUUCGAGGAAAAAGGCAUAUUUGUUGACAAGCAAGAAAAUGUUUUUGUAUUUUACAAUCUGUUAUACAUAUUUCAUCAUAUUAAAGUAAUUUUAAUAAUAAAUAGAAACAUAAUAUUAUGAUAAAUAAAUUAAAGUUUAAAUUAUUUUGAAUAUUAUAAAAAAAUAAUUCUAAUAUUGUUAAUAGGAACAUAUUUUGUUAAUUGUAAAAUCUUUUUAAUCCAAAGAUUUAUUUAAAAUCUUUAUAAUAAAUACAAAUAUAAAAUUAAAAUAAAUAUCAUAAUUUAAAAUUUUUAAUAUUAUUUUCAAUAUUAAAAUAUUUUAAUGUUAUUAGUCUACUAUGUAAGGUAUCAGAGCCAUACCCAUCCUUGAAUGGGUCAAUGCUGAAUUACACUUGAAAUGGAAAGCUUGCUGCAGUUACGAUAUUUCCCCCUCUGAUUUUUCUCCAAAACAAAUUCAGUUGUAAACAAUAACCGAAGUAGCAAUAAUUCAUUCAUCAAAGAAAAUACUCAAAUUUUCAACUAACAAAUCCUCUUAUCUAAACUAAUUAAAAAAAACUCAUAUCUCAAAAAUCUAUCUACAAAAUGUUGGAAAUAAAGGGUGAUCCGUCAACUCGAUAAAUAUACUCAUGCAUAAUGCUAACAAUAUGAUAAAUUACAUCAUAACUAUUAUAAAGAAUCAUAAAUUGGAAACACUAAUCAUUCUACAAUCUAUUAUAUAACUAAGAUAAAUCUUAUAAUAAGUUAAGUUAGAACAUAAUAAAUAUUUUCAAUAUAUAUAAUUAUUUAAGAAGUCUUUUAACAAUAAAUUUUUUUUCUUUUUCAGUUGAUCAUGUCAUAUAGCGUUAAUGGUGAUUAGUGACUGAUUACAAAGCAAAAUUGUUUAAAAUAGAUUUAAUGCACAAAUAUGAUGAAUUUUGGCAAAAAUUAGUUUCGGAAAUGUUGGGAUGAAAACCAUAUUAGUUGAGACUUAAAGUUACUUAAUAAAAUUAUAUCACUACCAUUCAAUGGAUGAAAACUAUUUUAGUUGAGACUUAAAUUUAGAUUUAAAUGUUGAGAUAUCUAGUAUUACUCAAUCAGAAUAAACAAGAACCAAUUCUGACUAUCAUGUAGAAGCAAAUAUUUAUGCUUGGAUUUUUUACUUCUUGAAUUUGAUUGGAAAAGUUUCUGAGACAGAGAAGUGUUUUGGAUAAUCUUUUUCGGGAUUGAAACCACAAAUUGGUCGAGGAAAUUAAUUUUGGACAAAUUUUUAUUGAGUUGUGCUAAACAUCAAGAAGGGCGAGAGAAUGCUGAGAGAAACGGCAGCUUUGUGCUGCUGUUUCGACUUCUCACUCUCUCGCCAUUCUAAUAAUUUUUUAUUAUUAAAAAUAAAAAAGCGGAGAAAAUGAUAGCAGACAACCCACAUCUACCAAAUCUCCAUCACUCCAUCACUCUCUUUCUCUCUCUCCCUCUCUUGAUUUUCAUCCUCUCUCUGGCUUCCUCACUCUCUACGGCUCCCCAUCAAGCUUCCUCAGUCUCUUCGGCCUCACUAUCUCUAGCCUCACUCUCUCCAGAUUCUUUCAUUUUCUCCUUUUUUUUAUAUUUUUAACAAUAAAAAAUUAGCAUUCUGCUGAGAAAGAGAGUGGUACACGACUCUUGAACAAUUUUUUUUCUGUCGUGAUCGUCUAUCAAACCACCUAAAAAUGAGCCAAGGGGGUUCUCAGCCCUAGCAGCUCACGUACUUUCAAGAUUUAGAGUAUGGUUCCAGUCCAAGCUAUUUAAUUAGUAUUGGGAUUCGAUUUAGUUGUUCUUCUAAUUUAAUAGGAUAAAGAAUUUAAUUGGAGAAAUGUCAUUAAUAUCAUAGGAGCAUAUAUAUUGUUUUGAUUUAAAUAUUGCUAUUUUUUUAUUGUUGAAAAAAAAAACACUAGAAAAUGGGAAGCCAAAAUCUUAGCCCUGUGUUUUUACUUUUACUUUUCUCUUAAACAUUUUAAAGAUGUAAAGGAAAAUGCUCAGAAUGGUGAGAGAGUGAUGGACGUGAUGGGCUAUCUUCUAUCCUUUUUUUAAUAAAUUUUUAAGAAUAAAAAAUUUAUUAAAACAGUAAGAGAGCGAAACCAAAACGGCAGCUUGUGCUGUCGUUUCUCUUAACAUUCUCUCGUCAUUCUUGAUGUUAAGCAUUUUCCAUUUUUAUUAUGUUGUAGCACCUUUUUGGUUCCUUUUGUGUCGGCAGCCCCUUACUAUUCUCUUAACCCUGAGUUUGAGAUAGAAAUUUCCCGAACUCCAACCCCACAUCCACAGACAAGUUGAUUCAAACAAUUGCUCUUUUAAUUAAGAGAAUGAGUUAGGUUUCAGUUCUUAUUGUUGUCUGUUAUUUCUCUGAAUCAUUAAUUUUGAGCAUUACUGAUCUUAGUUAUCUGUAUUUCUCCAAUUAUUGAAGAAUUUAUUAUUGAAUGAAUAAUUUAUUAAUUUAUUGAUAAAUGAAUAUUUAUUAAUUUAAAGAGAGAUUAUUUUGGUUUUAAGAAGAGUUUAUUUGGCACAUGUACACACUUAUAAAGAAACACAAAAAGUGCCUGCUCAAGUCAAUAGUUUUGGUACAUUUACACACUUAUAAAGAAACACAAAAAGUGCUUGCUCAAGUCAAUAGUAUUUGCUUUAAUCGCUAUAGUUCAUAAUAAUAUAGCUUAGUUAGGAAAUUUGUAAUUAUACUAUGGCUCCGAUUGGUACAACUUUUUAAGUAGAACUUAUUUAAUUAGAGUUUUUAUUAGUAGAGUUUUUAUAAAUAGAGAUUUUACUAAAAUAAAAUUUAGUUAUUUAGUUGUCAAUGUCCAAAUUGAUGAAAUAUUGUUCUUGUUAACAUAUGUUUGUUUUACUUAAAAAUAAAAGUUUAGUUUACAAUUACACCAGUAUAAAAUCAGCAGAGCAUUUUUGCUUAAAUAUUUAUUAAUUUAAAGAGAGCUUAUUUAAAUAGAGUUUUUGUUAGCAAAACUUUUAUAAAUAAAACUUUGCUUAAAAAAAUUUAAUUAUUUAAUUGUUAAUGUCCAAAUUGAUGAACUUUUGUUCUUUUGUUAACAUGUGUUUCUUUUACCUAAUAAUAAAAAUUAGUUUACAAUAACACUGGUGUCAAAUCAGCAGAGAUAUUUUCCAGCCAGUCACAUUAUACAUACGGGAGCCUCUAUGUUACAUUGAAUGUACCAUACACAACUAAUAAGAACCACAUAAAUUGUGGGACCCACAUAAUUGUGUGGUUCUUAUUGGUUGUGUAUGGUACAUUCAAUGUAACAUAGCAAAAUCCUAUACAUUAUACUAAUAGCAUCGGCAAGAGUUUUCGAUUGUUACAACUUGCAAUGCACGCGGUGAGAGAAAAUGAGAAUCUUGUUUAAUUGUCAAUAAUGACAAACCUAAUCCUUUCAUUAGUAGUAAUUUAAUAAUCGUUUAUUAUAAUUGAAUAUGUAUAAAGAAAGGAAAAUUCUAUUCAUAAAUUUCGACUUAUUUUUUGUUUAAAGUAAUUAAUCAUUCAACCAUCUUCAUUUGCCUCUGGCCAAUGCCCUUGUAGAUUAGUUGCAGCGUUAAUUACUUAAUUAUGAUUAUAUACAUUUUCAUAUAGCAAGUGGCAUUGUAGAUCUAAACUAAGUUGCUAUUUCAAUACCAGCAAAUUCAAAAUAGAAAAGGAGUGCAACUGUUCAACUUUGUAGACAAUAUUGCAAGUUGCAACCAUCCAAAGGUGAAGAUCUAUGCUUAUUAUCUAUUUAACAGCUAAUAUAUAUAUAUAUAUAUUUAUUUAAAUAUCAAGAGCUAUGCUUUUAAAUAAGUUCAAAUGGGAUGAGAACAGACUUAUAUUUAUUUAUUUAAAUAUGACCCAGGCUAAUUUCUCUGAAUUUGGACAGAGUAGAUUUCUAAGCUAAUGCUUGGCAUAUCUCUGGCGAUACUACAAAGUGCAUGUACAUUGACUCUUAAUAAAUAUAAACGAUUCUCUGAUAUGAUUCAAAACAUCACUACAUGCAUAAGUUAAUAAGAGACAAUAUUCUAAGAUUAUUUAUGCAUCACCAUUUAUAGUUGUACCCUCUCUAAUGAAAUUGAAGGUGCAGCCAGCAACUAAAAUGAAGCAGAAAUGUACACGCAUGAGGCAGUUUUUCUAGAAGAUUGAUAUUUCUUUAACUAGAAAACCAUACAAGUCCACAACUAGCCAAACUGUACCUGCAUGUGUCUAGGGCUUAAAUGGAGCACUUCUAAGCAUAAAACAGUAACUAAAACACAUACACAAACAUACAUACCAAAAAAUUCAGAAAAUAGAGAAAGGAAUACAACUAUUCUUGUUUGUAGACAAUAUUGCAACCAUGGCAUCAGUUAUAGCAAAUCCUUGAAAUCUACUAAACAAAAUAAUGUCCUGUCUCAUGAAUCAAUGUUGAAUUACAGCUGAAAUUGAAAGUCUGGCAUCAGUUAUAGGAAAUAUUGAAUUACAAUAUUUCCCUUGCCGAUUUUGUCUACACAAGUAAAAUGGAAAUAAGAAUCAUAGAUGAAAAUCAACUUUUACAGUUCUAAUUAUUAGAUAGAUACAGAAUGAUCUAUCUUUGUGAGUUUGUUUUUCUGCUGCAAUGUGCGAUCCCACUCUGUUUUGAUACUCAAAUUGAGUCUAUGUUGAGACAUAAUUUUGACAUUGCAAGCAAUCCCAAUUAGUUUGGCAUUUGUAUGACCCUUUGAAGGUUUUACAAUAGAUGCAAAUCUACUGAGAAAAUGGUAAAAAAGGUGCAUAUAAAAUGAGGCAAGUAACAGAAGUAUGAGUUAUCAGAUUAGAUUAAAAGUCACCCAAUUCAAUCUAUCAGAUUCCGUAAGGAUAUAACUGGAUGUCAUAUCGCCACUCCAUAUCCUCGAAAGUCCGUAGUCUUUGUCUCAACUCUGUCUGAGGCCAAUGUAAAUCCAAUUUGCACAAGCUCUUUAUGCACCAUAGCUCUUCUGGAAGCUUUCUCAAGUAAGCACAUGGGUUGACAAUUAAGCUUUCAAGUUUUGGCAUUGCUCUUGCCCCCAUCGUCCACUCGUCUAGCCAAUACAUCGACUUCAAGUGCAAAAUCUUAAGUUCCGGAAAGCCACCAGAGCCAACGCAGGCCAGCUUUCUUCCUAAAUAUGAGUUCUGCUUCAGUUUCAGCACUUGAAGGCGUGGAAGCUUUUCCAGCAUUGGCAUGGGAUCCUCCAUUAGCUCAGUAUUUGAUAAGCUCAGUUGGAUCAGGCUUGGAGGAAAUUGGUAUUCAGACAGGACCAUCCGUGAGAGCUUGCUCUCAUUCACCAACUUCAAGCAUUCAACUUUGUGGAGUUCGCAUACGCUUUUGGAAACCCCAGAGUGAUAGCAACUCAAAUCUCCAGACACUCUAAGAGUUUGAAGAUUAGGUAGUCUGCACAAUAUAUCUGGCGUGCAACUACUAGGGUGUAAGGCUGAUAUGAAAAUAAGAUUUUUCAGAGAGCUGGAAUAAUUUUUUGGAGGUGCAGGCAGAGUGAUGGAACCAAAGUUCAGAUGCAUGAGUUUUUGCAUCUUCCAAAUAUCCUCUGGUGUUUGAUCUACGUAGCUAGAUGGCAUGUCUAGUGUUUGAAGGUUUGAAAGGGUGCAUAGCAGUGAAGGAAGACAUUUGAGCGAAGGGAUAUUCAAUUUCAAAUACUUCAAAUGGAAUAAAUUUUCUAAUCCGGGUGGAUAUUGGUCCAGGACUGCAGAACCCAUGUUCAAUACCCGAAG